GUUGUAUGGUAUGAAACCUUCAGCUACCCACAACUGAUAUAAUUGCCGCGUGGAUAUCUCAAUACUUGGAGGGAAGACACACAAAUAGAUGCAACAGACUUUCAAGUGAAAAGGCAACUCCAUCACAGAAAAAAUUUGCCUCCAAAUUGUCGGAAACGCUUCGCCUUGAAGAUAAUUUUUUAAUGGCAUACUUCCAUGGUGUAGGACGAAAAAUUGCCAGGCUUCAUGCUUUAAUCUGAUCAAUGGUCCUCCAAUGAGCACUGAAUCAGGCCGAAUCUUCUCUCCGUUUUCCAUUUCCAACGACGAAAGGAGGUCUGGUUCAGUGACCAAUAUCAAUACUCUGCUUCCAUUCUGAUUAUCAGGAAGAACUUCUUGAAGAUCAUCCCAUAUCUCACUGUCAUCGAAGACAUCAUCAAGCACAAUAAAGUACUUCUUGUUGGUUAGGUAAUCUCGAAGAACAGAUUUCUUCAAUUGAUAAUCUUCACCGAUAAUUACACUAACCCGAGAUGGAGGCAUCACAGACUUGAUUAUGUCAUCCAAUAUCUUGCCAAAAUCGUAGACUAUAGAAACCCUGACCCAAGCAAGACAGUCAAAAUAGAACUUGACAUGGUUAUUAUUGCAAGUAUCUGCAGCAAAAGCAGUCUUAUCGAAGCCACUGCUGUCGAGAAUUGCAACCACUGAAAGUCCAGAUGGUCCCUCAAUCAAUAGAUCAAAAAACUUCUCUCUGCCCCUUUCAAAUUCACUGAUAUCGAACCGAGGUGUUCCCUCACUCAAUAGGCGAAUGAUUUCGUUACUUUUUUCACUGAUAUCAAAACCAUUGUCGCCGGGUGGAAGUUGUUGCAUCCGAUUUCUAAUAUCAAUGAUUUCACUGUGGAGUCCAGCAAGAAGAGCCAUAUCAGUACUGCUUUCACUUUCGUUUUCACUGUUUUGCUGCUGCAUGAUUUUGAUGAAGAAUCUGUCAAUGGCUUCCUCAGAUUCACGGACAAAGUCAUUGAUGUCCUCCAGAAUUUCCAAAAUAUCUGCUGUUUCAACGUCUUCUUCAUCGCUUUCUUCUAAGUCCAACAGUUGCAAAAAAGGCAAAGAUAUUUUGGAGUCAUCGAAAUCUUCUCUAAGGAGUUGAAACAAAUGCCGAGCCAUGUCAGCUUCAUAUUUUCCCAGCAGAGUGGUAGCAAUAAUUUCGGACUCCGUAAGAAGGUUUUGAAAAAGUGGAGUUAAAUUUGUUGAAUCUGGCAGCGGCAACGUGCCUUCUUCACCUGCUAACACCCUUUUCAACCUCUCAUAGAACAGUCGGAGGUGGAAUUCCAGCAUAUCUCCUUCUCUCCGCAGUCCUCAGAGGUAUAGUUGAAAGAUCAAACACCAUGGAAGAAUUUGAAAGGAAAAUGCCAAGAAACUGUGUAAGUGGCUAAAUUCCACAAAUAUGACAUUAUUGCUCAUUUUUUAACUCAAAAAAAGGGUACGCGUUCAUUUAGAGAAAAGUCCAAGACGCGUGCCUUUUGAAAAGAACAGGUAUCCCAAUCGGUAUCCAACCUUUAUCUUAUUUUAAUUACUACCAUGACAUAAUUGAUGGUGCUUAAAUCAAUUGUUUCUUUUUUAAUUUAAAGAAUUUUUCAUUAAAAAUAUAUUUUAAUAUCAAAUUGCCUUCAGUGGCGUAACUGCCUCAAGCCCAGUAACAGGAUUAAUUAAAAUUUUUUGAAUUUUUGGGCAUGGAAAUAGUAGUAUUAAACAUUAGAAAGGUAAGGUUGUUCUGUUAAAGAAUUGAUAUUGACAUAAUUUUAUUUUGAUUUUCGUGGAAAACAAAAAUUUGUUGACAAGCAAGAAAAUAUUUUUAUUUUUUAAAAUUUAUUAUGCAUAUUUUAUCAUAUUAAAGUAAUUUUAAUAAUAAAUAGACACAUAAUAUUACAAUAAAUAAAGUAAAGUUUAAAAUUAUUUUGAAUAUUAUAAAAAAUAAUUUUAAUAUUAUUAAUAGGAAGACAUUUUAUUAAUUUUAAAAUCUUUUGAACCUAAAGGUUUAUUUAAAAUCUUUAGAAAUCUCCAUCCCACAUCUGCCCUAUUAAACAAGUUGAUGGAAAUUGAACAAUUGCUUUUUGAAGUGGACCCAUUGAGUUAUGUUCAUUACUGGUCAUUGUCUAUUCUUUCUAAGAGCCACUUGUUUUGAGCAUUAGCAAUCCUAUCUGGACUACUCCAAUUAUUGAUGUAACUACAAUGGUUGCAUCAACAGUUGAAUGUAAGAUAGUGUUAGUUCUUUUUUGAGAAUUUCUUUAUUUGUUUCUCCGUUGCAGCGUAUCAGGUGUUCAUCUUGAUGCAAAGGAUGAAAUUUGUAAUUAUAUUAUGGCUCCAUUUGGUAUAAUUUUUUAAUUCGAACUUAUUUAAGGAGAAUUUUUAUUAAUAAAGUUUUUUAUAAAUAGAGAUUUUACUAAAAAAAAUUAUAGUUAUUUAGUUGUGAAUGUCCAAAUUGAUGAACUAUUGUUCUUUUUGUUAACAUGUGUUUGUUUUACUUAAUAAUAAAAGUUAAGUUCACAAUUACACCGGUGUCAAAUCAGCAGAGCAUUUUUGCAGCCAGUCACAUUAUACAUUUUUGCAACUUGCAAUGCAAGCGAUGAGAGAAAAUGAGAAUCUUGUUUAAUUGUCAAAAAAUAAGUCAAAUCUUGUUUAAUUGUCAAUAAUGAGAAUCUUGUUUAAUUGUCAAUAAUGUCAAUACAUUUUUGCAGCCAGUCACAUUAUACAUUUUUGCAACUUUCAUAAUCGUUUGUUAUAAUUGAAUAUGUAUAAAGAAAGGAAAAUUAUAUUCAUAGAUUUCGACUUAUUUUUUGUUUAACGUAACUAAUCAUUCAACCAUCUUCGUUUGCCUCUGGCCAAUGCCCUUGUAGAUUAGUUGAAGCGUUAAUUACAUAAUUCAGAUAAUUUCAACGUCCUUUUCGCUAAUUAAUUAUGAUUAUAUACGUUUUCAUAUAGCAAGUGGCAUUGUAGAUCUGAACUAAGUUGCUAUUUCAAUACGUUAAUUAAGUGAUUCUCCUCAUUGUCAUCAGCGUUAUACCCUCUAGGAAAAUAGCUCAAUUGUUUCUCUGCAUUGAUUUUCAUUGGUAAGUGAUUUCUUAUGAAAUUCUUUUGAGCUUUCCUUAUUAAAAAAGCUUGAGCUUUUAUCACCUAAUGCGGAUAUCAAUUAACUUGUGAACGAUUUUGCAAUGAAACUAGGAGUUAAAUAAGAUUUUUACAAGAUGAUCAACUUGUUAAUUUUGUAUAUUUCAUAUUUAACAGGAUUUGGGCACGGAACGUUUGGAUUCUAAUAUUUACAUAUUUAGUUUUAAUCAGUUUGACUUUCGUAAUCUUUCUCGCCUCAUCAUUAAGGGAUUAAGAAUUAGAGAAACAUUAGAAACAGGAAGAAAAUAACUUCAGAAAUAAGUAAGAGGGAAAAAAAAUUAUGAUAUUUGGAAUGUAUCAUAAUUUUUUGUUGAGUAAAUAUGUAUGAAUAAUUGAUAUCUAUGAAUAGUUUUUGGGAGUUUUAGCCAGGAGUCAUUUAUUGAAGAUGUCUAGCAAUUAAAGAUCUCUGUCUCAGUAGUUUUCCCAAUCAAAAUCAAGAAGCAAAAAAAAAAACUUGCCAUUUUUCUACUUGAUAAUUAAUAGAAAUUUAAGAAAAUACAAUGGCAUUUCAAUUAGAAUUGGUAAUUGUUUAUCUUUUUUUCAUUGAUCAAAUUCUAAUCUUUAUCCAAUAGUUAUGAAUGAAAGAAAUAUUAUGAGAGGAGAUAGGCCAAUUGAAGCCGUACCAGCAAAUAAAAAAUAGAAAAGGAGUGCAACUAUUCAACUUUGUAGACAAUAUUGCAACCAUCCAAAGGUGAAGAUCUAUGCCUAUUAUCUAUUUAACAGCUAUAUAUAUAUAUAUAUUUAAAUAUCAAGAGUUAUGCUUGUAAAUAAGUUCAAAUGUGAUGAGAACAGCCUUAUAUUUAUUUAUUUAAAUAUGACCCAGGCUAAUUUCUCUGAAUUUGGACAGAGUAGAUUUCUAAGCUAAUGCUUGGCAGAUCUCUUGGCGAUACUACAAAGUGCAUGUACAUUGAGUCUUAAUAAAUAUAAAUGAUUCUCUGAUAUGAUUCAAAACAUCACUACAUGCAUAAGUUAAUAAGAGACAAUAUUCUAAGAUUAUUUAUGCAUCACCAUUUAUAGUUGUACCCUCUCUAAUGAAAUUGAAGGUGCAGCCAGCAACUAAAAUGAAGCAGAAAUGUACACGCAUGAGGCAGUUUUUCUAGAAGAUUGAUAUUUCUUUAACUAGAAAACCGUACCUGCAUGUGUCUAGGGCUUAAAUGGAGCACUUCUAAGCAUAAAACAGUAACUAAAACACAUACACAAACAUACAUACCAAAAAAUUCAAAAAAUAGAGAAAGGAAUACAACUAUUCAUGUUUGUGGACAAUAUUGCAACCAUGGCAUCAGUUAUAGCAAAUAUUGAAUUACAAUAUUUCCCUUGCCGAUUUUGUCUACACAAGUAAAGGGAAAUAAGAAUCAUAGAUGAAAAUCAACUUUUACAGUUCUAAUUAUUAGAUAGAUACAGAAUGAUCUAUCUUUGUUACUUUGUUUCUCUGCUGCAAUGUGCGAUCCCACUCUGUUUUGAUACUCAAAUUGAGUCUAUGUUGAGACAUAAUUUUGACAUUGGAAGCAAUCCCAAUUAGUUUGGCAUUUGUAUCACCUUUUGAAGGUUUUACAAUAGAUGCAAAUCUACUGAGAAAAUGGUAAAAAAGGCGCAUAUAAAAUGAGGCAAGUAACAGAAGUAUGAGUUAUCAGAUUAGAUUAAAAGCCACCCAAUUCAAUCUAUCAGAUUCCGUAAGGAUAUAACUGGAUGUCAUACCGCCACUCCAUAUCCUCGAAAGUCCGUAGUCUUUGUCUCAACUCUGUCUGAGGCCAAUGUAAAUCCAAUUUGCGCAAGCUCUUUAUGCACCACAGCUCUUCUGGAAGCUUUCUCAAGUAAGCACAUGGGUUGACAAUUAAGCUUUCAAGUUUUGGCAUUGCUCCUGCCCCCAUCGUCCACUCGUCUAGCCAAAUACAUUGACUUCAGGUGCAAAAAUCUUAAGUUCCGGAAAGCCACCAGAGCCAACGCAGGCCAGCUUUCUUCCUAAAUACGAGUUCUGCUUCGUUUCAGCACUUGAAGGCGUGGAAGCUUUUCCAGCAUUGGCAUGGGAUCCUCCAUUAGCUCAGUAUUUGAUAAGCUCAGUUGCAUCAGACUUGGAGGAAAUUGGUAUUCGGACAGGACCAUCCGUGAGAGCUUGCUCUCAUUCACCAACUUCAAGCAUUCAAUUUUGUGGAGUUCGCAAAGGCUUUUGGAAACCCCAGAGUGAUAGCAACUCAAAUCUCCAGACACUCUAAGAGUUUGAAGAUUAGGUAGUCUGCACAAUAUAUCUGGCGUGCAACUACUAGGGUGUAAGGCUGAUAUGAAAAUAAGAUUUUUCAGAGAGCUGGAAUAAUUUUUUGGAGGUGCAGGCACAGUGAUGGAACCAAAGUUCAGAUGCAUGAGUUUUUGCAUCUUCCAAAUAUCCUCUGGUGUUUGAUCUACGUAGCUAGAUGGCAUGUCUAGUGUUUGAAGGUUUGAAAGGGUGCAUAGCGGUGAAGGAAGACAUUUGAGCGAAGGGAUAUUCAAUUUCAAAUACUUCAAAUGGAAUAAAUUAUCUAAUCCGGGUGGAUAUUGGUCCAGGACUGCGGAACCCAUGUUCAAUACCCGAAGGUGUUUGAACAUUUUACAAAAAUUCUCGCAAUCUAUCGGAUUAAGAUGAUCGCUUUCUGAACUGUGAUUCAGAAAAGAUUGGAGAUACAUGUCCGAAUGUCUCAAAGAAAAAAAUUCAAUGGGAUCAUCGAAAAUAGCUCAAUUGUUUCCCUGCAUCGAUUUUCAUUGGUAAGUGAUUUCUUAUGAAAUUCUUUUGAGCUUUCCUUAUUAAAAAAGGUUGAGCUUUGAUCACCUAAUACUGAUUUCAAUUAACUUGUGGACGAUUUUGUAAUGAAAUUAGGAGUUAAAUAAGAUUUUUACGCGAUGAAUUUUGAUUUUUUUUUUAAAUUUUUUGAUGCUGUCAAUUGGCUAAUUUUAUAUAUUUCAUAUUCAACGGAAUUUAGGCACGGAAUGUUUGGAUUCUAAUAUUUAUAUAUUUAGCUUUAAUCAGUUUGACUUUUGGUAAUCUUUUUCCCCUCAUCAUUAAGGGAUUCAAAAUUAGAGAAACAUUAGGAAGAGGAAAAAAAUAACUUCGGAAAUAAGUAAGAGAGAAAAACUUAUGAAAUUUGGAAUUAUUUUUUGUAGAGUAUGUUGCAUUUACUAAAUUGGAAUCGAAAUGAGCUGGAAUCGGAAUGGAUAGAAAUGCGAAUGCGCUGGAAUGAGAAUAGGUAAUGAGAAUCAGAAUAAAUUGUUUACUCGAACUGUAAGAAUCGAAAUUAAAAUGAGCUGGAUUGCAAUUACUUUGUCCUGCAAUCAGAAUCGAAAUGAGCUAGAUUGUAACAAAUUACUGAAGAGUACUUAAUAAAUUAUUGUCAUAAUUAUUAUUUUAUAUUUUAAUAUAGUGAUUAUUUAUUCUAAAAUUAUUAAUAUUAAUAAUUAUUUUCAAUAAUGUAUUAAUAUGUUAAUUAAUUAUAAAAAUUAUGAAUUAAUUUAUUAUAAUAAUAUACUAAUUAAUUAUAAUAAUUAUAUUAAUAAUAAUUAUAAAAAUAUAUUAAUUAUUAAUAAUAAAAUUACUUAUUUAAUUAUAAUAAUAUAUUAAUUAUUGUGAUUAUUUAUUCAAAAAUUAUAAUUAUUAAUAAUUACUGUUAAUAUUGUAUCAAUAUAUUAAUUAAUUAUUAAUUAUAAUAAUAUAUUAAUUAAGUAUAACUGGGUAUUUUCAAUUUCGGGAAGGGAUAAAAUGGUCAAUCCUAGGAAUGGGAGACUCAUUCCCACCCUCUCCCUUGGGAAUGAGUCUCCCAUUGCUCAUUUCCAAAUUGUGGUGGACUCCACGAUUCCGAUUCCGAUUUCUAACUCAAUUUUGCGAAGUAAACACCAUCAAUGAUUUCGAUUCCCUAAUUUGGGAAGUAAACGCAACAUAAAUGUGUAUGAAUAAUUGAUAACUAUGAAUAGUUUUGGGAGUUUUAGCUAGGAGUCAUUUAUUGAAGAUGUCUAGCAAUUAAAGAUCUCUGUCUCAUUAGUUUUCCCAAUCAAAAUCAAGAAGCAAAAAAACUUGCCAUUUUUCUACUUAAUAAUUAAUGAUAAUUUAAGAAAAUACAAUAGCAUUUCAAUUAGAAUUGGUAAUUGUUUAUCUUUUUUCAUUGAUCAAAUUCUAAUCUUGAUCCAAUAGUUAUGGAUGAAAGAAAUAUUAUGAGAGGCGAUAGGCCAAGUGAAGACGUACCAGCAAAUUCAAAAUAGUCGGGGGUGGACGCCCAGUAUACCUCCUUCUCUCUGUAGCACCCAGCUGUAUUGUUAUUUGCUCCAAGAAAUGUUGAGUUCCACAAAUAUGGUUAGUGGAGUAAAAUAAAACACCAUUGAAGAAUUUGCAAGUAAUAUGCCAAGAAACUGGCUAAGUUCCACAAAUAUGACAUUAUUGCUCUUCUUUUUUUCAGAAAAAUGAUACACGUUAAUUUAGCAAAAAGUCUAAGACGCGAGCCUUUUGAAAAAAAUAGGUAUCCAACGUUUAUUUUAGUUACUACCAUGACAUAAUCGAUGCUGCUUAAACCAAUUUUUUCUUUUCUUAAUGUAAAGAUUUUUUUAAAAUAGAUUUUAAUAUCAAAAUGCCCUUCGAUGUUAUUACUGCCACAAGCCCAGUAACAGGUGUAAUUAAAAAAUUUAGAAUUUUUGGGCAUGGAAAGAGUAGUAUUAAACAUCAGCAAGCAAAGGCUGUUCUGUUAAAGAAUUGAUAUUACCAUGAUUUUAUUUUGGUUAUCGAGAAAAAAAAUAUUUGUUGACAAGUAAGAAAAUAUUAUUAUAUUUUACAAUCUAUUAUGCAUAUUUUAUUAUAUUAAAGUAAUUUUAAUAUUAAAUAGAAACAUAAAAUUAGAAUAAAUAAAUUUAAAUUUAAAUUAUUUUGAAUAUUAGGUAAAAAAUAAUGUUAAUAUCAUUGUUAAGUGUAAAAUAUUUUUAACCCAAAGAUUUAUUUAAAAUUUCAUAACAAAUACAAAUAUAAAAAUAAAAUAAAUAUCAUAGUUUAAAAUUUUAAAAUUAUUUUAAAUAUUAAAAUACUUUAAUGCUAGUAGUCUACAUUAUUUAUAUUAUAUUUGCAUUAAUUAAAAAUUUUGAAGUCAACUUUCUAGUUACUAUAUUCAAAAGGUAUUAUGAUUAAAAAAAAUAUUUUGGUAUUUCUUUCUUAAAAUUUGAGGGUCUGCAUGACAAUUUUUUCAAAUCCUAAGGGCAUAAGUGUGCUUUUCUUUGAUAAUUUAUUUCACCUUUGAGGGAAUACAAUGAGAAAUAUGAUAAGAGAAACAUCAAUUUAAUGUUUUCUAGCUUUAUGAAAAAAAAAAGUGGAGCCAAGAACUAUUCAAUUUUGUAUUUUUUGUUUGUAAUUCAAAAAAUGCAUUCACCAAACAAGUUUUAUGCAUUUAUGUUGUCAUAAAACGAAAAAACGGUUUGCCAAAAAAUGGUACCAAAUAUUAAGCCCAUAUUAGAUAUAUUUAUACAUUUUACUUCAUUUAGGGCAUGUUUGGUAGCCUACAUUAUAUAGGAUAAAAGCAUUGUUUUGUAUUAAAUUAAUGAACACUCAUGUUUGGUGCUAAAAGUAACCCUAGCUACAUUGUUUUUAAUUUUCUUUAUAAUAAUAACAAUAAUAUAACUUUUUAAUUUAAUAUAAUAUUAUAUAAUUUUUAUUUUUAUUUUUUAUUUUUACAUUAUAAUUUAUUAGGUAAUUUAUAAUUUAAUAUAAUUAGUAAUAAUAUAAAAUAUCAUUACAUAUACUACAUAACUCUAAUUUGGAUUAUUUAGUACAAUUCAUUUAGAAUUUUUGGGCAUGGAAAAAGUAGUAUUAAACAUCAGCAAGCAAAGGUUGUUCUGUUAAAGAAUUGAUAUUAACGUGAUUUAUUUUGGUUAUCGAGAAAAAAAAUAUUUGCUGACAAGUAAGAAAAUAUUAUUAUAUUUUACAAUCUAUUAUACAUAUUUUGUUAUAUUAAAGUAAUUUUAAUAUUAAAUAGAUAAAUAAAAUUAAAAUAAAUUUAAAUUAUUUUGAAAUUAUGUAAAAAAUAAUUUUACUAUUUUGUUAAUUGUAAAUAUUUUUAACCGAAAGAUUUAUAAAAAAUUUAUAAUAAAUAAAAAUAUAAAAAUAAAAUAAAUAUCAUUGUUUAUAAUUUUAAUAUUAUUUUAAAUAUUAAAAUACUUUAAUGCUACUAGUCUACUACACGGGUUAUAUUAUUUAUAUUAUAUUUGCAUUAAUUAAAAAUUUUAAAGUCAACUUUCUAGUUACUACAUUCAAAAGGUAUUAUGGUUAAAAAAAAAAAGUUUUGGUGGUUUUUUUUGGAAAAUUUGAGAGUCUGCAUGACAAUUUUUCCAAAUCCUACGGGUAUAAGUGUCCUUUUCUUUGAUAAUUUAUUUAACCAUAGAUAUCAAUUUAGCGUUCUAUGACUUUAUGAAAAAAACGUGUGAAAGGAAUUUAGAUCUAUCGCAAAUAGAUGUUGGCAGUUAAAAAUAAAAAAUUAAAUUUUGUAAAUACUGUUUACCGUUACUAUUCGAGGUUACUGUUUACAAUUACUGUUCAUCCAAUAAAAAAUAUUAAUUUUCCAAAAACACAAUAAAUUGCAGAAAAUAAAUGACAGAGACUUUUACGUGGUUCGGAUUAAUCAAUCCUACAUCCACGAGGCCGCGCCCAAAUGAAAAGCAAUUCACUAAGUUGAGAUGUUACAACCUAUGGAUUUACCAAACUUAAGACGCUCACUUAAAGUUUAUCAUCAUUCAGUUUACUCAACCUUAAAUUGAAUCAGCUUCUCUUGAAUAAUUGCUACCCCUCUUGAUCUACGAUCCUCAAGGCACUUCGCAAAGUGAUCAAUAUCAAUUCUUCAAUUCUUCAAUGUCUAGUGAUCCAAGAUCCACAUAGACUCUCCACAGAGAUGAAAAUAAGAUAAAUAAAUAAAUCAACACAACAUUAUGCGCCAAAUCCGGAUUCUCUAGGGAGGAGGCCGAAUUUUGCUUCUUUGUUAUAUGCUCUGUGUUGUGCGUGCCUUCAAUUGUGAAAUACCUCUUUUUAUAUAGGCAUUAGGAUUUCACCAAAAUAACAAGUCUUAAAAGAUUUCAAUUCUUUCCAAAUAAGAGUUUCUUUCAUCUUAUAAUUCCCAUGAAUCUGAAUAGGAAUAAAUAUGAUCUUCUUGCCUUGCUUGUCUUCUAAGAAAUAUCUAGAACAUUUAAUGAACUUCAUGUUUGAACUAACUUCUUGCUCUAAAUAGAUCUCAUGCGCCAAUUAUAGAAUCUCAUCAUUAAUUGACUUUCUAAAUUAGAUAUCUAAUUAAAUUAGGAAACAAAUUUUCAUAAUAAAUUGAAAUCUCAGUAAAUUAUGGAAUUAAUAAAUCAAUCCCUAUUACAAGAUAUGCAAUAAAUAAAAUUUCAAUUUAAGUAGAUUUGCCAUAAGAUGCCAACUUUAUAAAUAAUGGACUUAACAAUCUCCCCCUUUGACAUUCUUGUGGCAAAAGCAAUCCAGCACAAGUCUUCUAUGAACCUUGGCGCUAAGAUAAGAAUCUGAAACAAGCAUAAUCAACAACAAGGAACUAACCAAAAUAAUUGACAAUUAACAUGUUAGUUCAUGUAAAUAAACCAAGGCAAGAAUUAAAAUAAAAUGCUACUUUUAUUGAUCAAUAAAUAGAAAGGCAACAUUAAGCAGAAAAUGAAAAGCAAUAAAAAGAUAAACUCCCCCUAAGAACUAGAAAUCCGAAAAUCAAAAAAUUCUUGAACAAAAAUAAAAAACUUCCCCUAGAAUUGAAAAUACUACUCCCCCUUACUCAUUGCAUUGAGCAAUUGAAUACUUGAAACGAAUUAUUCCCCCUCUUUUACCAAAAGAUUACAAAAGGGAAGAAUCUGGAGCACCCACAAACAUAAAUUUCGUAUAAGAGGAAUAAAUAAACAUAAACCAACGUUCCAAUAUAAAAAAAAAACAUAAACCAACGUAAAAAAGUCAGAAACAUAAAGGAAAUUUCCAAAAACAAGGUGCUAUGCAUGAUAUUUGACAAAACAGACACACAAUGCAGAGCAGUGAACUUUGAAAUUAAACUGGGAAUGAAUGAAAGAGAAUAAGAAUACUAUCUACAUACUUUUGGAAAAAUUAUUGAAUCAGCUCUUCAUAGGAGUUUACAGAACUGAAUUUGGAGUUCUGUAGACAAAGUUAUGAUCAAAAGAAUGCAAUAUGAUCAAAAGAAUGCAACAUGCUCAGUUGUGAUGGGCAAAAACUUGCCAAUGCACUUAGAAAACAAAAUUUUGAGUUUUGCUGAAAAAUAUGUGACUCUUAAGACCUAAAAACAUAUUCUCAUGUAAGAACAUGAGAAUGCACAUGCAUCAUGAUUUUUUUUUUAAAUUUAAAAAGAAAUGCAUUAAUAAUGAAAUUGAACAAGAAAAAAUUGUGUAAGAAUUUUUCACAACAAGCAUUAAUUCAUGAAAUCAAGACUCUAAUUUGCUCAAAUAAGUAAAGAUUAGAGAAAUUUAAGCUUGUUUGUAUGUGUGCAAACAACUCAAUCUAAAGCUUUUUCCCAAAAAUUCAUCAAUUUUCAUAGUUAAAGUAUUAAAUACAAAACAUAGAGUUGGUCAAAUUAACCUUAUCAUCAUGAUCUCCAAUUUUUGACCAUUUCAAUUGUGACAAACUUUUUUUUUAAAAAAAUAGCAAAACUUUUUUUUUAAAUCUAUGGUCAGGAGCUUUCACUCUACCCCUUAAGGUAGCCUUCUUAUCAUGGUAGUUCGUCCUUUGUUAUAUUUGUGAUACGCAAACUCAGAUUACUCGAGGAUAGCUUCACUCUUAAGAGUUUUAGGUACUAUUUCUAACCAUAAUGUCUGUAAAUAUUUAAGAUCUUAUGACAAGAUAAGAAUUAAGGUAAACAGUCAUAACUCAAGUUAAAUAUUCUCAAUAAAUACUAUGUCAAUAUCAAAACCUUGAGUCAAAGUAAAGACUGAAUUGUCAUUCAUGUGCUUUUGAAGAAAAUAGUUAAAUAACUCUAAUCAAAACUUAGCCAAUGCUUUCAAGUCUUAAAAACAUGAAAAAUUACUUGUCAUUUAUUAACCAAGACGAAUCAAUUUUUUUUUUUAAAGAACACAAAAACAAUUAUUUGAAAUUAAAAAUUUAUAAAUGCAUGUCCUAUAUUAAUGCACAGAUGUAUGAUUUAAAUCUAAUGCAAAAAACUUUUUGACUUACAUGGAACAACACCUAAAGCUUUCCUUAAAUCUUCAAAUCGUUUGGAGUCUAAAGCUUUCGUGAAAAAUCUACAAACUGUUUUUCUAUAUCAAUGUAUUCUAAGGACACGGUCUUGUUCACAACUAAAUCUCUAAUGAAGUGAUGAUGAAUAUCAAUAUGGUUAGUCCCAGAGUGUUGAACAAGAUUUUUAAAAAAAUUGACAGCACUCGUGUUAUCACAAAACACAGUCAAAAUAUCCUGAAUCAUAUCAUAAUCUGCAAGCAUUUAUUUCAUCCAUAGAAAUUGGGUGCAACAACUUCCAACUGCAAUAUAUUCAACUUUAGCCGUGGAAAGAGAAAUUGAAUUAUGUUUCUUACUAUGCCACGACACAAAGUUAUUUCCAAGAUAAAAACAUUCUCUAGUGGUGCUUUUUCUAUCAUUAGCAAUGCCAGCUCAAUCUGCAUCACAAUAUCCUACAAGACUUUAAUUAGUGUCAUUAGUGUACCAAAUACCAUCAUUAACUAUUCCACUGACAAAACGAAUGAUUCGUUGGACAGCAGCUAAGUGUGAUUCUUUUGGAUUUGCUUGGCACCUAGCACAUACACCAACACUGAAACAUAUGUCAAGUCUACUUGCAGUCAAAUAAAGUAAGCUACCAAUCAUACUUUUGUAAAGACUAGGAUCAACACUAGAACCACUAUCAUCAAUAGUCAACUUGGUAUUAGUACUCAUAGGGGUUCUCAUGUGUUUUGCAGAAUCUAAGCCAAACCUCUUAACUAAACUCUUGGCAUACUUACUUUGAUUAAUAAAAAUUCCAUUCCCCAUUUGUUUCACUUGCAAACCCAAAAAGUAAGUCAAUUCUCUCACCAUGCUCAUCUUAAAUUCCUUUUUCAUUUGACUCACGAAUUCUUGCACAUGAUCAGAAGAUGUAGAACCAAACACUAUAUCAUCAACAUAGAUUUGAAUAACUAAAUCUCUAGAUUAAGUUGCUUAAUAAAUAAUGUUCUAUCUACUCCCCCUCGCUUAUAAUCAUUUUCAAGCAAAAAUUUGGUCAACCUUUCAUACGAAGCUCGAGGAUCCUACUUUAAACCAUAUAAAGCAUUUUUCAAUUAAAAAAUAUGGUUUGGGAAAUGGGGGUCUUCAAAACCUUUAGAUUGUUCAACAUAGGCUUCUUCAUUUAAGAUGUCAUUCAAAAAGGCACUCUUGACAUCCAUUUGAAAUAAUUUAAAGUCUAUUAAAUAAGCAACUACAAAAAGCAAACGAAUAGUUUCGAGUCUAGCAACAAGUGCAAAGGUUUCAUCAAAGUCAACCUAUGUAUAUCUUACUAUAUUUGCAUACCUUUUCUUUAUGACCAUUUGUUCAUCAAGAUUACCUAAAAUAAGAUUAGAUGGGUGAUUUUUCUUAACUCUUGAUGAUGGUUCCUUUCUGAUUGGGUCCUGUAGGUCCAUGAUUUCUUGGAGUUUUGAAACUUUCUCCUUCACAUUCUAUGGUGUUUUCUUAAAGGCGUCUUCUUCCACCGGUUCUUCUUCUUUCAAAGAAUGUUCACUAGAUUGACCUUUCUCAAUAACUCGAACUUCAGGAGUAGCUCUAACAAUAUUUGGUGUUUUCUAAAAGACUGGUUAUCUCUUCCUCAAUUGAGUAAUCUACAAAAUCUUGAUAAUCAUCAAUAACUACAUUUGCAGAUUCAACAAUAUUUUGCGUUCUAAUAUUAUAAAUACGAAAUGCUUUACUAUUAUUGGAGUAACCAAGAAAAACACCUUCAUCACUUUUUGAAUCAAAUUUACUAAGAUGUUCGUGAUCAUUCAAUAUAAAGCAUAUACUCCAAAAAAAUAUGAAAGUAACCUAGAUUAGGUUUUUUACCUUUCCAUAACUCAUAAGGAAUUUUCUUUUUACCUGGACGAAGAUAAACACGAUUAAUGGUGUAGCAAGUAGUGUUAAGUGCUUCGGCCCAUAAUCUCUUUCAAAGUUUCUUCGAGUUUAACAUCACUAGUGCCAUUUCCCACUAGGUUCUAUUUUUCCUUUCUACAACACCAUUUUGUUCUGGAGCUGAUUAGUAUUAAAAAUUGUUUAAUUAUCAAGCUAUAAUAUGUUAUUUUAUGCUUAUGUUAUAAUUUAUAUUUGUGUUUAUGUAAUAUAUUAUGAAUUAUGAAUUAUGUUUUAAAUAUAUUUAAUUUUGUGUAUUUUUAUGUGUUUAUUAGGAAAAAUAUUAAUUUCACGUACUUCGAGGCUCCAAACAGAUAAAUGGAGGUCAAAUUUGGAUUCCGGAGGUCCGAAAACCUUAAGAUCAGUCAAGAUCGGCUUAAAAUUGGGUUUGCGUAAAAAAAGUUGAAUUUUCCUAUUGACCGAGCACUGAUUGGAUGAUGAAAUGAGCUUACAAUAGAUAUGAGUGCAUCGGAUAGCUGGCAAUUUUGACUAAAUCUCAACCAUUCAUGAUUCAAUGGCCAUGAUUGUGCCACGUGGCAAUGGUUGGUGAAGCAAGUUGUAGGAUCCAAAUCUUUGUAUUUGGGUCGACCCGAUCCACCCAUUAACCCGCCAACUCUCAACCGUUCUUUGGGCAAAUCGGACGAGUCAAACGAUGCCACGUGUGAUGUUGACUUUUGAAGUUUGACCAGCCAUUGGAUCUUGAUCUAAAGGUUGUGAGGAGCACAUGCAUGAAGUUUAUGAUGGACCGCAAAACACUGGAUUAUGAAUUUAUUUUUCUAUAAAUAGAGCCUCAUUUUUAUGUUUUUAAUCAUCUCUCUACAACUCUCUUCUUCUCAAAUUCUCUUCAUCUCCUUGUAAUCUUGAUUUCCAGGUGUGUUUUUAAUAUUUUGUAUAAUUAUUUUUAUAAAUAAAAUUAGUUUUAUUUCCAAUUUUAGUUAUUUUUAUUUCUUUUAAUUAUAAGUAAUUCAAUUUUACUACUUCUUUUUAUUUUAAUUAUGCUUAACUAAAUAAUAUUAGUUAGGGGAAGGUGAAACUCUUAGGAAAUAAAUAUGAUUUAAGCAAAUUUUAUUUUUAAUUUUAUAAAUUAAAUUAUUUUCUAUUUAAUUUUAUACAUAUUUUAUAUUUUGAAAUUUUGAUUUAUUGUAGACAAACAAAUGAAUUUGGCACAAUAAAUUCUUAAUAUCUUAAUAUAAGGUAUGGUAAAAUGGUAUUUUAACUUAUUGUAGACAAAUUAAAUUUUGGCACAAUAAAUACUUAAUCCAUCAUAAAAUUAAAGGGAAAAUAAUAAUAAUUUAUAUAAUUAAUCUUUUGGGCAAUAAAUAUAAAAAAAAAGCAAAAAGAAUUUAUUAAGUUUUAUUUACUUCUAAGAGUGGAUCCAUAACCUAACUAGUUCAAUUUCAUAGUUUCAUUUAAAUUAAGUUGUUUAUAUUUAAGUUUUAAUUUCAAGUUUUAGUUAAAAUAAAGUAAACAAAUUAAAUCUUUUCUCUGUGGAUCGACCUCGGACUCACCGAAUUAUAAUACAACAAGACACUCUUAUACUUGGGAGUUAAAAAUUACUUUUAAGUUGUGUCAAGUUUUUGGCGCCGUUGCCAGGGAAAAAUUUUUUAUUUUGCUUUAUUUUUUGGUUUUUGAUUUUUCUCUUUAUGUAAAUUUUUGUUUGCCCCCUUUUCUUUUUCUUAAAUUCUGUUUUGUCCCCAUAUCUUUCAUAAUUCUCAUUUCACCCCAACAAUUCCUGUUUCUAGCCCAAUCUUUUGGUAAUUGCAUUCUGACCCCAACAUCUUUCAGUCGUUUCACUUUCAUCCCAAAUUGCUCAAUUCUAAACUUCAAAAAAUUACAGUUUGACCAUAAAAUUAAAAAUAAUUUGCAAUAAAAUCCCUUGACGAAAUUCCUCAAAAUAAUCAAGACUUGGACAUACUUUGGACAUACUUUGGACAUAUUUGGACUUAUUUUGGACUAUAUUUUGACCAAACUAACUUUAACUACUAACUCUAAUAACUAACUAUUAACUUACUAACUGCUAACUCCUAACUUUUUUUUUUAAUUUCAGUUAUUUAAUUUUCUGCAUUUAUUUUAUUUCGUAUUUAUUUAUUUAUUUUUGCUUUAUUGGUGGGUUUAACCACCAAACUAACUACUAACUCUUAAUUUUUAUUUUUAGUUAUUUAAUUUUCAGUAUUUAUUUAAUUUUGUAUUUAUUUGCUUUAUUUUUUUUAAUUGGUGGGUUCAACCACCAUUUUUUUUAUUUUGCAUUUAUUUAUUUAUUUAUUUUUACUUUAUUGGUGGGUUCAACCACCAUUUUUCUUUCUUUUUCUUUCUUUUGCAUUUAUUUUAUACUUAAUUUAUUGUUAAUUGGUGGGUUCAACCACCAAAAUUGUUAUUUAAUUUUCUUUUGUACACUUAUAUUAUUUGCAUAUUUAUUUAUUUUAUUUUAUUUUGUUAUCAAUUGUGUAAAUAUUAUCUUUAUAACAUAACCAUUGCAUGAGACGUUGGUCUCGAUCUUCAAGUGGCAGGUUAAUUCGUAGAUCUCAAUCUCCACCACCAAUCAUGGAUGAGAAUCAAGGCGAAAACAUUUUGGGCGAACUUAAUCCUCAAAUUAAUCAGGGAGAAAACCAAUCUCAACAUGGGCAUGAUCAGAAUCAACCAAGAACUCUGAGAGACUACAUGAAUCCAACCAGAACCGGAGCACCAUCGUGUAUAAUAUUUCCUCCAAAAGCAUCUCAAUUCAACUUUAAACCAGGUAUUAUCCAACUUUUACCAACAUUUCAUGGUUUAGAAUCUGAGAAUCCGUAUUUGCAUCUAAGAGAUUUUGAGGAAGUUUGUAAUACAUACACGGACCAAAAUUGUAGCAUGAACAUAAUUAGUUUAAAGCUUUUUCCUUUUUCAUGAAAAGAUAAAGCUAAAACUUGGCUACAAAACCUUAGAUCUGAAUCAGUAAGAACUUGGAAUAACAUGCAAGAACAGUUUUUGAAAAAAUUCUUUCCACCUCAUAGAACAAAUUCUUUUAAAAGGCAAAUCACUUCUUUCACUCAAAAAAAAGGAGAAACAUUAUACCCAUGUUGGGAUAGGUUUAAAGAGUUGCUUAACAUAUGCCCACAUCAUGGUUUUGAAACUUGGCGAUUGGUCACUUACUUCUACGAGGGCUUAAUACCCCAAAGUAGACAGGUUGUUGAAAUGAUGUGUAAUAGUGAAUUUAGGGAUAAAAAUCAUGAAGAUGCACUAGAUUACCUUGACCAAUUACCUGAAAAUGCACAACAUUGGGAUACUGUUGGAACUUUUGAAUUGAAAAAUAAGCAACAAUCAUCUGGAGGAAUCCAUAACCUUAGGGAAGAUCAUGAUUUACAAGCAAAAUUUGCAUCCCUAGUUAGGAAAGUUGAAGCUUUGGGGCAUAAAAAGAGUGAUCAAGUAAAAUCUGUUCAAGAAAUUGCAUGUAACAUAUGUAAUUCGAAUGAUCAUAUCACUCAAGAGUGUCCCACUUUGCUUGCACUUAAAGAAUGUCUAAAUGAUCAAUCUAAUGUCAUUAACACUUUCAAUAAACCAAACCCAUAUUCACAGACUUAUAAUCCUGGUUGGAGAAAUCAUCCGAAUUUUAGUUGGAGGAAUAAUAAUAAUGCACAAUCUUCACAAGCACCACCUCCACAAAAUUUUCAAAAUCCUCAGCCUUAUGCACCAUAUGUUCCACCACCCUGGAAAAAUCUGGAAGACACAAUGCAUUCAUUCAUCAAAAAGCAAGAUGUUAUUAACAAUCAAAAUGCACAAACUUUUUUCUGAUUUGAAAGAUACUCUUGCUAAAAUUGCUUCUGCACUCACCAUUCAAGACAAAGGAAAAUUUCCAGCCCAACCACAACCAAAUCUUAAAAUUCAACAAAUCCACCCACAGACCAAGUCAAGUCAAUUAUAACUCUUCGUAGUGGUAAGGUUGUUGAUAGACAUAUGCCUGAACCUUAUGAAAAUGAUGAAAAUUCAAAGGGUAAGGAAGGACUAAAUGAACUUACACCUAGUGAAGAAAUAACUAGUGUUCCACCUGAACCACCAUUUCUGCAUGCAUUGAAUAAACCAAGGAAAUCAAACCACUCUUCUGAAAUUUAUGAAAUCUUUAAGCAAGUGAAAGUUAACAUUCCUCUAUUAGAUGCAAUCAAGCAGGUACCUUCAUAUGCCAAAUUUUUAAAGGACUUGUGCACUGUUAAGAGGAAAUUGAAGGUAAGAAAGAGUUCUUUCAUGGCCGAACAGGUAAGUACAAUUCUGUCUACUAAUAAUAAGUUGAAAUAUAAAGAUCCUGGUUGUCCUACCAUUUCUUGUAUUAUUGGUAACCACAGAAUUGAGCAUGCUUUACUAGAUCUUGGUGCUAGUGUUAAUUUGUUUCCAUAUUCAGUUUAUCUUCAACUUAAUCUUGGUGAGUUAAAAUCAACUUCAACUACAAUUUUGCUUGCCGAUAGAUCAGUUAAAGUACCAAAAGGAAUAGUGGAAGAUGUUUUAGUACAAGUUGAUAAAUUCAUCCAUCCUGUAGAUUUUAUUAUCUUGGAAACUGAACCUGUUGUGAAUAAUUAGAAACCAAUUCCUGUAAUUUUAGGUCGACCAUUUUUAGCAACUGCUAAUGCUUUGAUUAAUUGUAGGAAUGGUUUAAUGCAUUUAUCUUUUGGGAAUAUGACUUUGGAAUUGAAUGUUUUCAACAUGUGCAGGCAACCUAAUGAAGAAAAUGAGAAUGAAGAUGAUACUAAUGAACAAAAAGAAUUGCUUGAAUCUUGUAUUGAGGAAAAUAUUCAAAAAGGGGAUUUUUCUGAACUCUCAAAUGUUUGUUUAGUUAAUUCAAUUAAGUCAAAUAAGCAACUUGAACUAAAUAUUUCUAAUAUAAAUUCGUUGCUUGAUUCUGUACAGACUUCACAAAAUUAUGAUGACGAGCCAAAAUUUGAGGAGCUUGAAAGUAUUGAAAAGACAGAACAACAAGAAGCACCUAAAAUGGAAUUAAAACCUUUGCCUGAAGGAUUGAAAUAUGCUUUUCUUGGAGAAGAACAAACUUUUCCUGUUGUGAUUUCUUCUAUUUUAACAAGCGACCAAGAAGGUAAGUUACUAACUGUUCUUAAAAAGUAUAAAAAUGCAAUUGGAUGGACUUUAAAUCAUAUUAAAGGCAUUAAUCCCUUAAUCUGCACACAUAGAAUUAAUUUGGAAGAAAAUGCUAAAACAUGUCAACAACCUCAAAGAAGAUUAAACUCACACAUGAAAGAGAUAGUCAAAACAGAAGUCCUUAAAUUGCUUGAUGUGGGAAUUAUCUACCCUAUUUCUGAUAGUAAGUGGGUAAGUCCUACACAAGUAGUGUCUAAAAAAUCUGGAAUCACUGUUGUUAAAAAUGAAAAAGGUGAAUUAAUUCCAACACGAAUUACAUCUAGUUGGCGCAUGUGCAUUGAUUAUAGAAAAUUAAAUGAAGCCACUAGAAAAGAUCAUUUUCCAUUACCAUUCCUUGACCAAAUCUUAGAAAGAGUAGCAGGACAUCCCUACUACUGUUUUUUUAGAUGGAUAUUCGGGCUAUUAUCAAAUUCCUAUAGCACUUGAGGACCAAGAAAAGACCACAUUUUCAUGUCCUUUUUGGAACAUUUGCAUUUAAAAGAAUGCCAUUCGGGCUUUACAAUGCUCCUGCAACAUUUCAAAGAUGUAUGUUAAGCAUUUUUUGUGAUAUUGUUGAACAUUGUUUAGAGGUCUUUAUGGAUGAUUUGACUGUGUUUGGGAAUUCUUUUGAUGAUUGCCUUGAUAAUUUGGAGAAAGUUUUAAAAAGAUGUGUUGAAAAAGAACUCGUGUUGAAUUGGGAAAAAUGUCACUACAUGGUUACUUCUGGAAUUGUUUUGGGUCAUGUUGUUUCUAUUAAAGGAAUUGAAGUUGACAAAGAAAAAAUCGAAGUCAUAUCUAAAUUGCCACAACCAAAAACAGUUAGAGAUGUGCGAUCCUUUUUAGGACAUGCAGGAUUUUAUAGGAGGUUUAUAAAAAACUUUAGUGCCAUAUCUAAACCACUUUGUAACCUCUUAUUAAAAGAUGCACCGUUUGAAUGGAAUGAUGAUUGCCAAAAAUCUUUUGAAAAAAUAAUUUGUCUUUUAACAUCUACACCUAUUAUGCAAUCUCCUGAUUGGUCUUUGCCAUUUGAAUUGUGUGAUGCAAGUGAUUUUGCUGUUGGUGCUGUUUUAGGACAAUGAAGGGAUGAUAAGCCUUUUGUGAUUUAUUAUGCGAGUAAGACUUUGGAUAGUGCUCAAAUGAAUUAUUCUACAACUGAAAAAGAAUUACUUGAUGUGGUAUUUGCAUUAAACAAAUUCCGUUCAUAUUUGCUUGGCUCUAAAUCUGUUGUGUUUACUGACCACGCUGCUGUGAGAUAUUUGAUGAGUAAACAGGAUGCCAAACCGAGACUAAUUCGUUGGAUUUUGUUACUACAAGAAUUUGACCUUACCAUCAAAGAUAAAAAGGGUGCUAAAAUGUUGCUGAUCAUUUAUCAAGACUCACAUCCGAAUUCUGCAAUGAUAUAACACCCAUAAACGAUUCUUUCCCUGAUGAAUUUUUAUUUUCUGUUACUUCAAUGCCAUGGUAUGCUAAUAUUGUUAAUUUUCUUGUUACAAGUAAAAUGUCUUUGCAAUGGAAUGCUCAAGAAAAGAAGAAAUUUUUUGUUGAAGUAAAGAAAUUUUAUUGGGAUGACCCUUAUUUGUUCAAAUAUUGCCCAGAUCAAAUUUUUCGGCGAUGUAUUCCUGAUAAUGAGGUAAGUAGUGUCAUUAAUUUUUGUCAUUCUGAAGCAUGUGGUCACUUUUCUUCAAGAAAAACUACUGCUAAAAUUUUGCAAUGUGGAUUUUAUUGGCCUACCAUGUUUAAAGACACAUAUGAAUUCUGCAAAAGUUGUGAAAAAUGUCAAAAAUUGGGAUCAAUUACAAAGAGAAACAUGAUGCCCUUAAAUCCCAUACUUGAAAUUGAAAUAUUUGACUGUUGGGGAAUUGAUUUCAUGGGUCCAUUUCCAUCAUCUUUUGGAUUUGUGUAUAUAUUAAUUGCAGUUGAUUAUGUCUCAAAAUGGAUUGAAGCAAUUUCUUGUCGAAAUAAUGAUAGUAAAACUGUGAUUAAAUUUUUAAGAGAAAACAUUUUAAGUCGAUUUGGAAUCCCUCGAGCCAUUAUCAGUGAUGGAGGUAAGCAUUUUUGUAAUAAGUUAUUUGAGUCUUUAAUGAAGAAAUAUGGAAUUACACAUAAAAUUGCUACCCCUUAUCAUCCUCAAACAAAUGGUCAAGUUGAAUUAGCAAAUAGGGAGAUAAAACAAAUUUUGGAAAAAACGGUUAACCCAAACCGAAAAGAUUGGUUUCUUAGACUUAAUGAUGCACUUUGGGCUUACUGUACUGCAUUUAAAACAUCAUUAGGAAUGUCACCCUAUCGGUUAGUUUAUGGUAAACCUUGUCAUUUACCUGUUGAACUUGAACAUAAAUCACUUUGGGCUAUUAAAGCUUUUAAUUUAAAUUUAGAUGAUGCUGGUAAUGUGCGAAAAUUGCAAUUGAAUGAACUUGGGGAAUUAAGGAAUGAUGCAUAUGAAAAUUCAAGAAUUAUUAAGGCAAGAACAAAAGCAUUUCAUGAUAAAAGAAUUUUUCGAAAAACAUUUGAGAUUGGUCAAAAAGCGUUGCUUUAUAAUUCUCGUCUUCAUUUAUUUCCAGGGAAGUUAAAGUCAAAAUGGAGUGGCCCAUUUGUUGUCGAAAAUGUAUAUUCAUAUGGGGUCAUAGAAAUUGAGAAUCCAAAGAACGGUGUCACAUUUAAAGUUAAUGGUCAAAGAUUAAAACCAUAUCUGGAACAUCACCCAUGUGGCGAGGACACCGAAAUUAAUUUGGGUGACCCACCAGUUCUUGAUUAAGUCUUUAAUGAUUUUUUUUGUUUUACUAUUAUUUUACCGUUUCAUUGUUUGAUUUUUUUUAGAUUGAUACACUGUACAUAUUUUUUUUAACAUUAUUUUUCUUGUGUAAGCAUGUUUGUUUGACAGUUGUACAUUCUCUCAUCAAUUUUCAUUUUACAUCAUGAGCACCUCAAUGAGAAAAUUCCUGUUUGCACAUCUUAAAAGAUUUCUGCGUGUGAAAUUUCACUUAAGAGGCCUAAUACAAAGCUGUAAAUCACAUCCACUCUGGGAUCUGCAACCACCAGAAUUCGUGUCCUGUGUUGAGGAUCUAGAGGGACAACUCAGAACAGUAGAGAGUGCCAUAUAUGAAUUUCAAUUGGAGCUUGAGGUUAACUUAAUGAGAGGACAAAUGUAAGUUCAUUUUCCUUUUAUAUUGUGUGCUUCUUUUUGCUUGCUUUCACGCUUGAUUUGAUUUUGCAGAUUUGAUUUUGGUGUGUUUUGAUUUAUUUUCCCGUAUAAAUGGGGGAUAACGGUACUCUGUGACUUCUUAAGUCAGUAUCUUCAGUUUCCCACAAUAACUGAAACCCCAAAAUCAAACAUGGAAGAAAUACAACAUAAACUCCAUAAGCAUUUUCCCUUUCUCCUUCAGAAUGCCCUCAGGAAAAUUUACAAAGCUCGUUGUGAACGACUGCGUUUGUUAAUGAUCAAUGGCAUUCCUUCUAACAUUUGUUGGUUAAUUGAAGCAAAGGUCCGAUUAGCAAGUGAGUUUUCUAAUCCAUUUGUUUCUUACAUGCCUGGUUUGGGUAAAAGUACGUUUGCUAAGAAAAAGAGAGCUAAACGACUUGGCUCAAAAUGUCAUAACUGUGUAAGACUUGGUUGCAAACGACCAGAUUGUAAAUCUUUAGGAAUGGUUUCUGAUACUCGGGAAGAGAAAAUUAAAUUCGUUAAAGAUGGCAUGAGUAAAGAAUCGUUGGAUGAUAUCUUACGAUCCAUUGAGACGCAUCGAAGCGGAUUUGUGCAACGUGAGAUUUAUAAUUUGUGGAUACUAUUCCAAAAACAAAGUGCACAGUUUAGUCUUGAGAAUCUGACUCAAAAAGACUUUGUUUGUCAGUUUAUAAGAAAAUUGGAUGGGAAGCCGAUCCUCAACCCAUAGAGGGCGUUCAAGCCGUUACUAGAAGUAAAACCAAAGGAAGAUGUGAGCCACAAUCACAACUACCAGUAAAUAUCCUUUCACUUCACUGUUAUUUUACUUUACUGUUAUUUUAUCAUUUGCAUUAUUGCAUUUAGCGAUGUGAUUUUGUAUUUAAUAAAUAUUUAUUUUCUUUUACUGUUUUCUUUUUCUAAUCAUUAUUUUCUUUUUAUUGGUUGUUUUUGAAUUAUUGAGCCACGAGCUUUACUCGUCAUUUGACAAAUAUGCCAACCCAUUUACAGCUGUUUCUCAUUAUUUAUGUCACCAAGAUCUUUAAAUAUGAGCUCGUUUUUCAAACACUCACAACUUGUUUUUGAAAAAUUAGUCCAAUGGCAGCAUCUUCGAGUAAACAAUUCAAAAACAUUUGUGUGCUUUCUGGGUUUCACUAUGGAAAGUACAAAAAGUUCGUUCAGGCAGCUGUAGAUCUUGGUCGUGUUAUAGCAGAGAGGAAACUGCAUCUUGUAUAUGGAGGAGGUGAACGAGGGUUAUCAAGACUUGUCUCAGAAGCCGUUUUUACUAGAGGAAGCCAAGUACUAGGCAUUAUUCCAAAAGCCAUGAAACCGCUAGUGUGCAUGUCUGGCCCACCAAUUGGAGAAGAAUUAGUGGUAUCAAGUAUGCAAGAGAGAAUAUAUGAAAUGAUGAAUCAUGUUGAUGCUUUUAUUUUCUUGCUAGGAGAUCUUGCAACUUUUGAGGCACUAAUUACAUUUGCAUCUUGGGCCCACUUCAACAUUCAUCAAAAACCCAUCGGUUUGUUAAAUGUUAAUAAUUUUUAUGACGGCUUGCUAACGUUUAUUAACCAUGCAAUAAAGAAUCAUUUUGUUCCAUAUUCUGUAAAAAAAAAACUCUUUAUCUUUGCUUCUACUGCUAAUAAGUUACUUGAUCUUUUACAAGCUUAUACACUAGAGCCAGAUCCAAAGACUUUUGCACUGAAUUGGUCGACUGAUGAUGGUAGCGGUAACAGUAGCAGUAAUAAGAAGUGCGAUUUAGAUUUAACUCUCCCUCUGUAAAUAUUUUCUGUUGUAGUGUUCAUGUGCUGUCUUCUAAACUCUUUCUCUUUCCUUUUAAAACAUUGAGGACAAUGUCUUUUUCAGGUUGGGGGGAGGAAUAGUUGAUAAUUGUGGAAUGUCUUAGUCCUGGUGAUGUGUUUACAAAAAAAAUAAAAAUAAAAAUAAAAAAAAAAAACAAAAAUUUUUUUUUCUGUAAAGACUAACUUAGGACAAAUUUGAGUCGAAGAUGGCAGGAUAUAGAGAAUGUAGUACCUCUAGAAAUACAUCUUCUUAAUCUUAAGGGUGUUGUUAAAAAAAAAAUUUCGACUUUUUCUUCAUCUUUGUUAUCCACUUUUAAGCUUCUGCAUCAAGUUCAGGUGAGAUCUCCUCUUCUUCUUCUUUUAUUAUUCUCUUUUAUUUUUAUUUUUUUGCAUAUUUGUAAAAUUAUAAAAUGUUAAGAUAAUGUUUAGAUUAGGUUGUGGGGUUGGGAUAAUUGACGUAUGUUUUUAAAUAGGUGUGUUGUUUUUCUCUUUUCUCUUUUCUUUUCUUUGUUAAAAAAAACAUUUUUGUUUUUGUCUAGGAUGGUCGUGUAAAGAGUCACGACUUUUGAGACGCAUCCUAAUAGUCUUGUUGUAUUAUAUUUUGAUUUUUAGAUUCAUAGUAAGUUGUUUUUGUUCCAUUUUCUUUGAAUUACUCAAAUUUGUGAACUCUCCACUUGGUUAUUAAGUUAUUUAAUUGUUUACUCAUUUAACAGAUAUUAUUGAAUCAUUCUUCACACACAUAUUAUGACACAUACUAGUGGGUUGUAAGUUAAAAUUUUACAACAUUUAGUUCUUUUGAUUUAUUAGGAAUAGUAUCUAAGGUAGUAGAAAGUGUAUAUUACAAAAAAAAAAGUAAAAAAAAAAAGAAAAAAAAUAAAAAAAGAAAAAAAAUGUUUUGAAUUUUGUUAUAUCUAGAAACCCGAGUAAUUAAGUCCGUAGGGGUGUUUCAACACUUAGUGCCCUAAGGUCAACUGGUCUGGGAGUCACUGGCCUAAAGCUCGCUACAUGGGUAAUAGAUAUAUUGUUUGUUUAUUAGAAACCCGAGUAAUUAAGUCUGUAGGGGUGCUUCAACACCUAGUGCCCUAAGGCCAACUGGUCUGGGAGUCACUGAUCUAAAGCUCGCUACACAAGUUAGAAAUGCAAUAUUUUAAAAAUAUGUGUGAAUAAUCUAUUGUCUAAAGAUAUAAUUUCUAAUGAAUUUUGGAACAAAAAUGUUGUUUUUCUUUUAAUGAAGUCCCAUAAGUAUUGUGUUAAUUACUUGAGCACAAAAGAAGGUUUAAUGAUAUUCUAGAUAAUGAGUGAACAUCAAUGUGGUAAAGGAAUUUGGGAGAGUUCAUUUAUUUGGUAAUUUAAAGGAUAGAUGAACAACUAUUAACUUGCAUGUGAAUUUUAUAAAUCUUAAUUUAAUAUAACGCUAUAAUUGCUAGAGGGCUAGCAAUAAGCUGGUUGUGGGGUGUGAUUAGUAUUAAAAAUUGUUUAAUUAUCAAGCGAUAAUAUGUUAUUUUAUGCUUAUGUUAUAAUUUAUAUUUGUGUUUAUGUAAUAUAUUAUGAAUUAUGAAUUAUGUUUUAAAUAUAUUUAAUUUUGUGUAUUUUUAUGUGUUUAUUAGGAAAAAUAUUAAUUUCACGUACUUCGAGGCUCCAAACAGAUAAAUGGAGGUCAAAUUUGGAUUCCGGAGGUCCGAAAACCUUAAGAUCAGUCAAGAUCGGCUUAAAAUUGGGUUUGCGUAAAAAAAGUUGAAUUUUCCUAUUGACCGAGCACUGAUUGGAUGAUGAAAUGAGCUUACAAUAGAUAUGAGUGCAUCGGAUAGCUGGCAAUUUUGACUAAAUCUCAACCAUUCAUGAUUCAAUGGCCAUGAUUGUGCCACGUGGCAAUGGUUGGUGAAGCAAGUUGUAGGAUCCAAAUCUUUGUAUUUGGGUCGACCCGAUCCACCCAUUAACCCGCCAACUCUCAACCGUUCUUUGGGCAAAUCGGACGAGUCAAACGAUGCCACGUGUGAUGUUGACUUUUGAAGUUUGACCAGCCAUUGGAUCUUGAUCUAAAGGUUGUGAGGAGCACAUGCAUGAAGCUUAUGAUGGACCGCAAAGCACUGGAUUAUGAAUUUAUUUUUCUAUAAAUAGAGCCUCAUUUUUAUGUUUUUAAUCAUCUCUCUACAACUCUCUUCUUCUCAAAUUCUCUCCAUCUCCUUGUAAUCUUGAUUUCCAGGUGUGUUUUUAAUAUUUUGUAAAUUAUUUUUAUAAAUAAAAUUAGUUUUAUUUCCAAUUUUAGUUGUUUUUAUUUCUUUUAAUUAUAGGUAAUUCAAUUUUACUACUUCUUUUUAUUUUAAUUAUGCUUAACUAAAUAAUAUUAGUUAGGGGAAGGUGAAACUCUUAGGAAAUAAAUAUGAUUUAAGCAAAUUCUAUUUUUAAUUUUAUAAAUUAAAUUAUUUUCUAUUUAAUUUUAUACACAUUUUAUAUUUUGAAAUUUUGAUUUAUUGUAGACAAACAAAUGAAUUUGGCACAAUAAAUUCUUAAUAUCUUAAUAUAAGGUAUGGUAAAAUGGUAUUUUGACUUAUUGUAGACAAAUUAAAUUUUGGCACAAUAAAUACUUAAUCCAUCAUAAAAUUAAAGGAAAAUAAUAAUAAUUUAUAUAAUUAAUCUUUUGGGCAGUAAAUCUAUAAAAAAAAGCAAAAAGAAUUUAUUAAGUUUUAUUUACUUCUAAGAGUGGAUCCAUAACCCUAACUAGUUCAAUUUCAUAGUUUCAUUUAAAUUAAGUUGUUUAUAUUUAAGUUUUAAUUUCAAUUUUUAGUUAAAAUAAAGUAAACAAAUUAAAUCUUUUAUCUGUGGAUCGACCUCGGACUCACCGAGUUAUAAUACAACAAGACACUCUUAUACUUGGGAGUUAAAAAUUACUUUUAAGUUGUGUCAGGAGCAAUUGGUGAGGAAAACUCAUGUGAAAUUUCAUGUAAAUUACAAUACUCUUCAAAACUGGAGUUUUCAAAUUCUCUUCCAUGAUCACUCUUAAUUCUUACAAUAUUGCAAUUUUGUUCAUUUUUAACCUUCUCACAUAGUUUUCUGAAUACAUAAUGUAUCUGAUUUUUUUUAAUAAAAUCAACCAACGUAUACCAAAGAAAUCGCGGUUACUUUUCAUGAUUACUAUUCAUCCGCAUAAAAAAUAUUAAUUUUCCAAAAACACAAUAAAAUUGCAAAAAAUAAAAGGCAUGAAUAUUUUUACGUGGUUCGGAUUAAUCAAUCUUACAUCCACGAGGCCAUGCCCAGAUGAAAAACAAUUCACUGAGUUGAGAUGUUACAACCUAUGGACUUACCAAACUUAAGAUUCUCAUUUACAGUUUAUCACCAUACAAUUUAUUCAACCUUUAAUUGAAUCUGUUUCUCUUGAAUAAUUGUUAGCCCUCUUGAUCCACGAUCCUCAAGGCACUUCACAAAGUGAUCAAUAGCAAUUCUUCAAUUCUUCAAUGUCUAAUGAUCCAAUAUCCACAGACUCUCCACAGAGAUGAAAAUAAGAUAGAUAAAUAAAUCAACACAACAUUAUGCACCAAAUCCGGAUUCUCUAGGGAGGAGGUCGAAUUUUGCUUCUCUGCUUUAUGCUCUGUGUUGUGUGUGCCUUUAAUUAUGAAAUACCUCUCUUUAUAUAGGCACUAAGGUUUCACCAAAAUAGCAAGUUUUAAAAGACUUGGAUUCUUUCAAAAUAAGAGUUUGUUUCCUCUUAUAAUUCCAAUGAAUAGGAAUAGGAAUAAACCUGAUCUUUUUGCCUUAGUUGUCUCUCUAGAAAUAUCUAGAGUAUUUAAUGAACUUCCUGUUUGAACUAACUUCUUGCUCUAAAUAGAUCUCAUGCGGCAAUUGUAGAAUCCCAUCAUUGAUUGACUUUCUAAAUUAGACAUCUAAUUAAAUUAGGAAACAAAUAUUCCUAAUAAAUUAGAAUCUCACUAAAUUAGGGAAUUAAUAAAUUAAUCCCUAUUACAAGAUAUGCAAUGAAUAAAAUUCCAAUUUAACUAGACUUGUCAUAAGAUGGCAACUCUAUAAAUAAUGGACUUAAUAAAGUGGAACCAAGAACUUCAAAAAAUGCAUCCACCAAACAAGUUUUAUGCAUUUAUGUUGUCAUAAAAUCAAAAAACCGUUUGCCAAAAAAUGGUGCCAAACAUCCCCUUAAUGUCCUACAUGAUUUCUAAUUAAGCCUAUAUUAGAUAUAUUUAUACAUUUUACUGAAUUUAGGGCAUGUUUGGUAGCCCACAUUAUAUAGGAUAAAAACACUAUUUUGUAUUAAAUUAAUGCACACUCACGUUUAGCGCUAAAAGUAACUCGAGUCGCAUUGUAUUAAUGGGCUGCACUAAUGUUGCCUCUUUUUUCUUUUUAAUUUUCUUUAUAAUAAUAAUAAUAAUAAUAAUAAUAAUAAUAAUAAUAAUAAUAAUAAUAAGAUAGUUUUUUAUUUAAUAUAAUAUUAUAUAAUAUUAAGUUUAAUUUUUUAUUUUUACAUUAUAAUCUAUUAGUAAAUUGAUAAUUUAAUACAAUUAAUAAUAAUAUAAAAUAUCAUUACAUAUACUACAGAACUUGUAUUUGGAUUAUUUAGCACAAUUCAUUUUGUUAGUGAAUAUGUUAUAACAAUUGUAUCACUUUAUUAUUUUGUUAUAAUCUUAUGGUAUGUAUAAAUUUUUAUUCUAUUAUCCUAAGAUGACUUUUGAACUAAUCUUGUAAGUUUUAAAUAUUUAUUUAUGUUGUUAUAUUAUUAGAGAUUAUUUAAUUAAAUUAUUUGCUUCAAUAUUUAUUUCACAUGUCAUAUAUUUAGAAAAUAUUGAAAAAUGAAUGUUAUACAUCUCAAAAUUUAGGACUAUAAGUUCGAUCUUUAUGAAGAAUUAUGAUAUUUUUUAAUAUUUACACUAAAAAAAUUGUUAAAUUUCUAAAAUUUAAGACUUCUAUAUUUAGUAUUUUUCUUAUUACUUAUAAGUAUUAUUUUCUAAACAUAUAAUUUUAAUUAAUCAUACAAAAUUAAUACAAUAUAGUGCAACACCAAAUAUAUUAUAAUUAAAAAUUAAUACAGUACAGUGUAGCACCAAACAUUGUACAGUAUUAUUAUAAUAUAGUAUUAAUGCAAUACAAUAUAGUGUGCCAAACGCACCCUUAGGGUGUGUUUGGAACAUGGGAUUAUAGGGUAUUAAAAUAGUAGUCACAUUAGCUUAAUACCAAUACCGUGUUUGGAAAGAAAUUUUAAGGGAUUAAAGGGGGUGAGCUAAUGCCGAAAUUGUGCAUUAGUGUCUUGUUUUUUUUUAAAUAAUAAUAAAAAAUAUAACUUUUUAAUUUUAUGUAAUAUUUUAUAAUAUUAAUUUUUAUUUUCUUUUAUGUUUACAUUAUAAUUAUUAAUAUAAGUUAAUAAAUUUAUAAUUUAUUAUUCAUAUUUUAAUUUUUAUUAUAUUAAAAAUAUAACUAAAUAAUUUAAUUUUUAAUUAUAUAAUAAUUAAUGUAUAAAAUUGAUUAAUAUUUAAUAAGUUAAUACAACUAAUAAUAAGUACUUAAAUAAUAUAUAAAAAUAAAAAUAUAACAUGAUAUUAUAUUAUUUAGUUAUAUUACAGUAACUAAUAUAUAAAAAUUGAUUAUUAUUUAACAAUUUAAUAUAACUAGUAACAAAUAUUUAUAUAUGAAUAAAUUUAAAUAAUAUUAAUUUAAAAUUAAUACCAAUAUAUAUAAUAAUAUAAAAUAUUAUUACAUGUACUAUAGUAUUCUUACUUGGAUUAUUUAGAGCAAUUUAUUUUAUUAGUGAAUAUGUUACAGCUAUUGUAUCAUUUUAUUAUUUAAAUUAAUAAAAAAUUAGUACAGGACAAUAUAGCACCAAAUUUUAUACAAUAAUAUUAGAAUACAGUGCUAAUGCAAUACAACAUAAUACAAUACAUCUACAUUAAAAUAAUACAAUACAACAUAAUUCAACCAAACGCAUCCGGUGUAUUUUAAUUACAAAAGAAGUUGGUUCUCCCUUUUCUUAUUGUUAAGAGUAGUUAGUUAUAACUGCUGAUGUGUCAUAUGAGCUGGCAAUUGUUAGUUACAUUGGUUGUAGUGUGUUUGUAAUUAGUUAGUGCAUGUUUAGCUAAGCUCAGCUCAUGCGAAUUGAUUCGAGAAUAUUCAAGAGAUGAGUAUAAAUACUCUUGUAACUAAUGCAACAAUUAAUCUUAAGCUCUUCAUUCUUCUCUCAAAAUUCUCUUUUAUUUUCUCUGCUUUUCUCAGAUGCCAAACAAUUUUCUCAUAUUUUAACUCUUAUAAAAGAUGACUUUAUUUCAAGAUUACCAUUAAACUCUUAGGUAGAAUUAGUGUAAUGUUAAGAGAGAGUAACACAGUUUUCCAUUACCAUCUUUGAAAAUAGAAUGAUAUGGAUCUUUGUAUGUAAGAGUUAUCGUGAAAAUCAUACAAUUCAAUUUCCUGACGUAUAUAUUUAUGCACAUAUGCCAAAAGAAUAAAUAGAUAGAAAGUAAAUUUACAAUCCUCACUUCCUCACAAUUGUUAAAGUGAAGAUGCUUACAACUGCGAACUGUCACUACUUUAGCCUUUUUUUUUUUUUUGAUAUAGUGUGAGGGAGACAGUGACCAUCAAGGAUGAGAAUAAAAGUUAAAGGUGACCCAUUUUCUUUUUAAAGUGCUCUGUUGAAAGCGGAACUUCCUCUGGCUAAUUAAUUUGGAAGUAAAACAGAGAAUAAAGUCCUACAUGCCUUCUGAAAUUAGAAAUACAUUUUAUAUGCUUUAAUUAUGAUUAUUUGGUAGACUAUAGACCUAAAAGACAUGUUAAAGUUUAAAACAGGCGAUUAAAGUAAAAAAAAAAACAGAGUAUUUGUGACGUCAAAUAACAAUUGGUAACUAAAAUCCUAAAUAUUUGAGUUGUUAAAAGCAAAUAUAACAAACAAGCUAAUAGUGAUGCAGAAACAGAAAACUAUUAGCUUGUUCUGAUUGUCCCGCUAUAUUCAUUUUCGAUGCUUUUCAAAUUAGAUUCUUUUAAUCCUUCUGGUGUCAGCAGCCCCUGCUCUUCUUAGUUCUAAUAAAUCUCCGUCCCACAUCUGCACUACGAACAAGUUGAUUGAAAUUAAAUAAUUUCUCUUUGAAGUGGACCCAUUGAGUUAUGUUCAUUACUGGUCAUCGUCUAUUCUUCCUAUGAACCAUUUAUUUUGAGCAUUAACGAUCUUAUCUGGACUACCCCAAUUAUCGAUGUUACUCCAAUGGUUGCAUCUAGGGAUCUUUCUUUGUUUCUCAGUUGCAAUGUGCCCGAAUAAAUUUCUUUACCUUACAGUUUAUAUGGUCUUGCUGUUAAUGAAUGCACUGAGCCAUUAUUGAUUCAAUUUCUGUGAAGCAAUGGUGGGUGAAAAAUAAAUAAAGGAUAAGUGAACAAAGUUGAAGUGCUGAAUUGGCUAUUAAAGAAAAGUGUCACUUGAUCACAAUCACAUUGAUGCACAACAUCACAAUCACAUUGAUGCACAACCCUCUCGAGGCAAAUUUUGUCUAUAUGUACUCCAAAUUCAGCCAAACCAUACAUGCAUGAACAAAAUUAAACCCUCUUUCUCAUCACAACAGUAAUUGAAGCUACAAAAGCCAGCAAAUCUGAACAAAAACUUAAAAGGAAGAUCUUAUUCAAGUUUGUCCCCAAAAAGACAGCUGAAACAAAAAAAUAUUGACUAUUGAAUGGGUCAAUGCUGAAUUACAUUUGAAAUGGAAAGCUUGGCUGCAGUUACGAUGUUUCCCCUUCCAAUAUUCCUCCAAAACAAAUUCAUUUGUAAACAAUAACGGAAGUAGCAAUAAUUUAUUCAUCAAAGAAAAUACCCAAGUUUUCAACUAACAAAUCCUCGUCUAAAUAAAAAAAAACUCAUAUCUCUAAAAUCUAUUUGCAAAAUGUUGAAAAUGAGGAGUGAUCUGCCAACUCGGUUAAUAAACUCAUGCUUAAUGUUAACAAUAAUGAUAAAUUACAUAAUAAUUAUUAUAAAGAAUCAUAAAUUGGAAACGCUAAUCAUUCUACAAUCUAUUAUAUAAGUAAGAUAUUCUCAUAAUAAGUUAAGUUAUAACGUAACAAAUAUUUUCAAUAUAUAAUUAUUUAAGAAGUCAUUUAGCAAUAAUACUUUUUUUACUCAGUUCAUCAUGUCAUAUAUCGUUAUCUAAACUCCUGACGAUAUUAUUAUUACUCACUUUUCUAUAAAAAAAAAACAUGAUUAAUGUUUAGAGAAAAGUUACGCCUUUUAGAUAGAAUAUUGUCACAAGCCGCUCAAAUUUACCACCAACAGAGGCUAAUUCUGCCUGCACGGGUAUGCUUAGCAAAAGUCCGCCUAGAGAUAGAGUGCGCUUAGCACUAAAGGUGGGGUAAGCUUAGCAAUGGGCCGCCAACACAACUAGCUAGUUGUGGUGCGCUUAGCGAUCAUCCAAGCCCAGCCCAAAUUUUAGACUUCUCUACAAUUGUAAAUAUCAUAGAACUUUCUAGGUCAAUGCAUUUAAGUCCCUAAGAUAUUUAUGCAAGUUGCAUGGAACUUUCAAGAACCUAGCACCCAAACCUAUAAAUAGGGGGAGCACCCCCAUUUGCUCACCACCACACCACACACACACAAGCUCACCAGCACAGACACAAGCUCUUUUACUCUUGUAAAAGCUCUCUUGUAAUUUAUUCUUUAGUGUGUAAUAAAAAUACAUUUGGCCAUAUUGCUCCAUUCUCUCUAGUAUUUCCGCAAAGCAUUCUUGCUUGCCUAGUUGAGAAGUUCGAAAAUGCUUACUUAGCGACCUGUGUGUUAAAGUCGACUAAGUGCCGCACGGGUUUACUAUACAAAACUCCCCCACACGAGCAAUGGCCAACCCUCCUAGCAUAACACAAGAGGGCAUAGUUGGUGUGGAGUCAUUUGAGCCAACUCGUGGCCGCGAGGAGGGACGCACAAGCUAAGUCCCGCGGCAAGUCCAAGGCCGCUUCCAUAGACGCCUUGGAGCCUCGCGUUGCCACGCUCGAAACUUCAAUGUUUGCUGUCCAGGACACCCUCGAUACUUUGGAGUUGCAGGUCGACAGUCUCGAGGGCUGCAUCCACAGUUGAAUAUAUGAUAGUAUUGGCUCUUAUUUGAGAAUAUAGAGGGAUCUUUCUUCGUUUCUCUAUUGAAAUGUGCUAGUAUAAAUUUCUUUACCUUGCGGUCUAUAUAGUCUUGGUGUUAAAGAAUUCACUGAGUCAUUAUUUGAUUCAAUUCCAGUGAAGCAAUACAAUGUGUCAUUUCCCAAUGUUGUAUAAUUCAUUAAUUAGGUGAUGAAUUUAUGAAUUAAUAAUUAGUUCAGACUUAAAUAAAAAUUUAAAUGUUGGGAUAUGUAGCAUCACUCAAUCACAAUAAACAAUAACCAAUUCAAAUUGAAACGGCAAUAUUGUAAUUUCUUUAAUUAAUUAUGAUGCAGAAGCAAGUUUUUAUGCUUGGGUUUUUUACUUCUUGAUUUUGAUUGGAAAAAUUUCUGAGACAAAGAAGUGUUUUGGAUAAGCUUUUCGGGAUUGAAACCACAAAUUGGUAGAGGAAAUUAAUUUUGGACAAAUUUUUCUUAUAUUGUAGGACCUUCUAGUUGGGGUAGUGAUGGCUUUGUCUUCAUUUUUGGUUCCUUUUGUGUCGGCAGCCCCUUACUAUUUUCUUGACCCUGAGUUUGAGAUAGCAAUUUAUCAACCUCCAACCCCACAUCCACAAACAAGUUGAUUGAAACAAUUGCUCUUUUAAUUAAGAGGACCCAAAUGAUUUAGGUUUCAGUUCUUAUCAUUUGUCUAUUAUUUCUUUGAAACAUUUAUUUUGAGCGUUACUGAUCUUAAUUAUCUGUAUUUCUCCAAUUAUUGAAGAAUUUCAAGUGGCCACUUUUUCUCCUUUUUAUAUAUGUUUAUUUUUUGGAGUGAUCAAACGGGUGCAAAAUCAAGUAUUCGCUGGUCUGUAGUGUAGCCAACGAUGGCUGAUCCACACAGUUGAUUAUAUGAUACUAUUAGCUCUCAAAAUCUUUCUUAUUUGAAAACAUAAAUUGCCCAUUAAAGUUAAACUAUGUUACCCAGCUCCAUGCACAUACAUCAAAUGUUUAGGUAGUUUUACAAAAUGACAACAGCAUGCCAAAACUUGAUGUUGUCAUAUUCGACAUUUCAAAUUGAAAAAUAUGCAAGCAAUCUUCAGUGAACAUUACGUGUUUAUUGAAUAAUUUAAAUGGCCAGUAAAUCAACAGUCCGUGAGUUUUAAAUCUAUUAUGACUUAAUGUAUCUUUCUGUAUUCGUACACAGGUUAUAUUAUCAUAGUUUAAAAUUUUAAUAUUAUUUUAAAUGUUAAAAAUACUUUAAUGCUAUUAGUCUACUACACAGGUUAUAUUAUUUAUAUUAUAUUUGUAUUAAUUAAAACUUUUAAUGUAAAUUUUCUAAUUACUAUAUUAAAAUUGUAUUAUGGUUAAGAAAAAGUUUUGGCAUUUCUUCUUGAAAAUUUGAGGGUUUUCCAAAUUCUAAGGGUAUAGGUUUGAAAAUUUAACGAUCUUUAACUUAAUGAAACAAAAGAGGGAAAUCAAGAACUAUUCAAUUUUGUAUUUUUUGUUUGUAAUUCAAAAAAUACAUCCACCAAACAAGUUUUACGCAUUAAUGCUGUCAUAAAACGAAAAACAGUUUGCCAAAAAAUGGUACCAAACAUGUCCUUAAUGUCUCACAUGAUUUCUUAGUAAGUCCAUAUUAGAUAUAUUUAUACAUUUUAGGUAUUUUAGUUAUAAAAGAAGUUGGUCCUCCCCCUGUUUAUAAAAAAUAACUUUAUUUCGAGAUUGCCCCUAAACUCUUACAUAGAAUUAGUGUAAUGUUAAGAGAGAGUAACACAGUUUUCCAUUACCAUCUUUGAAAAUCGAAAGAUAUGGAUGCGUGCAUUUAAGAGUUAUCGUGAAAAUCAUACAAUUCAAUUUCCUGACAUAUAUAUUAACCAGCAAAUCUCAUUUUAGGUAUUUUAGUUAUAAAAGAAGUUGGCCCUCCCUUGUUUAUAAAAAAUAACUUUAUUCAUGCACAUAUGCCAAAAGAAUAAAUAGACAGAAAGUAAAUUUACAGUCCUCACUUCCUCACAAUUGUUAACGCGAAGAUGCAUUACAACUGUGAACUGUCACUACUUUAGCCUUUUAAAAAAAAAAAAAAAAUUAUAGUGUGAUGGAGACAUCAAGGAUGAGCAUAAAAGUUAAAGAUGACUCAUUUUCUUUUUAAAGUGCUCUGCUGAGAGCCAAACUUCCUUUGGCUAAUUAAUUUAGAAGUAAAGCAGAGAAUGAAGUCCUAGAUGCCUUCUGAAAUUAGAAAUACAUUUUAUAUGCUUUAAUUAUGAUUAUUUGGUAGACUAAAGACCUAAAAGAUAUGUCAAAAGUACAAAACAGAGCGAUUAAAGAAAAAAAAGAAAAAAAAACAGAGUAUUUGUGACGUAGAAUAACAAUUGGUAAAUAAAUCCGAAAUAUUUGAGUUGUUAAAAGCAAAUAUAAUAGAGACGGUAAGAGAGAUGCAGAGACAGAAAAUUUAUAUUUUCAUUAUGAUUGAGCGAGCGAAAGCCAUUACUUGGCUCCAAAGAAGGACAAGAGAAGUUUAAAAAGUGAAGCCAAUUUCAACAAUGCAAAUUCUUCCUAUCCUAUAGCUAUAUAUAUAUACAUGCACGCACCCCAUUUGUCUCAGCAACACUACAAAACAACAUUCUAAGAUCACCUACCUUAUCACAACAAUGGAGCUGUCGCGGAUAAGCCGCCUGAGAAGUCAAGUAAAUGCACUAACUCAAUUAACCAAUUAUUGGCCCUCAGAGCUUCUAAUAAUAUUUUUUUUUUCCUAUUCUUGUUUAAUUUACAGGUGAAUAAGUUAGUGCCACUUCUCAUAGUGGUGGCAUUACUGAGCCAAAGAGGAGCUGAGAGCAGAAAGGCAAGAAGACUAACACUCAUUUGAGUACAAUGCUAUUCAUUUUCGAUGCUUUCAAACGAGAUUCUUUUAAUUCUUCUGGUGUCUGCAGCCCCGGCUCUUCUUAUAAACCUCCAUCCCACAUCUGCACUACGAACAAGUUGACUGAAAUUAAAUAAUGUUGGAGAUGAAGGGUGAGCCGUCAACUUGUUAAAAAAAAACUCAUGUAUAAUAUUAUCAAUAAUAUAAAAUAUAUAAUAAUUAUUACAAAGAAUUAUAAAUUAGAAAAAUUAAUUAUUUUACAAUCUAUUUCUUAAGUAAGAUAAAUCUCGUAAUAAGUUAAGUUAUAACAUAAAAAAUAGUUUCAAUUCAUAAUCAUUUAAGAAGUCAUUUAAUAAUAAAAUCUUUCUUUUGAUCAGGUGGUCAUGCCAUAGAGUAUCAUCUAUAUUCGUGGUGAUAUUAUUAUUACUCAGUAUCCUCAAAAAACACGAUUUAACAUUUAAAGAAAAUUCCUGCCUUUUAAAAAGAACAUGUAUGCAAUAGCUAGCCAUACUUUAUUUUACCACGACAAAAUUGAUGGUGAUUAAAUCAAUUUUCUCAAUUAAAGCAAAUUUUUUUAAAAUUGAUUUAAUGCACAAAUAUGAUGAGUUUUUGUAAAAAUUAGUUUUGGAAAAUAUAGUGAGAGAAAAUGGUGACGAUUAUUUUUCAGAUGUGCAAAUAGCCUAAACAUAAUCUCUAAUACCAAUAUCCAUGUGCAUCUUAACACCUUUCAUGAUAUUCUUUCAUUCAUGGCCAUUUGUUCAAGAUUUGAAUUUAAUUAUUAAAUCAUGUUCAAUAAUGUUAGAGAUCCCAACAAUUGAAUACCAACUUAAAUCCCAAUGCUAUGUGUCAUUAACAAAUGUUGUGUCAAUUAUUGCCCUCACAUUAUUGGGCUUCUUACAUCAUUGCUUACGUUUUAUUCCAUUACUCUAUGUACAGUUCCUAUUUUAUCGCUUUGUUUCCUUUAUUUGGACUUUGUCAGGCAUCUUUUUAUGCUGUCUGCUUUAUCUUGUCGGGCAUCUUGUUUAUGCUGUCUGCUUUAUCUUGUCGGGCAUCUUCUUUAUGCUGUCUGCCACUUCCAUGAGUUGGUAAGCCUGCUCUAUGGUUUUACUGCUACUGGGGAAACGCAUAGUGCUUAUUUCGUUGAUGAAGUCCAGCAACAGAUUUGAAGGUGCAUGGCCAUCCUCUGAAGUUAUAAGGAUGUAAUUCUGGAACUUGAUAAUAGUUCUGAAAUUCCUUUUAUACAAAUCUUUAGCUAUGCUCCAUAUGGCCUUUAUUCCUCUGGCUCUUCGAGUUCUGAUCCAAGAUUCGUUUAUGUGUGGAACAUUUGUAUAUUCUGUCCCAAUUUCGACUUUAAAAUUCUUUGUGAGGUGACCUACGGAAAUCAUAUAAAAGGCUUGGUAUUCUAUAUUCUAAUAGUAUUAUGGGCUUAUGGUGUAGAAUUUUAAGUAUAUCGGCCUUUUUUGGGCGAACCUUGAUACUUCUUUAACUAAUAAGUCAUCAAGGCUGGCUAUUUCUUGGAGGUUUAUAUCAGGAUAUACUAAGUCUAAAUAUCCAUAUUUUGCUAUUUUUCCAACAAGGAGUGGGUCUGCUCCCUUGGUAGCAAUCAUUCUAGGGUACACAUUUUUUCCUGGUGCUUUGAAAAUUGUAUUAUUAUGAGAACAAGUGGAAUAUACCCAUGUAAAGAAUUGUUUAUACUCUUCUUCUUUUGGAUUUAGAGGUUUUUCCUCCUCCUCUGUAUAAGGGUUGUUUAUUUGGAUAAACUUUUUUGGAGGAUCUGAUUUUGGUGACUCAAUUUCUAUAGAUAUGGUUUUACUUGGAACUGGGUCAGAGAUUGGUUUAUCUUCUCUGAAGGGUCCAUUACUGCUUCCUAUAUUUAUUGGGUUAAUGUUUAUUGGGCUUGUGUUUAUAGAGACAGCCUUUGUUAGGUCGUCUAUGUAUGACUCUAACAAAUUUAUUCCUUUCUCAUGGCUCUCAGAAGCCUCUUUUAAAUAGUUUAUUGGAUCAAUUAUGUCAGAUGCUUCAGUCUUGAGCCUUUGUAUUUCGGCUUCUAUUUUGCCGAUGAUUCUAUUUACCUCGGGAUUCAUUCUCCAAAUUCUAUGUUCCUGCUUAAAAAAUCUGCAAGGAAAUUGUUAGUUCCUUUAAUAUGUACUAUCUUAAAAUUAUAAUAAGACAGAUAAGCUUGCCAUCUAUGCAAUCUUCUGUACUGGGGUUCAUUUGGUAGUAUUCUAUUGAUAAGAGAACUUACUUGAGAAUUAUCUGUUUAUACAAUAAACUAUUUUUGAAGUAAAAAUAAUGAGAAUUUUUUAAUUCCCUUGUAUAUUGCAAGGAGUUCUUUUUCAUGAACUGGAUAAUUUGUUUGUGCUUGGCUAAAAGUUCCACUAGUAUAUUGACAAAUUUCAUUUAUAUCAGUUUUAAGGAUUGCUCCCCAAUAUAAAUCAGAUGCAUCUGUUUGCAUUACUAGUUUAUCAUUUUCUUCUGGUAAUCUUAAUGCAGGAAGAUUUUUACAUUCCUCCUUUAAACUUUUUACAGUUUCUGUAUGUUCCUCACUCCAUCCUCUAGUAUUAUUUUUUCUUAACAACUUUUGAAGUAUAUUUCUCCUUUUUGCUAAUUUUUUUAUAAAUCCUUCUGCGUAGUUUAAACAUCCUAAAAUUUUUUGUAUUUUUUGUUUAUUUUCUAAUUUAUCUGGGAACUCAGUUAUUUUUCUUCCUAUAUGACUUUGGAGUCUGAUUCCAUUUUUAUCAAGAAUCAUUCCUAGAAAUUCUAUUUGUUUAUGUUCUAUAACCGCUUUUAUUUUGGAUAACACUAUACCCUCUUUAACACAUAUAUUAACAAAUUCUUUCAAAUGGUGCCUAUGAUCUUCUAAUGUUUCUGAGGCUAUUAAUAUAUCAUCAACAUAAACUAUAAUAUAUGCGUAAUUCCUAAAUAUUUUAUCCAUUCGACUCUAAAAAAUUUGUGGGGCAUUUUUUAGUCCAAAGGGCAUACUAGCCAUUCGUAAUGACCUUGUGGUAUGCUAAAAGCUGUAUAAGGAAUACUAUUUUCUUCCAUUUUUAUUUGCCAGAAUCCUGACUUACAAUCAAAUUUUGAAUAAUAUGUUCUAUUUUUUACAAGAUUUAUUAAUACUUCUUUAUUUGGUAAAAAAUAUCCAUCAAAUUUUGUAUAUUUGUUUAACUCUUUAUAAUUUAUCACCAUUCUUGCUUUUCCUCUUACUUGUUCUGACCUUUUUCUAACCAUGAAAGCCGGACUAUUAUGUGGGCUAUUACUAUUUCUAAUAAGCUUUAAAUCUAAUAAUUCUUUUAUUUGAGUUUUUAAAUUCUGUUCUGUCUUCUUCAGUAUACAACAUGGGUUUUAAUCUUAUUAUCCUAUUUUCAGUUAAUUCUAUCUUUGCUUUAGGAUGGUCUGGUUUUCCAUAAUGCUAAUGGGUUUUCCUUAUAAACUUGUUCUAAUUGUGAUUUUAUGGUUUCUAAUUGUAUAUUAUAGCUUUGUCCUUUUUGUAUUAAAUAAUAUUUUUCAUAAAUGUUCUGACCACCAGCUGGGCUGGCUGAACUCUGUAAGGUUUAAAUUCUCGAGGAAUACGUAGAAUAUGAUUACAAGGGGUUUUUAAGGUGAUCAUAUGAGUAGUCUGUUGGUAAUAUUGAAACUGUUGUAUAAAGUCAUUACCUAAAAGGAUAUCACAAUCCAUAUUAUCAUAAUGAAAGACUUGAUUGAUACGGACAACUUUACUGCCUAACAAUAUGUCAAAGUUUAGUAAGGAUAAGUUUACUUCUUGUUUAUCACCUGUUAUUCCAAUAAUUUUCAAUUUUCCAUUUGGUUCCCAUUUUGUUGAUAAAAAGGAUUUCAUGAUAGUUAUUUCACUGCCUGUAUCAAUUAAGGCACAUGUAUCUAUGUCUUUUCUGUUAUAUUUAUUUGUAUAUAGACAGACAGAGGAUAUUUUAUAUAAGCUUGUUUUAACAUGUUUCACAUACUAUUUUUUGCCCAUGUAUAAGGAAAGUUAUUUUAGUUGGUUCAAUUUUAUAAUAUUCUAGAUCAUUUAAAAAACUAUUGCCUAGUACUAUAUGUUUUUCCGGAUCUGUUGUCAUGAAUGAGUCUAUAUAACAGGCUACUAUUAUUCUAAGACCUUCUAUUGUUAUAGGGACUUUAACUUCUUGUUUGCAUACAUGUUUAUUCCCAUUAAAAUCAGUAUAUUCAUACGGGAUCUCUUUUUCUUUUACUAAGAGUCCUUUAUUUUUAGUGUGAUUCAUAUAAUUAUGGCUCGUACCAGUAUCUAAUAGUAUAGGUAUUUUUGCAGUAUAGUCUAUUCCAUUAAAGUACUGCUCAAGUAUUUUUACUACAUUAUUUGUUGGCACGGAUUUAAUUAGUUGUCUAUCAGUGCUUAAUCUUCUAGAAGAACUUCCUCUUAUUAAGGUUCUUCCAGCAAAGCUUAUAGGGAUAAUGGAAUUUUUCAUUUAUUACUAUCUAAAAAUUGUUUCUUAUCAUCUAUAUUUAAUUCAUAGUUAAUAGGGAUUUUAUAAUCUUGGAUUACUGGUUCUAUAAAUGUUGCUAUAUCUUCACAAUCUUUAUUUAUUUCAAUAUAAGAUUUAUUACCAUAUAUUUCCCCAUAAUUUGAAUUACAAAAACUAUAUAAAAGCUGAGUAAUGUAUUUUCAUUAUUCUAUUUCCUUCUUUCAUGAGGUUCUUCUUUAAUAAUUUGAAAUGUAGACUUAAUGUCUCGUCUAUAUUCCUAUCUUUUAUAUGUACACAAUAUCUAGGAUGACAAGUAAAUAAUAAUUUAGUGUAACACAGAUUUCCUUCUAUGGUUCCUAAAUGUCCUAUGCUAGGGUCUGUAAAUCUUUGAUCGUGUAACGAUAAGACUAUGGGGCUAUCUAUUCCUUCUUUGAAAAGAGAUUUUAUUAAGAUUUGGAUUUCUGCUAGAUAUACAUAUUGAAUUUUUUCUUUAGUUGAUUCACUUCUUAUUUUUCUUAAUGCUAAAUCUAUUGAUCUUUUAUUUAUUAAGCUAAAUCUAAUAUUUCCUUCUGCUUGUGUAAUUGUCACAGCUUUUUCUUGUUCAUAAUAUUCGUGUAAUAUUAUUCUCUUUCUUUUAAACAUAUCUCUAAAUCUAUGGAUUAUUCCGUAUUCCGGUCUUUCCAUAUUUAGUUUUAAAAGUUUGUUGUAUUUUUCUUUGUUAAAUGUAGGUACAAGACUAUAUCCAUUUUUAUUUUCUUCUUUUUCUAUCUCUUCUAUUUCUUCUACUUUUUCAUUUUCUAAUAAUUCUUCUUUAUUCUGACUCAUUGUCUGAAUCUUCUACCAUAUAAACUUCCUCUCCUUCAUAAUCUGAUAAACUAUUUAUUUAUUCUAAGUCAUUUUUUAUUUUUUCAAAGUCCUCUCUAAGAAGUCUGACUUUCUUUUUUGUACAAUCUGUACUUAUAUGUCCUAUUUCUCCACAAUUCCAACAUUUACACUUGGACUUAUCUAAUAUUUUUCUUUGGUUUUUAUAUUUUCUUUUAUAAUAUUUUCUUCCUGGUUUUCUGUAUUUCUUUUAAAAUUAUUGUAUUUUUUAUAUCUUUUUUCUUUGUGGUAAGACUUUCUACGUCGUUUAUGAGGUACAUAGCAUCCCAAUUGGGUAGGCAUUUCCGUUUUUUCACACAUAUUUUUGUUAUAUUUUUUACUCUUUUUUUAUUAACUUCUUGGGAUGCAUAUUUCACUUAACCUUGUAUUUAGGAAUCUUAUUCGAGCUCCUAAUGUAUCUGGGAGCCUAUUAUUGCUAUUAUUAGUGUAUUUUUCAUAUUCAUUAAUGAAAUAUCCAUUCCAAGGGUAUGGUAAUUUAGAGUAGUAUAAAUUCUUAUAAAUGUUUUGGUCUUCAUGACUCAUUAAUUGGGUAUAAUAAUACUUACUAAAUUCACAUGUAUAUUCUUUUACAAAGCACAUAUUACAAAUUGUCAAAUUUAUUAAUUUCAUCCUAGCGUCUAAUUUAUCACUUUUUGCCUCAUUUUCUGAAUUUUGUAACCAAUCUUCUCCUAAAAAUUCAAUAGCAAUAUAUUCAAUUAUUCUUUCAAUGCCUAAUCCUUUAUCUCUUCCUAGUGCUAUUUUGGUUGAAUCUUUUAUUAAUUUUUGUGUAUCUUCACUUAAUCCUUUCCACCAAUUAAAUACAUUUCCUGUAAAACUUGCUAUUAAAAUAUCGGCAAAUAUAUUUAUUUUUUCCUCUUCUGUUUCUACAUUCCAGUCAUCUCUAGAUCCGUUAAAUAUAAAAAAUAACUUCAUUUGCAUCCCCCAUUCUACUAAUGCUUUUCGGGAAUCUAUUUUGCAAUCUAGGUCUAAAAAUGUACCUGCAUUGCUUAUUGGAGUUAAAUGGUCAUUAUUAGGUUGAUAUUCUUUCUUCCAAGGGGUAUUUUUAACGGGUGGAUAAUAUUCAAAAAAUGGUCGAUUUUUCUUUUUAUUUGUUUCAUACCUAUGGCUUGGUUCUCCUAUGUCAGGUUUUAAUUCCGGACCUCCAGCAACAUUCAUUUUUAUACAAUAUUCUUUUUCAAAUUCUUCUAAAUCACUUAGAUUAAUAUCACUAAAUUUUUCUGUUAAUUCUUCUAAUGUAUUUUCCAUUAUUCUGAAUCACUAGGUGUAACUUCUUUUAUUUCUAAUUUUUCUUUGCCUUUUUCUUUACUUUUUAAUUCUGCUUUUAGUAUUUCUGUUUCCUCUAAUAUUUUUGGGUAUUGGGUUUUUAUAAACCAGUCAUCAUAACUUCCUACUUGUGGUUUUAUUACAGGCUUUUUAAAGCUCGUUCCAAUUAUUCCUGACUUUAACAUUUCAAGUUUUUCUACUUUUUUAUUUUUCUUUUGGGUUAUUUGUAUUGUAGAUAAUUCUACUUUUAUUUUUCCUAUUUCUUGUUUAAUUUCUUUUAUUUCUUCUUUAAGAUUUAAAAGGAUCUCUUUUAACUCUAUCAAUGUAGUUUCCAUUAAGUCUAAGGAUUUCAGUUGAUAUUUUACUUUUAGGAUGUUACUUACAUCAAAUAUAAGUUAAGCGUUGCCUUUAUUUUGAGCAUUAGGGAUCUUGUCUGGACUACUCCAAUUAUUGACGUAACUCCAGUGGCUGCAUCCACUGGAAAAAGUGGAUGAGAACAUUUUUUUUCAUAAAGGUAACUGCUCCAAUUAUUGACAUAAUUGAUGGUGCUUAAAUCAAUUUUUUCUUUUUAAUUUAAAGAAUUUUGCUUUAAAAAAUAAUUAAUAUCAAAACGCCUUCAAUGUUGUUACCGCCACAAGCCCAGUUAGAGGACUCAUUAAAAAUUUUAGAAUUUUUAGGCCGGGAAAGCGUAGUAUUAAACAUCAGAAAGCAAAGGUUGUUAUGUCGAAGAAUUGAUGUCGAUAAAAUUUUAUUUUAGUUUUCGGGAAAAACAAAAAAAUUUGUUGAAUGUUGACAAGCAAGAAAAUAUUUUUUUAUACUUUACAAUCUGCUAUACAUAUUCUAUCAUAUUAAAGUAAUUUUAAUAAUAUAUGGAAACAUAAUUUUAUAAUAAAUAAAUUAAAAUUACUUUGAAUUAUUGAAUAUUACAAAAAGAUAAUUUUAAUAUUAUUAAUAGGAAAACAUAUUUUAUUUGUAAAAUCUUUUUAAUACACAAAUUCAUUUAAAAUCUUUAUAAUAAAUACAAAUAUAAAUUAAAAAAUAUCAUAAUUUAAAUUUUUUAAUAGUAUUUAAAUAUUAAAAAUACUUUAAUGUUAUUAAUCUACUACAUAAAAUAUAUUAUUUAGAUUAUAUUCGUAUUGAUUAAAACGUUUUAAAGUCAAAUUUUUAAUUAGUGCAUUCAAAGGUGUAAAAGAUUUUAGUAUUAUUUUUAAAAAAUUUCAGGAUAUGAAUGAUAAUUUUUUCAAAUUUUAAAGAUGUAAGAAUCUUUUUUUCUGAUAAUUUAUUUCACUUUUAAGAGAAUCCGAAAACGUUAAUUUAACAUUCUUUACCUUUGUGAAAAAAGUGAAAAUCAAGAACUAUUCCAUUUUGUUUUUAUUUGUAAUUCAAAAAACUUUUAUUCAUUUUCGAUGCUUUUCAAAAGAGAUUCCUUUAAAUCCUUUUGGUGUCUGUAACUCCCUGCUAUUCUCAUAAAUCUCCAUCCCAAAUCUAACCCUAUCAAACAAAGUUGAUGGAAAUUCUUAUAAAAAAAAAAACCGAAUCCAGNNNNNNNNNNNNNNNNNNNNNNNNNNNNNNNNNNNNNNNNNNNNNNNNNNNNNNNNNNNNNNNNNNNNNNNNNNNNNNNNNNNNNNNNNNNNNNNNNNNNUUUAUUUUGACCAUUUGCGAUCUUACCUGGACCUACUCCAAUUAUUGUUGUAACUCCAAAGGUUGCAUCUACAGUUGAAUGUAAGAUAGUGAAAGCUCUUCUCUCAGAAAAGAGAGGGACCUUUCUCUGUUUCUCCGUUGCAACAUGCUAGUAUAAAUUUCUCUACCUUACAGUUUAUACGGUCUUGCUGUUAAUGAAUUCGCUGAGGCAUCCAAUCUGAGUGAAGUAAUUGUGGGUGAAAAAUAAAUAAAGGAUAUGAGAACGUAGCUGAAAUGCUGAAGGGGCUAUUAAAGAAGAGUGUCACUCGAUCACAAUCACAUUGAUGCACAACUCACUCGUGGCAAAUUUCGACUAUACGUACUGCAAAUUCAGCCAAACCAUACAUGCAUGAACAAAACUAAAAUGUAGUUCUAAUCACAACUGCAGUUAUGAUGUUUACCCCUCUGAUUUUUCUCCAAAACAAAUUCAGUUCAAAACAAUAAUCAAAAUAGCCACAUUUUGUUCGUCAAAAUAAAUGCCCAAAUUUUCAAUUAACAAAUCAUCUUCUCUAAACUAAAAAGCCCACAUCUCUAAAAUCAAUGUACAUAAUGUUGGACAUGAGGGGUGAAUUGUUAACUCAGUAAAAAAAACUCAUGCAUAAUAUUACUAAUAAUAUAAAAUAUAUAUUAAUCAUUAUAAAGAAUCAUAAAUUAGAAAAAUUAAUCAUUUUAUAAUUUAUUACACAAGUAAGAUAAAUCUCAUAAUAAGUUAUAACAUAAAAAAAACAUUAUCAAUAUAUAAUCAUUUAAGAAGUCAUUUAACAAUAAAAUCGUUCUUUGAUCAGUUGGUCAUGUCACAUAGUAUCAUCUAUAUUUAUGGUGAUAAUAUUAUUACUCGGUAUUAUAAAAAAACAUGAUUUAACAUUUAGAGGAAAUUCUUGCCUUUUUAAAAAAACAUGUAUGCAACAGCUACCCAUACUUUAUCUUACCAUGACAAAUAUUUUCUCAAUGAAAGAAAAUUUUUUAAAAAUUGAUUUAAUGCACAAAUAUGAUGAUUUUUGCAAAAAUUAGUUUUGGAAAAAAUAGUGAGAGAAAAUAGUGACGAUUAUUGUUUAAAUAUAUAAAUAGCCUAAACAUAAUCCUUAAUACCAAUAUCCUAACGCAUCUUAUCAUCUUUCAUGAUAUUCUUUCAUUUAUGUCCAUUGGUUCAAGAUUUGAAUUUGAUCAUUAAAUCAUGUUCAAUAAUAUUAGAGAUUCUAAUAAAUGAGUACCAACUUAAAUCCCAAUGUUAUGUGUCAUUGACCAAUUUUGUGUCAUUUUGUUAUUAACUAGGUGAUGAAUUUCUAGUUGAUAAAAUCACUUAAAAAUAUCUUAAAAAUCAGACAAUAGUUGAAUUAAUUUUUCCAAGUUAACUGCUCAAGAUGCUCUAUUAUAAAUGAUACCCUAAUUAUAUUCAUAAAAAAUGAUAUAUUUUUGUGGUGUUGAUAAUGCGAUUAUCAUUCAACAUUUUAAAAUGUCAAAACAUAUGGAAGAUGGUUGUAAAUUGAUUGAAUGAAAAUAUUUCAGUGAAGUCUCAAAAAUUUGGUACUUGUUGUCUUAUCGAAAGUUCUCUAAAUUAUAUUCGUGGCACAGCCACUAUCCAAACCAUACAAGUCCAAAGCUAUCCAAACCAUACCUGCAAGUCCGGGGCUUAAAUGGAGUACUUCUAAGCAAAAAAACAUUGACUAAAAUAGAAUAUAUACAUACAUACAUACCAGCAUAUUCAAAAUAGCAAAGGAGUGCAAAAGUUAAAGUUUGUAGACAACAUUGCAACCAUAGCAUGUUUAUAGCAAAUCCUCAAAAUCUGCUAAAUAAAACAAUGCCCUGUCUCAUGAAUCAAUGCUGAAUUAAAAUUGAAACUGAAAGUCUGGAUGGUGUUGUUUGUUGAGAAUGUCAAAUAAAACGGCAUUGAAGGAAGUUUUCAAAGGCAGAAUCCGCACUUGUCAAAGGGAUGAUCUGCACUUGUCAAAGACACGAUCCGCGCCGAACGGAUCGACACAUUUCCUUCCGUAUUCACAUAUGUAAUCUUUGAAAAAAUAUAGCUUCUGCAUCUAUAAAUAACGCUCAGUGUAUAAUGUUUUAUUCAAGAAAUAAAAACAAGUUUCUACAUGGUAUCAGAGCCAUGAAUGCGCUNNNNNNNNNNNNNNNNNNNNNNNNNNNNNNNNNNNNNNNNNNNNNNNNNNNNNNNNNNNNNNNNNNNNNNNNNNNNNNNNNNNNNNNNNNNNNNNNNNNNNNNNNNNNNNNNNNNNNNNNNNNNNNNNNNNNNNNNNNNNNNNNNNNNNNNNNNNNNNNNNNNNNNNNNNNNNNNNNNNNNNNNNNNNNNNNNNNNNNNNNNNNNNNNNNNNNNNNNNNNNNNNNNNNNNNNNNNNNNNNNNNNNNNNNNNNNNNNNNNNNNNNNNNNNNNNNNNNNNNNNNNNNNNNNNNNNNNNNNNNNNNNNNNNNNNNNNNNNNNNNNNNNNNNNNNNNNNNNNNNNNNNNNNNNNNNNNNNNNNNNNNNNNNNNNNNNNNNNNNNNNNNNNNNNNNNNNNNNNNNNNNNNNNNNNNNNNNNNNNNNNNNNNNNNNNNNNNNNNNNNNNNNNNNNNNNNNNNNNNNNNNNNNNNNNNNNNNNNNNNNNNNNNNNNNNNNNNNNNNNNNNNNNNNNNNNNNNNNNNNNNNNNNNNNNNNNNNNNNNNNNNNNNNNNNNNNNNNNNNNNNNNNNNNNNNNNNNNNNNNNNNNNNNNNNNNNNNNNNNNNNNNNNNNNNNNNNNNNNNNNNNNNNNNNNNNNNNNNNNNNNNNNNNNNNNNNNNNNNNNNNNNNNNNNNNNNNNNNNNNNNNNNNNNNNNNNNNNNNNNNNNNNNNNNNNNNNNNNNNNNNNNNNNNNNNNNNNNNNNNNNNNNNNNNNNNNNNNNNNNNNNNNNNNNNNNNNNNNNNNNNNNNNNNNNNNNNNNNNNNNNNNNNNNNNNNNNNNNNNNNNNNNNNNNNNNNNNNNNNNNNNNNNNNNNNNNNNNNNNNNNNNNNNNNNNNNNNNNNNNNNNNNNNNNNNNNNNNNNNNNNNNNNNNNNNNNNNNNNNNNNNNNNNNNNNNNNNNNNNNNNNNNNNNNNNNNNNNNNNNNNNNNNNNNNNNNNNNNNNNNNNNNNNNNNNNNNNNNNNNNNNNNNNNNNNNNNNNNNNNNNNNNNNNNNNNNNNNNNNNNNNNNNNNNNNNNNNNNNNNNNNNNNNNNNNNNNNNNNNNNNNNNNNNNNNNNNNNNNNNNNNNNNNNNNNNNNNNNNNNNNNNNNNNNNNNNNNNNNNNNNNNNNNNNNNNNNNNNNNNNNNNNNNNNNNNNNNNNNNNNNNNNNNNNNNNNNNNNNNNNNNNNNNNNNNNNNNNNNNNNNNNNNNNNNNNNNNNNNNNNNNNNNNNNNNNNNNNNNNNNNNNNNNNNNNNNNNNNNNNNNNNNNNNNNNNNNNNNNNNNNNNNNNNNNNNNNNNNNNNNNNNNNNNNNNNNNNNNNNNNNNNNNNNNNNNNNNNNNNNNNNNNNNNNNNNNNNNNNNNNNNNNNNNNNNNNNNNNNNNNNNNNNNNNNNNNNNNNNNNNNNNNNNNNNNNNNNNNNNNNNNNNNNNNNNNNNNNNNNNNNNNNNNNNNNNNNNNNNNNNNNNNNNNNNNNNNNNNNNNNNNNNNNNNNNNNNNNNNNNNNNNNNNNNNNNNNNNNNNNNNNNNNNNNNNNNNNNNNNNNNNNNNNNNNNNNNNNNNNNNNNNNNNNNNNNNNNNNNNNNNNNNNNNNNNNNNNNNNNNNNNNNNNNNNNNNNNNNNNNNNNNNNNNNNNNNNNNNNNNNNNNNNNNNNNNNNNNNNNNNNNNNNNNNNNNNNNNNNNNNNNNNNNNNNNNNNNNNNNNNNNNNNNNNNNNNNNNNNNNNNNNNNNNNNNNNNNNNNNNNNNNNNNNNNNNNNNNNNNNNNNNNNNNNNNNNNNNNNNNNNNNNNNNNNNNNNNNNNNNNNNNNNNNNNNNNNNNNNNNNNNNNNNNNNNNNNNNNNNNNNNNNNNNNNNNNNNNNNNNNNNNNNNNNNNNNNNNNNNNNNNNNNNNNNNNNNNNNNNNNNNNNNNNNNNNNNNNNNNNNNNNNNNNNNNNNNNNNNNNNNNNNNNNNNNNNNNNNNNNNNNNNNNNNNNNNNNNNNNNNNNNNNNNNNNNNNNNNNNNNNNNNNNNNNNNNNNNNNNNNNNNNNNNNNNNNNNNNNNNNNNNNNNNNNNNNNNNNNNNNNNNNNNNNNNNNNNNNNNNNNNNNNNNNNNNNNNNNNNNNNNNNNNNNNNNNNNNNNNNNNNNNNNNNNNNNNNNNNNNNNNNNNNNNNNNNNNNNNNNNNNNNNNNNNNNNNNNNNNNNNNNNNNNNNNNNNNNNNNNNNNNNNNNNNNNNNNNNNNNNNNNNNNNNNNNNNNNNNNNNNNNNNNNNNNNNNNNNNNNNNNNNNNNNNNNNNNNNNNNNNNNNNNNNNNNNNNNNNNNNNNNNNNNNNNNNNNNNNNNNNNNNNNNNNNNNNNNNNNNNNNNNNNNNNNNNNNNNNNNNNNNNNNNNNNNNNNNNNNNNNNNNNNNNNNNNNNNNNNNNNNNNNNNNNNNNNNNNNNNNNNNNNNNNNNNNNNNNNNNNNNNNNNNNNNNNNNNNNNNNNNNNNNNNNNNNNNNNNNNNNNNNNNNNNNNNNNNNNNNNNNNNNNNNNNNNNNNNNNNNNNNNNNNNNNNNNNNNNNNNNNNNNNNNNNNNNNNNNNNNNNNNNNNNNNNNNNNNNNNNNNNNNNNNNNNNNNNNNNNNNNNNNNNNNNNNNNNNNNNNNNNNNNNNNNNNNNNNNNNNNNNNNNNNNNNNNNNNNNNNNNNNNNNNNNNNNNNNNNNNNNNNNNNNNNNNNNNNNNNNNNNNNNNNNNNNNNNNNNNNNNNNNNNNNNNNNNNNNNNNNNNNNNNNNNNNNNNNNNNNNNNNNNNNNNNNNNNNNNNNNNNNNNNNNNNNNNNNNNNNNNNNNNNNNNNNNNNNNNNNNNNNNNNNNNNNNNNNNNNNNNNNNNNNNNNNNNNNNNNNNNNNNNNNNNNNNNNNNNNNNNNNNNNNNNNNNNNNNNNNNNNNNNNNNNNNNNNNNNNNNNNNNNNNNNNNNNNNNNNNNNNNNNNNNNNNNNNNNNNNNNNNNNNNNNNNNNNNNNNNNNNNNNNNNNNNNNNNNNNNNNNNNNNNNNNNNNNNNNNNNNNNNNNNNNNNNNNNNNNNNNNNNNNNNNNNNNNNNNNNNNNNNNNNNNNNNNNNNNNNNNNNNNNNNNNNNNNNNNNNNNNNNNNNNNNNNNNNNNNNNNNNNNNNNNNNNNNNNNNNNNNNNNNNNNNNNNNNNNNNNNNNNNNNNNNNNNNNNNNNNNNNNNNNNNNNNNNNNNNNNNNNNNNNNNNNNNNNNNNNNNNNNNNNNNNNNNNNNNNNNNNNNNNNNNNNNNNNNNNNNNNNNNNNNNNNNNNNNNNNNNNNNNNNNNNNNNNNNNNNNNNNNNNNNNNNNNNNNNNNNNNNNNNNNNNNNNNNNNNNNNNNNNNNNNNNNNNNNNNNNNNNNNNNNNNNNNNNNNNNNNNNNNNNNNNNNNNNNNNNNNNNNNNNNNNNNNNNNNNNNNNNNNNNNNNNNNNNNNNNNNNNNNNNNNNNNNNNNNNNNNNNNNNNNNNNNNNNNNNNNNNNNNNNNNNNNNNNNNNNNNNNNNNNNNNNNNNNNNNNNNNNNNNNNNNNNNNNNNNNNNNNNNNNNNNNNNNNNNNNNNNNNNNNNNNNNNNNNNNNNNNNNNNNNNNNNNNNNNNNNNNNNNNNNNNNNNNNNNNNNNNNNNNNNNNNNNNNNNNNNNNNNNNNNNNNNNNNNNNNNNNNNNNNNNNNNNNNNNNNNNNNNNNNNNNNNNNNNNNNNNNNNNNNNNNNNNNNNNNNNNNNNNNNNNNNNNNNNNNNNNNNNNNNNNNNNNNNNNNNNNNNNNNNNNNNNNNNNNNNNNNNNNNNNNNNNNNNNNNNNNNNNNNNNNNNNNNNNNNNNNNNNNNNNNNNNNNNNNNNNNNNNNNNNNNNNNNNNNNNNNNNNNNNNNNNNNNNNNNNNNNNNNNNNNNNNNNNNNNNNNNNNNNNNNNNNNNNNNNNNNNNNNNNNNNNNNNNNNNNNNNNNNNNNNNNNNNNNNNNNNNNNNNNNNNNNNNNNNNNNNNNNNNNNNNNNNNNNNNNNNNNNNNNNNNNNNNNNNNNNNNNNNNNNNNNNNNNNNNNNNNNNNNNNNNNNNNNNNNNNNNNNNNNNNNNNNNNNNNNNNNNNNNNNNNNNNNNNNNNNNNNNNNNNNNNNNNNNNNNNNNNNNNNNNNNNNNNNNNNNNNNNNNNNNNNNNNNNNNNNNNNNNNNNNNNNNNNNNNNNNNNNNNNNNNNNNNNNNNNNNNNNNNNNNNNNNNNNNNNNNNNNNNNNNNNNNNNNNNNNNNNNNNNNNNNNNNNNNNNNNNNNNNNNNNNNNNNNNNNNNNNNNNNNNNNNNNNNNNNNNNNNNNNNNNNNNNNNNNNNNNNNNNNNNNNNNNNNNNNNNNNNNNNNNNNNNNNNNNNNNNNNNNNNNNNNNNNNNNNNNNNNNNNNNNNNNNNNNNNNNNNNNNNNNNNNNNNNNNNNNNNNNNNNNNNNNNNNNNNNNNNNNNNNNNNNNNNNNNNNNNNNNNNNNNNNNNNNNNNNNNNNNNNNNNNNNNNNNNNNNNNNNNNNNNNNNNNNNNNNNNNNNNNNNNNNNNNNNNNNNNNNNNNNNNNNNNNNNNNNNNNNNNNNNNNNNNNNNNNNNNNNNNNNNNNNNNNNNNNNNNNNNNNNNNNNNNNNNNNNNNNNNNNNNNNNNNNNNNNNNNNNNNNNNNNNNNNNNNNNNNNNNNNNNNNNNNNNNNNNNNNNNNNNNNNNNNNNNNNNNNNNNNNNNNNNNNNNNNNNNNNNNNNNNNNNNNNNNNNNNNNNNNNNNNNNNNNNNNNNNNNNNNNNNNNNNNNNNNNNNNNNNNNNNNNNNNNNNNNNNNNNNNNNNNNNNNNNNNNNNNNNNNNNNNNNNNNNNNNNNNNNNNNNNNNNNNNNNNNNNNNNNNNNNNNNNNNNNNNNNNNNNNNNNNNNNNNNNNNNNNNNNNNNNNNNNNNNNNNNNNNNNNNNNNNNNNNNNNNNNNNNNNNNNNNNNNNNNNNNNNNNNNNNNNNNNNNNNNNNNNNNNNNNNNNNNNNNNNNNNNNNNNNNNNNNNNNNNNNNNNNNNNNNNNNNNNNNNNNNNNNNNNNNNNNNNNNNNNNNNNNNNNNNNNNNNNNNNNNNNNNNNNNNNNNNNNNNNNNNNNNNNNNNNNNNNNNNNNNNNNNNNNNNNNNNNNNNNNNNNNNNNNNNNNNNNNNNNNNNNNNNNNNNNNNNNNNNNNNNNNNNNNNNNNNNNNNNNNNNNNNNNNNNNNNNNNNNNNNNNNNNNNNNNNNNNNNNNNNNNNNNNNNNNNNNNNNNNNNNNNNNNNNNNNNNNNNNNNNNNNNNNNNNNNNNNNNNNNNNNNNAUCAGACUUGGGGGAAAUUGGUAUUCAGACAGGACCAUCCGUGAGGGCUUGCUCUCAUUCACCAGCUUCAAGCAUUCAAGUUUGUGGAGUUCGCAAAGGCUUUUGGAAACCCCAGAUUGAUAGUAACUCAAAUCUCCAGAUAUCCGAAGAGUCUGAACACUAGGUAGUCUGCCCAAUAUAUCAGGAGUACAACUACUAGGGUUUAAAGCUGAUAUGAAAAUGAGAUUUUUCAGAGAGCUAGAAUAAUUUUUUGGAGGUGCGGGCAGAGUGAUAGAACCAAAGUUUAGAUGCAUGAGUUUUUGCAUCAUCCAAAUAUCCUCUGGUGACUGAUCUAUGUAGCUAGAUGGCAUUUCUAGUGUUUCAAGGUUUAAAAGGGUGCAUAGCAGUGAAGGAAGGCAUUUGAGCGAAGGGAUAUUCAAUUUCAAAUACUUCAAAAGAUAUAAAUUUUCUAAUCCGGGUGGAUAUUGGUCCAGGACUGCAGAACCCAUGUUCAAUACCCGAAGGUGUUUGAACUUUUUACAAAAAUUCUCGCAAUCUAUCAGAGCGAGAUGAUCGCUUGCCGAACUGUGAUUCAGAAAAGAUUGGAGAUACAUGUCAGAAUGUUCUAAAGAUAAAAACCCAGUCAGAUCUUCGGCAAUGACGCACCGUUUAACAUUUGCCACUCGCUCCUCUUCCCUGUCAUGCACCAAGACAAAUCCGGCCUUCUCUGCCACAAAAUACAAUGAAGUAUAUACAAAACUUGGAACAUAACACGCUUUAAUUGUGGCUCCGGCGCUUCUCUUACUCACUUGAAUGAAGCCGCGAUGGAUUAGUUCUUUCAAGUAAUGUUCGGCAGUUUCUUCACCGUUGUAUGGUAUGAAACCUUCAGCUACCCACAACUGAUAUAAUUGCUCCGUAGAUAUCUCAAUACUUGGAAGGAAGACACACAAAUAGAUGAAGCAGACUUUCAAGUAAAAAGGUAACUCCAUCACAGAAAAAAUUUGUCUCCAAACUGUCGGAAUCGCUUCGCCUUGAAGAUAAUUUUCUAAUGGCAUACUUCCAUAGUGUAGGAUGAAAAAUUGCCACGCUUCAUGCUUUAAUCUGAUCAAUGGUCCUCCAAAGAGCACUGAAUCACGCCGAAUCUUCUCUCCGUUUUCCAUUUCCAACGACGCAAGGAGCUGUGGAUCACUGACCAACAUCAAUACUCUGCUUCCAUUCUGAUUAUCAGGAAGAACUUCUUCAAGAUCACUCCAUAUCUCACUGUCAUCGAAGACAUCAUCAAGCACAAUAAAGUACUUCCUGUUUGUUAGGUAAUCUCGAAGAAUAGAUUUCUUCAAUUGAUAAUCUUCCCCGAUAAUUACACUAACCCGAGAUGGAGGCAUCACCGACUUGAUUAUGUCAUCCAAUAUCUUGCCAAAAACGUAGGUUAUAGAAACCCUGACCCAAGCAAGACAGUCAAAAUAGAACUUGACGUGGUUAUUAUUGUAAGUAUCUGCAGCAAAAACAGUCUUGUCGAAGCCACUGCUGUCGAGAAUUGCAACCACUGCAAGCCCAGAUGGUCCCUCAAUCAAUAGAUCAAACAACUCCUCCCUGCCCCUUUCAAAUUCAUUGAUAUCAAGCCGAGGUUGUCCCUCACUCAAUAGGCGAAUGAUUUCGUUACUUUUUUCACUGAUAUCAAAACCAUUGUCGCCGGGUGGAAGUUGUUGCAUCCGAUUUCUAAUAUCAAUGAUUUUAGUGUGGAGUCCAACAAGAAGAGCCAUAAUGAUGUUGAUGAUUUCGUUACUUUCACUUUCGUUUUCACUGUUUUGCUGCUGCAUGAUGUUGAUGAAGAAUGUGUCAAUGACUUCCUCAGAGUCACGGACAAAGUUAUUGAUGUCCUUCAGAAUUUCAAAAAUAUCUGCUGUUUCAACGUCUUCUUCAUCGCUUUCUUCUAAGUCCAACAGUUGCAAAAAAGGCAAAGAUAUUUUGGAGUCAUCGAAUUCUUCUCUAAUGAGUUGAAACAAAUGCCGAGCCAUGUCAGCUUCAUAAUUUCCCAGCAGAGUAGUAGCAAUAAUUUCGGACUCCGUAAGAAGGUUUUGAAAAAGUGGAGUUAAAUUUGUUGAAUCUGGCAGCGGCAACGUGCCUUCUUCACCUGCUAACACCCUUUUCAACCUCUCACAAAACAGUCGGAGGUGGAAUUCCAGCAUAUCUCCUUCUCUCUGUAGCAGCCAGAGGUAUUGUUUUUUGCUCCAAGAAAUAUUAAAAGGAUUGGUUCUAUCCUCAAGUGGUUACUGGUGUAAAAUUAAACGCCAUGGGAGAAUUUGAAAGGAAGAUGCCAAGGAACUGGCGAAGUGGCUAAAUUCCACAAAUACGGCAUUAUUGCUCAUUUUUAACUCAAAAAAUUGAUACGCGUUCAUUUAGAGAAAAGUCCAAGACGCGUGCUUUUUGAAAAGAACAGGUAUCCCAAUCGGUAUCCAACCUUUAUCUUAUUUAAUUACUACCAUGACAUAAUUGAUGGUGCUUAAAUCAAUUGUUUCUUUUUUAAUUUAAAGAAUUUUUCAUUAAAAAAUAUUUUAAUAUCAAAUUGCCUUCAGUGGCGUAACAACUGCCUCAAGCCCAGUAACAGGACUAAUUAAAAAUUUUACAAUUUUGGGGCAUGGAAAUAGUAGUAUUAAACAUUAGAAAGGUGAGGUUGUUCUGUUAAAGAAUUGAUAUUGACAUAAUUUUAUUUUGGUUUUCGUGGAAAAAAAAAAUUUGUUGACAAACAAGAAAAUAUUUUUAUAUUUUAAAAUUUAUUAUGCAUAUUUUAUCAUAUUAAAGUAGUUUUAAUAGUAAAUAGAAACAUAAUAUUACGAUAAAUAAAUUAAAAUUUAACUUAUUUUGAAUAUUAUAAAAAAUAAUUUUAAUAUUAUUAAUAGGAAGACAUUGUAUUAAUUUAAAAAUUUUUUAACCCAAAGGUUUAUUUAAAAUCUUUAUUAUAAAUACAAAUAUAAAAUUAAAUAUCAUAAUUUAAAAUUUUUAAUAUUAUUUUAAGUAUGAAAAAUAUUUUAAUAUUAUUAGUCUAGAUCAUAUUACUUAUAUAAUAUUUGUAUUAUUAAAAAUGCUUUAAAAAAGACCUUGUUGUUACUUUUUAAAAAAUUGAGGGCCUGCUUGAUAAUUUUUUCAAAAAGAAAAUGCUUGGUAUAUAGGAGGGGUAGAGAAACAGGACUCCCAAAAUCUCUCACCCUUUUGUAAUUUAAAAAGAAUUAAAAUAUCAAUAAAAAAUAAUAAAGAAAAUAGAAUUUUAUCUGCUCCUUACUCCAUUUUUGCAACUCUCUCACCAUCUCUGUCGAGCAGCCCUCUCUCUCAUUGUCUCUCACUAUUUCAGGAUCUCUCUCUCACUCACACAAUCCUUUCCACGAUUUGAAAUUCUUUGGCCUUCUGCAACUCUUACAAGAAAUUAACGCUUUGGUUCUCCCAAGGGUAGAUUGGUUUUAUUGGGAAGCUAUUAAUUAGAAGGAGGAAAAAGGACUAUAUUUAGAAUAUGAUUUGUUGGAGAAUCUCAAAGUUAAUCAAUUUUCAAGCCACACUUUCAAUAGCCAAUUGAUUUAGUAACCAUUAAUUACUUUAAUUUCCAUAAAUUGUAAUGACAGUGCAAAUGCAUCUGGUUGUGAUAGCUAAGGGUUAGCUUGAAGAAUUAAAUUUCAUAAGAUAUUACUGGAAAAUGCUUUGCAGCUAACGUGCUGCUUCCUUUGCUAGACUACAAUUUCAAAAUUCUCACGAGUUUUCCAUUGUUGUCACAAACCGAGAAAUUAUAAAAUACAUGGCCUGGUUCUUUGGCAAUGACCAUCUCAUCGUCGGCGGUCGUGUCGUCAUUGUCACUGGUCUUGCUCGACCGAGACAGUGAGAGAGAGGUUUGUUAGAUGGAGUUAGUGAGAGAGAGUUGUAAAGAUGGAAUGAUGAUAAAGGAUUCUAUUUUUUUUAUUGUUUUUUAUUAAUAUUUCAACAGGUCUUAGUAUAUAUAUAUAUGAUUGUAAAUAUCAGUUAUACUCAUGUAAUAUGAGUUGUAAUUUGAGCAAUAGUCUCAUGUUAUCAAAAAAAAAAAAUCAAAAAGCAAAGGUUGUUAUGUCGAAGAAUUGAUGUCAACAAAAUUUUAUUUUAGUUUUCGGAAAAAACAAAACAAAAAUAAAAUUUUUGUUGACAAGCAAGAAAAUGUUUUUUAUACUUUACAAUCUGCUAUACAUAUUUUAUCAUAUUAAAGUAAUUUUAAUAAUAUAUGGAAACAUAAUAUUAUAAUAAAUAAAUUAAAAUUACUUUGAAUUAUUGAAUAUUACAAAAAGAUAAUUUUAAUAUUAUUAAUAGGAAAACAUAUUUUAUUUGUAAAAUCUUUUUAAUACACAAAUUCAUUUAAAAUCUUUAUAAUAAAUACAAAUAUAAAUUAAAAAAUAUCAUAAUUUAAAUUUUUUAAUAGUAUUUAAAUAUUAAAAAUACUUUAAUAUUAUUAAUCUACUACAUCAAAUAUAUUAUUUAUAUUAUAUUCGUAUUGAUUAAAACGUUUUAAAGUCAAAUUUUUAAUUAGUGUAUUCAAAGGUACAAAAGAUUUUAGUAUUAUUUUUUAAAAAUUUCAGGAUAUGAAUGAUAAUUUUUUCAAAUUUUAAAGAUGUAAAAAUCUUUUUUUCUGAUAAUUUAUUUCACUUUUGAGAGAAUCCGAAAACGUUAAUUUAACAUUCUUUACCUUUGUGAAAAAAGUGAAAAUCAAGAACUAUUCAAUUUUGUUUUUAUUUGUAAUUCAAAAACUUUAUUCAUUUUCGAUGCUUUUCAAAAGAGAUUCCUUUAAAUCCUUUUGAUGUCUGCAGCUCCUGCUAUUCUCAUAAAUCUCCAUCCCACAUCUACACUAUCAAACUAGUUGAUGGAAAUUCUUAUAAAAAAAAAAAAAAAGUCGAUGGAAAUUGAUCAAUUGCUUUUUGAAAUGGACCCAUUGAGUCAUGUUCAUUUCUGGUCAUAUAAAUUUCUUUACCUUACAGUUUAUACGGUCUUGCUGUUAAUGAAUUCGCUGAGGCAUUAUUGAUCCAAUCUGAGUGAAGUAAUUGUGGGUGAAAAAUAAAUAAAGGAUAGCAGAACGUAGCUGAAGUGCUGAAGGGGCUAUUAAAGAAGAGUGUCACUCGAUCACAAUCACAUUGAUGCACAACUCACUCGUGGCAAAUUCCGACUAUACGUACUGCAAAUUCAGCCAAACCAUACAUGCAUGAACAAAACAUCUUCUCUAAACUAAAAAGCCCACAUCUCUAAAAUCAAUCUACAUAAUGUUGGAGAUGAGGGGUGAAUUGUUAACUCAGUAAAAAAAAAAAAACUCAUGCAUAAGAUUACUAAUAAUAUAAAUUAUAUAUUAAUCAUUAUGAAGAAUCAUAAAUUAGAAAAAUUAAUCAUUUUAUAAUUUAUUACACAAGUAAGAUAAAUCUUAUAAUAAGUUAUAACAUAAAAAAACGUUAUCAAUAAAUAAUCAUUUAAGAAGUCAUUUAACAAUAAAAUCGUUCUUUGAUCAGUUGGUCAUGUCACAUAGUAUCAUCUAUAUUUAUGGUGAUAAUAUUAUUACUUGGUAUUAUCAAAAAACAUGAUUUAACAUUUUAGAGGAAAUUCUUGCCUUUUAAAAAAAACAUGUAUGCAACAGCUACCCAUGCUUGAUCUUACAAAUGAACAAAUAAUUUUUCUCAAUGAAAAGAAUUUUUUUUUUAAAUUGAUUUAAUUGCACCAAUUAUGAUGAUUUUUUGCCAAAAAAUUAUUUUUUGGAAAACAUAGUGAGAGAAAAUUAGUGACGAUUAUUUGUUUAGAUUGUAUAAAUAGCUCAAACAUAAUCCCUUAAUAACCNNNNNNNNNNNNNNNNNNNNNNNNNNNNNNNNNNNNNNNNNNNNNNNNNNNNNNNNNNNNNNNNNNNNNNNNNNNNNNNNNNNNNNNNNNNNNNNNNNNNAGGGAGAUCGUCGGGGACAAUCUGAACGGCCGACGCCGAUGAAAUGGAAGGGUUUACCAGAGGAGUGGAUGCGAAGAGUGCAGGGACGGCCGCAGAGAGAGAGCGGCGGAGAGCGGCGACGGACGGUAGUCGGUAUGGGCCAUUGCUUGCGCGUCGGUAAUUGUCUCGAGUGAGAGAGUGAAGGGUUUUGUUUAGGGUUUUGGGAAAUGAAAAAUGCAAAUGUUUGAUUUUGUUGCUAGAAACUUCUUCUGCCGCUGCCUUUUAUUUUCGCUAUAAUAAUAUUAAUAAUUUGUUAAUAAAAUAUUUUCUUAAAAAAGAUAAAUUUCUACGACAAAAUUUAUAUUAAAUCAAAUUGUAAAAAUGUCUAUUAGGGUUAAUUUCUCCUUAAUAUUAUUAUUAGUAGAAGUAGAUUUUCGAAUUAGUCUUGAUAUAUUUCAGAGUUGUAUUAUAAAUGUAUAUGUAUCUGGAUUGCAAUUGUAUUUUUAAAAAAUAUAAUUUUUUUAAUUAUUGCACAAUAAAUGUAGAAAGUGUCUAUAAAAUAAUAUUAUUAGAACUAUGAAAAGAUAUUAUUUUAGAGUAGUUAUUUAUUUAUUUUUGAAUAAAUAAUUUAUUAAUUUAUUGAUAAAUUAAUAUUUAUUAAUUUAAAGAGAGAUUUUUUUUUUGUGGGUUUUAAGAAGAGUUUUGUUGGUAUAUGUAUAAACUUAUAAAGAAAUACAAAAAAUGCUUCCUCAAGUCAAUAAUAUUUACUUUAAUUCAUAAUAAUAUAGUUUAAUCAAGAAACUUGUAAUUAUACUAUAUCUUUCUUUCUUUGUUCAGUUUGGUGGGACAUUGUGAUAAAUCAUUGGAUUAAAAUGCAUUUGUAAAUGAAAACUUGUUAAAACCUAAUUUAUUUGGGAAAAACAUAUUAUUUACUCUUUUUUUUUCCCGCUCUCUGACAAUUGAGGUAUGGGUCAAGCUUGAAAGUAUCUUAAAAUCAGACAACAAUUUAACGAUUUUUUGUUUUUAGAUAACUGCUGGUAUGCUCUACAAUGAUAAGUGAUAACCUAGGUGUUUGCAUUAAUUAUGAUUCAACAAUUUAAAAAAUGAAAACAUAUGGAAGACGGCCGCAAUUAAAUUUAUUGUAUGAAAAUAUUUCAAUGAAAUUUUAAAAAUUUAGUACUUGUUAUCUUAUCGAGAGUUUUUAAUUAUAUUACUACUUGAACUUGACUGCUUUUGUAUUGAAUUCCUAGCGUUGCCAUUGCUUCUACUCAAAAGCCAUUUAAGUUUGUGUAAGCUACCUGUAGUUUGAACAACAAUUUUCUAGAUGAAUUUUUUCCUACAUGCUUGUUCUCGUAUGACCCAAAAUCCUGCUACAUCAGUUGUAUUAGAAAUUAAUCAACUGGGUUACAAUUAUGCAUCCCCACCAAUAUUCAAGCAAUCUACAGAAACAUUUCUUGAGGAAAGAAACUCAUAUCGCCACUAGGCUUUUAAUGAGGCUCAUUUUUAUGAAUCUGGAUGGCAUUAGAUAUCUCUCCGAAUAUUGGUGGGAGUAUAUCGCUGAUCUCUGGGCUAUACUACAAAGUGUAUGUACGUUGACUCUCAAUAAAUACAAACGAUUCUCUGAUCUGAUUCAAAACAUCAGUACAUGCAUCAUUUUAAUGAGAAAGAAUAUUCUAAGAACGAAAUUGAAGGUGCAAUCAGCAGCUAAAAUGAAGCCAGAAAUGUACACGCAUGAGGAACUUUUCCUAGAAGAUUGAUAUUUCUUUAACUAGCAAACCAUAUAAGUCCAAAGCUAACCAAACCAUACCUGCAAGUCCGGGGCUUAAAUGGAGUACUUGUAAGCAUAAAACAUUAAUCAAAACACAGUAUAGACACACACACACACCCCUACAUACAUACCAGCAAAUUCGGAAUAGAAAAAGGAGUGCAACUAUUCAAGUUUGCAGACAAUAUUGCAACCAUGGCAUAUUAAAGCAAAUCCUUGAAAUCAGCUAAACAAAACAAUGCCCUGUCUCAUGAAUCGAUGCUCAAUUAAAAUUGCAAUUGAAAGUCCGGCUGGUGUUGUUUCCCUCCCCAGUUUUGCCUACAUAAGUAAACGGAAAUAAGAAUCAUAAAUGAAAAUCUACUUUGACAGUUCUUAUUAGAUAGAUAUAAAAAGAUCUUUCUUUGUUUCUCUGCUGUAAUUUGUAGACAUGUUCCUAUUGUGCAUAAUUUACAUUAUAGGCAAAUAUUCUUAUACCAUCAUAGGCAAAACAUGACACUAACAAUUGAAGGUUUUAUGACCUCCUUGAAGGUUUUACGAUAAACAUAAAUCUACUGAGAAAGUGGGAAAAAAAAGAAAAUGCAUAUAAAAAUAUGAGUUAUCAGAUAAGAUUGAAACUCACCCAAUUCAAUCCAUCAGAUUCCGCAAGGAUAUAACUGGAUGUCAUACCGCCACUCCAUAUCCUCGAAAGUCCGUAGUCCUUGUCUCAACUGUGUCUGGGGCCAGUGUAAGUCCAAUUUGCGCAAGCUCUUUAUGCACCACAGCUCUUCUGGAAGCUUUCUCAAGUAAGCACAUGGGUUGACAAUUAAGCUUUCAAGUUUCGGCAUUGCUCCAGCCCCCAUCGUCCACUCAUCUAGCCAAUACAUUGAUUUCAGGUGCAAAACCUUAAGUUCGGGAAAGCUACUCAAGCCAACACAAGCAAGCUUUCUUCCUAAAUACGAGUUCUGCUUCAGUUUCAGCACUCGAAGGAGUGGAAGAUUUUCCAGAAUUGGCAUGGGAUCCUGUUGUGAAUUUGGCUUUGUUACGACUAACCAAAUUCUCCCCAAGACACUAAUUUUGUAUCAAAUGGUUUGAGAAUUAACAGCACAGAUUAUGCAGUAACAAAUCACACGCAAGAACCAAAGCAUUAAAGAAACAAAGUGACACCAAGUAUAAGUGGUUCAGCACCAAGAUGUGGUGCCUACAUCCACUGGAAACAAAGCAACAGUCUUUCACUAUUUAGUUCACAAAACAAUACAAUAAUAGGAAUUUAUUUACAGAGAACAAGAACUUGUAAACCCCUUUCUCUCUCUAUCUUCUCUCUACUCUCUGUGUUUCCCAAUUCAUGUGUAGACGAUGACAGAGCCUGCACUUUUAACCUCUGUUUCUGGGUUGUUACAUUAACUACCCUUCCCGCCAAAACUAACCAAGAAGCUCCUCUCUCACGUGCUUGUCACAAGUUGGCAUAAGUGAGCUUGAAACGGCAAUCACAGAUGUCGUUCUUGAGCUAACGAGAUUUCAGCUUCACUACACGUGCAAACCACGUGUAUUACUUAAAGGUUGAAUGACCAAAGAGAGGAUGUCGGUUUUACUCUGAAGAACUCCUCAAGCGACAAGUCGGCUGAGACUAACUCCUCUAAACGACUUGUAGCACUUGAGUUUCGAGUUCACUGUUUAUCAAUCUCCACCUUGAACUCAGAACUCUAGCUACUCAUGUUUACUUCAUUCUCUUCCAUUUGCAGCUAAUCAGAAGCUGCAAAUCCCUACUAAGCUCAAACAGAAGUUGAGCUUGGCAGAUGGCAUAGCUUUAGUCAACAUAUCAGCUGGAUUUUGAUCAGUGUGAACCUUGAGCAUCUUCACAAUUCCCUUGGAAACUUCAAGUCUAACAAAAUGCAGCUUUACAUCGAUAUGUUUUGUUCUUUCGUGAUGGGUCUGGUUUUUACUCAAAUGUAUUGCACUCUGGCUAUCACAAUAUACUUCAACUGUUUCUUGUUUUGCUCCUAACUCAGAGACCAUUCCUUUUAACCAGAUGGCUUCCUUAAAAGCUUCUGCAGCUGCUGUAUAUUCGGCUUCAGUUGUGGACAAAGCUACCACACUUUGCAGUGUAGCUUUCCAAUUCACAGUGCAGCCUCCCAAAGUGAAUAUAAAACCUGUCUGAGACCUCAUUUUAUCAAGAUCUCCAGCGAAAUCUGAGUCAACAUACCCCACCAGCUUGUGCCCUUCCUGUUUUAACCCUCCAUAUAGCAGACCAAACUCCAUAGUGCCUUUCAGGUACCUCAUUAUCCAUUGGACUGCCCUCCAAUGUUCAUAACCUGGAUUUGCCAUGAAUCUACUCACUACACUCACAACAUGUGAGAUAUCAGGUCUAGUGAGAACCAUGGCAUACAUUAGAUUCCCAACUGCACUGGAGUAAGGUAUCCUUGCCAUUUUUCCUUGCUCUGCAUCAGUUUGUGGACACUGUGCAGCAGACAGCUUGAAGUGAUUUGCCAAAGGUGUUUGAACAGACUUAGAUUCAUGCAUCCCAAACCUAAGUAACACCUUUUUAACAUAGCCCUGUUGGGUUAGAAACAUAAGCUUCCUUCUCCUGUCUCUGAUAAUUUCCAUACCUAAGAUCUUCCUUGCAGCUCCAAGAUCUUUCAUAUCGAAUUCACUGCUCAAGAGGUCCUUUAAAUGACUGAUUUCAUUUAUGCUGUGACAUGCUAUAAGCAUGUCAUCCACAUACAGCAUAAGAUAAAUCAUCUUUCCAUCACCAAUGUCCUUAAAGUACACGCAACAAUCAUAAUUGCUUCUCUUAUAGGCAUGUUUUGUCAUGAAACUAUCAAACUUCAAGUACCAUUGCCUAGGAGACUGCUUUAAUCCAUAUAAAGAUUUCUUUAGUAAGCACACAUGAUCUUCCUUGCCAGACACCACAUACCCCUCAGGCUGCUCCAUUACAAUUUCUUCUUGUAAUUCACCAUGCAGAAAGGUUGUUUUAACAUCCAUCUGCUCUAGGUACAAGUCUUGAAUGGCAACUAAAGCUAAGAUGACUCUGAUGGAGGCAUGUUUCACAACUGGAGAGAAGAUUUCAUUGAAAUCAAUCCCCUCUCUUUGUGUGAAACCUCUUGCUACCAGCCUAGCCUUAAACCUACUAGGUUCAGCAUCAAAUAUCCCUUCCUUAAUUUUGAAGAUCCAUUUGCAGCUAACAGUCUUCCUUUUCUCUGGUCUAACUAUCAGUUUCCAAGUUCCAUUUUUCAUUAGUGAUUCAAUUUCCUCAUCCAUAGCCUUCUUCCAUUUCAGCUUAUCCCUGUUGUUUAUAGCUUCUUUAUAGGUUCUUGGCUCUUCUUCAUUUAUCUCUUGUGCAGCUGUUAAUGCAUAAGCUAUCAAAUAUGCUACUGCAUACCUCUUAGGUGGUCUUACAGCUCUCCUCUUUCUAUCCCUGACCAACUGAUAAGAGUUAUUUUCAUUCUCAGCUGGCUCUGACUCCUGAACACCAUCAGAUCCAUCAGCAACCCUUCCUGCAUCUUCUUCAGAUUCUGAUUCAGUCAUAUCUUGCUCAUGGGACUCCACCUGAAACUGAAUACUCCCAGGUUUUAUUUCUGAUCUAUACUCUUUGGAUUCAGUGGCUUUGGAAUUGUUCAAGAUUUCUGACUCAUUGAAAGUUACAUCCCUACUGAUAAUGCAUUUUGGUGGCUUCAGAUCAAUGCACCAUAGCCUAUAGCCUUUAACUCCAUCAGGGUAUCCCAAAAAUCUACACUUUAAGGCUCUUGGCUCCAAUUUGCCUUGUUUGACAUGUGCAUAAGCAACACAGCCAAAGAUUCUUAGUUUAGAGUAAUCAGCAACCCUUCCAGACCAUAGCUCGAUAGGUGUUUUGCAUUCUAUUGCUGUAGAUGGGCUUCUGUUUACCAAGUAGCAUGUUGUGUUUAAGGCCUCUGCCCAGAGUGACUUAGGCAGCUUUGAGUAUAGCAGCAUACACCUCACGUUGUCCAUUAAGGUUCUAUUCAUCCUCUCAGCAAGACCAUUUUGCUGAGGUGUGUGUAUGACUGUUUUGUGCCUCAUAAUCCCAUGUCUUUCACAGAAGUCCCCAAACUCUUUAUUGCAGAAUUCCAUUCCAUUAUCUAUUCUUAGAGCUUUUACUUUCAAACUUGUUUGUGUUUCUACCAGAAUUUUCCAUCUCUUGAACCUUUCCAAAACUUCAUCUUUGGUUUUGAGUACAUACACCCAAACCAUCCUUGAAUAGUCAUCUAUUAGGGAUAAGAAAUACCUACAGCCACCAAGGGAAUCUACCUGUGCAGGUCCCCACAGAUCAGAGUGUAUAUAUGCAAGCCUCUCUUUGGUAGAAUGAACUGCAGAUUCAAACUUGAGCCUGGAAGCCUUCCCUAGAAUACAGUCUUCACAGAACCCCAAAGAACUUAGCUUGUCACUUCCAAACACCCCCUUCUUUUGAAGCUCCUUCAGUCCUCUCUCCCUCAUGUGCCCCAACCUCAAGUGCCAUAGUUUUGCUUUAUCUUCACUCUUCUCAGUGACACUUGCCUCUCCAACAGUUGUAUGUCCAUUAAGCACAUACAAACCAUUUUGCUUGGUACCUUUCAUUAUGACUAUUGAGCCUCUGAUAACUUUUAAUGUCCCAUUUUCAGCCUUAAUGACACAUCCAGUUUGAUCAAGCAUGCCAAUAGAUAUUAGGUUCCUUUUGAGUUCAGGAACAUGCCUAACCUGAGUCAGUUCUCUAACCAUGCCAUCAUACAUCUUAAGGCUUACAGUCCCAAUCCCAACUACUUUACAAACUGAAUUAUUUCCCAUCAGCACCAUACCCCCAUCACAGGACUGAUAUGUAGUAAAGUAAUUUCUAUUUGGACUCAUAUGAAAAGUACAUCCAGAGUCUAGUACCCACUGACCUUGAGUUUUUUCUUUUGUGGCAAUGAGGACUUCAGCUGUCUCAAAACUGGUUUCUUCUGUGGCUAUUGCUGCAUUUCCAGAUUUUUCUUUUGAUUCCUUUUGUUUUGUUUUUCUCUCAGGGCAAUCCCUCUUGAAAUGCCCUUCUUUGUGGCAGUGAAAACACUUCAAGUGUUUUUGCUUUGACUUUGAUCUUCCUUGCUUCUUUCCUUUGUAUUCUCUUUUUUCAGAUCUUCCCCUUGCCAUCAGCCCUUCACUUGAUUCACUCUCUGAGUUAUCUUGUUUGUCUUUUAACUUCUUGGUACCAAGAGCAGAUUUAACCUCUUCCAAGGAGAGUGAUUGCCUUCCAUAUAACAAGGCAUCCACAAAAUGUUCAUACGAUUUUGGUAAAGAACUGAUUAACAGCAAAGCCUUGCUCUCAUCACUCAGUCCUUCAUCAAUUGUUUCCAGUUCAUCACAAACUUUAUUAAACUCAUCUAUGUGUUCAUCAAGUGAUGCUCCUUCAAUCAUCCUCAGUGAGAACAUCUUUUUCUUGAUGUAUAGCCUGUUUGCUAAAGACUUUGUCAUAUACAAUUGUUCCAGUUUUGCCCAGAGCCCAGCAACAGUCUUUUCUUUUGCAACUUCCCUUAUCACUGAGUCACCAAGACUGAGGAUGAUAGUGCUUCUUGCCUUUUUGUCAAUCUCAGCCAUCUGUUCUGGAGUUCUUGAAGAAGAAGCUUCUGCAUUUUCACUCUUGAUGACUGGAUCAAUGGCAUCUCCCAGACCUUGUGUGAUUAACAAUGCUUCCAUCUUGAUCCUCCACAUAUUGAAGUCAUUCUGACCCGUGAACUUCUCAAGAUCCACCUUGUUUGUCAUUUCUUGAACCUUGAUACAGAAAAGAGGGCUCUGAUACCAAUUUGUUGUGAAUUUGGCUUUGUUACGACUAACCAAAUUCUCCCCAAGACACUAAUUUUGUAUCAAAUGGUUUGAGAAUUAACAGCACAGAUUAUCCAGUAACAAAUCACAUGCAAGAACCAAAGCAUUAAAGAAACAAAGUGACACCAAGUAUAAGUGGUUCAGCACCAAGAUGUGGUGCCUACAUCCACUGGAAACAAAGCAACAGUCUUUCACUAUUUAGUUCACAAAACAAUACAAGAAUAAGAAUUGAUUACAGAGAACAAGAACUUGUAAACCCCUUUCUCUCUCUAUCUUCUCUCUACUCUCUGUGUUUCCCAAUUCAUGUGUAGACGAUGACAGAGCCUGCACUUUUAACCUCUGUUUCUGGGUUGUUACAUUAACUACCCUUCCCGCCAAAACUAACCAAGAAGCUCCUCUCUCACGUGCUUGUCACAAGUUGGCAUAAGUGAGCUUGAAACGGCAAUCACAGAUGUCGUUCUUGAGCUAACGAGAUUCCAGCUUCACCACACGUGCAAACCACGUGUAUUACUUAAAGGUUGAAUGACCAAAGAGAGGAUGUCGGUUUUACUCUGAAGAACUCCUCAAGCGACAAGUCGGCUGAGACUAACUCCUCUAAACGACUUGUAGCACUUGAGUUUCGAGUUCACUGUUUAUCAGAUCCUCCAUUAGCUCAGUAUUUGAUAAGCUCAGUUGGAUCAGACUUGGGGGAAAUUGGUAUUCAGACAGGACCAUCCGUGACGGCUUGCUCUCAUUCACCAGCUUCAAGCAUUCAAGUUUGUGGAGUUCGCAAAGGCUUUUGGAAACCCCAGAUUGAUAGUAACUCAAAUCUCCAGAUAUCCGAAGAGUCCGAACACUAGGUAGUCUGAACAAUAUAUCAGGAGUACAACUACUAGGGUUUAAAGCAGAUGUGAAAAUGAGAUUUUUCAGAGAGCUAGAAUAAUUUUUUGGAGGUGCGGGCAAAGUGAUAGAACCAAAGUUUAGAUGCAUGAGUUUUUGCAUCAUCCAAAUAUCCUCUGGUGACUGAUCUAUGUGGCUAGAUGGCAUUUCUAGUGUUUCAAGGUUUAAAAGGGUGCAUAGCAGUGAAGGAAGGCAUUUGAGCGAAGGGAUAUUCAAUUUCAAAUACUUCAAAAGAUAUAAAUUUUCUAAUCCGGGUGGAAAUUGGUCGAGAACUGCAGAACCGAAGUUCAAUACCCGAAGGUGUUUGAACCUUUUAAAAAAAUUCUCGCAAUCUUUCGGAUUAAGAUGAUUGCUUUUUGAACUGUGAUUCAGAAAAGAUUGGAGAUACAUGUAAGAAUAUUCUAAAGGAAAGAAGUCAAACUGAUUACCCAAAAUGAUGCACCGUUUAAAAUUUGCCGGCGGUUCCUCAUCCACGUCAUGCAUCCAGACAAAUCCCGUCGCCUGUGCCAACAAUAACAAUGAAGUAUAUACAAAACUUGGAACAUAACACGCUUUAAUUGUGCCGCCGGCGCUUCUCUUACUCACUUGAAUGAAGCCGCGAUGGAUUAAUUGUUUCAAGUAAUGUUCGGCAGUUUCUUCACUGUUGUAUGGUAUGAAACCUUCAGCUACCUACAACUGAUAUAAUUGCCUCGUGGAUAUCUCAAUACUUGGAGGGAAGACACACAAAUAGAUGUAGCAGACUUUCAAGUGAAAAGGUAACUCCAUCACAGAAAAAAUUUGUCUCUCAACUGUCAAGCCGAAUUUUCCUUGGGUCAGGGUUUCUAAUGGCAUACUUCCAUAGUGUAGGAUGAAAAAUUGCCAGGCUUCAUGCUUUAAUCUGAUCAAUGGUCCUCCAAUGAGCACCGAAUCAAGCCGAAUUUUCUCUCCAUUUUCCAUUUCCAACGACGUAAGGAGUGUUGGUUCAGUGACCAAUAUCAAUACUCUGCUUCCAUUCUGAUCAUCAGGAAGAAGUUCUACAACAUCACUCCACAUCUCACUGUAAUGGAAGACAUCAUCAAGCACAAUAAAGUACUUCUUGUUUGUUAGGUAAUCUCGAAGAAUAGAUUUCUUGAAUUGAUAAUCUUUACCGAUAAUUACUCUAACCCGAGAUGGAGGCAUCACAGAUUUGAUUAUGUCUUCCAAUAUCUUGCCAAAAUCGUAGAGUAGAGAAACCCUGACCCAAGCAAGACAGUCAAAAUAGAACUUGACAUAGUUAUUAUUGUAAGUAUCUGCAGCAAAAGCAGUCUUAUCGAAGCCACUGCUGUCGAGAAUUGCAACCACUGAAAGCCCAGAUGGUCCCUCAAUCAAUAGAUCAAAAAACUUCUCUCAGCCCCGUUCAAAUUCACUGAUAUCGAGCGGAGGUUGUCCCUCACUUAAUAGGCGAAUGAUUUCGUUACUUUUUUCACUGAUAUCAAAACCAUUGUCGCCGGGUGGAAGUUGUUGCGUCCGAUUUCUAAUAUCAAUGAGUUCACUGUGGAGUCCAUCAUGAAGAGCCAUAUUAGUGCUGCUUUCACUUUCGUUUUAACUGUUUUGCUGCUGCAUGAUGUUGAUGAAGAACGUGUCAAUGGCUUCCUCAGAUUCAUGGACAAAGUCAUUGAUGUCCUGAAGAAUUUCCAGAAUGUCUGAUCUUUCAUCGUCUUCUUCAUCACUUUCUUCUAAGUCCAACAGUUGCAAUAAAGGCAAAGACAUUUCGGAUUCAACGAAUUCUUGUCUGAUGAGUUGAGACAAAAUCCGAGCCAUGUCAGCUUCAUAGUUUCCCAACAGAGUAGUAGUAAUAAUUUCAGACUCCGUAAGAAGGUUUUGAAAAAACGGGGCUAAAUUUGUUGAAUCAGGCAACGUUAACGUGCCUUCUUCACCUGCUAACACCCUUCUCAACCUCUCACAAAACAGUCGGAGGUGGACGUCCAGCAUAUCUCCUUCUCUCUGUAGCACCCAGAGGUAUUGUUUUUUGCUCCAAGAAAUAUUAAAAGGAUUGGUUCUAUCUCAAAGUGGUUACUGGUGUAAAAUUAAACGCCAUGGGAGAAUUUGAAUGGAAGAUGCCAAGGAACUGGCGAAGUGGCUAAAUUCCACAAAUACGGCAUUAUUGCUCAUUUUUAACUCAAAAAAUUGAUACGCGUUCAUUUAGCGAAAAGUCCAAGACGCGUGCCUUUUGAAAAGAAGAGGUAUCCAAUAGAUAUCCAACCUUUAUCUUAUUUUAAUUACUACCACGACAUGAUUGAUGGUGGUUAAAUCAAUUGUUUCUUUUUUAAUUUAAAGAAAUUUUCAUUAAAAAAAUAUUUUAAUAUCAAAUUGCCUUCAAUAGCGUAACUGCCGCAGGCCCAGUAACAGGAUUAAUUAAAUUUUUUUGAAUUUUUGGGCAUGGAAAGAGUAGUAUUAGACUUCAGUAAGCUAAGGUUGUUAUGUUAAAGAAUUGAUAUUGACAUAAUUUUAUUUUAGCUUUCGGGGAAAAAAAUAUUUGUUGACAAGCAAGAAAAUAUUUUUGUAUUUUACAAUUUAUUAUACUUAGUUUAUCAUAUUAAAGUAAUUUUAAUAAUAAAUAGACACAUAAUAUUACAAUAAAUAAAGUAAAGUUUAAAUUAUUUUGAAUAUUAUAAAAAAUAAUUUUAAUAUUAUUAAUAGGAAGACAUUUUGUUAAUUUUAAAAUAUUUUUAACCUAAAGGUUUAUUUAAAAUCUUUAGAAAUCUCCAUCCCACAUCUACCCUAUUAAACAAGUUGAUGGAAAUUGAACAAUUGCUUUUUGAAGUGUACCCAUUGAGUUAUGUUCAUUACUGGUCAUUGUCUAUUCUUUCUAAGAGCCACUUGUUUUGAGCAUUAGCAAUCCUAUCUGGACUACUCCAAUUAUUGAUGUAACUCCAAUGGUUGCAUCAACAGUUGAAUGUAAGAUAGUGUUAGUUCUUUUUUGAGAAUUUCUUUAUUUGUUUCUCCGUUGCAGCGUAUUAGUAUAAAUUUCUUUACCUUACAGAUCCUACAGUCUUCCUGUUAAUGAAUUCGCUGAGGCAUUAUUGAUCCAAUCUCAGUGAAGUAAUUGUGGGUGAAAGAAAAAAUAAAGGAUAAGAGAACGUAGCUCAAGUGCGGCAAACCAUACAUGCAUGAACAAAAGCCAGCAAAUCCAAAUGAAAACUUAAACGGAAGAUCUUAUUCAAGUUUGUCCCCAAAAGACAGCUGAAAUGAAAAAUAUUGACUAUCGAGUGGAUCAAUGCUGAAUUACAUUUGACCUGGAAAGCUUGGCUGCCGUUGCGAUGUUCCCCCUCUGAUUUUCCCUAAAACAAAUUCAGUUGUAAACAAUAACUGGGGUAGCAACAAUUUAUUCAUUAUAGAAAAUACCUAAAUUUUCAACCACCAAAUCCUCGUGUCUAAACUAAAAAACUCAUAUCUCUAAAAUCUAUAUACAAAAUGUCAUAAAUGAGGGUGAUCUCUCAAUUCGGUAAAUAAAUUCAUGCAUAAUAUUACCAAUAAUGAUAAAUUACAUAAUAAUUAUUAUAAAGAAUCAUAAAUUGGAAACAUUAAUCAUUUUAAAAUGUAUUACAUAAUAAAGAUAAAUCUUAUAAUAAGUUACGUUAGAACAUAAUAAAUAUUUUCAAUAAUAUAUAUAAUUAUUUAAGAAGUCUUUUAGCAAUAAAAUAUAUAUUUUUUCUUUUUCAGUUGAUCAUGUCAUAGCGUUAUCUAAAAUGUUAGCGAUAUCAUUAUUCUUCACUUUUCUCAAAAAAAAAAAAAGAAAAAAAAAAGAAACAUGAUUAACGUUUGGAGAAAAGUCAUGCCUUUUAAAAAGAAUAUGUAUACAAUACCAAUCCAUACUUUAUCUGACCAUGACAAAAUUGUUUAAAAUAGAUUUAAUGCACAAAUAUGAUGACUUUUGGCAGAAAUUAGUUUCGGAAAUAUUGGGAUGAAAACCAUAUUGGUUGAGACUUAAAAUUACUUAACUACCAUUUAAUAGAUAAAAACCAUAUUAGUUGAAAGUUAAAUUAAGAUUUAAAUGUUGAGAUAUCUAACGUUACUUAAUCAGAAUAAACAAUAAUCAAUUCAAAUUAUGACUAUCAUGUAGAAGCAAAUGUUUAUGCUUGGGUCUUUUACUUCUUGAAUUUGAUUGGAAAAAUUUCUGAGACAGAGAAGUGAGUGUUUUGGAUAAUAUUUUUCGGGAUUGAAACCACAAAUUGGUCGAGGAAAAUAAUUUUGGACAAAUUUUUAUUAUAUUGUAGCACCUUUUUGGUUCCUUUUGUGUCGGCAGCCCCUCACUAUUCUCUUAACCCUGAGUUUUGAGAUAGAAAUUUCCCGAACUCCAACCCCACAUCCACAGACAAGUUGAUUGAAACAAUUGCUCUUGUAAUUAAGAGGAUGAGAUAGGGUUCAGUUCUUAUCAUUGUCUGUUAUUUCUUUGAAUCAUUAUCUUAAUUAAUUACAUCAAUUGUUUCUUUUUUUAAUUUAAAGAAUUUUUCUUUAAAAAAAUAUUUUAAUAUCAAAAUGCGUUAAAUGGUAUUACUGCCGCAAUCCCAGUAACAGGAUUAAUUAAAAAAAUAUUCUUAGGAAGAUAUUUUGUUUAUUGUAAAAUCUUUUUAAUCCAAAGGUUUAUUUAAAAUCGUUAUAAUAAAUAAAAAUAUAAAAACAAAAUAAAUAUCAUAAUUUAAAAUUUUAAUAUUAUUUUAAAUAUUAAAAAUACUUUAAUGCUAUUAGUCUACUACACAGGUUAUAUUACUUAUAUUAUAUUUGUAUAAAUUAAAACUUUUAAAGUUAAAUCUUUAAUUACUAUAUUGAAAAGGUAUUAUGGUUAAAAAAAGUUUUGGCAUUUUUUUUUGAAAAUUUGAGGGUCUGCAUGACAAUUUGUCCAAAUCCUAGAGGUAUAGGUGUAUUUUUUUUUCGAUAAUUCAUUUUACUUUUGAGGGAAUCCGAUGAGAAAUAAGAUAAGAGAAACUUCAAUUUAAUGUUCUCUAGGGAAAACCAAGAACUAUUCAACUUUGUAUUUUUUGUUUGUAAAACAAAAAACAGUUUGCCAAAAAAGGUACCAAACAUAUCCUUAAUGUCUCACAUGAUUUCUUAUUAAGUCCAUACUCGAUAUAUUUAUACAUUUUAGGUAUUUUAGUUAUAAAAGAAGUUGGUCCUCCCUCUGUUUAUAAAAGGUAACUUUAUUUCGAGAUUACCACUAAAGUCUUACAAAGAAUUAGUGUAAUGUUAAGAGAGACUAACACAGUUUUCCAUUACCAUUUUGAAAAUAGAAAGAUAUGGAUGUGUGCAUUUAAUGGUGAGUUUACUUGCCGGAUUGGGGAAUCAGAAUCUGGAAUCGGAAUGAUUGAUGGUGUUUACUUCGCAAAUAUGGAGCAGGAAUCAGAAUUGGAAUGGUGGAGCCCACCACUAUUUGGGAAUGGGAGAUUGAUUCCCAUGGGGGAAGGUGGGAAUGAGUCUCCCAUUCCCUGGAUUAACCAUUUUGCCCUCCCUCAAAAUUAAAAAUGCCUACUUUGUCCUCUUUUAUAAUUAAUUAAUAUAAUAUUAUAAUUAAUUAAUUAAUAUAUAAAUAUUUUAUUAACUAUAAUUAUUAAAAAUUAUAGUUCUUGAAUAAAUAAUCACAAUAAUUAAUUUAUUAUUAUUAUUGUUAAUGAAUUAAUAUAAUUAUUACUAUUAAUUAAUAUAUUAAUAUAUUAUUAACAAUAAUAUAUUAAUAAUUAUUUUUCGUGAAUAAAUAAUCACAAUAAUUAAUAUAUUAUUAUUGUAAUUAAUUAAUUAAUAUACUAUUAUAAUAAUUAAUUCAUAUAUUAUUAUUAAUUAAUUAAUAAAAUUAAAAUUAUUAAUUAAAUAAAUAAUAUAAUUAUUACUACUAAUUAAUAUAUUAUUAAAAAUAAUUAUUAAUAAUUAUAAUUUUUGAAUAAAUAAUCACAAUAAUUAAUAUAUUAUUUUAAUUAAGUAAUUAAUAUUAAUAUUAUUAGUUAAUAUAUUUUUAUAAUAAUUUUUGAUAUAGUUAUUAUAAUUAAUUAAAUUUUUUUACAAUUAAUUAAUAUAUUAGUUAAUAAUAAUUAUGACAAUAAUCCAUUAAGUACUUUUUAGUAAUUUGUUACAAUCUAAUUCAUUCUGAUUCCGAUUUCAAGACAAAGUAAACACAUUAAUGGCAAUCUAGCUCAUUUCGAUUUUGAUUCUUACAGUUCAAGUAAACAACUUAUUUUGAUUCCCAUUACCUAUUCCCAUUCCAGCCCAUUCUCAUUUCUGCCCAUUUCAAUUCCAGCUCAUUCCGAUUCCAGUUUAGUAAACGCAGCAUAAGAGUUAUCAUGAAAAUCAUACAAUUUAAUUUCCUGAAAUAUAUAUUUUAUUCACAUGUGCCAAAAGAAUAAAUAGAUAGAAAGUAAAUUUACAAUCCUCACUCCCUCAUAAUUGUUAAAGUGAAUAUGCAUUACAACUGUGAACUGUCACUACUUUAGCCCCUUUUUUUUUUUUUUCAAUUAUAGUGUGAUGGAGACAGUGAACAUUAAGGAUAAAGUGCUCUGCUGAAAGCCAAACUUCCUUUGGCUAAUUAAUUUAGAAGUAAAGCAGAGAAUAAAGUCCUUGAUGCCUUCUGAAAUUAGAAAUACAUUUUAUAUGCUUUAAUUAUGAUUAUUUGGUAGACUAUUGACCAAAAGACAUGUUAAAGUAUAAAACAGAGCGAUCAAAGAAAAAAAAAAAAGGAGCGUUUGUGACGUAGAAUAACAAUUUGUAAGUAAAGUCCUAAUUUGAGUUGUCAAAAAGCAAAUAUAACAGAGAAGGUAAGAGAGAUGCAAAAAGGGGAAAUUUACAGUAAUAACCAUUAAAGUUUUGAUUUUUUUCAUCUUAACCCCUUAAAAAUAUUUCUAUCAACAUUAGCCAUAAAACAACUUUUGAGACCAAAAUACCUCUCCUUCAUCUCUCCCCCAAAAAACUUGUUCUGUGGCCAAAAAGCUUGAUUUUUUUUUUAAAAAAAAAAUCUAAUCUUUUGCGGCUUGUUGCAUGAUUUUAAGAUGAAAAAUUUGUCAAGUUGUAUUCUAUCAGCAUUAUUAUUAUUAAUGCUUUCACCUGCAAAUUCAUUGAUAUUCAUUCCCCCUUCCAUAAUCUUCGUGCCCAAAUUGCUUCUAACUUUUCUCGACUUCGACGCGGGUGAGAGAUUGCUUUUCCUUUCACCUUUUUGUUUUCUUCCGUUUAGCUUCAUUAUUUUAAAAAAAAAAAAACCGAAACAGAACAGAAACAAAAGCUUCAGCCCGCGGCCACCGUCCAAGGCUGCCGGCUCUCGUUUUCCGUCACCGAUCCGGACGCAACCACCACUAAACGGAUCAUAAAUCGCCGGCCAUCAAACUCCAAGCAUCGGACACCGUUGAUUAGCCACAGAUCGCCGGAAAAGCAACCAAAACAGCCGCGCCAACCGUGCCGUCAUUCACCGGUUUCCGCCGCGAUUUAGCCAGCACCACCGUAAUCAAUCCACUCCUCUCCACGAGCUCAACCUCUUUCGUUAUUCCCCACCUCCGAUCGACCAACCCAUCGCCGGAAUCUAAGCAUCACCAAACAGUUACAACUUAUCUCAAAUUUCCGGCCAAAACGCCACCGUUUCCGACGAAUCACAAACAUCAUCAUGAACAACUUCAAGUUUUGGUGCGACAGGGUGCUUGUCGCACCAAAACUUGGUGCGACGGGUGCCUGUCGCACCAAGGCUUGGUGCGACGGGUGCCUGUCGCACCAAGGCUUGGUGCGACGGGCACCCUGUCAUCAGAUUCAUCCUCCGACUCAGAUCAAUAAGUUUGAAAAUAACUCAUGCCACGAUGCCGAUUAGUUUUGGUCUGUAAAGAAGGGUAAUUUAGGGAGAAAGGCUUGUGUUUGGCUAAUGUUGAUAGAAAAAAAUUCAGAGGAUUAGUUGCAAAAAUAACAAAAUAUUUAUGGUUAUUUUCGUAAAUUUCCCCAAAAAGAGAACUAUUAGCUUAUCUUGAUUUCCCCACUAUAUUCAUUUUCGAUGCUUUUCAAACGAGAUUCUUUUAAUCCUUCUGGCGUCUGCAGCCCCUGCUCUUCUUAUAAAUCUCCAUCCCACAUCUGCACUACGAACAAAUUGACUAAAAUUAAAUAAUGUUGGAGACGAGGGAUGAGCUGUCAACUUAUUAAAAAAAACUCAUGUAUAAUAUUAUCAAUAAUAUAAAAUAUAUAAUAAUUAUUAUAAAGAAUCAUAAAUUAGAAAAAUUAAUUAUUUUACAAUCUAUUUCUUAAGUAAGAUAAAUCUCGUAAUAAGUUAAGUUUAAUGUAAAAAAAUAUUUUCAAUUUAUAAUCAUUUAAGAAGUCAUUUAACAAUAAAAUCUUUCUUUUGAUCAGGUGGCCAUGCCAUAGAGUAUCAUCUAUAUUCGUGGUGAUAUUAUUAUUACUCAAUAUCCUCAAAAGACACGAUUUAACAUUUAGAGAAAAUUCCUGCCUUUUAAAAAGAACAUGUAUGCAAUAGCUAGCCACACUUUAUUUUACCACGACAAAAUUGAUAGUGAUUAAAUCAAUUUUCUCAAUUAAAGAAAUUUUUUUAAAUUGAUUUAAUGCACAAAUAUGAUGAGUUUUUGCAAAAAUUAGUUUUGGAAAAUAUAGUGAGAGAGAAUGGUGACGAUUAUUUUUCAGAUGUGCAAAUAGCCUAAACAUAAUCUCUAAUACCAAUAUCCUUGUGCAUCUUAACACCUUUCAUGAUAUUCUUUCAUUCAUGGCCAUUUGUUCAAUAUUUGAAUUUGAUUAUUAAAUUAUGUUCAAUAAUGUUAGAGACCCCAAUAAUUGGGUACCAACUUAAAUCCCAAUGCUAUGUGUCAUUAACAAAUGUUGUGUCAUUUAUCAUUAUUGAAUGAAUAAUUCGUUAAUUUAUUGAUAAAUGAAAAUUUAUUAAUUUAAAGAGAGAUUGUUUUUUUUUGGUUUUAAGAAGAGUUUUGUUGGUACAUGUACAUACUUAUAAAGAAAUAAACUUGUAAUUAUACUAUAUCUUUCUUUCUUUGUUCAGUUUGGUGGGAUAUUGUGAUAAAUCAUUGGAUUAAAAUGCAUUUCUAAAUUGAAACUUGUUAAAAUCUAAUUUAUUUAGGAAACACAUAUUAUUUGUCAGUCGUACUUCUCAAAUAAGAUUAAAACUCACCCAAUUCAAUCCAUCAGAUUCCGUAAGGAUAUAACUGGAUGUCAUACCGCCACUCCAUAUCCUCGAAAGUCCGUAGUCCUUGUCUCAACUGUGUCUGGGGCCAGUGUAAGUCCAAUUUGCGCAAGCUCUUUAUGCACCACAGCUCUUCUGGAAGCUUUCUGAAGUAAGCACAUGGGUUGACAAUUAAGCUUUCAAGUUUCGGCAUUGCUCCAGCCCCCAUCGUCCACUCAUCUAGCCAAUUUACUCAUGAAUUGUUGUUCAUAUUAGCAAUUUGAUUGAAAGUGUGGCUGCACUAAUUUUCUAGAUGAAUUUUUUCCUACAUGCUUGUUCCCGUGUGACCCAAAAUCCUGCUACAUCAGUUGUAUUAGAAAUUAAUCAACUGGGUUACAAUUAUGCAUCCCCACCAAUAUUUAAGCAAUUUAAUUACAGAAACAUUUCUUGAGGAAAAAAACUCAUAUCGCCACUAGGCUUUUAAUGAGGCUCAUUUUUAUGAAUUUGGAUGGCAUUAGAUAUCUCUCCGAAUAUUGGUGGGAGUAGAUCGCAGAUCUCUGGGCUAUACUACAAAGUGUAUGUACGUUGACUCUCAAUAAAUACAAACGAUUCUCUGAUAUGAUUCAAAACAUCAGUGCAUGCAUCAUUUUAAUGAGAAAGAAUAUUCUAAGAACGAAAUUGAACGUGCAAUCAGCAAUUAAAAUGAAGCCAGAAAUGUACAUGCAUGAGGAAUUUUUCUUAGAAGAUUGAUAUUUCUUUGACUAGCAAACCAUACAAGUCCAAAGCUAGCAAACCAUACCUGCAAGUCGGGGGUUUAAAUGGAGUACUUCUAAGCAUAAAACAUUGAUUAAAACAGAAUACACACAUACAUACCAGCAAAUUCAAAAUAGCAAAAGGAGUGCAAAAGUUCAAGUUUGUAGACAACAUUGCAACCAUGGCAUGUUUAUAGCAAAUCCUCGAAAUCUGCUAAAUAAAACAAUGCCCUGUCUCAUGAAUCAAUGCUGAAUUAAAAUUGAAACUGAAAGUCUGGCUGGCGUUGUUUCCCUCUCCAAUUUUGCCUACAUAAGUGAAAAUAAGAAUAAUAAAUGAAAAUCUGCUUUUACGGUUCUUCUUUGAUAGAUAAAAGGGGGAUCUUUCUUUGUUUCUCUGCUGCAAUGUGUGCCUAUCCCACUCUGUUUUGCCACCCAAGCUGAGUCUAUGUUGAGACAUAAUUUUGACAUCCGAAGCAAUCUCAAUUAGUUUGGCAAUUUUAUGACCUCCUUGAAGGUUUUAUGAUAAACAUAAAUCUACUGAGAAAGUGGGAAAAAAAGAAAAUGCAUAUAAAAAUAUGAGUUAUCAGAUAAGAUUAAAACUCACCCAAUUCAAUCCAUCAGAUUCCAUAAGGAUAUAACUGGAUGUCAUACCGCCACUCCAUAUCCUUGAAAGUCCGUAGCCUCUGUCUCAACUCUGUCUGAGGCCAAUGUAAAUCCAAUUUUCGCAAGCUCUGUAUGCACCACAGCUCUUCUGGAAGCUUUCUCAAGUAAGCACAUGGGUUGACAAUUAAGCUUUCAAGUUUCGGCAUUGCUCCUGCCCCCAUCGUCCACUCAUCUAGCCAAUACAUUGAUUUCAGGUGCAAAACCUUAAGUUCGGGAAAGCUACUCAAGCCAACACAAGCAAGCUUUCUUCCUAAAUACGAGUUCUGCUUCAGUUUCAGCACUCGAAGGAGUGGAAGAUUUUCCAGAAUUGGCGUGGGAUCCUCCAUUAGCUCAGUAUUUGAUAAGGUCAGUUGGCUCAGACUUGGGGGAAAUUGGUAUUCGGACAGGACCAUCCGUGAGGGCUUGCUCUCAUUCACCAGCUUCAAGCAUUCAAGUUUGUGGAGUUCGCAAAGGCUUUUGGAAACCCCAGAUUGAUAGUAACUCAUAUCUCCAGAUAUCCGAAGAGUCCGAACACUUGGUAGUCUGCCCAAUAUAUCAGGAGUACAACUACUAGGGUUUAAAGCUGAUAUGAAAAUGAGAUUUUUCAGAGAGCUAGAAUAAUUUUUUGGAGGUGCGGGCAGAGUGAUAGAACCAAAGUUUAGAUGCAUGAGUUUUUGCAUCAUCCAAAUAUCAUCUGGUGACUGAUCUAUGUAGCUAGAUGGCAUUUCUAGUGUUUCAAGGUUUAAAAGGGUGCAUAGCAGUGAAGGAAGGCAUUUGAGCGAAGGGAUAUUCAAUUUCAAAUACUUCAAAAGAUAUAAAUUUUCUAAUCCGGGUGGAUAUUGGUCCAGGACUGCAGAACCCAUGUUCAAUACCCGAAGGUGUUUGAACUUUUUACAAAAAUUCUCGCAAUCUAUCAGAGCGAGACGAUCGCUUUCUGAACUGUUAUUCAGAAAAGAUUGGAGACGCGUGUCAGAAUAUUCUAAAGAUAAAAACUGAAUCAGAUCUUCCCAAAUGAAGCACCGUUUAACAUUUGCCAGUGGUUCCCUUUUCCUUUCACGCAUCCAGACAAAUCCCGUAAUCUCUGCCACCAAAGCCAAUGAAGUAUAUACAAUACUUGGAACAUAACACGCUUUGAUUAUGCCUCCGGCUCUUCUCUUACUCACUUGAAUGAUGCCGCGAUGGAUUAGUUCUUUCAAGUAAUGUUCGGCAGUUUCUUCACCGUGGUAUGGUAUGAAACCUUCAGCUACCCACAACUGAUAUAAUUGCCUCGUAGAUAUCUCAAUACUUGGACAGAAGACAUACAAAUAGAUGCAGCAGACUUUCAAGUGAAAAGGUAACUCCAUCACAGAAAAAAUUUGUCUCCAAAUUGUCGGAAUCGCUUCGCCUCGAAAAUAAUUUUCUAAUGGCAUACUUCCAUAGUGUAGGAUGAAAAAUUGCCAGGCUUCAUGCUUUAAUCUGAUCAAUGGUCCUCCAGUGAGCACCGAAUCAAGCCGAAUCUUCUCUCCGUUUUCCAUUUCCAACGACGCAAGGAGGUUUGGAUCAGUGACCAAUAUCAAGACUCUGCUUCCAUUCUGAUUAUCAGGAAGAACUUCUUCAAGAUCAUCCCAUAUCUCACUGUGAUCAAAGACAUCAUCAAGCACAAUAAAGUACUUCUUGUUUGUUAGGAAAUCUCGAAGAACAGAUUUCUUCAAUUGAUAAUGUUCACCGAUAAUUACACUAACCCGAGAUGGAGGCAUCACAGACUUGAUUAUGUCAUCCAAUAUCUUGCCAAAAUCGUAGAGUAUAGAAACCCUGACCCAAGCAAGACAGUCAAAAUAGAACUUGACAUGAUUAUUGUUGUAAGUAUCAGCAGCAAAAGCAGUCUUGUCGAAGCCACUGCUGUCGAGAAUUGCAACCACUGCCAGCCCAGAUGGUCCCUCAAUCAAUAGAUCAAACAACUCCUCUCUGCCCCGUUCAAAUUCACUGAUAUCAAGCCGACGAUGUCCCUCACUCAAUAGGCGAAUGAUUUCGUUACUUUUUUCACGGAUAUCAAAACCAUUGUCGCCGGGUGGAAGUUGUUGCGUCCGAUUUCUAAUAUCAAUGAUUUUAGUGUGGAGUCCAACAAGAAGAGCCAUAUCAGUACUGCUUUCACUUUCGUUUUCACUGUUUUGCUGCUGCAUGAUGUUGAUGAAGAAUGUGUCAAUUGCAUCCUCAGAUUCAUGGACAAAGACAUUGAUGUCCUCCAGAAUUUCCAAAAUAUCUGCUCUUUCAACAUCUUCUUCAUCGCUUUCUUCUAAGUCCAACAGUUGCAAAAAAGGCAAAGAUAUUUUGGAGUCAUCGAAUUUUUCUCUAAUGAGUUGAAACAAAUGCCGAGCCAUGUCAGCUUCAUAUUUUCCCAGCAGAGUAGUAGCAAUAAUUUCGGACUCCGUAAGAAGGUUUUUAAAAAGUGGAGUUAAUUUUGUUGAAUCUGGCAGCGGCAACGUGCCUUCUUCACCUGCUAACACCCUUUUCAACCUCUCACAAAACAGUCGGAGGUGGAAUUCCAGCAUUUCUCCUUCUCUCCGUAGCACUCAGAGGUAUAGCUGAAAGAUUAAACACCAUGGAAGAAUUUGAAAGGAAAAUGCCAAGAAAUUGUGUAAGUGGCUAAAUUCCACAAAUAUGACAUUAUUGCUCAUUUUUUAACUCAAAAAAAGGGUACGCGUUCAUUUAGAGAAAAGUCCAAGACGCGUGCCUUUUGAAAAGAACAGGUAUCCCAAUCGGUAUCCAACCUUUAUCUUAUUUAAUUACUACCAUAACAUAAUUGAUGGUGCUUAAAUCAAUUGUUUCUUUUUUAAUUUAAAGAAUUUUUCAUUAAAAAAAUAUUUUAAUAUCAAAUACCCUUCAAUGGCAUAACUGCCGCAAGCCCAAAAACAGGAUUAAAUAAUUUUUUUUUUUGAAUUUUUGGUCAUGGAAAGAGCAGUAUUAAACAUCAGAAAGCUAAGGUCGUUAUGUUAAAGAAUUGAUAUUGACAUAAUUUUUUUUGGUUUUCGGGGAAAAAAAAAUUGUUGACAAGCAAGAAAAUAUUUUUAUAUUUUACAAUUUAUUAUACAUAUUUUAUCUUAUUAAAGUAAUUUAAUAAUAAAUAGAAACAUAAUAUUACGAUAAAAAAAUUAAAGUUUAACUUAUUUUGAAUAUUAUAAAAAAUAAUUUUAAUAUUAUUAAUAUGGGGACAUUGUAUUAAUUUUAAAAUUUUUUAACCCAAAGGUUUAUUUAAAAUGUUUAUUAUAAAUACAAAUAUAAAAUUAAAUAUCAUAAUUUAAAAUUUUUAAUAUUAUUUUAAGUAUUAAAAAUAUUUUAAUGUUAUUAGUCUACUACAUAGAUCAUAUUACUUAUAUAAUAUUUGUAUUAUUAAAAAUUCUUAAAAUCAAAUUUUUAGUUAGUAUAUUCAUGAGGUAUUAUGGUUAAAAAAAAAAAGACCUUAUUGUUACUUUUUAAAAAAUUGAGGGCCUUCGUGAUAAUUUUUUCAAAAAGAAAAUACUUGGUAUCUGGGAGGGAUAGAGAAAUAGGACUCCCAAAAUCUCUCACCCUUUUUUAAUUAAAAAAAUUAAAAUAUCAAUAAAAAAUAAUAAAGAAAAUAGAAUUUUAUCUACUCCUUACUUCAUUUUUGCAACUCUCUCACCAUCUCUGUCGAGCAGCCCUCUCUCUCACUCUCUCACUCACACAGUCUUUUUCACGAUUUGAAAUUCUUUGGCCCUUUGCAUUACAAGAAAUUAACGCUUUGGUUCUCCCAAGGGUAGAUUGGUUUUAUUGGGAAGCUAUUAAUUAGAAGGAGGAAAAAGGACUAUAUUUAGAAUAUGAUUUGUUGGAGAAUCUCAGAGUUAGUCAAUUUUCAAGCCACACUUUCAAUAGCCAACUGAUUUAGAAACCAUUAAUUACUUUAAUUUCCAUAAAUUGUAAUGACAGUGCAAAUGCAUCUGGUUGUGAUAGCUAAGGGUUAGCUUGAAGAAUUAAAUUUCAUAAGAUAUUACUGGAAAACGCUUUGCAGAUAACGUGUUGCUUCCUUUGCUAGGCUACAAUUUCAAAAUUCUCACGAGUUUUCCAUUGUUGUCACAAACCGAGAAAUUAUAAAAUACAUGGCCUGGUUCUUUGGCAAUGACCAUCUCAUCGUCGGCGGUCGCGUCGUCAUUGUCACUGGUCUUGCUGGACCGAGACAGUGAGAGAGAGGUUUGUUAGAUGGAGUUAGUGAGAGAGAGUUGUAAAGAUGGAAUGAUGAUAAAGGAUUUUAUUUUUUUUUAAUUGUUUUUAUUAAUAUUUUAAUUUUUAAAAUUAAAAUUUGCUGCCGUUUCUCUCGACUCUCAUAAUUUAUUUCAUUUUUAGGGAAUCCAAUGAGAAAUAUGAUAAAAGAACGUCAAUUACUUGUCAUUUUCAAUUUUUUUCUAUAAGCUAUUUAUUUCGAGCAUUAGUGAUCUUGUCUGGCUACUCCAAUUAUUGACGUAACUCCAGUGGCUGCAUCCACUGGAAAAAGUGGAUGAGAACCAUUUUUUUUUCAUAAAGGUAACUGCUCCAAUUAUUGACAUAAUUGAUGGUGCUUAAAUCAAUUUUUUUUUUUAAUUUAAAGAAUUUUGCUUUAAAAAAUAAUUAAUAUCAAAAUGCCUUCAAUGUUGUUACCGCCACAAGCCCAGUUAGAGGACUCAUUAAAAAUUUUAGAAUUUUUAGGCCUGGAAAGCGUAGUAUUAAACAUCAGAAAGCAAAGGUUGUUAUGUCGAAGAAUUGAUGUCGACAAAAUUUUAUUUUAGUUUUCGGAAAAAAAAAUAUUUUGUUGACAAGCAAGAAAAUAUUUUUUAUACUUUACAAUCUGCUAUACAUAUUUUAUCAUAUUAAAGUAAUUUUAAUAAUAUAUGGAAACAUAAUAUUAUAAUAAAUAAAUUAAAAUUAAAAUUACUUUGAAUUAUUGAAUAUUACAAAAAGAUAAUUUUAAUAUUAUUAAUAGGAAAACAUUUUUUAAUUGUAAAAUCUUUUUAAUACAAAAAAUCAUUUAAAAUCUUUAUAAUAAAUACAAAUAUAAAAUUAAAAAAUAUCAUAAUUUAAAUUUUUUAAUAUUAUUUAAAUAUUAAAAAUACUUUAAUAUUAUUAGUCUACUACAUAAAAUAUAUUAUUUAUAUUAUAUUCGUAUUGAUUAAAACGUUUUAAAGUCAAAUUUUUAAUUAGUGUAUUCAAAGGUAUAAAAGAUUUUAGUAUUAUUUUUUAAAAAAUUUCAGGAUAUGAAUGAUAAUUUUUUUCAAAUUUUAAAGAUGUAAGAAUCUUUUUUUCUGAUAACUUAUUUCACUUUUGAGAGAAUCCGAAAACGUUAAUUUAACAUUCUUUACCUUUAUCUUUUCAAAAAAAAAAAAAACAUUCUUUUUUUGAUAAGAAUGUUUUUUUUUUCUUUAAAAAAUAAUUAAUAUCAAAAUGCCUUCAAUGUUGUUACCGCCACAAGCCCAGUUAGAGGACUCAUUAAAAAUUUUAGAAUUUUUAGGCCUGGAAAGCGUAGUAUUAAACAUCAGAAAGCAAAGGUUGUUAUGUCGAAGAAUUGAUGUCGACAAAAUUUUAUUUUAGUUUUCGGAAAAAAAAAUAUUUUUUUACCUUUGUGAAAAAAGUGAAAAUCAAGAACUAUUCAAUUUUGUUUUUAUUUGUAAUUCAAAAACUUUAUUCAUUUUUGGAUGCUUUUCAAAAGAGAUUCCUUUAAAUCCUUUUGGUGUCUGCAGCUCCUGCCAUUCUCAUAAAUCUCCAUCCCACAUCUACACUAUCAAACAAGUUGAUGGAAAGUCUUAUAAAAAAAAAAAAGUUGAUGGAAAUUGAUCAAUUGCUUUUUGAAGUGGACCCAUUGAGUCAUGUUCAUUUCUGAUCAUUGUCUACUCUUUCUAUCAGCCAUUUAUUUUGACCAUUUGCGAUCUUAUCUGGACCUACUCCAAUUAUUGUUGGAACUCCAAUGGUUGUAUCUACAGUCGAAUGUAAUAUAGUGACAGCUCUUUCUUUGAGAAACUAGAGGGACCUUACAGUUCAUAUAAAUUUCGCUACCUUACAGUUCAUACGGUCUUGCUGUUAAUGAAUUUGCUGAGGCAUUAUUGAUCCAAUCUGAGUGAAGUAAUUGUGGCUGAAAAAUAAAUAAAGGAUAAGAGAACGUAGCUGAAGUGCUGAAGGGGCUAUUAAAGAAGAGUGUCACUUGAUCACAAUCACAUUGAUGCACAAUUCACUUGGCAAAUUUCGACUAUGCGUACUGCAAAUUCAGCCAAACCAUACAUGCAUGAACAAAACUAAAAUGUAGUUCUAAUCACAACUGCAGUUAUGAUGUUUACCCCUCUGAUUUUUCUCCAAAACAAAUUCAGUUCAAAACAAUAAUCAAAAUAGCCACAUUUUGUUCGUCAAAAUAAAUGCCCAAAUUUUCAAUUAACAAAUCAUCUUCUCUAAACUAAAAAGCCCACAUCUCUAAAAUCAAUCUACAUAAUGUUGGACAUGAGGGGUGAAUUGUUAACUCAGUAAAAAAACUCAUGCAUAAUAUUACUAAUAAUAAAAAAUAUAUAUUAAUCAUUAUAAAGAAUCAUAAAUUAGAAAAAUUAAUCAUUUUAUAAUUUAUUACACAAGUAAGAUAAAUCUCAUAAUAAGUUAUAACAUAAAAAAAACGUUAUCAAUAUAUAAUCAUUUAAGAAGUCAUUUAACAAUAAAAUCGUUCUUUGAUCAGUUGGUCAUGUCACAUAAUAUCAUCUAUAUUUAUGGUGAUAAUAUUAUUACUCAGUAUUCUCAAAAAACAUGAUUUAACAUUUAGAGGAAAUUCUUGCCUUUUAAAAAAAACAUGUAUGCAACAGCUACCCAUGCUUUAUCUUGCCAUGACAAAUAUUUUCUCAAUGAAAGAAAUUUUUUUAAAAAUUGAUUUAAUGCACAAAUAUGAUGAUUUUUCCAAAAAUUAAUUUUGGAAAAUAUAGUGAGAGAAAAUAGUGACGAUUAUUGUUUAGAUGUAUAAAUAGCCUAAACAUAAUCCUUAAUACCAAUAUCCAUAUGCAUCUUAUCAUCUUUCAUGAUGUUCUUUCAUUUAUGUCCAUUGGUUCAAGAUUUGAAUUUGAUCAUUAAAUCAUGUUCAAUAAUAUUAGAGAUUCCAACAAUUGAGUACCAACUUAAAUCCCAAUGUUAUGUGUCAUUGACCAAUUAUGUGUCAGUGACCAAUUUUGUGUCAUUUUGUUAUUAACUAGGUGAUGAAUUUCUAGUUGAUAAAAUCACUUAAAAAUAUCUUAAAAAUUAGACAAUAGUUUGCUUAAUUUUUCCAAGUUAACUGCUCAAGAUGCUCUAUUAUAAAUGAUAACCUAAUUAUAUUCAUAAAAAAUGAUAUAUUUUUUUGUGGUGUUGAUAAUGAGAUUAUCAUUCAACGUUUUAAAAUGUGAAAACAUAUGGAAGACGGUUGUAAAUUGAUUGAAUGAAAAUAUUUCAGUGAAGUCUCAAAAAUUUGGUACUUGUUGUCUUAUCGAAAGUUUUCUAAAUUAUAUUCGUGGCACAGCCACUAUCCAAACCAUACAAGUCCAAAGCUAUCCAAACCAUACCUGCAAGUCCGGGGCUUAAAUGGAGUACUUCUAAGCAAAAAAACAUUGAUUAAAAUAGAAUAUAUACAUACAGACACACAUACAUACCAGCAUAUUCAAAAUAGCAAAAGGAGUGCAAAAGUUCAAGUUUGUAGACAACAUUGCAACCAUAGCAUGUUUAUAGCAAAUCCUCAAAAUCUGCUAAAUAAAACAAUGCCCUGUCUCAUGAAUCAAUGCUGAAUUAAAAUUGAAACUGAAAGUCUGGAUGGUGUUGUUUGUUGAGAAUGUCAAAUAAAACGGCAUUGAAGGAAGUUUUCAAAGGCAGAAUCCGCACUUGUCAAAGACACGAUCCGCACCGAACGGAUCGACACAUUUCCUUCCGUAUUCACAUAUGUAAUCUUUGAAAAAAUGUAGCUUCUGCAUCUAUAAAUAACGCUCAGUGUAUAAUGUUUUAUUCAAGAAAUAAAAACAAGUUUCUACAUGGUAUCAGAGUCAUGAAUGCGCUCAAGUUUCUUCAAGUUUCGCUGCUCUGUUUGUCACAAAAACAGAGGAAACCAAAUUCGUCCCACAACCAUUUUUUCCACCAUUUUCUUCCUUAAAAUCAUUCCUAACAUUACAGAAAUCCAUGCCGAUCAAAAAACAUGAAAGACAAAUUACACAUGUGCAGUAACCAAUGAUCAUAUUUCGUUACUGUCAAACACAAUGCAUCUGAGCAAAACAUUGGAAGCCAACACCAGAAUACAUAUGAAUAAACAAUUAAAGAUAGAGAAAAAAGGCUUAAACCUUGGGGGAAAAAAGUGAAAAAACAUGAAAGACAAAUUACACAUGUGCAGUAACCAUCGAACUUAUCAGUGACAGCUGCAUCCAUUACAUUGCUCCAACAACACAAUGGCAAACCACCAGUUUCAAAUUGAGGAUAGCUAUCGAGAAUGAGAAAGUGUCCAAAACAUCAUAAAUAGACAUGUUCCUAUUGUGCAUAAUUUACAUUAUAGGCAAAUAUUCUUAUACCAUCAAAGGCAAAACAUGACACUAACAAUUGAUCCCCCCCCCCCCCCCCCCCCCCAACAACCAAAAAAAAAGGAAAAACAAUACAGAAAAGAUUGAAACAGAUAAGGCUACACUGAGCACAGGAUGCCAUGAAACAUAAUCCAGGAACCAAAUUAAUAAAAAAGGAAGCCAAACCAUUAUUUAACAAUCUGUUUUGUAUUUGGGAAAGUCUGAUAAAAUCUACUUAGGGAUAAUUAGAGAACUUCAACUAUUAAUCACACCUCAUAAAUGAACUAACAUUAACCAUCUACCAUCCCCACGUCACACAAACAUUCUCUAUACUUCUGAACCUAAUACUUCCAUCUUCAAUUGGGGGUUUUUUUUCUUUUUUUUUUUGGGUGGGGGGGGGGGGGGGGGGGGGGAAGCUAUCAAUUUUCUAAGCUUGCUUAGCUUCUGUGUGGGAUUGAAAUGCUGAUUUCGAAUCACUAACAGUAAAAUUGGAAGCUCAUGAAAAAACAGUUUUAUCUCAAAAUUACAUCUCGAUAUAAAUUCUCUUUUCAUUUCCUUCAACUUUCUAAUUAAGCUUAAAAAAUGUACCUUCAACCACAAAGGGGUUUAAAAUUUAAAAUAUAAAAAAUAAAUUCAGAUAACAAUAAUUAAUUUAAUUAAAAAUAUAAAUAGAGUUACAGAGAAAGAGAAAAUAGAGAAAGACCUAAUGUUGAGUCCUUUGGCGCAUGUCUCUUCAUAGGUCCGAACCAUUUCUUCGGGCGUGGGUUACGGCCGAGAUUGGAUAAUGAUGGAGUAGGAUAAGAUUAGCGAUAACGACGCCGAUGAAAUGGAAGGGUUUACCAGAGGAGUGGAUGCGAAGAGUGCAGGGACCGCCGCAGAGAGAGAGCGGCGGAGAGCGGCGACGGACGGUAGUGACCAGCGGAGGCGGAAGAUGGCGGUAUGGGCCAUUGCUUGCGCGUCGGUGAGUGUCUCGAGUGAGAGAGUGAAGGGUUUUGGGAAAUGAAAAAUGCAAAUGUUUGAUUUUGUUGCUAGAAACUUCUUCUGCCGCUGCCUUUUAUUUUCGCUAUAAUAAUAAUAAUAAUUUGUUAAUCAAAUAUUUUCUUAAAAAAGAUAAAUUUCUACAAGAAAAUUUAUAUUAAAUCAAAUUGUAAAAAUGUCUAUUAGGGUUAAUUUCUCCUUAAUAUUAUUAUUAGUUGAAGUAGAUUUUCGAAUUAGUCUUGAUAUAUUUCAGAGUUGUAUUAUAAAUGUAUAAGUAUCUGGAUUGCAAUUAUAUUUUUAAAAAAUAUAAUUUUUUUAAUUAUUGCACAAUAAAUGUAGAUAGUAUCUAUAAAAUAAUAUUAUUAGGACUAUGAAAAAAAUAUUAUUUUAGAGAAGUUAUUUAUUUAUUAUUGAAUGAAUAAUUUAUUAACUUAUUGGUAAAUGAAUAUUUACUAAUUUAAAGAGAGAUUUUUUUUUUGAUUUUAAGAAGAGUUUUGUUGGUACAUAUUCAUACUUAUAAAGAAACACAAAAAGUAGUUCCUCAAGUCAAUUGUAUUUGCUUUAAUUCGUAAUAAUAUAUCUUAAUCAAGAAACUUGUAAUUAUACUAUAUCUUUCUUUCUUUGUUCAGUUUGGUGGUACAUUGUGAUAAAUCAUUGGAUUAAAAUGCAUUUCUAAAUGAAAACUUGUUAAAACCUAAUUUAUUUGGGAACCAUAUUUUAUUUGUCAGUCGUAUUUCUCAACUUAGCAAGUUAUUUCUAACUUAUCGGUCUCUAUUGGUUUUCUUAAGUGCCUGUUUGAUAUGACUUAUUUAAUGGCAAUAAGUGCUUAUUUAAUCUCAUAAGCUCUUAUCAUAAUUUUUGUUAUUGUUUGGUUGUUUUUCUAAUAAAGUUUUUGAAGCUUAAAUAAGUAAUUUUACCUCUCUUAACAAAAGCUCAAAUUUUGAGUUUUUUGGGAGUAGAGAUUGAAAAACUUUUUCAAAUGUCAAAAUAUCUAUAAUAUCCUCUACUUAUUUAACAAUCUUAUUUAUUAUUUUCAUAAUAUAACUUUAAAAGACUUGUCUAUUAAAGUAAUUUCAUAAAUUUUUAAUAAAAACUCUUAUUGACAACCAAACAACUAAUUUUUUUUAGCAAAACCUCUACUUAAAUAAGUUCUACUUGAAAAACUGUAUCAAACGGAGCUUAAAGUUAAUAGUCUCUUAUCUCCCACAUUUGAUAUCUUAAUGGUAUCAGCGUGUUACCUAAGAUUGGGAUUCAUUAAAAUCCUCAAUGUAAUCGGUGGAAUGAAAUGGAUUUUUAUAACCUCCUUGAAGGUUUUACGAUAAACAUAAAUCUAUUGACAAAGUGGGCAAAAAGAAAAUGCAUAUAAAAAUAUGAGUUAUCAGAUAAGAUUAAAACUCACCCAAUUCAAUCCAUCAGAUUCCGUAAGGAUAUAACUGGAUGUCAUACCGCCACUCCAUAUCCUCGAAAGUCCGUAGUCCUUGUCUCAACUGUGUCUGGGGCCAGUGUAAGUCCAAUUUGCGCAAGCUCUUUAUGCACCACAGCUCUUCUGGAAGCUUUCUCAAGUAAGCACAUGGGUUGACAAUUAAGCUUUCAAGUUUCGGCAUUGCUCCAGCCCCCAUCGUCCACUCAUCUAGCCAAUACAUUGAUUUCAAGUGCAAAACCUUAAGUUCGGAAAAGCUACUCAAGCCAACACAAGCAAGCUUUCUUCCUAAAUACGAGUUCUGCUUCAGUUUCAGCACUCGAAGGCAUGGAAGAUUUUCCAGAAUUGGCAUGGGAUCCUCCAUUAGCUCAGUAUUUGAUAAGCUCAGUUGGAUCAGACUUGGGGGAAAUUGGUAUUCAGACAGGACAAUCCGUGAGGGCUUGCUCUCAUUCACCAGCUUCAAGCAUUCAAGUUUGUGGAGUUCGCAAAGGCUUUUGGAAACCCCAGAUUGAUAGCAACUCAAAUCUCCAGAUAUCCGAAGAGUCUGAACACUAGGUAGUCUGCCCAAUAUAUCAGGAGUACAACUACUAGGGUUUAAAGCUGAUAUGAAAAUGAGAUUUUUCAGAGAGCUAGAAUAAUUUUUUGGAGGUGCGGGCAGAGUGAUAGAACCAAAGUUUAGAUGCAUGAGUUUUUGCAUCAUCCAAAUAUCCUCUGGUGACUGAUCUAUGUAGCUAGAUGGCAUUUCUAGUGUUUCAAGGUUUAAAAGGGUGCAUAGCAGUGAAGGAAGGCAUUUGAGCGAAGGGAUAUUCAAUUUCAAAUACUUCAAAAGGAAUGAAUUUUCUAAUCCGGGUGGAUAUUGGUCCAGGACUGCAGAACCCAUGCUCAAUACCCGAAGGUAUUUGAACCAUUUAAAAAAAUUCUCGCAAUCUUUCGGAUUAAGAUGAUCGCUUUCUGAACUGUGAUUCAGAAAAGAUUGGAGAUAGAUGUAAGAAUAUUCUAAAGAAAAGAAGUCAAUCAGAUUUUCCCAAAUGAUGUACCGUUUAACAUUUGCCCUUGAUUCCUUUUCCAUUCCAGGCAUCCAGAGAAAUCCCGUCUCCUGUGCCAACAAUAACAAUGAAGUAUAUACAAAACUUGGAACAUAACACGCUUUAAUUGUGCCUCCGGCGCUUCUCUUACUCACUUGAAUGAAGCCGCGAUGGAUUAGUUCUUUCAAGUAAUGUUCGGCACUUUCUUCACCGUUGUAUGGUAUGAAACCUUCAGCUACCCACAACUGAUAUAAUUGCCGCGUGGAUAUCUCAAUACUUGGAGGGAAGACACACAAAUAGAUGCAGCAGACUUUCAAGUGAAAAGGCAAGUCCAUCACAGAAAAAAUUUGCCUCCAAAUUGUCGGAAUCGCUUCGCCUUGAACAUAAUUUUCUAAUGGCAUACUUCCAUAGUGUAGGAUGAAAAAUUGCCAGGCUUCAUGCUUUAAUCUGAUCAAUGGUCCUCCAAUGAGCACCGAAUCAAGCCGAAUCUUCUCUCCAUUUUCCAUUUCCAACGACGCAAGGAGGUCUGGAUCAGUGACCAAUAUCAAUACUCUGCUUCCAUUCUGAUUAUUUGGAAGAACUUCUUCAAGAUCAUCCCAUAUCUCAAUGUUAUCGCAGACAUCAUCAAGCACAAUAAAGUACUUCCUGUUUGUUAGGUAAUCUCGAAGAAUAGAUUCCUUGAAUUGAUAAUCUUCACCGAUAAUUACACUAACCCGAGAUGGAGGCAUCACAGACUUGAUUAUGUCAUCCAAUAGCUUGCCCAAAUCGUAGAAUACAGAAACCCUGACCCAAGCAAGACAGUCAAAAUAGAACUUGACAUGAUUAUUGUUGUAAGUAUCUGCAGCAAAAGCAGUCCUAUCGAAGCCACUGCUGUCGAGAAUUGCAACCACUGAAAGCCCAGAUGGUCCCUCAAUCAAUACAUCAAACAACUUCUCUCUGCCCCUUUCAAAUUCACUGAUAUCGAGCCGAGGUUGUCCCUCAUUCAAUAGGUGAAUGAUUUCGUUACUUUUUUCACUGAUAUCAAAACCAUUGUCGCCGGGUGGGAGUUGUUGGAUCCGAUUUCUAAUAUCAAUGAUUUUACUGUGGAGUCCAAAAAGAAGAGCCAUUUUAGUACUGCUUUCACUUUCGUUUUGACUGUUUUGCUGCUGCAUGAUGUUGAUGAAGAAUGUGUCAAUGGCUUCCUCAGAUUCAUGGACAAAGUCAUUGAUGUCCUCCAGAAUUUCCAAAAUACCUCCUCUUUUAACGUCUUCAUCGCUUUCUUGUGCCUGCAACAGUUGCGAAAAAGGCAAAGAUAAUUUGGAUUCAUCGAAUCGUUCUUUAACAAGUUGAAACAAAAGCCGAGCCAUGUCAGAUUCAAAGUUUCCGAGCAGAGUGGUAGCAAUAAUCUCGGACUCCGUUAGAAGGUUUUGAAAAAGGGGAGUUAAAUUUGUUGAAUCAGGCAAAGUCAACGCGCAUUCUUCACCUGCUAACACCCUUUUUAACCUCUCACAAAAUAGUCGGAGGUGGACGUCCAGCAUAUCUCCUUCUGUCUGUAGCGCCCAGAGGUAUUGUUAUUUGCUACAAGAAAUGUUAAAACAUAGAGUAAUGAUACAGCCACAAACUCUUGUACAAACUUAUUUUGUACAAACUAAAAUGGCAUUAAUUCAUUGGUUGAAUGAAAAUAUAAAAUAAUAAAAACAAAUCAUGUGGGCCAAGUGAUAUUUAAUUCAACCAAUCUUAUCAUGCCACGUCAAUUUGUACAAAAUAAGUUUGUACAAGAGUUUGUGGCUAUAUCAUUACUCUAAAACAUAUCUCCUUCUGUCCUAUCUCAAAGUGGUUAGUGGUGUAAAAUUAAACACCAUGGAAGAAUUUGCAAGGAAUAUGCCAAGAAACUGGCCAACCCGCUUAGCUAAAUUCCACAAAUAUGACGUUAUUGCUCAUUUUUCUCUCAAACACAUAAUACACGUUCUUCGAGGCGCGUGCCUUCUGAAAAGGACAGGUAUCCAACCUCAUCUUAAUUUAAAGAAUUUUCCUUUAAAAAAAAUUUAAUAUCAAAAUGCCUUCAAUGUUAUUACUGCCGAAAGCCAAACUUCCUUUGGGUAAUUAAUUUAGAAGUUAAGCAGAGAAUAAAGUCCUAGAUUAAAUGUUUAGGUAGUUUUACAAAAUGAUAACAGCAUGCCAAAACUCGUUGUUGUCAUAUUCGACAUUUCAAAUUGAAAAAUAUGCAAGCAAUCUUCAGUGAACAUUACAUGUUUAUUGAAUAAUUUAAAUGGCCAGUAAAUCAACAGUCCGUGAGUUUUAAAUCUAUUAUGACUUAAUGUAUCUUUCUGUAUUCGUACACAGGUUAUAUUAUCAUAGUUUAAAAUUAUUUUAAAUAUUAAAAAUACUUUAAUGCUAUUAGUCUACUACACAGGUUAUAUUAUUUAUAUUAUAUUUGUAUUAAUUAAAACUUUUAAUGUCAAUUUUCUAAUUAUUAUAUUAAAAAAGUAUUAUGGUUAAGAAAAAGUUUUGGCAUUUCUUCUUGAAAAUUUGAGAGUCUGCAUGAAAAUUUUUCCAAAUUCUAAAGGUAUAGGUUUGAAAAUUUAACGUUCUGUAAAUUAAUGAAACAAAAGGGGGGAAACCAAAAACUAUUCAAUUUUGUAUUUUUUGUUUGUAAUUCAAAAAAUACAUCCACCAAACAAGUUUUACGCAUUAAUGCUGUCAUAAAACGAAAAACAGUUUGCCAAAAAAUGGUACCAAACAUUUCCUUAAUGUCUCACAUGAUUUCUUAGUAAGUCCAUAUUAGAUAUAUUUAUACAUUUUAUGUAUUUUAGUUAUAAAAGAAGUAGGUCCUCCCCCUGUUUAUAAAAAAUAACUUUAUUUCGAGAUUGCCACUAAACUCUUACAUAGAAUUAGUGUAAUGUUAAGAGAGAGUAACACAGUUUUCCAUUACCAUCUUUGAAAAUAGAGAGAUAUGGAUGCAUGCAUUUAAGAGUUAUCAUGAAAAUCAUACAAUUCAAUUUCCUGACAUAUAUAUUUAUGCACGUAUACCAAAAGAAUAAAUAGACAGAAAGUAAAUUUACAGUCCUCACUUCCUCACAAUUGUUAACGUGAAGAUGCAUUACAACUGUGAACUGUCACUACUUUAGCCUUUUUUUUUAAAAAAAAAAAAUUAUAGUGUGAUGGAGACAUCAAGGAUGAGCAUAAAAGUUAAAGAUGACUCAUUUUCUUUUUAAAGUGCUCUGCUGAAAGCCAAACUUCCUUUGGCUAAUUAAUUUAGAAGUAAAGCAGAGAAUAAAGUUCUAGAUGCCUUCUGAAAUUAGAAAUACAUUUUAUAUGCUUUAAUUAUGAUUAUUUGGUAGACUAUUGACCUAAAAGACAUGUUAAAUUAUAAAACAGUGCGAUUAAAAAAAAGAGAGUAUUUGUGACGUAGAAUAACAAUUGGUAAAUAAAUCCUAAAUAUUUGAGUUGUUAAAAGCAAAUAUAACAGAGACGGUAAGAGAGAUGCAGAAACAGAAAACUAUUAGCUUAUCUUGAUUUUCCCACUAUAUUCAUUUUCGAUGCUUUUCAAACGAGAUUCUUUUAAUUCUUCUGGUGUCUGCAGCCCCUGCUCUUCUUAUAGAUCUCCAUCCCACAUCUGCACUACGAACAAGUUGAUUAAAAUUAAAUAAUGUUGGAGACGUGGGGUGAGCCGUCAACUUGGUAAAAAAACUAUGUAUAAUAUUGUUAAUAAUAUAAAAUAUAUAGUAAUAAUUACAAAGAAUCAUAAAUUAGAAAAAUUAAUUAUUUUACAAUCUAUUUCUUAAGUAAGAUAAAUCUCAUAAUAAGUUAAGUUAUAAUGUAAAAAGUAUUUUCAAUUUAUAAUCAUUUAAGAAGUCAUUUAACAAUAAAAUCUUUCUUUUGAUCAAUUGGUCAUGCUACAAAGUAUCAUCUAUAUUUGUGGUGAUAUUAUUAUUACUCCGUAUUCUCAAAAAACAUGAUUUAACAUUUAGAGAAAAUUCAUGCCUUUUAAAAAGAACAUGUAUGCAACAACUACCAAUACUUUAUCUUACCACAACAAAACUAAUGGUGACUAAAUCAAUUUUCUUGAUUAAAGCAAAAUUUCUUAAAAUUGAUUUAAUGCACAAAUAUGAUGACUUUUUGCAAAAAUUAGUUUCGGAAAAUAUAGUGAGAGAAAAUAGUGACGAUUAUUGUUUAGAUGUGUAAAUAGCCUAAACAUGAUCGCUAAUACCAAUAUCCACGUGCAUCUUAACACCUUUCGUGAUAUUCUUUCAUUCAUGGUCACUGGUUCAAGAUUUGAAUUUAAUCAGUAAAUCAUGUUCAAUAAUAUUAGAGAUCCCAACAAUUGAGUACCAAUUUAAAUCCUAAUGCUAUAUGUCAUUGACCAAUAUUGUGUCAUUUUUUGUUAACUGGGUGAUGAAUUUCUAGUUGAUAAAAUUACUUAAAAAUAUCUUAAAAAUCAGACAAUAGUUUGCUUAAUUUUUUGAAGCUAACUGCUCAAGAUGCUCUAUUAGAAAUGAUAACCUAAUUAUAUACAUAAAAAAUGAUGUAUUUUUUGCGGUGUUGAUAGUGAGAUUAUCAUUCAACAUGUUAAAAUAUGAAAACAUAUGGAAGAUGGUUGUAAAUUGGUUGAAUGAGAAUAUUUCAGUGAAGUCUCAAAAAUUUGGUACUUGUUAUCUUAUCGAAAGUUUUCUAAAUUAUAUUCGUGGCACUGCCACUGCUUCUAUGUGAAGGUCAUUAAAAUUUGUGUUAGCUACCUAUAGGUUGAAUAACAAUUUUAUUCAUCAAUUGUUGCUCAAUAUAGCAAUUUGAUUGAAAGUGCCGCUGCACUAAUUUUCUAGAUGAACUUUCCUACAUGUUUGUCCUCAUAUGACCUAGAAUGCUGCGAUAUCAAUUGUAUUGGAAAUUAUUCAGGUGGGUUAGUGCUCUACAUCCCCACCAAAAUAUAAGCAAUGAACAAAACAUUCCUUGUGGAAAUAAACUUAAUUAUUUCGCUACUAGACUUCUAAUGAGGCCCAUUUUCCAGAAUCUGGAUACAAGUUAGAUGUCUCCCAAAAUAUUGGUGGGAGUAGACUAUAGUAGCACUCGACAACAUACUAACGACGCUAUGGUCCACCAGAAAGACCGGUCUCCGGUCAGCCGAAAAAUCUCACGUUCAGUCUCUUCUCAAUCUCCCUUCUCCCAGCCAAGUCGAUCCCGUAACAUGAUACUAAUCCACAGUUGAAUACAUGAUACUAUUAGAUCUUAUUUGAGAAUAUAAAGGGAUCUUUCUAAUUUGAGAACAUAAAUUGCCCAAUAAAGUUGAACUACGUUACCCCGCUCCAUGCACAUACAUUAAAUGUUAACAGCAUGCCAAAACUUGAUGUUGUCAUAUUCGACAUUUCAAAUUAAUAUGCAAGCAAUCUUCGGUGAACAUUACGUUUUUAUUGAAUAAUUUAAAUGGCUAGUAAAUCUAGAGUUCUUGAGCUUUAAUCUAAAUCAAAUCUAUUAUGACUCAAUGUAUUUUUUUGUAUUCGUACCAGUAAUGCAGGGGAUUAUUUACGGAACUCUUAUUAUUGACUGAUAUGUUCACCUUCAUCCAAUUAGAGAAAGAGUGACUGUAGAGGUGGCAAAAAUACCCGUCCGGUUCGGACCCGGACCGUACCCAUUACCCAGCCCGGGUAUGAAGCCGGGUCGGUCUUGGGUAUUACUUGAUAAACCCGGAACUCGGAUUUUAUUAAAAAAAUUAUAAAAUAUAUAUUAUUUUAAAUAUUUUAUAUUUAUUUGACUCAUUUAUUAUACAUAUAUAAAGUUUUAAACACUUAAAGUAUAUAUUUUCUUGUCAAAUUUUAUUGAAAUAAAUUUAAAACUUAUAAAAUUACUAAAAAAUAAAAAAUAUAUACACAUAAAAUAUUAAAAAAUAUAAAAUUCGGGUACUCGAAUUAAAACCCAGCCCGAACCCGGACCCAGACCGGUUGCAUCCGGUAGGGUCCGGUCAUGGCAAUACCCUGACCCCGCCCGGGGUUUUGCCAUCUCUAAGUGACUGGGUUCCUAUAAAGGGACUCUUAACCGUUACGAGAGUAUUCAGACUAAAAAUCUUUAUAAUUAAAUUCAAAGGUGAAGAUCUAUGCUUAUUAUCUAUUUAACAACUAAUAUAUAGUUAUCUAUUCAUUUAAAUAUCAAGGGCUAUGCUAAUAAUUAAGUUGAAAUGUUGAUGAAAGUAGCCCUACAUCUGUAUAUUACUCAUCUACUCUAAUCUUUUUUUUUUUUUAACUUAAUGUACUUUUUCUAAUGUUGUUUACUCUUCCCCCCCCCCCCCUCCUCUGACAAAAUAAUAAGAGUUUAGACUUGAAAAUAUCUUAAAGAUCAAACAGUAAUUUACCUAAUUUUUUGAAGCUAACUGCCAAAGAUAUUCUAUUAGACAUUGAUAACGUAGUUAUAUACAUUUAAAAUGAUUUUUUUUUUUUGUGGAAAGGGAUUAUCAUUCAACAUUUUAAAAUAUGAAAACAUAUGGAAGAUGAUUGUAAAUUGAUUGAAUGAAAAUAUUUCAAUGAAGAUGGUUGUAAAUUGUUAUCUUAUUGAAAGUUUUCUAAAUUUACUACUAUUUGAACUUAGCCCUCCUGGUACCGCCACCAUUUCUGCUUGAAAGUCAUUUAAGUUUGUGUUAGCUGCCUAAAGCUUUUUUUUUUUCUUUUUCUUUUUGAAAAGAGCUGCCUAUAGCUUGAAUAACUAUUUUGCUCACGAAUUGUUGUCCAUUAUAGCAAUUUAUUUAAUUGAAAGUGCGGCUGCAAUAAUUUUCUUGAUGAACUAUUCCACAUGUUUGUUCUCAUGUGAGGCAGUUUUUCUAGAAGAUUGAUAUUUCUUUAAGUCUUUAACUAGCAAAGCAUACCAGUCCAAAGCUAGCCAAACCAUACCUGCUGGUCCAGGGCUUAAAUGGAGUACUUCUAAGCAUAAAACAGUAACAAAAACACAAUAUAUGCAUACAUACAUACCAGCAAAUUCAAAAUAGAAAAAAGAGUGCAACUAUUCAAGAAAUUGGUUAUUGUAGACAAACACACAUACAAACACAUACCAGAAAAUUCAAAAAAUAGAGAAAGGAGGCCAACUAUUCAAGUUUGUAGACAAUAUUGCAAUCAUGGCAUUACUUAUAGCAAGUCCUUGAAAUCUACUAAACAAAACAAUGCUCUGUCUCAUGAAUCAAUGUUGAAUUACAGACGAAAUUGAAAGUCUAGCAGGUGUUGUUUCCCUCUUCGAUUUUGCCUACACAAGUAAAGGGAAAUAAGAAUCAUAAAUGAAAAUCAGCUUUUACAGUUGUAAUUAUUAGAUAGAUCUAGAACGAUCUUUCUUUGUUUCUCUGCUGCAAUGUGCUAUCCCACUCUGUUUUGCUACUAAAAUUGAGUCUAUGUUGAGACAUAAUUUCGACACUAGGAGCAACCGCAAUUAGUUUGGCAUUGCAUUACCCCUUGAAGGUUUUACAAUAGUUGUAAACUUACCGAGAAAGUAGAAAAAAAAGGGCAUAUGGAAUUAGGCAAGUAACUAAAGUAUGAGUCAUCAGAUAUGAUUAAAACUCACCCAAUUCAAUCCAUCAGAUUCCGUAAGGAUAUAACUGGAUGUCAAAACGCCACUCCAUAUCCUCGAACGUCCGUACCCUUUGCCGCAACUCUGUCUGGGGCCAGUGUAAGUCCAAUUUGCGCAAGCUCUUUAUGCACCAUAGCUCUUCUGGAAGCUUCCUCAAGUAAGCACAUGGGUUGACAAUUAAGCUUUCAAGUUUUGGCAUUGCUCCUGCCCCCAUCGUCCACUCAUCUAGCCAAUACAUUGACUUUAGGUGCAAAAUCUUAAGUUCCGGAAAGCCACCAGAGUCAACACAGGCCAACUUUCUUCCUAAAUACGAGUUCUUCUUCAGUUUCAGCACUUGAAGGCGUGGAAGCUUUUCCAGCUUUGGCAUGGGAUCCUCCAUUAGCUCAGUAUUUGAUAAGCUCAGAUGGCUCAGACUUAAAGGAAAUUCGUAUUCAGACAGGACAAUCCGUGAGAGCUUGCUCUCAUUCACUAGUUCCAAGCAUUCAAUUUUGUGGAGUUCGCAUACGCUUUUGGAAACCCCAGAGUGAUGGCAACUCAAAUCUCCAGAUAUCUGAAGCGUUUGAACAUUAGGUAGUCUGCCUAAUAUAUCUGGCGUGCAACUACUAGGGUGUAAGGAUGAUAUGAAAAAAAGAUUUUUCAGAGAGCUGGAAUAAUUUUUUGGAGGUGCAGGCAGAGUGAUGGAACCAAAGUUCAGAUGCAUGAGUUUUUGCAUCUUCCAAAUAUCCUCUGGUGUUUGAUCUACGUAGCUAGAUGGCAUGUCUAGUGUUUGAAGGUUUGAAAGGGUGCAUAGCGGUGAAGGAAGACAUUUGAGCGAAGGGAUAUUCAAUUUCAAAUACUUCAAAUGGAAUAAAUUUUCUAAUCCGGGUGGAUAUUGGUCCAGGACUGCAGAACCCCUGUUCAAUACCCGAAGGUGUUUGAACAUUUUACAAAAAUUCUCGCAAUCUAUCGGAUUAAGAUGAUCGCUUUCUGAACUGUAAUUCAGAAAAGAUUGAUUAGUUCUUUCAAGUAAUGUUCGGCCGUCCCCUCACUGUUGUAUGGUAUGAAACCUUCAGCUACCCACAACUAAUAUAAUUGUGUGGUAGAUAUCUGAAUGCCUGGAGGGAAGACAAACAAAUAGAUGCAGCAGACUUUCAAGUGAAAAGGUAACUCCAUCACAGAAUAAAUUUGUCUCCAAGCUGUCGGAAUCGCUUCGCCUUGAAAAUAAUUUUCUAAUGGCAUACUUCCGUAGUGUAGGACGAAAAAUUGCAAGCCUUCAAACUUUAUUCUAAUCAGUGGUCCUCCAACGAGCACUGAAUCAAGCCGAAUCUCCUCUGCGUUUUCCAUUUCCAACGACGUAAGGAGUCUUGGAUCAGCGACCAAUAUCAAUACUCUGCUUCCAUUCUGAUUAUCAGGAAGAACUUCUUCAAGAUCAUCCCAUAUCUCACUGUCAUCGAAGACAUCAUCAAGCACAAUAAAGUACUUACUGUUUGUUAGGUAAUCUCGAAGAAUAGAUUUCUUCAAUUGAUAAUCUUCACCGAUAAUUACCCUAACCCGAGCUGGAGGCAUCACAGACUUGAUUAUGUCAUCCAAUAUCUUGCCAAAAUCGUAGGCAAUAGAAACCCUGACCCAAGCAAGAGUCAAAAUAGAACUUGACAUGAUUAUUGUUAAAAGUAUCAGCAGCAGAAGCAGUCUUAUCGAAGCCACUGCUGUCGAAAAUUGCAACCACUGAUAUCGAUAGAUCAAACAACUUCUCUCUGCCCUUUUCAAAUUCACUGAUAUCGAGCCGAGGUUGUCCCUCAUUCAAUAGGCGAAUGAUUUUGUUACUUUGUUCACUGAUAUCAAAACCAUUGUCGCCGGGUGGAAGUUGUUGCAUCUGAUUUCUAAUAUCAAAGUGAAAAAUUGCUGCUUUCACUUUCGUUUUCACUGUUUUGCUGCUGCAUGAUGUUGAUAUUGACAUAAUUUUAUUUUAGUUUUUGGGGAAAAAAAUAUUUGUUGACAAGCAAGAAAAUAUUUUUAUAUUUUAAAUUUAUUAUACAUAUUUUAUCAUUUUAAAGUAAUUUUAAUAAUAAAUAGAAACAUAAUAUUACGAUAAAUAAAUUAAAGUUUAAAUUAUUUUAAAUAUUAUAAAAAAUAAUUCUAAUAUUAUUAAUAGGAAGACAUUUUGUUAAUUUUAAAAUUUUUUAACCCAAAGGUUUAUUUAAAAUUUUUAUUAUAAAUAAAAAUAUAAAAUUAAAUAUCAUAAUUUAAAUUUUUUAAUAUUAUUUAAGUAUUAAAAAUAUUUUAAUGUUAUUAGUCUACUACAUAGAUCAUAUUACUUAUAUUAUAUUUGUAAUGAUUAAAAAUUUUUAAAAUCAAUUUUCUAGUUACUAUAUUCACGAGAUAUUAUGGUUAAAGAAAAGACCUUGGUGUUACUUUUUACAAAUUUGAGUGCCUACAUGAUAAUUUUUUCAAAAUUUAAGAAUGUAUGUAUCCUUUUCUCCAAUAAUUUAUUUCACUUUUGAGGGGAAUCCAAUGAGAGAUAUGAUAAGAGAACGUCAAUUAGUUGUCAUUUUCUACUUUUUCUGUAAGCUAUUUAUUUUGAGCAUUAGUGAUCUUGUCUGGACUACUCCAAUUAUUGAUGUAACUCCAGUGACUGCAUCCACAAUUGAAUAUAUGAUAGUGUUAGCUCUUAUUUGAGAAUUUAUAUAGUCUUGCUGUUAAAGAACUCACUGAGGCAUUAUUGAUUCAAUUUCAGUGGAGCAAUCGCGGGUGAAGGAUAAAUAAAGGAUCAGAACAGAGCUGAAGUGCUAAAUUGGCUAUUGAAGAAGGAUGUCACAUGAUCACAAUCACAUUGAUGCACAACUCUCUGGAGGCAAAUUUUGUCUUUAUGUACUCUAAAUUCAGCCAAACCAUACAUGCAUGAACAAAAAUUAAACCGUCGUUCUAAUCACAACAGUAAUUGAAGCUCCAAAAGCAAGAAAAUCUGAACAAAGACUUAAAAGAAAGAUCUUAUUCAAGUUUGUCCCCAAAAGACAGCUGAAAUGAAAAAUAUUGACUAUUGAAUGGAUCAAUGCUGAAUUACAUUUGAAAUGGAAAGCUUGGCUGCAUCUAUGAUGUUUCCCCCUCUGAUUUUCCCCCAAAACAAAUUUAGUUGUAAACAAUAACGGAAGCAGCAAUAAUUUAUUCACCAAAGAAAAUGCCCAAGAUUUCAACUAACAGAUCCUCUUAUCUAAACUAAAAGAACUCAUAUCUCUAAAAUCUACCCGCAAAAUGUUGGAAAUGAGGGAUGAUCUGUCAACUCGAUAAAUAAACUCAUGCAUAAUAUUAACAAUAAUGGUAAAUUACAUAAUAAUUAUUAUAAAGAAUCAUAAACUGGAAACACUAAUCAUUCUACAAUCUAUUAUAUAAGUAAGAUAAAUCUCAUGAUAAGUUAAGUUAUAACGUGAUAAAUAUUUUCAAUAUAUAAUUAUUUAAGAAGUCAUUUAAUAAUAUAUAUUUUUUAUUUUGUUGAUCAUGUCAUAUAGCGUUAUCUAAACUCCUGACAAAAUUAUUAUUACUCACUUUUCUCAAAAAAACAUGAUUAACGUUUAGAGAAAAGUCAUGCCUUUUAGAAAGAAUAUGUAUACAAGCUAUCCAUACUUUAUCUUACCGUGACAAAAUUGAUGGUGAUUAAAUCUAUUUUUAAAAUAGAUUUAAUGCACAAAUAUGAUGACUUUUGGCAAAAAUUAGUUUCGGAAGAUAUAGUGGUAGAAAAUAGUGAUGAUUAUUGUUUAAAUGUGUAAAUAGCCUAAGCAUAGCCCGUAAUACCAAUAUCCAUUUGCACCUUCAUUUGGAUUAUCACAUUUCAUGAUAUUUUUUCAUUCAUGUCCAUUGAUCAAGAUUUGAAUUUGAAUAUAAAUUAAGCUGCAAGGGAGCUUACUUCGGUUUCUAAGCUUUCCAAUUGUGAUUCCUGCAUGCCUUGCUCUGAUACUAUUUUGUUACAUACCAAUGUAACCAACCUUGUAAUUGGUCUGUAUAAGAAAUCAAGCCCUUUUAGAAUCGUUUUCUUUUGUUUCCCCAUUGUAGUAGUCAACUAAAUAAAGAAUGAACAACUGAACUUGAUCUAUUUUGAUGAAGACCAAGGCCUUCAAUACUAGAUGAACUUUGAAGAAGAUUAAUCUACUGCUUUUAUUCAUCUUUGGACUAUGAAUUUAUACAAAGACUUUAACAGAAAAUAACAAAGACACAACUAAAUGAUAGCAACAAGUGUUGACUUACUGGACCACUUCUACAAGUAAAAAAAAACUAAAUAUUUAUUUUGACUAUAACAACAACUACCCUGAUGAACAACACUCCACAGCAGCCACGUGACAACUAAUUUCUCCUUAAUAUUAUUAUUAGUAGAAGUAGAUUUUCAAACUAGUCUUGAUAUAUUUCAAAGUUGUAUUAACAAUUUAUAUGUAUCUAGAUUGUAACUAUAUUUUUUAAAAAUAAAAUAUUUUAAUUAUUGCACAUUAAAUGUAGAAGAAUAUCUGUAAAAUAAUAUUAUUAGGACUAAAAAAUAUUAUUUUAGAUAAGUUAUUUAUUUAUUAUUGAAUUAAUAAUUUAUUAAUUAUUAGCAGAAGUAUAUUUUCGAACUAGUCUUGAUAUAUUUCAAAGUUGUAUUAACAAUGUAUAGGUAUCUAGAUUGUAACUAUAUUUUUAAAAAAUAAAAUAUUUUAAUUAUUGCACAGUAAAUGUAGAAGAAUAUCUGUAAAAUAAUAUUAUGAGGACUAAAAAAAUAUUAUUUUAGAGAAGUAUUUUUUUAUUAUAGAAUUAAUAAUUUAUUAAUUAAUUUAUAAAUGAAUAUUUAUUAAUUUAAAGAGAGACUUUUUUGGUUUUAUGAAGAGUAUGUUUGGUACAUGUUCACACUUAUAAAGAAACACAAAAAAUGCUUCCUCAAGUCAACGGUAUUUGCUUUAAUCGCUACUGUUCAUAAUAAUAUAGCUUAGUUAGGAAAUUUGUAAUUAUAAUAUGACUCUUUUAGUACAACUUUUCAAGUAGAGUUUAUUUAGGUAGAGAUUUUGUUAGGAGAGGUAUUAUAAAUAGAGAUUUCACUAAAAAAAUUUAAUUAUUUGAUUAUAAUAUCCAAAUUGAAGAACUUUUGUUCUUUUGUUAACAUCUGUUUGUUUUACUUAAUAAUAAAAGUUUAGUUUACAAUUACACCGGUGUCAAAUCAGCAGAGCAUCGGCAAGAGUUUUCGAUUGUUGCAAUUUGCAAUGCAUGCGGUACAUGCACGCACUAAUAAAGAAACACAAAAAGUGCAUUCUCAAGCCAAUAGUAUUUGUUUUUAAUCGCUACUUUGCAUAAUAAUGUAGCUUAGUUAGGAAAUUUGUAAUUAUAUUAUGCCUCCAUUUGGUAUAAUUUUUUAAUUAGAACUUAUUUAAGGAGAACUAUUGUUUGUAGAGUUUUUAUAAAUAGAAAUUUUAAUUAAAAAAAAUUAUAAUUAUUUAGUUGUCAAUGUCCAAAUUGAUGAACUAUUGUUCUUUUUGUUAACAUGUGUUUGUUUUACUUAAUAAUAAAACUUUAGUUUACAAUUACACCGGUGUCAAAUCAGCAGAGCAUUUUUGCAGCCCGUCACAUUAUACAUUAUACUAAUAGCAUCGGCAAGAUUUUUCGAUUGUUGCAACUUGCAACGCACGCGAUGCGAGAAAAUGAGAAUCUUGUUUAAUUGUGAAUAAUGACAAACCUAAUCCUUUCAUUAGGAGCAAUUUAAUAAUCGUUUGUUAUAAUUGAAUAGGUAUAAAGAAAGGACAACUCUAUUCAUAGAUUCGGCUUAUUUUUUGUUUAAAGUAAUUAAUCCUCUAAAACUGAAUUUUAUUUUAUCUGGUGCAUGUUAAAUGAUGUGAGGCCUAAUUUAGGUUUUUGGUUAGCGAAUCAAUUUCAAAGUGUGCUUAAACGGUAUAGGACUUUAUUUCCUGGUCCAUACAUUACUCUGUUAGCUAUAAACCUAUGUGUGCUUGAUCCCGACAAUAAUGAUUUGCAUCCUGCUUGCAAAAAGGAAUUUUUGGAUAUGUCUGUGUUUGAAAGAACAGGUGUGGUCGAAUUCAAGAAGGGGAGAUUUUAGUUUACUGAACCAGGACCCACUCAACUUCCGAAGAAGCUUUAUGCUAGGAGUGGUGCUACCUCUGAUGACGAGUUUGACGACGACACUGCUGCCCCGCCAACUAUUCCUUCUACAUCCGCACCACCUUUGAGCAUUCAGUUAGAGAAAAUGGAGCACAAGCUGAACAAGAUGGAGCAGAAUUUGGCCGCAUACUUCGAGAGUGUGGGAUUUACCCCACCAUUUUCGCCAAGCCCAUAGACGUUAUGUGGAUCAAAGCUCACAAUUCAGGGAAGUUUCUUUUUGCCCUUAAUCUUUUAUCCUUACGCUUUAAUUUUUAUGUGAGCUUUGAUUAUCUUACAUUGGGGACAAUGUAAGUUCUUGGUGUGGGGGAGGGAUUUUGAUGUCUGGAAUUAUUAUUUUCACUCUACUCAUAUAUUUUCACUCUACUCAUCCUUAAAUGAUUUUGGAGUUAGUAUGCUUCAUACAUUAUUAAUUUUCUUUUCCUCUCUCUCUCACUACUCUUUUCCCAUCUAUCUCAAAUUAUUUACAUCUAUUUUUAUUCUAUCAUACUCUUUCAUCACUCACAUUUUAUCUUUCACUUUUCAUAUUACUACAUACAUCUUUCUCACUUCUUAUCAUUUUUACAUUUUCUUUUAUAUAUCACUCAUACCUUCUUCUCAUUCUACACCACUAUUGAUGGUUGAUUCAUUUGAAGAGUGUACAUGAUUUGAUGGCAAAUUUACCAACUUUGUGAGGAUUUGAGCCUAUGAGCAACCACUUUGCUCUAAUAUUUUUGUUGUGUGAAUAUCAAUCUUAGUUUGUUUAUUGUAGAACUUGCUUUGUUAUGCAUGUUGAAGCCGCAUUACGGGAUUUUAUGCAUUAAAAUGAUAAGGGCAAACCCUUUUCCAUUUUUCUAUUCUCGCAUUUUUUUUUCUCUACCCGAAGACCUUUAUUUGCUAUCUUUGUUUGAGCCUUAACCAUUACCCACCUAAUUUUCUCCGUCUACUUAACCAUUUUUCUUCUUUUUGAGCCUCAAUUUACGGAGAUUUUUGGACUCAUUGUGUGGAUGUAUUUUGUUGCUUUUUCUACCUUGUAAUAAAGUUUCUCAAUUAGAUCAACAAGCAUUAUGCUUGAAUUAAAUUGUGCAAGGUUCGUUUCUUUUGUUUGAUUCAAAAAUAAAAAAAAACAACAAAAAAAAAGAAAAAGAAAAAUCCAAAAAAAAGAAAAAAAAAUGUUUACAUUCUUGGUGACUUGAGUAGAAAUAAGUAUUUUGAUAUCAUAAGUUCAUUCAAUGAGUUCAUUCUUCUCAUUUUGAUCUCUUUUUCUUUCGUAAACCUUUCUUUUUCAUUCAACCUAUUUAACCCCAUUACAACCCUUUUAAGACCCUUAGAUUUUUGCAUUUUAUUCAUGUUUUGUGGAUUGAGAUGUGAUAUAUGAGCAAGCUUAUGGUAAUAGCAUUCUUUGAUUUGAUUUGAGUGAAUAAAUGACACCCUAAACACUUUGAGUGCAUGGAGUGAAGUUAUUGAGAGGGCUAUUAAAUCUUGUUGCACUUGAAUUUUGAAUGGAUCUUCUUGGUGGUUGAAUGUUCUUAUUCUAUCUUAUGAAAUUCUAUGCUUUAAAAUCCUUGUCUCUUGAAUGUUGAUCGACUUAAUUUCUUGAGGUAUGCUUGCUUAAAAUUGUUUUUGGAUGAGUUGAGAUGAGAAUUGAGUGGAGAUUUGAGAUUAAUCUUGAGUUAUAUGCUUGAGGACAAGCAUCAUCUUGGUGUGGGGGAAUUUGUUAGAGUGCAAUUUAUGCACUAGUUUUGCAUUGUUUACUUCCCUUAAUAUCGAUGUUUUACACUUAAUAAUAGUGAUUUACUUGUGUUUUACUUUUGUAGGUGCAAUUCUAUUGAUUGGUGAUAAAAUUGAGCUAUAAGAUGAUGUUUAAGGAUGAUUGUUCUCUUGGAGAAAUUAUGAGCGGCAGAAGAACUUUGUUGAUAAGGCGUGGGCGCGUGCUGUCAACUGCGGACCUGCAGUUUUUAGUUUAACAUGUUUUGUAUUUUUGUAAUUACGAAUUUAAUAUUUCAGAUAUUAGUAUUUUAUUUUAAAUAGAAUUCUAAAAGAGAGGAGAGAGAGAGAGUAUUUAAGGGAGGAAUCUAUUGUGAAAAAGGGGGAUUUAGAUUGGAGAAAAGAAAAUAAACCCUAAAUCUAAUUUUUCUCUUCUCUCUAUGAAGAACUAAACUUAUUUUUUCUGGUUGAAGGUUAAUGAAGCUUUGAUUCAUCACUACUGUGAGAUCUUUUUUAUGCUUUAAUUGUUUUAUUACUUUUUGGGUAAUUGUUUAUUCUCUGAAUUAGUUUCAUGAUUAUGUUUGUUAAUUAGGUAAUUGGCCACUAUUUAAUUAUCAACUUAAUCUAUUGUCAAUUAAAGGAUUCAUCGUAUGAAGAUUUUAAUGUUUGUGACAAAUAACAUAGCAGUGAGUUGUGUUAUGAGAAUAAACAAUCUAAUUUAAAUGAAUCAUCAUAUGUGUUGAUUAGGAUUUGGAUCUCUCUGGUUUUUCAGGCUGUCAAUUGAUUAAAUCCUAUGAUCGUAUCUAGGGUUGUCUAUUGAUUAGGGAAAUAUCCAACGGUCGUACCUUGGUUAUCGACUAGUUAAGGAGAGAUUGGCUAUUAGAGGGUCUCAAUAGCUAUAACCGGUCUAUUCAUAAGUAAUAAUAAUCUAUAUUUGAAUCAAUGAUCAGUAGUCGAAUCAAGCUGAGUUAAUUCCUUCAACCAGAGCUUUCUCUAAUUUGAAUUACAACUUUAAUUUGCAUUCUUGUUAUUUUAAUUUGAUUUUUAUUAUUGUCAACAAUUCCCCCAUUUUACUUUUUACGUUUCAAAAGGAUUUAAAUAAUUACCGAUCUCUGUGGACACGACCCUGCUCAAUCACUAUACACAAUUUAUUUAGAGUAUGAAUUUAUUUUUGUUGGCUUCGACAACCAUCGGUAGUAAAAGAAUUUUACUCCAAUUUGGUAAGCCCUGGUCAGCACAACAUUUGGGUAAGAAACUCACUUGUUCCAUUAGACUCUCGAGUUAUAAAUGUUUUUUAUAAUUUACCUGCUGAAAUUAAUUGUGAGUAUGCCAAGUUGCUUGACAAAUUGACCCCGCAACAAUGGAACACGAUUUUCACGACACUUACAGUAGAGGGUGCAUCGUGGGCUAAUGAGGACGGGCGUGUAAUUAACAGGAUAGAUUUAAAACUCAUUGCUAAGGUGUGGGUGAAAUUUCUGAAAUCUAGGCUUAUGCCAACCACCCACACCACUACUGUUUCACAGGAAAGGUUGGUGUUGUUAGAUGCUAUUGUUAGAGGGCUUCCCAUAGAUGUGGGAAGUAUUAUCGAAAAAGAAAUUCGAGUUUGUACCAUGAAAAACCACAAGGCUGCUGCCUUGUUAUUUCCUUCACUCAUAACCAGCAUAUGUAUAGUAUCAGGUGUUCAUCUUGAUGCAAAGGAUGAAAUUUGUAAUUAUAUUAUGGCUCCAUUUGGUAUGACUUUUUAAUUCGAACUUAUUUAAGGAGAAUUUUUAUUAGUAGAGUUUUUUAUAAAUAGAGAUUUUACUAAAAAAAUAAUUAUAAUUAUUUAGUUGUCAAUGUCGAAAUUGAUGAACUAUUGUUCUUUUUGUUAACAUGUGUUUGUUUUACUUAAUAAUAAAAGUUAAGUUCACAAUUACACCGGUGUCAAAUCAGCAGAGCAUUUUUGCAGCCAGUCACAUUAUACAUUUUUGCAACUUGCAAUGCAAGCGACGAGAGAAAAUGAGAAUCUUGUUUAAUUGUCAAUAAUGACAAACCUAAUCGUUUCAUUAGGUGUAAUUUCAUAAUCGUUUGUUAUAAUUGAAUCUGUAUAAAGAAAGGAAAAUUAUAUUCGUAGAUUCGACUUAUUUUUUGUUUAAGGUAAUUAAUCAUUCAACCAUCUUCAUUUGCCCCUGGCCACUGCCCUUGUAGAUUAGUUGAAGCGUUAAUUACUUAAUUUAGAUAAUUACAACGUCCUUUUCGCUAAUUAAUUAUGAUUAUAUACGUUUUCAUAUAGCAAGUGGCAUUGUAGAUCUAAAUUAUGUUGCUAUUUCAAUACGUUAAUUAAGUGAUUCUCCUCAUUGUCAUCAAGUGGAAAAUAGCUCAAUUGUUUCCCUGCAUCGAUUUUCAUUGGUAAGUGAUUUCUUAUGAUAUUCGUUUGAGCUUUCCUUAUUAAAAAAGCUUGAGCCUUGAUCACCUAAUACUGAUAUCAAUUUACUUGUGAACGAUUUUGUAAUGAAAUUAGGAGUUAAAUAUAUAAGAUUUUUACCUGAUGAAUUUUGAUUUUUUUUUUAAUUUUUUGAUGUAGUCAAUUUGCGAAUUUUAUAUGUUUCAUAUUCAACGGAAUUUGGGCACGGAAAGUUUGGAUUCUAAUAUUUAUAUAUUUAGCUUUAAUCAGUUUGACUUUAGCAAUCUUUUUCCCUCAUCAUUAAGGGAUUCAGAAUUAGAGAAACGCUAGGAAGAGGAAGAAAAUAACUUUGGAAAUAAGUAAGGGGGAAAAAUUAUGAAAUUUUGAAUUAUUUUUUGUAAAAUAUGUUGCGUUUACUAAACUUGAAUUAGAAUGAGCUGAAAUUAGAAUGAUUAGGAAUGCAAAUGUGCUGAAAUCGGAAUAGGUAAUGAGAAUAAGAAUAAGUUGUUUACUUGAACUGUAAAAAUCAAAAUCGAAAUGAGCUGAAUUGCAAUUACUUUAUCUUGGAAGCGGAAUUGGAAUCGGAAUGAGUUAGAUUGUAACAAAUUACUAAAAAGUACUUAAUGAAUUAUUGUCAUAAUUAUUAUUUUAUAUUUUAAUUAUAGUGAUUAUUUAUUCAAAAAUUAUUAUUAUUAAUUAUUUUCAAUAAUAUAUUAAUAUGUUAAUUAAUUUUAAAAAUUAUUAAUUAAUUUAUUAUAAUAAUAUACUAAUUAAUUAUAAUAAUUAUAAAAAUAUAUUAAUAAUAAAAUUACUAAUUUAAUUAUAAUAAUAUAUGAAUUAAUUAUAAUAAUUACUAAAUUAAUUAUAAUAAUUAUAUUAGUAAUUAUUAUAAUAGUAUAUUAAUUAAUUAUAAUAAUAAAAAUAUAUUAAUUAUGUGAUUAUUUAUUCAAAAAUUAUAAUUAUUAAUAAUUAUUGUUAAUAAUGUAUCAAUAUACUAAUUACAUAUAAUAAUUAUUAUAAAAAUAUAUUAAUUAUUAAUAAUAAAAUUACUAAUUUAAUAAUAAUAAUAAUAAUAUAUUAAUUAUGUGAUUAUUUAUUCAAAAAUUAUAAUUAUUAAUAAUUAUUGUUAAUAAUGUAUCAAUAUAUUACUUAAUUAUAAUAAUAUAUUAAUUAAGUAUAAAUGAGGACAAAGGGGGUAUUUUUAAUUUCACGUAGGGGCAAAAUGGUCAAUUCUAGUAAUGGGAGACUCACUCCCACCCUCUCCCUUGGGAAUGAGUCUCCCAUUCCUCAUUCCCAAAUUGUGGUGGGCCCCAUGAUUUUGACUCUGAUUUUUGACUCAAUUUUGCGAAGUAAACGCUACUAAUGAUUCUGAUUUUGGAUUCUGAUUCACUUAUCCGAGAAGUAAAAGCAACAUAAAUGUGUAUGAAUAAUUGAUACCUAUGAAUAGUUUUGGGAGUUUUAGUUAGGAGUCAUUUAUUGAAGAUGUUUAGCAAUUAAAGAUCUCUGACUCAGUAGUUUUCCCAAUCAAAAUCAAGAAGCAAAACAACUUGCCAUUUUUCUACUUGAUAAUUAAUUGAAAUUUAAGAAAAUACAAUGGCAUUUCAAUUAGAAAUGGUAAUUGUUUAUCUUUUUUCAUUGAUCAAAUUCUAAUCGUGAUCCAAUAGUUAUGGAUGAAGGAAAUAUUAUGAGAGGCGAUAGGCCAAGUGAAGACGUACCAGCAAAUUCAAAAUAGUCGGGAGGUGGACGUCCAGCAUAUCUCCUUCUCUCUGUAGCACCCAGAUGUAUUGUUAUUUGCUCCAAGAAAUGUUAAAAGGAUUGGCCCUAUCUCAAUGUGGUUAGUGGUGAAAAAUUAAACACCAUGGAAGGAUUUGCAAGGAAUAUGCCAAGAAACUGGCUAAGUUCCACAAAUAUGGCAUUAUUGCUCUUUUUUUUUAAAGAAAAAUUAUACACGUUAAUUUAGCAAAAAGUCUAAGACACAUGCCUUUUGAAAAGAAUAGCUAUUACCAUGACACAAUCGAUGCGGCUGAAACCAAAAUUUUCUUUUCUUAAUGUAAAGAUUUUUUUUAAAUAGAUUUUAAUAUUAAAAUGCCCUUCGAUGUUAUUACUGUCACAAGCCCUGUAACAGGAGUAAUAAAAAUUUUUAGAAUUUGUUGGGCAUGAAAAAAGUAGUAUUAAACAUCAGCAAGCAAAGGUUGUUCUGUUAAAGAAUUGAUAUUGACGUGAUUUUAUUUUGGUUAUCGAGAAAAAAAAAUAUAUUUGUUGAUAAGUAAGAAAAUAUUAUUAUAUUUUACAAUCUAUUAUACAUAUUUUAUUAUAUUAAAUAACACUAAAUAGAAACAUAAAAUUAGAAUAAAAUAAAUUAAAAUUAAAAUUAUUUUGAAUAUUAUGUAAAAAAUAAUGUUAAUAUCAUUGUUACUUGUAAAAUAUAUUUAGCCCAAAGAUUUAUUUAAAAUUUUAUAAUAAAUAAAAAUAUAAAAAUAAAUUAAAUAUCAUAGUUUAAAAUCUUAAUAUUAUUUUAAAUAUUAAAAAUACUUUAAUGUUAUUAAUCUACUACACAUGUUAUAUUAUUUAUAUUAUAGUUGUAUUAAUUAAAAAUUUUAAAGUCAACUUUCUAGUAACUAUAUUCAAAGGUAUUAUGGUUAAAUAAAGGUCUUAGUGUUUCUUUUCAAAAUUUGAGGGUCUACAUGAUAAUUUUUCCAAAUCCUAAGGUAUAGGUGUCCUUUUUAUCAAUAAUUUAUUUCACUUUUGAGAGAAUAUGAUGAGAAAUAAGAUCAGAGAAAUGUCAAUUUAAUGUUAUCUAGCUUAAUGAUAAAAAAAUGGAAACCAAGAACUAUUCAAUUUUGUAUUUUUUGUUUGUAAUUCAAAAAAUCCAUCCACCAAACAAGUUUCACGCAUUUAUGUUAUCAUAAAACAAAAAAAAAAACAGUUUGUGAAAAAAUGGCACCAAACAUACACUUAAUGUCCCACAUGAUUUCUUAUGAAGCCCAUAUUAGAUAUAUUUAUACAUUUUACUGCAUUUAGGACAUGUUUGAUAGCCUGCAUUAUAUAGGAUAAAAACACAAUUUUGUAUUAAAUUAAUGCACACUCACGUUUGGCGCUAAAAGUAACUCCAGCCACAUUGCAUUAAUGGACUGCUAAUGCGGCAAUUGCCGCACUAGCUUGCCUCUUUUUCUUUUUAAUUUUAUUUAUAAUAAUAAUAAUUACAUAAUAUAACUUUUUAUUUUAAUAUAAUAUUAUAUAAUAUUAAGUAUAAUUUUUUUUACAUUAUAAUUAUUGAUAUAAAUUAAUAAAUUAAUUAUUUAUUAUUCAAUAAUAUUAUAUUAUAUAUUUUUUUUAUUUUUACAUUAUAAUUUAUUAGUAAAUUUAUAAUUUAAUAUAAUUAAUAAUAAUAGAAAAUAUCAUUACAUGUACUACAAAACUCUUACUUGGAUUAUUUAACACAAUUUAUUUUAUUCGUGAAUAUGUUAUAACAAUUGUAUCACUUUAUUAUUUUGUUAUUAUUUUGUGGUAUGUAUAAAUUUUUGUUCUAUUAUCCUAAGAUGACUUUUGAACUAAUCUUAUAAGUUUUAACUAUUUAUUUAUGUUGUUAUAUUAUUAGAGAUUAUUUGCUUCGAUCUUUAUUUUACAGGUCAUAUAUUUAGAAAUUACUGAAAAAUAAAUGUUAUACUUCCCAAAAUUUAAGGCUAGAAGCUCGAUCUUUAUGAAGAAUUUUGAUAUUUUUUAACAUUUACACUAAAAAAAAUUGUUAAAUUUCUAAAAUUUAAGACUUCUAUAUUUAAUAUUUUUCUAAUUACUAAUAAGUAUUAUUUUCUAAAUAUAUAAUUUAAAUUAAUCACAAAAAAUUAAUAUAGUACAGUGCAAUAUCAAAUAUAGUAUAAUUAAAAAUUAUACAGUGCAAUAUAGCACCAAAUAUUGUACACUAUUAUUAUAAUAUAGUACUAAUGCAAUACAAUAUAAUACAAUAUAGUGUGCCAAACGCACCCUCAGAAUGUGUUUGGAACAUGGGAUUAUAGGGUAUUAAAACACUGUUCACAUUAGCUUAAUACCAAUCUCAUGUUUGGAAAGAAAUUUUAAGGGAUUAAAGGGGGGUGAGCUAAUGUCAUAACUGCGUCAUUAGUGUCUUGGUUUUUUUUAAAUAAUAAAAAAAAUAUAAAUUCCUAAUUUUAUGUAAAAUUAUAUAAUAUUAAUUUUUAUUUUCUUUGAUCUUUACAUCAUAAUUAUUAAUAUAAGUUAAUAAAUUUAUAAUUUAUUAUUCAUAUUUUAAUUUUUAUUAUAUUAAAAAUAUAACUAAAUAAUUUAAUUUUAAUUCUAUAAUAAUUAAUGUAUAAAAUUGAUUAAUAUUUAAUAAGUCAAUACAACUAGUAAUAAGUGCUUAAAUAAUAUAUAAAAAUAAAAAUAUAACAUAAUAUUACAUUAUUUAAUUAUAUUACAAUAACUAAUAUAUAAAAAUUGAUUAUUAUUUAACAAUUUAAUAUAGCUAAUAAUAGAUACUUAAAUAAUAAUUUAAUAUAACUAAUAAUGAAUAUUUAUAUAUGAAUAUAUUUAAAUAAUAUUAAUUUAAAAUUAAUACCAAUAUAUAUAAUAAUAUAAAAUAUUAUUACAUGUACUGUAGUAUUCUUACUUGGAUUAUUUAGCGCAAUUUAUUUUAUUAGUGAAUAUGUUACAAUUAUUGUAUCACUUUAUUAUUUAAAUUAAUCAAAAAAAUUAAUACAGUACAAGAUAGCACUAAACAUUAUAUAACAUUAUUAAAAUACAGUGUUAAUGCAAUAUAAUGUAAUACAAUACAUCUAUAUUAAAAUAAUAUAAUAUAAUAUAAUUUAAUAUAAUACAAUAUGUCAAAUGCACCCCGUGUAUUUUAAUUUCAAAAGAAGUUGGUCCUUCCUUUAUUUAUAAAAGAUAACUUUAUUUUCAGAUUACCACUAAUUACGAUUAUUUGGUAGACUAUAGACCUAAAAGACAUGUUAGAUUAUAAAACAGUGCGAUUAAAAAAAAAAGAGUAUUUGUGACGUCAAAUAACAAUUGGUAACUAAAAUCCAAAAUAUUUCAGUUGUUAAAAGCAAAUAAAAAAAAGAAGGUAACAGUGAUGCAGAAACACAAUAUUAGCUUAUCUUGAUUUUCCCACUUUAUUCAUUCUCAAUGCUUUUCAAAAGAAAUUCUUCUAAUCCUUCUGGUGUCUGCAGCCCCUUAUCACGGGACGAGAGGUUUUGAGCCCGCGUGGCACUCUCGCAUCCCAUACUACGAGAGUAAACCUAGUGGAAGUGGCACAAUAUCGACUGGUUUCACCCUGCCUUGGGCUCAUCAGGAGAACGGCUCCAGUUCCCAACCAGUGUGUGUAGGGCUUCGCUUAGACUCCUCUUCAACGUUAAAUCCUCGACUAGCAACAAGCUCCCCAAAGUCAACUGGGUUGGCCUGCCUGAACUCCAAGAAAUCUAGGAUCAUUGUAUUCCCCACACGCACGCCCCUGAAGCACGUCUCCUGCAAUCAGCACAACUAUUAUCGAUACUAGUGUACAAGCGCAUAUCUUCGGCAUCACAAUUGCAGUCCGUGACACCCUGCUCUUCUUAUAAAACUCCACCCCAAAUCUAUACUACAAACAAGUGGAUUGAAAUUAAAAAAUUGCUUUUUGAAGUGGACCCAUUGAGUCGUGGUCAUUACUCGUCAUUGUCUAUUUUUUCUAUGAGCCAUUUAUUUUGAGCAAUAGUGAGCUUCUCUGAACUACUCCAAUUAUUGAUGUAACUCCAGUGGCUGCAUCCAUAGUUGAAUAUAUGAUAGUAUUAGCUCUUAUUUGAGAAUAUAGGGGGAUCUUUCUUUGUUUCUUUGUUGCAAUGUUCUAGUAUAUAGUCUUGCUGUUAAUGAAUUCACUGAGGCAUUAUUAAUUCAAUUUCAGUGAAGUAAUUAUGGAUGAAAAAUAAAUAAAGGAUAACAGAAUAGAGCUGAAGUGCUGAAUCGGCUAUUAAAGAAAGUGUCACGCGAUCACAAUCACACUGAUGCACAACUCUCUCGAGGCAAAUUUUGUCUAUAUGUACUCCAAAUUCAGCCAAACCAUACAUGCCUCAACAAAAUUAAACCGUAGUUCUCAUCACUACAGUAAUUGAAGCCCACAAAGACAGCUGAAAUGGAAACUUAAAACGAAGAUCUUAUUCGAGUUUGUCCCCAAAAGACAGCUGAAAUGGAAAAUAUUGACUAUUGAAUGGAUCAAUGCUGAAUUACAUUUGAAAUGGGAAGCUUGGCUGCGGUUACGAUGUUUCCCCCUCUGAUUUUUCUCCAAAACAAAUUCCGUUGUAAAUAAUAUUCAAUGUAGCAACAAUUUAUUCAGCAAAGAAAAUACCUAAUUUUUCAACUAACAAAUUCUCUUGUCUAAACUAAAAAAACUCACAUCUCUCCAAUCUAUCUACAAAUUUGGAGAUGAGAGGUGAUUUGUCAACUCGGUAAAUAAAUUCAUGCAUAAUGUUACCAAUAAUUAUAAAUUACAUAAUAAUUCUUAUAAGAAUCAUAAUAAAGGAACCUUAACCAUUUUACAAUCUAUUACAUAAGUAAGAUUAAUCUUAUAAUAAGUUAACUUAUAACUUAAUAAAUAUUUUCAAUUCAUAAUUAUUUAAGAAGUCACUUAACAAUAAAAUAUUUUUUUAUUUAAUUGAUCAUGUCAUAUAACGUUAUCUAAACUCCCGACGAUAUUAUUAUUACUCACUUUUCUCAAAAAAACAUGACUAACGUUUAGAGAAAAGUCAUGUCUUUUAGAUUGAUAGAAUACGAUUACAAACUAUCCAUACUUUAUCGUAGGCUAUAGAAACCCUUACCCAAGCAUGACAGUCAAAAUAGAACUUGACACGGUUAUUAUUGUAAGUAUCUGCAGCAAAAGCAGUCUUAUCGAAGCCACUGCUGUCGAGAAUUGCAACCACUGAAAGCCCAGAUGGUCCCUCAAUCAAUAGAUCAAAAAACUUCUCUCUGCCCCUUUCAAAUUCACUGAUAUCGAGCCGAGGUUGUCCCUCACUCAAUAGGCGUAUGAUUUCGUUCCUUUUUUCACUGAUAUCAAAACCAUUGUCGCCGGGUGGAAGUUGUUGCAUCCGAUUUCUAAUAUCAAUGAUUUUAGUGUGGAGUCCAACAAGAAGAGCCAUAUCAGUACUGCUUUCACUUUCGUUUUCACUGUUUUGCUGCUGCAUGAUUUUGAUGAAGAAUGUGUCAAUGGCUUCCUCAGAUUCAUGGACAAAGUCAUUGAUGUCCUCCAGAAUUUCAAAAAUAUCUGCUGUUUCAACGUCUUCUUCAUCGCUUUCUUCUAAGUCCAACAGUUGCAAAAAAGGCAAUGAUAUUUUGGAGUCAUCUAAUUCUUCUCUAAGGAGUUGAAACAAAUGCCGAGCCAUGUCAGCUUCAUAGUUUCCCAGCAGAGUAGUAGCAAUAAUUUCGGACUCCGUAAGAAGGUUUUGAAAACGUGGAGUUAAAUUUGUUGAAUCUGGCAAAGUUAACGUGCCUUCUUCACCUGCUAACACCCUUUUCAACCUCUCACAAAACAGUCGGAGGUGGAAUUCCAGCAUAUCUCCUUCUCUCCGUAGCACUCAGAGGUAUAGCUGAAAGAUUAAACACCAUGGAAGAAUUUGAAAGGAAAAUGCCAAGAAAUUGUGUAAGUGGCUAAAUUCCACAAAUAUGACAUUAUUGCUCAUUUUUUAACUCAAAAAAAGGGUACGCGUUCAUUUAGAGAAAAGUCCAAGACGCGUGCUUUUUGAAAAGAACAGGUAUCCCAAUCGGUAUCCAACCUUUAUCUUAUUUAAUUACUACCAUGACAUAAUUGAUGGUGCUUAAAUCAAUUGUUUCUUUUUUAAUUUAAAGAAUUUUUCAUUAAAAAAAUAUUUUAAUAUCAAAUUGCCUUCAGUGGCGUAACAACUGCCUGAAGCCCAGUAACAGGACUAAUUAAAAAUUUUACAAUUUUUGGGCAUGGAAAUAGUAGUAUUAAACAUUAGAAAGGUGAGGUUGUUCUGUUAAAGAAUUGAUAUUGACAUAAUUUUAUUUUGGUUUUCGUGGAAAACAAAAAUAUUUGUUGACAAGCAAGAAAAUAUUUUUAUUUUUUAAAAUUUAUUAUGCAUAUUUUAUCAUAUUGAAGUAAUUUUAAUAAUAAAUAGAAACAUAAUAUUACAAUAAAUAAAUUAAAAUUUAACUUAUUUUGAAUAUUAUAAAAAAUAAUUUUAAUAUUAUUAAUAGGAAGACAUUGUAUUAAUUUUAAAAUUUUUUAACCCAAAGGUUUAUUUAAAAUCUUUAUUAUAAAUACAAAUAUAAAAUUAAAUAUCAUAAUUUAAAAUUUUUAAUAUUAUUUUAAGUAUUAAAAAUAUUUUAAUGUUAUUAGUCUACUACAUAGAUCAUAUUACUUAUAUAAUAUUUGUAUUAUUAAAAAUUUUUAAAAUCAAAUUUUUAGUUAGUAUAUUCAUGAGGUAUUAUGGUUACAAAAAAAAGACCUUAUUAUUACUUUUUAAAAAAUUGAGGGUCUGCGAUGAUAAUUUUUUCAAAAAGAAAAUACAUGGUAUGUAGGAGGGGUAGAGAAACAGGACUUCCAAAAUCUCUCACCCUUCUUUAAUUAAAAAAAAAAUUAAAAUAUUAAUAAAAAAUAAUAAAGAAAAUAGAAUUUUAUCUGCUCCUUACUCCAUUUUUGCAACUCUCUCAACAUCUCUGUCGAGCAGCCUUCUCUCUCAUUGUCUCUCACUAUUUCACGAUCUCUCUCUCACUCACACAGGCAAUGACCAUCUCAUCAUCGGCGGUCGUGUCGUCAGUGUCACUGGUCUUGCUCGACCGAGACAGUGAGAGAGAGGUUUGUUAGAUGGAGUGAUGAUAAAGGAUUCUAUUUUUUUUAUUAAUAUUUUAAUUUUUAAAAUUAAAAUGUGCUGCCGUUUCUCUUGUCUUUUUAGCUGUUUAGCAGCACUCUUUUCAAAAUUUAAGAAUGUAGGUGUCCUAUAAGAGAUCGAUAAAAGAACGUCAAUUAAAUUUAUAAAAAUAUGAUAAAAGAACGUCAAUUACUUGUCUUUUAGGGAAUCCAAUGAGAAAUAUGAUAAAAGAACGUCAAUUACUUGUCAUUUUCAAUUUUUUUCUGUAAGCUAUUUAUUUUGAGCAUUAGUGCUCUUGUCUGGACUACUCCAAUUAUUGACGUAACUCCAGUGGCUGCAAUUAAUGAUAUAAAGCUGAGACUUUUGACCAAGUUAUCUAGUUGGGAAAGCAAAUUUUUUUCCAGUGGGGGCAAAGAAGUGUUGAUUAAAACUGUUGCUCAGGCUGUGCCAGUCUAUGCAAUGAGUGUUUUUAAGAUCCCUCAUAGCUUUUGUGAUGACAUUGAGAAGGCUAUUGCUCGUUUCUGGUGGGGUUCCUCUGAAACAAAAAGAAGCAUUCACUGGACAAGGUGGGAACGGUUGUGCCACGCCAAGAUAAGGGGGGGAUUGGGUUUUAGAGAUUUCUCUAGUUUUAACCAAGCCUUAAUUGCUAAGCAGGGGUGGAGAAUUCUGCAGCACCCUGACUCUUUAAUGGCAAAGAUUCUGAAAGCAAAAUAUUUUAAGCAUACUGGUUUUAUGGAUGCGAAAUUGGGUUCACACCCCUCUUUUGUUUGGAGAAGUAUAUUAUGGGGUAGGCAAGUGCUCCAUAACGGCCUAAGAUGGAGAAUCGGCUGUGGGAGUCAGGUUUUAAUUUCCAGUAGCAAUUGGAUAAAAAACCAUAAGCUUCACAGUUUGGUUCCAUAUUCAAAUCUACCUCCUGAAACUGUAGUUGUUGACCUUAUUGAUGAAAGUCACCAAUGGAAAGAAGAUAUGGUUUUCCAACAUUUUCCAAUGGAUGUUGCAAAGAGGAUCACAAGAACCCCUCUCCCAAAAACUCCCCAGCAGGAUCUUCUCAUUUGGAAAUAUGAUAAGCACAGAAUUUACUCGGUGAAGAGUGGGUAUCAAUUGGCUGUUAAGCAAAAAUUCCAAAAUUAUCCAAGUUGUUCAGAUGUUACCAAGUCAAGGUGGGAGGUGAUAUGGGCUACGGAUCUUCUAGGAAAAGUCAAGAUUUUUAUUUGGAGGGCUGCUCAAAAUCUUCUCCCUACAGUUGGAAAUCUAUGGAGGAGGAGGGUGGUGAAGGAUUAUUUUUGCCAAAGAUGUAAUUGCAGAGGAGAGGAUGUCUUCCAUGCUUUAAUAGAGUGCAGGGCAGCUAAAAGGGUUUGGAAGUUGACUGAAUUUUAUGAGGAUGUAAAGCAAUUAGCUCGGCAAGACAUGUUGAGUGUGCUGCAGGAUUUAGCUGUGAAGAGAAAAAAGAAUGAGCUGGAGCUUGUUGUUGCGGUGUGCUGGGCCAUCUGGUACUCUAGGAAUCGUUUGGUGUUUGAAGGAAAGGAAGAAGAUCCAAAAACUUCAGUGGCCAGAGCAAUUGCUAUGGUGGAAUCAUACAGGCGAAUAAAAGUUCCAAAUGAACAAAAUUCUCCAGGCCAUAGCAGAAUCAGUCAACUAGAAUGGGCAAAUCCUCCAAAGGGGUGUUAUAAAGUCAACGUUGAUGCUGCAAUUAAUGUUUCAAACCAAAAGGCAGGGUUGGGUGUAGUGUUUAAGAGUGACUAACUAUCCCAAUCAACUCAAAACACUUCCCAAGAUCACACCCAAACAAACAAGAUGUACCAAGAAUCAAUCCAGUAGAAUACACACAGAUUAUUAGAACUGAAAGAAUUAAAGAAAAGGACAAGAAUUAACGUGGUUCAGCUAGCUUCAGUCUAGCUUACAUCCACGGGAGAAACAGAACCCAAUUGUAUUGAUUGUUUAAAGGAGUUACAGAGAGUUCAUCAAGCUUGUUACAGAGUCUCUCAAGAAGCCUUUUGUUAUUAAUCUUCUCAACUCACAAUAGCUCUCUCUUCUUUUUUCUCAGUUGCCAGAAUCAGCUGUAUAUAACAGCUUGUUAACGAAUCAGCAACCAACCCAGAAACCCACGUGACAGUCAUGUGAGUUAACUGAUUCUAACGAACCAAGAACGCAACUUAUCCAUGCACGUGAAACUCUCGUGCAUCACUUAACCAAAACGACCUUCAUACAUGUCGUUCCAGGAGAUACGAGUUUGACUUUCCAAAACGCAGCAUCAGCUGACGUUUUCACAAACAGAUUUGCUUCACAUCACAACAAUUCUCCACCUUGAACAAAUCACUCUCUGAUCCUGAUUUCUCCAACCUGAGUAUUUAGAAUUCACUCAGCCCAGCUUUGUCCAAGCCGCUCUUGAACUUAGCUGUAGUUACAACCUUAGUAAGCAUGUCAGCAGGAUUAUCAUCUGUAUGCACUUUCACCAUGCUAAUCACACCUUUAGAGAUCACAUUUCUGAUAAAAUGUAACUUGAUAUCUAUGUGUUUAGUUUUUUCAUGGUGAGCUGGGUUCUUACUCAAGUAAAUUGCACUUGAGCUGUCACAAUGAACUUCCACAGUCUCCUGCUUCAUCCCCAGUUCUGUUAUCAACCCUCUCAGCCACAGAGCUUCCUUGACAGCUUCUGUUGCAGCAGUAUAUUCAGCCUCUGUUGUUGACAAAGCUACAACAUGCUGCAAUCUUGCCUUCCAGUUAACAAGGCAACCAUCCAAGAAAAACAUAUAGCCAGUUAAAGAUCUCCUUCUGUCUAAGUCCCCAGCAUAGUCUGAGUCAACAUAACCACAGAGACCUGCAAUCUUUCCAGCUGAUUUUCCAUAUACCAACCCAUACUGUUGUGUACCUUUCAGAUACCUCAGCACCCAUUUAACAGCCUUCCAGUGCUCCUUUCCAGGUGUAGCCAUAAACCUACUUACAACACUUAAAGCAUGAGCUAAGUCUGGUCUUGUAAGUACCAUUGCAUACAUCAUGCAACCAACAGCAUUUGCAUAAGGAACCUUUGUCAUUUCAUUCCUCUCUUCAUCUGUACUGGGGCAUUGUGAACAUGACAGCUUGAAGUGAGAUGCAAGAGGGGUUACUACUGACUUGCUGUUUGACAUCCCAAAAGUUCCCAGUACCUUCUCUAGAUACUUCCCUUGAGACAGAAUCAUAGUACCCUUCUUCCUGUUCCUUAUUAUUUCCAUACCCAAAAUCUUCCUAGCUGGACCCAAGUCUUUCAUAUCAAAUUCUGAAUUGAGCAGUUGCUUCAAAGCCUCAAUCUCUUCCCUUUCAUUACAAGCAAUCAACAUAUCAUCUACAUAUAACAGCAGAUAUAUGUAGUUGCCUGAUUGUAUGAUCUUGUAGUAAACACAUACAUCAUAGCUGCACCUUAGAUACCCAUGAGUGACCAUAAACUCAUCAAAUCUAAGGUACCACUGUCUGGGUGAUUGUUUCAGCCCAUACAGUGACCUCUUCAGCAGACACACACAGUCAGCAGAUUCAGGACUUGUGUACCCUUCAGGCUGUGUCAUCAAGAUGUCCUCAUUUAAUCUUCCAUGUAGAAAGGCUGUCUUGACAUUGAGUUGAUCAAGCUCCAUGUCUUUUACAGCUGUUAAAGCCAGUAGCACUCUGAUUGAUGUGUGUCUGACUACUGGUGAGAACACCUCUUUGAAAUCCACUCCAGCCCUCUGUGUGUAACCCUUGGCCACUAACCUAGCUUUGAAUCUUCUAGGUUCAGUAGCUGUUAGUCCAUCUUUGACUUUGUAGAUCCAUUUACAUCCUACUGUUCUGCUGUUGGCAGGUCUUUUAAUCAGCUCCCAUGUAUUGUUCUUCUUCAGUGAAUAGAUUUCCUCAUCCAUGGCCUUUUUCCACUCAUCUUUGUAUGGUCCCUGGAUAGCCUCUUUGUAGUUCUUGGGUUUAUCAUCAUCAAUUUGAUGAGAUGCUGUUAAUGCAUAGGCUAUCAGAUCUGCAUAUCCAUAUCUGACAGGUGCUUUUGCUUUCCUUCUUUCUCUGUCUCUUGUCAGCUGGUACUCCUGAUGCUGAGCUUCAGUCUGCUUUACAUGAUCAGUUUCUAGAUCAGUAGCUCCUUGAUAAGAGUCAUCUUCAUCUUCUGAAGCUUCUCUAGUGUAGGGCUCCACCUCAAACUGAAUCUUGGUUCUCUCCUUCUCCUUUGGUGUAUCUGUGUCAGUAGGUUUCUUCAUUUCCAGUGCAGCUUUCUCAUUGAAUAUUACAUCUCUACUGAUUAUGCACUUGGGGGGAUUAAGGUCUGUACACCACAGUUUGAAGCCUUUAACACCUUCAGGAUACCCAAUGAACUUUCCUUUAAGGGUUCUUGGAGCUAACUUCCCUUGGCUCACAUGUGCAUAAGCUGGACAUCCAAAUACUUUGAGGCUGCCAUAGUCUGCUGGUUUUCCAUGCCAUUUCUCAAAUGGGGUUUUGAAGUCAAGUGCUGCAGAGGGACUUAGAUUUACCAGAUAGCUUGCUGUUAACAGAGUCUCAGCCCACAAUCCUUUUGGAAGUUGUGACUGGAUCAUCAUGCUUCUUACUCUGUCCAUCAGGGUUCUGUUCAUUCUUUCGGCUAACCCAUUUUGUUGAGGAGUCAGCCUUACAGUUCUAUGCCUUGCAAUGCCAUGAUCUGCACAGUAGCUAUCAAACUCCUGAUUGCAAAACUCAAGACCAUUGUCUGUUCUGAGUUUCUUUACCUUCAAUCCAGUUUGAUUUUCAACCAGGGAUUUCCACUCUCUGAAUUUUCCAAAUACCUGAUCCUUGUGCUUUAAGACAUAAACCCAUACUCUCCUUGAAUAAUCAUCUAUUAAAGACAAGAAAUAGGUGUUGCCACCUAGUGACAUUGUCUGUGCUGGUCCCCAUAAAUCUGAGUGUAUGUAUUCAAGGAUGCCUUUUGUUGAAUGAACUGAUUUUCCAAAGCUACUUCUUGUAGCUUUGCCUAGUACACAGUCUUCACAAAAAUUCAGUUCUGAGAUUUGACUGCUGCCUAGAACCCCUUGCUUCUGUAAUUCUUUCAGACCUCUCAAGCUCAUAUGUCCUAAUCUAAGGUGCCACAGCAGAGUGUUAUCACAGCUUGAACUGAUUAACACUCCUGACACACCAGUUAUAGCUUCCCCAUUCAAAACAUAAACCCCAUUUCUCUUGUAACCUUUCAUAACUAUCCCAUCUUCAUUUGAAAUUCUCAGCUCACCAGAUUCAAGCUUAAUGCUAAGCCCCAUUUGGUCAAGCAUACCUAGAGAUAUUAAGUUCCUUUUAAGUUCAGGAACAUACCUAACUUCCCUUAAUUCUCUUAUUGUUCCAUCAUGCAAUUUUAGGUUUAUAUUUCCUAUCCCCGCAAUUUUACAAACAGCAUUGUUACCCAUCAUAACUUUUCCUCCAUCAGUUUCAUGAUAGUUUAAUAGGUAAUCUUUAAAGGGGCACAUAUGAAAUGUACAACCUGAGUCUAGAAUCCAGGUACCUUUUUGCACAUGCUCUGUAGCCACACAUACUCCUGCUGACUCAUACCCCUCUUCCUCAGCAGUAGCAGCAGCUCCAUUUUGUUCCCUUUUCUUGUUCUUGAGUUCUGGGCAAUCUCUCUUGAAAUGCCCUUCUUUCUGGCACUGAAAACAUUUCUUGCCUUUAGUCUUUUGUUUGUUGUUCCCUUGCUUCUUUUUCUUUCCAUCAUACUUAUCAGUUCUUGCUUUUACUGCCAAUACUUCUCCAGAGUUCAUAUUCCCUGACUUUUCUUGCAGCCCUCUAGUAUUCAGGGCAGCCUUAACUUCAUCCAAUGAUAAAGUCUGUCUCCCAUACAUGAGUGCAUCCACAAAGUUUGAAUAUGAGGAUGGAAGUGAACUAACCAGAAGCAAUGCUUUACCUUCAUCAUCUAAACCUUCAUCAAUUAUUUCCAAUGUAUCACAGACCUGAUUGAAUUCAUCAAUGUGGUCUUCGAGAGAUGACCCUUCAGCCAUCUUUAGUGUGAACAUUCUUUUCUUGAUGUAAAGUCUGUUGGCUAAUGAUUUAGUCAUAUACACCCUUUCAAGCUUUGCCCACAGAUCAGCCACUGUUCUUUCUCUUGCAACUUCCCUGAUCACCGAGUCUCCAAGACUCAAGAUUAUGGUACUCCUUGCCUUUUUGUCAAUCUCAGCAGCUUGUUGUGGUGUUAGUGAUGAUGAAGAUGUGGAGGCUUCUAAUCCUUCUUUCUUGAUGAUAGGUUCUAAGGCAUCACCUAGCCCUUGAGUGAUCAGUAAUGCCUCCAUUUUAACCUUCCACAUGUUGAAGUCAUUCUUCCCUGUAAACUUCUCUAGAUCGAUCUUUGAACCAACCAUACUUGUGUCUGAUUUGUAAUCCAAGCUCUGAUACCAAUUGUAGUGUUUAAGAGUGACUAACUAUCCCAAUCAACUCAAAACACUUCCCAAGAUCACACCCAAACAAACAAGAUGUACCAAGAAUCAAUCCAGUAGAAUACACACAGAUUAUUAGAACUGAAAGAAUUAAAGAAAAGGACAAGAAUUAACGUGGUUCAGCUAGCUUCAGUCUAGCUUACAUCCACGGGAGAAACAGAACCCAAUUGUAUUGAUUGUUUAAAGGAGUUACAGAGAGUUCAUCAAGCUUGUUACAGAGUCUCUCAAGAAGCCUUUUGUUAUUAAUCUUCUCAACUCACAAUAGCUCUCUCUUCUUUUUUCUCAGUUGCCAGAAUCAGCUGUAUAUAACAGCUUGUUAACGAAUCAGCAACCAACCCAGAAACCCACGUGACAGUCAUGUGAGUUAACUGAUUCUAACGAACCAAGAACGCAACUUAUCCAUGCACGUGAAACUCUCGUGCAUCACUUAACCAAAACGACCUUCAUACAUGUCGUUCCAGGAGAUACGAGUUUGACUUUCCAAAACGCAGCAUCAGCUGACGUUUUCACAAACAGAUUUGCUUCACAUCACAACAUUGGGGGUAGUCAUUAGAAACUCUGUGGGUAAGGUUGUUGCUGCAGCAGUCCAAAGAGCUCCAUAUAGGGGAGAUGUGGCGUGUAUGGAGGUUGAAGCUGUUCUGUUUGGUAUUCAGAGUGCCCAACAAGCAGCUGUUUUCCCAAUAAUUAUUGAGUCGGAUUCAAAGGAAGUGGUGGAUCUAUCCUUAAAGAAAAAGAUCAGCAAGACUGAAAUUGAGUGGAAAAUUGCAGAAAUCCAAGCAAAUCUGGAAAAUCAGAAUGUGUCCUCGCUGUCAUAUGUCCCUAGAAGCUGUAACUCUAUUGCUCAUUCUAUUGCAAAGAUAGCUCUAGGUUUUGAAAGUCAAGUCUUUUGGCUGGAAAACUUUCCAGAACAUAUCAGGUGUACUCUUGCUAAGUUCAUCAAUUGAAAAGCUUUACUUUGCUCAUCAAAAAAAAAAAAAAAAAAAAACUCCAGUGGCUGCAUCCACUGGAAAAAGUGGAUGAGAACCAUUUUUUUUUCAUAAAGGUAACUACUCACAUAAUUGAUGGUGCUUAAAUCAAUUUUUUUUUUAAUUUAAAGAAUUUUGCUUUAAAAAAUAAUUAAUAUCAAAAUGCCUUCAAUGUUGUUACCCUCACAAGCCCAGUUAGAGGACUCAUUAAAAAUUUUAGAAUUUUCAGGCCUGGAAAGCGUAGUAUUAAACAUCAGAAAGCAAAGGUUUUUAUGUCGAAGAAUUGAUGUCGACAAAAUUUUAUUUUAGUUUUUGGGAAAAAAAAUAUUUUGUUGACAAGCAAGAAAAUAUUUUUUAUACUUUACAAUCUGCCUUCUCUCUCAUUGUCUCUCACUAUUUCACGAUCUCUCUCUCACUCACACAGGCAAUGACCAUCUCAUCAUCGGCGUUCGUGUCGUCAGUGUCACUGGUCUUGCUCGACCGAGACAGUGAGAGAGAGGUUUGUUAGAUGGAGUGAUGAUAAAGGAUUCUAUUUUUUUUAUUAAUAUUUUAAUUUUUAAAAUUAAAAUGUGCUGCCGUUUCUCUUGUCUUUUUAGCUGUUUAGCAGCACUCUUUUCAAAAUUUAAGAAUGUAGGUGUCCUAUAAGAGAUCGAUAAAAGAACGUCAAUUAAAUUUAUAAAAAUAUGAUAAAAGAACGUCAAUUACUUGUCUUUUAGGGAAUCCAAUGAGAAAUAUGAUAAAAGAACGUCAAUUACUUGUCAUUUUCAAUUUUUUUCUGUAAGCUAUUUAUUUUGAGCAUUAGUGCUCUUGUCUGGACUACUCCAAUUAUUGACGUAACUCCAGUGGCUGCAAUUAAUGAUAUAAAGCUGAGACUUUUGACCAAGUUAUCUAGUUGGGAAAGCAAAUUUUUUUCCAGUGGGGGCAAAGAAGUGUUGAUUAAAACUGUUGCUCAGGCUGUGCCAGUCUAUGCAAUGAGUGUUUUUAAGAUCCCUCAUAGCUUUUGUGAUGACAUUGAGAAGGCUAUUGCUCGUUUCUGGUGGGGUUCCUCUGAAACAAAAAGAAGCAUUCACUGGACAAGGUGGGAACGGUUGUGCCACGCCAAGAUAAGGGGGGGAUUGGGUUUUAGAGAUUUCUCUAGUUUUAACCAAGCCUUAAUUGCUAAGCAGGGGUGGAGAAUUCUGCAGCACCCUGACUCUUUAAUGGCAAAGAUUCUGAAAGCAAAAUAUUUUAAGCAUACUGGUUUUAUGGAUGCGAAAUUGGGUUCACACCCCUCUUUUGUUUGGAGAAGUAUAUUAUGGGGUAGGCAAGUGCUCCAUAACGGCCUAAGAUGGAGAAUCGGCUGUGGGAGUCAGGUUUUAAUUUCCAGUAGCAAUUGGAUAAAAAACCAUAAGCUUCACAGUUUGGUUCCAUAUUCAAAUCUACCUCCUGAAACUGUAGUUGUUGACCUUAUUGAUGAAAGUCACCAAUGGAAAGAAGAUAUGGUUUUCCAACAUUUUCCAAUGGAUGUUGCAAAGAGGAUCACAAGAACCCCUCUCCCAAAAACUCCCCAGCAGGAUCUUCUCAUUUGGAAAUAUGAUAAGCACAGAAUUUACUCGGUGAAGAGUGGGUAUCAAUUGGCUGUUAAGCAAAAAUUCCAAAAUUAUCCAAGUUGUUCAGAUGUUACCAAGUCAAGGUGGGAGGUGAUAUGGGCUACGGAUCUUCUAGGAAAAGUCAAGAUUUUUAUUUGGAGGGCUGCUCAAAAUCUUCUCCCUACAGUUGGAAAUCUAUGGAGGAGGAGGGUGGUGAAGGAUUAUUUUUGCCAAAGAUGUAAUUGCAGAGGAGAGGAUGUCUUCCAUGCUUUAAUAGAGUGCAGGGCAGCUAAAAGGGUUUGGAAGUUGACUGAAUUUUAUGAGGAUGUAAAGCAAUUAGCUCGGCAAGACAUGUUGAGUGUGCUGCAGGAUUUAGCUGUGAAGAGAAAAAAGAAUGAGCUGGAGCUUGUUGUUGCGGUGUGCUGGGCCAUUUGGUACUCUAGGAAUCGUUUGGUGUUUGAAGGAAAGGAAGAAGAUCCAAAAACUUCAGUGGCCAGAGCAAUUGCUAUGGUGGAAUCAUACAGGCGAAUAAAAGUUCCAAAUGAACAAAAUUCUCCAGGCCAUAGCAGAAUCAGUCAACUAGAAUGGGCAAAUCCUCCAAAGGGGUGUUAUAAAGUCAACGUUGAUGCUGCAAUUAAUGUUUCAAACCAAAAGGCAGGGUUGGGUGUAGUGUUUAAGAGUGACUAACUAUCCCAAUCAACUCAAAACACUUCCCAAGAUCACACCCAAACAAACAAGAUGUACCAAGAAUCAAUCCAGUAGAAUACACACAGAUUAUUAGAACUGAAAGAAUUAAAGAAAAGGACAAGAAUUAACGUGGUUCAGCUAGCUUCAGUCUAGCUUACAUCCACGGGAGAAACAGAACCCAAUUGUAUUGAUUGUUUAAAGGAGUUACAGAGAGUUCAUCAAGCUUGUUACAGAGUCUCUCAAGAAGCCUUUUGUUAUUAAUCUUCUCAACUCACAAUAGCUCUCUCUUCUUUUUUCUCAGUUGCCAGAAUCAGCUGUAUAUAACAGCUUGUUAACGAAUCAGCAACCAACCCAGAAACCCACGUGACAGUCAUGUGAGUUAACUGAUUCUAACGAACCAAGAACGCAACUUAUCCAUGCACGUGAAACUCUCGUGCAUCACUUAACCAAAACGACCUUCAUACAUGUCGUUCCAGGAGAUACGAGUUUGACUUUCCAAAACGCAGCAUCAGCUGACGUUUUCACAAACAGAUUUCGUUCACAUCACAACAUUGGGGGUAGUCAUUAGAAACUCUGUGGGUAAGGUUGUUGCUGCAGCAGUCCAAGGAGCUCCAUAUAGGGGAGAUGUGGCGUGUAUGGAGGUUGAAGCUGUUCUGUUUGGUAUUCAGAGUGCCCAACAAGCAGCUGUUUUCCCAAUAAUUAUUGAGUCGGAUUCAAAGGAAGUGGUGGAUCUAUCCUUAAAGAAAAAGAUCAGCAAGACUGAAAUUGAGUGGAAAAUUGCAGAAAUCCAAGCAAAUCUGGAAAAUCAGAAUGUGUCCUCGCUGUCAUAUGUCCCUAGAAGCUGUAACUCUAUUGCUCAUUCUAUUGCAAAGAUAGCUCUAGGUUUUGAAAGUCAAGUCUUUUGGCUGGAAAACUUUCCAGAACAUAUCAGGUGUACUCUUGCUAAGUUCAUCAAUUGAAAAGCUUUACUUUGCUCAUCAAAAAAAAAAAAAAAAAAAAAACUCCAGUGGCUGCAUCCACUGGAAAAAGUGGAUGAGAACCAUUUUUUUUUCAUAAAGGUAACUACUCACAUAAUUGAUGGUGCUUAAAUCAAUUUUUUUUUUAAUUUAAAGAAUUUUGCUUUAAAAAAUAAUUAAUAUCAAAAUGCCUUCAAUGUUGUUACCCUCACAAGCCCAGUUAGAGGACUCAUUAAAAAUUUUAGAAUUUUCAGGCCUGGAAAGCGUAGUAUUAAACAUCAGAAAGCAAAGGUUUUUAUGUCGAAGAAUUGAUGUCGACAAAAUUUUAUUUUAGUUUUUGGGAAAAAAAAUAUUUUGUUGACAAGCAAGAAAAUAUUUUUUAUACUUUACAAUCUGCUAUACAUAUUUUAUCAUAUUAAAGUAAUUUUAAUAAUAUAUGGAAACAUAAUAUUUUAAUAAAUAAAUUAAAAUUACUUUGAAUUAUUGAAUAUUACAAAAAGAUAAUUUUAAUAUUAUUAAUAGGAAAACAUUUUUUAAUUGUAAAAUCUUUUUAAUACAAAAAUUCAUUUAAAAUCUUUAUAAUAAAUACAAAUAUAAAAUUAAAAAAUAUUAUAAUUUAAAAUUUUUAAUAGUAUUUAAAUAUUAAAAAUACUUUAAUAUUAUUAAUCUACUACAUCAAAUAUAUUAUUUAUAUUAUAUUCGUAUUGAUUAAAACGUUUUAAAGUCAAAUUUUUAAUUAGUGUAUUCAAAGGUACAAAAGAUUUUAGUAUUAUUUUUUAAAAAUUUCAGGAUAUGAAUGUUAAUUUUUUUCAAAUUUUAAAGAUGUAAAAAUCUUUUUUUCUGAUAAUUUAUUUCACUUUUGAGAGAAUCCGAAAACGUUAAUUUAACAUUCUUUACCUUUGUGAAAAAAGUGAAAAUCAAGAACUAUUCAAUUUUGUUUUUAUUUGUAAUUCAAAAACUUUAUUCAUUUUGGAUGCUUUUCAAAAGAGAUUCCUUUAAAUCCUUUUGGUGUCUGCAGCUCCUGCUAUUCUCAUAAGUCUCCAUCCCACAUCUACACUAUCAAACAAGUUGAUGGAAAUUCUUAUAAAAAAAAAAAAAAAGUCGAUGGAAAUUGAUCAAUUGCUUUUUGAAAUGGACCCAUUGAGUCAUGUUCAUUUCUGGUCAUUGUCUACUCUUUCUAUCAGCCAUUAAUUUUGACCAUUUGCGAUCUUAUCUGGACCAACUCCAAUUAUUUAUGUAACGAACUCCAAAGGUUGCAUCUACAGUUGAAUGUAAGAUAGCGAAGGCUCUUCUUUGAGAAAAUAGAGGAACCUUUCUCUGUUUCUCCGUUGCAACGUGCUCAUAUAAAUUUCUUUACCUUACAGUUUAUACGGUCUUGCUGUUAAUGAAUUCGCUGAGGCAUUAUUGAUCCAAUCUGAGUGAAGUAAUUGUGGCUGAAAAAUAAAUAAAGGAUAUGAGAACGUAGCUGAAGUGCUGAAGGGGCUAUUAAAGAAGAGUGUCACUUGAUCACAAUCACAUUGAUGCACAACUCACUCGUGGCAAAUUUCGACUAUACGUACUGCAAAUUCAGCCAAACCAUACAUGCAUGAACAAAACAUCUUCUCUAAACUAAAAAGCCCACAUCUCUAAAAUCAAUCUACAUAAUGUUGGAGAUGAGGGGUGAAUUGUUAACUCAGUAAAAAAAAAAAACUCAUGCAUAAGAUUACUAAUAAUAUAAAUUAUAUAUUAAUCAUUAUAAAGAAUCAUAAAUUAGAAAAAUUAAUCAUUUUAUAAUUUAUUACACAAGUAUGAUAAAUCUUAUAAUAAGUUAUAACAUAAAAAAACGUUAUCAAUAAAUAAUCAUUUAAGAAGUCAUUUAACAAUAAAAUCGUUCUUUGAUCAGUUGGUCAUGUCACAUAGUAUCAUCUAUAUUUAUGGUGAUAAUAUUAUUACUUAGUAUUAUCAAAAAACAUGAUUUAACAUUUAGAGGAAAUUCUUGCCUUUUAAAAAAAACAUGUAUGCAACAGCUACCCAUGCUUUAUCUUACCAUGACAAAUAUUUUCUCAAUGAAAGAAUUUUUUUUUAAAAUUGAUUUAAUGCACAAAUAUGAUGAUUUUUGCCAAAAAUUAAUUUUGGAAAACAUAGUGAGAGAAAAUAGUGACGAUUAUUGUUUAGAUGUAUAAAUAGCCUAAACAUAAUCCUUAAUACCAGUAUCCAUGUGCAUCUUAGCAUCUUUUAUGAUAUUCUUUCAUUUAUGUCCAUUGGUUCAAGAUUUGAAUUUGAUCAUUAAAUCAUAUUCAAUAAUAUUAGAGAUUCCAAAAAUUGAGUACCAACUUAAAUCCCAAUGUUAUGUUUCAUUGACCAAUGUCGUGUCAUUUUCUUAUUAACUAGGUGAUGAAUUUCUAGUUGAUAAAAUCACUUAAAAAUAUCUUAAAAAUCAGACAAUAGUUUGCUUAAUUUUUCCAAGUUAACUGCUCAAGAUGCUCUAUUAUAAAUGAUAACCUAAUUAUAUUCAUAAAAAAUGAUAUAUUUUUUGUGGUGUUGAUAAUGAGAUUAUCAUUCAACAUUUUAAAAUGUGAAAACAUAUGGAAGAUGGUUGUAAAUUGAUUGAAUGAAAAUAUUUCAGUGAAGUCUCAAAAAUUUGGUACUUGUUGUCUUAUCGAAAGUUUUCUAAAUUAUAUUCGUGGCACAGCCACUAUCCAAACCAUACAAGUCCAAAGCUAUCCAAACCAUACCUGCAAGUCCGGGGCUUAAAUGGAGUACUUCUAAGCAAAAAAACAUUGACUAAAAUAGAAUAUAUACAUACAGACACACAUACAUACCAGCAUAUUCAAAAUAGCAAAAGGAGUGCAAAGUUCAAGUUUGUAGACAACAUUGCAACCAUAGCAUGUUUAUAGCAAAUCCUCAAAAUCUGCUAAAUAAAACAAUGCCCUGUCUCAUGAAUCAAUGCUGAAUUAAAAUUGAAACUGAAAGUCUGGAUGGUGUUGUUUGUUGAGAAUGUCAAAUAAAACGGCAUUGAAGGAAGUUUUCAAAGGCAGAAUCCGCACUUGUCAAAGGGAUGAUCUGCACUUGUCAAAGACACGAUCCGCGCUGAACGGAUCGACACAUUUCCUUCCGUAUUCACAUAUGUAAUCUUUGAAAAAAUAUAGCUUCUGCAUCUAUAAAUAACGCUCAAUGUAUAAUGUUUUAUUCAAGAAAUAAAAACAAGUUUCUACAUGGUAUCAGAGCCAUGAAUGCGCUCAAGUUUCUUCAAGUUUCGUUGCUCUGUUUGUCACAAAAACAGAGGAAACCAAAUUCGUCCCACAACCAUUUUUUCCACCAUUUUCUUCCUUAAAAUCAUUCCUAACAUUACAGAAAUCCAUGCCGAUCAAAAAACAUGAAAGACAAAUUACACAUGUGCAGUAACCAAUGAUCAUAUUUCGUUACUGUCAAACACAAUGCAUCUGAGCAAAACAUUGGAAGCCAACACCAGAAUACAUAUGAAUAAACAAUUAAAGAUAGAGAAAAAAGGCUUAAACCUUGGGGGAAAAAAGUGAAAAAACAUGAAAGACAAAUUACACAUGUGCAGUAACCAUCGAACUUAUCAGUGACAGCUGCAUCUAUUACAUUGCUCCAACAACACAAUGGCAAACCACCAGUUUCAAAUUGAGGAUAGCUAUCGAGAAUGAGAAAGUGUCCAAAACGUCAUAAAUAGACAUGUUCCUAUUGUGCAUAAUUUACAUUAUAGGCAAAUAUUCUUAUACCAUCAAUGGCAAAACAUGACACUAACAAUUGAUCCCCCCAACACCCCCCCCCCCCACCAACCAAAAAAAAAAAGGAAAUAACAAUACAGAAAAGAUUGAAACAGAUAAGGCUACACUGAGCACAGGAUGCCAUGAAACAUAAUCCAGGAACCAAAUUAAUAAAAAAGGAAGCCAAACCAUUAUUUAACAAUCUGUUUUGUAUUUGGGAAAGUCUGAUAAAAUCUACUUAGGGAUAAUUAGAGAACUUCAACUAUUAAUCACACCUCAUAAAUGAACUAACAUUAACCAUCUACCAUCCCCACGUCACACAAACAUUCUCUAUACUUCUGAACCUAAUACUUCCAUCUUCAAUUGGGGGGUUUUUUUCUUUUUUCUUUUUUUUGGGGGGGGGGGGGGGGGGGGGGGGAAGCUAUCAAUUUUCUAAGCUUGCUUAGCUUCUGUGUGGGAUUGAAAUGCUGAUUUCGAAUCACUAACAGUAAAAUUGGAAGCUCAUGAGAAAAUAGAGAAAGACCUAAUGUUGAGUCCUUUGGCGCAUGUCUCUUCAUAGGUCCGAACCAUUUCUUCGGGCGUGGGUUACGGCCGAGAUUGGAUAAUGAUGGAGGAGGAGAAAAUAGAUAAUGAUUGCACUAAUUUUCUAGAUGAAUUUUUUCCUACAUGCUUGUUCCCGAAUGACCCAAAAUCCUGCUACAUCAGUUGUAUUAGAAAUUAAUCAACUGGGUUACAAUUAUGCAUCCCCACCAAUAUUUAAGCAAUUUACAGAAACAUUUCUUGAGGAAAAAAACUCAUAUCGCCACUAGGCUUUUAAUGAGGCUCAUUUUUAUGAAUUUGGAUGGCAUUAGAUAUCUCUCCAAAUAUUGGUGGGAGUAGAUCGCAGAUCUCUGGGCUAUACUACAAAGUGUAUGUACGUUGACUCUCAAUAAAUACAAACGAUUCUCUGAUAUGAUUCAAAACAUCAGUACAUGCAUCAUUUUAAUGAGAAAGAAUAUUCUAAGAACGAAAUUGAAGGUGCAAUCAGCAGCUAAAAUGAAGCCAGAAAUGUACACGCAUGAGGAACUUUUCCUAGAAGAUUGAUAUUUCUUUGACUAGCAAACCACACACGUCAAAGCUAGCCAAACCAUACCUGCAUGUCGGGGGUUUAAAUGGAGUACUUCUAAGCAUAAAACAUUGAUUAAAACAGAAUACACACAUACAUACCAGCAAAUUCAAAAUAGCAAAAGGAGUGCAAAAGUUCAAGUUUGUAGACAACAUUGCAACCAUGGCAUGUUUAUAGCAAAUCCUCGAAAUCUGCUAAAUAAAACAAUGCCAUGUCUCAUGAAUCAAUGCUGAAUUAAAAUUGAAACUGAAAGUCUGGCUAGCGAUGUUUCCCUCUCCAAUUUUGCCUACAUAAGUGAAAAUAAGAAUAAUAAAUGAAAAUCUGCUUUGACAGUUCUUAUUAGAUAGAUAUAAAAAGAUCUUUCUUUGUUUCUCUGCAGCAAUCUGUGGCUAUCCCACUCUGUUUUGCCAGUCAAGCUGCGGCCUCAAUUAGUUUGGCACUUUUAUGACCUCCUUGAAGGUUUUACGAUAAACAUAAAUCUACUGACAAAGUGGGCAAAAAGAAAAUGUAUAUAAAAGUAUGAGUUAUCAGAUAAGAUUAAAACUCACCCAAUUCAAUCCAUCAGAUUCCGUAAGGAUAUAACUGGAUGUCAUACCGCCACUCUAUAUUCUUGAAAGUCCGUAGUGUUUGUCUCAACUGUGUCUGGGGCCAGUGUAAGUCCAAUUUGCGCAAGCUCUCUAUGCACCACAGCUCUUCUGGAAGCUUUCUCAAGUAAGCACAUGGGUUGACAAUUAAGCUUUCAAGUUUCGGCAUUGCUCCAGCCCCCAUCGUCCACUCAUCUAGCCAAUACAUUGAUUUCAGGUGCAAAACCUUAAGUUCGGGAAAGCUACUCAAGCCAACACAAGCAAGCUUUCUUCCUAAAUACGAGUUCUGCUUCAGUUUCAGCACUCGAAGGAGUGGAAGAUUUUCCAGAAUUGGCAUGGGAUCCUCCAUUAGCUCAGUAUUUGAUAAGCUCAGUUGGAUCAGACUUGGGGGAAAUUGGUAUUCAGACAGGACCAUCCGUGAGGGCUUGCUCUCAUUCACCAGCUUCAAGCAUUCAAGUUUGUGGAGUUCGCAAAGGCUUUUGGAAACCCCAGAUUGAUAGUAACUCAAAUCUCCAGAUAUCCGAAGAGUCUGAACACUAGGUAGUCUGCCCAAUAUAUCAGGAGUACAACUACUAGGGUUUAAAGCUGAUAUGAAAAUGAGAUUUUUCAGAGAGCUAGAAUAAUUUUUUGGAGGUGCGGGCAGAGUGAUAGAACCAAAGUUUAGAUGCAUGAGUUUUUGCAUCAUCCAAAUAUCCUCUGGUGACUGAUCUAUGUAGCUAGAUGGCAUUUCUAGUGUUUCAAGGUUUAAAAGGGUGCAUAGCAGUGAAGGAAGGCAUUUGGGCGAAGGGAUAUUCAAUUUCAAAUACUUCAAAAGGAAUGAAUUUUCUAAUCCGGGUGGAUAUUGGUCCAGGACUGCAGAACCCAUGUUCAAUACCCGAAGGUAUUUGAACCUUUUAAAAAAAUUCUCGCAAUCUUUCGAAUUAAGAUGAUUGCUUUUUGAACUGUGAUUCAGAAAAGAAGUUUCUGCAGAACCCAUGUUAGAAUGUUUCAAAGAAAAGAAGUCAAUCUGAUUACCCAAAAUGAUGUACCGUUUAACAUUUUCCGGUGGUUCAUCUUCCAUGUCAAGCAUCCAGACAAAUCCCGUCUUCUCUGCCACCAAUAACAAUGAAUAAUAUACAAUACUUGGAACAUAACACGCUUUAAUCGUGCCUCCGGCGCUUCUCUUACUCACUUGAAUGAAGCCGCGAUGGAUUAGUUCUUUCAAGUAAUGUUCGGCCGUCUCCUCACUGUUGUAUGGUAUGAAACCUUCAGCUACCCAUAACUGAUAUAAUUGCCUCGUGGAUAUCUCAAUACUUGGAGGGAAGACACACAAAUAGAUGCAGCAGACUUUCAAGUGAAAAGGUAACUCCAUCACAGAGAAAGUUUGUCUCCAUACUGUCGGAAUCGCUUCGCCUUGAAGAUAAUUUCCUAAUGGCAUACUUCCAUAGUGUAGGACGAAAAAUUGCCAGGCUUCAAGCUUUAAUCUGAUCAAUGGUCCUCCAAUGAGCACCGAAUCAAGCCGAAUCUUCUCUCCGUUUUCCAUUUUCAGCGACGUAAGGAGUUCUGGUUCAGUGACCAAUAUCAAUACUCUGCUUCCAUUCUCAUUAUCAGGGAGAACUUCUUCGAGAUCACUCCAUAUCUCACUGUAAUCGAAGACGUCAUCAAGCACAAUAAAGUACUUCUUGUUGGUUAGGUAAUCUCGAAGAACAGAUUUCUUCAAUUGAUAAUGUUCACCGAUAAUUACACUAACCCGAGAUGGAGGCAUCACAGACUUGAUUAUGUCAUCCAAUAUCCAUACUUUAUCGUAGGCUAUAGAAACCCUUACCCAAGCAUGACAGUCAAAAUAGAACUUGACACGGUUAUUAUUGUAAGUAUCUGCAGCAAAAGCAGUCUUAUCGAAGCCACUGCUGUCGAGAAUUGCAACCACUGAAAGCCCAGAUGGUCCCUCAAUCAAUAGAUCAAAAAACUUCUCUCUGCCCCUUUCAAAUUCACUGAUAUCGAGCCGAGGUUGUCCCUCACUCAAUAGGCGUAUGAUUUCGUUCCUUUUUUCACUGAUAUCAAAACCAUUGUCGCCGGGUGGAAGUUGUUGCAUCCGAUUUCUAAUAUCAAUGAUUUUAGUGUGGAGUCCAACAAGAAGAGCCAUAUCAGUACUGCUUUCACUUUCGUUUUCACUGUUUUGCUGCUGCAUGAUUUUGAUGAAGAAUGUGUCAAUGGCUUCCUCAGAUUCAUGGACAAAGUCAUUGAUGUCCUCCAGAAUUUCAAAAAUAUCUGCUGUUUCAACGUCUUCUUCAUCGCUUUCUUCUAAGUCCAACAGUUGCAAAAAAGGCAAUGAUAUUUUGGAGUCAUCUAAUUCUUCUCUAAGGAGUUGAAACAAAUGCCGAGCCAUGUCAGCUUCAUAGUUUCCCAGCAGAGUAGUAGCAAUAAUUUCGGACUCCGUAAGAAGGUUUUGAAAACGUGGAGUUAAAUUUGUUGAAUCUGGCAAAGUUAACGUGCCUUCUUCACCUGCUAACACCCUUUUCAACCUCUCACAAAACAGUCGGAGGUGGAAUUCCAGCAUAUCUCCUUCUCUCCGUAGCACUCAGAGGUAUAGCUGAAAGAUUAAACACCAUGGAAGAAUUUGAAAGGAAAAUGCCAAGAAAUUGUGUAAGUGGCUAAAUUCCACAAAUAUGACAUUAUUGCUCAUUUUUUAACUCAAAAAAAGGGUACGCGUUCAUUUAGAGAAAAGUCCAAGACGCGUGCUUUUUGAAAAGAACAGGUAUCCCAAUCGGUAUCCAACCUUUAUCUUAUUUAAUUACUACCAUGACAUAAUUGAUGGUGCUUAAAUCAAUUGUUUCUUUUUUAAUUUAAAGAAUUUUUCAUUAAAAAAAUAUUUUAAUAUCAAAUUGCCUUCAGUGGCGUAACAACUGCCUGAAGCCCAGUAACAGGACUAAUUAAAAAUUUUACAAUUUUUGGGCAUGGAAAUAGUAGUAUUAAACAUUAGAAAGGUGAGGUUGUUCUGUUAAAGAAUUGAUAUUGACAUAAUUUUAUUUUGGUUUUCGUGGAAAACAAAAAUAUUUGUUGACAAGCAAGAAAAUAUUUUUAUUUUUUAAAAUUUAUUAUGCAUAUUUUAUCAUAUUGAAGUAAUUUUAAUAAUAAAUAGAAACAUAAUAUUACAAUAAAUAAAUUAAAAUUUAACUUAUUUUGAAUAUUAUAAAAAAUAAUUUUAAUAUUAUUAAUAGGAAGACAUUGUAUUAAUUUUAAAAUUUUUUAACCCAAAGGUUUAUUUAAAAUCUUUAUUAUAAAUACAAAUAUAAAAUUAAAUAUCAUAAUUUAAAAUUUUUAAUAUUAUUUUAAGUAUUAAAAAUAUUUUAAUGUUAUUAGUCUACUACAUAGAUCAUAUUACUUAUAUAAUAUUUGUAUUAUUAAAAAUUUUUAAAAUCAAAUUUUUAGUUAGUAUAUUCAUGAGGUAUUAUGGUUACAAAAAAAAGACCUUAUUAUUACUUUUUAAAAAAUUGAGGGUCUGCGAUGAUAAUUUUUUCAAAAAGAAAAUACAUGGUAUGUAGGAGGGGUAGAGAAACAGGACUUCCAAAAUCUCUCACCCUUCUUUAAUUAAAAAAAAAAUUAAAAUAUUAAUAAAAAAUAAUAAAGAAAAUAGAAUUUUAUCUGCUCCUUACUCCAUUUUUGCAACUCUCUCAACAUCUCUGUCGAGCAGCCUUCUCUCUCAUUGUCUCUCACUAUUUCACGAUCUCUCUCUCACUCACACAGGCAAUGACCAUCUCAUCAUCGGCGGUCGUGUCGUCAGUGUCACUGGUCUUGCUCGACCGAGACAGUGAGAGAGAGGUUUCUUAGAUGGAGUGAUGAUAAAGGAUUCUAUUUUUUUUAUUAAUAUUUUAAUUUUUAAAAUUAAAAUGUGCUGCCGUUUCUCUUGUCUUUUUAGCUGUUUAGCAGCACUCUUUUCAAAAUUUAAGAAUGUAGGUGUCCUAUAAGAGAUCGAUAAAAGAACGUCAAUUAAAUUUAUAAAAAUAUGAUAAAAGAACGUCAAUUACUUGUCUUUUAGGGAAUCCAAUGAGAAAUAUGAUAAAAGAACGUCAAUUACUUGUCAUUUUCAAUUUUUUUCUGUAAGCUAUUUAUUUUGAGCAUUAGUGAUCUUGUCUGGACUACUCCAAUUAUUGACGUAACUCCAGUGGCUGCAAUUAAUGAUAUAAAGCUGAGACUUUUGACCAAGUUAUCUAGUUGGGAAAGCAAAUUUUUUUCCAGUGGGGGUAAAGAAGUGUUGAUUAAAGCUGUUGCUCAGGCUGUGCCAGCCUAUGCAAUGAGUGUUUUUAAGAUCCCUCAUAGCUUUUGUGAUGACAUUGAGAAGGCUAUUACUCGUUUCUGGUGGGGUUCCUCUGAAACAAAAAGAAGCAUUCACUGGACAAGGUGGGAACAGUUGUGCCACGCCAAGAUAAGGGGGGGAUUGGGUUUUAGAGAUUUCUCUAGUUUUAACCAAGCCUUAAUUGCUAAGCAGGGGUGGAGAAUUCUGCAGCACCCUGACUCUUUAAUGGCAAAGAUUCUGAAAGCAAAAUAUUUUAAGCAUACUGGUUUUAUGGAUGCGAAAUUGGGUUCACACCCCUCUUUUGUUUGGAGAAGUAUAUUAUGGGGUAGGCAAGUGCUCCAUAACGGCCUAAGAUGGAGAAUCGGCAGUGGGAGUCAAGUUUUAAUUUCCAGUAGCAAUUGGAUAAAAAACCAUAAGCUUCCCAGUUUGGUUCCAUAUUCAGAUCUACCUCCUGAAACUGUAGUUGCUGACCUUAUUGAUGAAAGUCACCAAUGGAAAGAAGAUAUGGUUUUCCAAUAUUUUCCAAUGGAUGUUGCAAAGAGGAUCACCAGAACCCCUCUCCCAAAAACUCCCCAGCAGGAUCUUCUCAUUUGGAAAUAUGAUAAGCACGGAAUUUACUCGGUGAAGAGUGGGUAUCAAUUGGCUGUUAAGCAAAAAUUCCAAAAUUAUCCAAGUUGUUCAGAUGUUACCAAGUCAAGGUGGGAGGUGAUAUGGGCUACGGAUCUUCUAGGAAAAGUCAAGAUUUUUAUUUGGAGGGCUGCUCAAAAUCUUCUCCCUGACUUUUCUUGCAGCCCUCUAGUAUUCAGGGCAGCCUUAACUUCAUCCAAUGAUAAAGUCUGUCUCCCAUACAUGAGUGCAUCCACAAAGUUUGAAUAUGAGGAUGGAAGUGAACUAACCAGAAGCAAUGCUUUACCUUCAUCAUCUAAACCUUCAUCAAUUAUUUCCAAUGUAUCACAGACCUGAUUGAAUUCAUCAAUGUGGUCUUCGAGAGAUGACCCUUCAGCCAUCUUUAGUGUGAACAUUCUUUUCUUGAUGUAAAGUCUGUUGGCUAAUGAUUUAGUCAUAUACACCCUUUCAAGCUUUGCCCACAGAUCAGCCACUGUUCUUUCUCUUGCAACUUCCCUGAUCACCGAGUCUCCAAGACUCAAGAUUAUGGUACUCCUUGCCUUUUUGUCAAUCUCAGCAGCUUGUUGUGGUGUUAGUGAUGAUGAAGAUGUGGAGGCUUCUAAUCCUUCUUUCUUGAUGAUAGGUUCUAAGGCAUCACCUAGCCCUUGAGUGAUCAGUAAUGCCUCCAUUUUAACCUUCCACAUGUUGAAGUCAUUCUUCCCUGUAAACUUCUCUAGAUCGAUCUUUGAACCAACCAUACUUGUGUCUGAUUUGUAAUCCAAGCUCUGAUACCAAUUGUAGUGUUUAAGAGUGACUAACUAUCCCAAUCAACUCAAAACACUUCCCAAGAUCACACCCAAACAAACAAGAUGUACCAAGAAUCAAUCCAGUAGAAUACACACAGAUUAUUAGAACUGAAAGAAUUAAAGAAAAGGACAAGAAUUAACGUGGUUCAGCUAGCUUCAGUCUAGCUUACAUCCACGGGAGAAACAGAACCCAAUUGUAUUGAUUGUUUAAAGGAGUUACAGAGAGUUCAUCAAGCUUGUUACAGAGUCUCUCAAGAAGCCUUUUGUUAUUAAUCUUCUCAACUCACAAUAGCUCUCUCUUCUUUUUUCUCUGUUGCCAGAAUCAGCUGUAUAUAACAGCUUGUUAACGAAUCAGCAACCAACCCAGGAACCCACGUGACAGUCAUGUGAGUUAACUGAUUCUAACGAACCAAGAACGCAACUUAUCCAUGCACGUGAAACUCUCGUGCAUCACUUAACCAAAACGACCUUCAUACAUGUCGUUCCAGGAGAUACGAGUUUGACUUUCCAAAACGCAGCAUCAGCUGACGUUUUCACAAACAGAUUUGCUUCACAUCACAACAUUGGGGGUAGUCAUUAGAAACUCUGUGGGUAAGGUUGUUGCUGCAGCAGUCCAAGGAGCUCCAUAUAGGGGAGAUGUGGCGUGUAUGGAGGUUGAAGCUGUUCUGUUUGGUAUUCAGAGUGCCCAACAAGCAGCUGUUUUCCCAAUAAUUAUUGAGUCGGAUUCAAAGGAAGUGGUGGAUCUAUCCUUAAAGAAAAAGAUCAGCAAGACUGAAAUUGAGUGGAAAAUUGCAGAAAUCCAAGCAAAUCUGGAAAAUCAGAAUGUGUCCUCGCUGUCAUAUGUCCCUAGAAGCUGUAACUCUAUUGCUCAUUCUAUUGCAAAGAUAGCUCUAGGUUUUGAAAGUCAAGUCUUUUGGCUGGAAAACUUUCCAGAACAUAUCAGGUGUACUCUUGCUAAGUUCAUCAAUUGAAAAGCUUUACUUUGCUCAUCAAAAAAAAAAAAAAAAAAAAAACUCCAGUGGCUGCAUCCACUGGAAAAAGUGGAUGAGAACCAUUUUUUUUUCAUAAAGGUAACUACUCACAUAAUUGAUGGUGCUUAAAUCAAUUUUUUCUUUCUUUUUUUUUUAAUUUAAAGAAUUUUGCUUUAAAAAAUAAUUAAUAUCAAAAUGCCUUCAAUGUUGUUACCCUCACAAGCCCAGUUAGAGGACUCAUUAAAAAUUUUAGAAUUUUUAGGCCUGGAAAGCGUAGUAUUAAACAUCAGAAAGCAAAGGUUUUUAUGUCGAAGAAUUGAUGUCGACAAAAUUUUAUUUUAGUUUUCGGGAAAAAAAAUAAUUUGUUGACAAGCAAGAAAAUAUUUUUUAUACUUUACAAUCUGCUAUACAUAUUUUAUCAUAUUAAAGUAAUUUUAAUAAUAUAUGGAAACAUAAUAUUAUAAUAAAUAAAUUAAAAUUACUUUGAAUUAUUAAAUAUUACAAAAAGAUAAUUUUAAUAUUAUUAAUAGGAAAACAUUUUUUAAUUGUAAAAUCUUUUUAAUACAAAAAAUCAUUUAAAAUCUUUAUAAUAAAUACAAAUAUAAAAUUAAAAAAUAUCAUAAUUAAAAUUUUUAAUAAUAUUUAAAUAUUAAAAAUACUUUAAUAUUAUUAAUCUACUACAUAAAAUAUAUUAUUUGUAUUAUACUCGUAUUGAUUAAAACGUUUUAAAGUCAAAUUUUUAAUUAGUGUAUUCAAAGGUAUAAAAGAUUUUAGUAUUAUUUUUUAAAAAUUUCAGGAUAUGAAUGAUAAUUUUUUCAAAUUUUAAAGAUGUAAGAAUCUUUUUUUCUGAUAAUUUAUUUCACUUUUAAGAGAAUCCGAAAACGUUAAUUUAACAUUCUUUACCUUUGUAUAAAAAGUGAAAAUCAAGAACUAUUCAAUUUUGUUUUUAUUUGUAAUUCAAAAACGUUAUUCAUUUUCGAUGCUUUUCAAAAGAGAUUCCUUUAAAUCCUUUUGGUGGCUGCAGCUCCUGCAAUUUUCAUAAAUCUCCAUCCCACAUCAACACUAUCAAACAAGUUGAUGGAAAUUCUUAUCAAAAUUCCACAAAUAUGACGUUAUUGCUCAUUUUUCUCUCAAGACGCGUGCCUCCUGAAAAGAGAUACAUUGAAUAAGUCAAUUGAUUACAUUGUGGGUAAUUAAUUUAGAAGUGAAGCAGAGAAUAAAGUCCUAGAUGCCUUUAGAAAUUAGAAAUACAUUUUAUAUGCUUUAAUUAAUGAAUUCACUGAGGCAUUAUUGAUCCAAUCCCAGUGAAGUAAUUGUGGGUGAAAAAAAAAAAUAAAGUGCUGAAUUGGCUAUUAAAAAAGAGUGUCACUUGAUCACAAUCACAUUGAUCCACAACUCACUCGAGGCAAAUUUCAUCUAUGUGUACUGCAAAUUUAGCCAAACCAUGCAUGCAUGAACAAAAUUAGGCCGUAGUCCUCAUCACAACAUUAAUUGAAGCCACAAAAGCCAGCAAAUCCAAACGAAAACUUAAAAGGAAGUCUUUUAACUAUUGGAAACAUUAAUCAUUUUACAAUCUAUUACAUAAUAAAGAUAAAUUUUAUAAUAAGUUAAGUUAGAACUAGGGAAGGCAAAUUUUCCCGAUGGGAUGGGAUCCUGCGGGAUCCCAUCCCAUUUGGGACGGGAUUGAGACAUAUUUUUGUCCCAUAAAAAAAUUUAGGACGGAAUUGGGAUUUUUUUUAUCCCAAUUACAUAUGCGGGACAUGAGUGGGAUUGACAAAUUCCGUCCCAUCCCAUCUCAUUACCGAUUAAUAAUGGAAAUUUUUCCAAUUGGGAUGGGAUCCCGCGGGAUCCCAUCUCUUUUAGGACGGGAUUGGGACAUAUUUUUGUCCCAAAAAAAUAUAAGGACGGGAUUAUGACAUUUUUUCAUCCCAUUUGCAUAUACGGGAUGGGACUGGGAUUGGUAAAUCCCAUCCCAUCCCAUCCCAUUGCCAACCCUAGUUAAAACAUAUCAAAUAUUUUCAACAUAUAUAAUUAUUUAAGAAGUCUUUUAACAAUAUUUUUUUUUCUUUUUCAGUUAAUCAUGUCAUAUACCGUUAUCUAAAACGCUGGCGAUAUUAUUAUUCCUCACUUUUCUCAAAAAAAAAAAAGAAAAAAAAAAGAAACAUGAUUAACGUUUAGAGAAAAGUCAUGCCUUUUAAAAAGAAUAUGUAUACAAUAGCAAUCCAUACUUUAUAAAAUUGAUGGCGAUUACAAAGAAAAAUUGUUUAAAAUAGAUUUGAUGCACAAAUAUGAUGACUUUUGGCAAAAAUUAGUUUCGGAAAUGUUGAGAUGAAAACCAUAUUAAUUGAGAAUUAAAAUUAUUUAACUACCAUCUAAUAGAUGAAAACCAUAUCAAUUGGGACUUAAAUUAAAAUUUAAAUAUUGAAAUAUCUAGCAUUACUCACAAUAACCAAUUCAAAUUAUGACUAUCAUGUAGAAGCAAAUGUUUAUGCGUGGGUUUUUUACUUCUUGAAUUUGAUUGGAAAAAUUUCUAAGAUAGAGAAGUGUUUUGGAUAAGCUUUUCGGGAUUGAAACCACAAAUUGGUAGAGGAAAUUAAUUUUGGACAAAUUUUUCUUAUAUUGUAGGACCUUCUAGUUGGAGUAGUGAUGGCUUUGUCUUCAUUUUUGGUUCCUUUUGUGUCGGCAGCCCCUUACUAUUCUCUUGACCCUGAGUUUGAGAUAGAAAUUUAUCAACCUCCAACCCCACAUCCACAAACAAGUUGAUUGAAACAAUUGCUCUUUUAAUUAAGAGGACCCAAAUGAUUUAGGUUUCAGUUCUUAUCAUUUGUCUAUUAUUUCUUUGAAACAUUUAUUUUGAGCGUUACUGAUCUUAAUUAUCUGUAUUUCUCCAAUUAUUGAAGAAUUUCAAGUGGCCACUUUUUCUCCUUUUUAUAUAUGUUUAUUUUUUGGAGUGAUCAAACGGGUGCAAAAUCAAGUAUUCGCUGGUCCGUAGUUUAGCCAACUAUGGCUGAUCCACACAGUUGAUUAUAUGAUACUAUUAGCUCUCAAAAUCUUUCUUAUUUGAGAACAUAAAUUGCCCAUUAAAGUUAAACUAUGUUACCCAGCUCCAUGCACAUACAUUAAAUGUUUAGGUAGUUUUACAAAAUGAUAACAGCAUGCCAAAACUUGAUGUUGUCAUAUUCGACAUUUCAAAUUGAAAAAUACGCAAGCAAUCUUCAGUGAACAUUACGUGUUUAUUGAAUAAUUUAAAUGGCCAGUAAAUCAACAGUCCGUGAGUUUUAAAUCUAUUAUGACUUAAUGUAUCUUUCUGUAUUUGUACACAUAUUAUAUUAUCAUAGUUUAAAAUUUUAAUAUUAUUUUAAAUGUUAAAAAUACUUUAAUGCUAUUAGUCUACUACACAGGUUAUAUUAUUUAUAUUAUAUUUGUAUUAAUUAAAACUUUUAAUGUCAAUUUUCUAAUUACUAUAUUAAUAAAGUAUUAUGGUUAAGAAAAAGUUUUGGCAUUUCUUCUUGAAAAUUUGAGGGUCUGCAUGACAAUUUUUCCAUAUUCUAAGGGUAUAAGUUUGAAAAUUUAACAUUCUCUAAAUUGAUGAAACAAAAAGGGGAAACCAAGAACUAUUCAAUUUUGUAUUUUUUGUUUGUAAUUCAAAAAAUGCAUCCACCAAACAAGUUUUACGCAUUAAUGCUGUCAUAAAACGAAAAACAAUUUGCCAAAAAAGGGUACCAAACAUAUCCUUAAUGUCUCACAUGAUUUCUUAGUAAGCCCGUAUUAGAUAUAUUUAUACAUUUUAGGUAUUUUAGUUAUAAAAGAAGUUGGCCCUCCCUUGUUUAUAAAAAAUAACUUUAUUCAUGCACAUAUGCCAAAAGAAUAAAUAGACAGAAAGUAAAUUUACAGUCCUCACUUCCUCACAAUUGUUAACGUGAAGAUGCAUUACAACUGUGAACUGUCACUACUUUAGCCUUUUUUUUUAAAAAAAAAAAUUAUAGUGUGAUGGAGACAUUAAGGAUGAGCAUAACAGUUAAAGAUGACUCAUUUUCUUUUUAAAGUGCUCUGCUGAAAGCCGAACUUCCUUUGGCUAAUUAAUUUAGAAGUAAAGCAGAGAAUAAAGUCCUAGACGCCUUCUGAAAUAAGAAAUACAUUUUAUAUGCUUUAAUUAUGAUUAUUUGGUAGACUAAAGACCUAAAAGAUAUGUCAAAAGUAUAAAACAGAGCGAUUAAAGAAAAAAGAAAAAAAACAGAGUAUUUGUGACGUAGAAUAACAAUUGGUAAAUAAAUCCUAAAUAUUUGAGUUGUUAAAAGCAAAUAUAACAGAGACGGUAAGAGAGAUGCAGAAACAGAAAACUAUUAGCUUAUCUUGAUUUUUCCACUAUAUUCAUUUUCAAUGCUUUUCAAACGAGAUUCUUUUAAUUCUUCUGGUGUCUGCAGCCCCGGCUAUUCUUAUAAAUCUCCAUCCCACAUCUGCACUACGAACAAGUUGACUGAAAUUAAAUAAUGUUGGAGAUGAAGGGUGAGCCGUCAACUUGUUAAAAAAAAACUCAUGUAUAAUAUUAUCAAUAAUAUAAAAUAUAUAAUAAUUAUUACAAAGAAUCAUAAAUUAGAAAAAUUAAUUAUUUUACAAUCUAUUUCUUAAGUAAGGUGGCGUUUGUUUUUUCAUCUGAAAUCUGAAUAGACCUGAAUUAAUCUGAAUUCUGAAUAGAUCUGAAUGUCUGAAUCUGAAUAAUAUGUUUGUUUUUUUGUUUGAAUCUUGGAAAAUAAGUAUUAAGUUGUUUGUUUUUUUCAACUUAAAAAGCUGAAAAUAUGUACUUUUACAUUUAUAUCCUUAUUAAAUUUGAAUGUCAAAUAAAUAAUAAAUUAAAUACCACAAUAUUUUAACAUUUAUAAGUAAAACUAUAUUCAAGUGAAUACAUAAUUAUUUUGGAAUUUUAAUAGAUAAAAUACUAAAAAUUUUAAAUUUUAUCGUAUAUAAUAUAAGAAAGAAAAAAUAGGAAAAUUUUCAUGUGGGGUAAAUGUUUAUGGGUGAGUUUUGGGAUAGACAUGAAAAAUAAAUUAUAAAGCAGGGAUAUUUUUGAUAUUAGCAAGUAAUUGACUUAAUUCAGAUUUCUCCAUUAAGUAAAAAGCCAAAAGAAUUGGCUUAUUUUAUUAAGUCAAAAUUAUCUAAAAAGUCUCAUUAAGUUAUAAAAACAAACACCUCUAAUUAACUUAAUUAAUUAAGUUAAGUCACUUUAAGUCAUUAAGUUAAAAAACAAACGCCACCUAAGAUAAAUCUUGUAAUAAGUUAAGUUAUAACGUAAAAAAUAUUUUCAAUUUAUAAUCAUUUAAGAAGUCAUUUAAUAAUAAAAUCUUUUUUUUUUAUCAGUAGGCCAUGCUACAGAGUAUCAUCUAUAUUCGUGGUGAUAUUAUUAUUACUCAGUAUCCUCAAAAAACACGAUUUAACAUUUAGAGAAAAUUCCUGCCUUUUAAAAAGAACAUGUAUGCAAUAGCUAGCCAUACUUUAUUUUACCACGACAAAAUUGAUGGUGAUUAAAUCAAUUUUCUCAAUUAAAGCAAAAUUUUUUAAAAUUGAUUUAAUGCACAAAUAUGAUGAUUUUUUGUAAAAAUUAGUUUUGGAAAAUAUAGUGAGAGAAAAUGGUGACGAUUAUUUUUCAAAUGUGCAAAUAGCCUAAACAUAAUCUCUAAUACCAAUAUCCAUGUGCAUCUUAACACCUUUCAUGAUAUUCUUUCAUUCAUGGCCAUUUGUUCAAGAUUUGAAUUUGAUUAUUAAAUUAUGUUCAAUAAUGUUAGAGAUCCCAACAAUUGAGUACCAACUUAAAUCCCAAUGCUAUGUGUCAUUAACAAAUGUUGUGUCAUUUAUAAUUAUUGAAUGAAUAAUUCGUUAAUUUAUUGAUAAAUGAAAAUUUAUUAAUUUAAAGAGAGAUAUUUUUUUUUGGUUUUAAGAAGAGUUUUGUUGGUACAUGUACAUACUUAUAAAGAAAUAAACUUGUAAUUAUACUAUAUCUUUCUUUCUUUGUUCAGUUUGGUGGGAUAUUGUGAUAAAUCAUUGGAUUAAAAUGCAUUUCUAAAUUGAAACUUGUUAAAAUCUAAUUUAUUUGGGAAACACAUGUUAUUUGUCAGUCGUACUUCUCAACUUAGCAAGUUAUUUCUAACUUGUCAGUCUCUAUUGGUUCUCUUAAAGUUAAUAGUCUCGAAUCUCCCGCAUUUGAUAUCUUGCCAUUACUCUUGGCAUUAACAUGUUACCUGAGAUUGGGAUUCAUUAAAAUCCUCAAUGUAAUCGGUGGAACGAAUGGAUUUCUUCUGUUCACCAAUCCACCAAAAUUUCUGUAAUUAAAUUCAAAAGUCAAGAUCUAUGCUUAUAAUCUAUUCAACAGUUAAUAUUCUAUUUUAUAUUUACUUAAAUAUGAAGAGCUAUGCUUGUCAUUAACUUCAAAUGUGAUCGAAGCAGCCUUACAUCUGUAUAUUACUUAUUCCCAACCUUUUUUUUGACUUCAUAUACUUUCUUUUCAUGUUAUUUACUCUUUUUUCCCCCCUCUCUAAUGGGGUCAAACUUGAAAGUAUCUUAAAAUCAGACAAUAAUUUUUUUUUUAUGAUAGAUGCUAAUAUGCUCUAUUAGGCAAUGAUAAGUAAUAACCUAGUUGUUUGCAUUAGAAAUGAUAUUUUUUGUGGUGCUGAUAAAGUGGUUGAGUAUGAUUCAACAAUUUAAAAUAUGAAAACAUGUGGAAGACGGCUGCAAAUAAAUUGAUUGUAUGAAAAUAUUUCAAUGAAAUUUUAAAAAUUUAAUACUUGUUAUCUUAUCGAGAGUUCCCAAAUAAUUGGGCUAGUUUAAUUACCGGCCUAAUUAUUGUAGCCACUAUUGUAUGUUCCCAAAUGAUCCCCGGGUUAGCUCAUUUAAUUGACUGCACCACUACUGGACUAAUAAGUAAGAUAACUAGCUAUUUGGGUCAAAAGCCUAAAUAUAUCAUUUAGUGGGAGGCUCCAUUUAAUUAGCUUUUGUAUAAGGGGCCUUAUGUUAUUUUACAAGGUGGGUCCCCUAUUGAAAAAGAAAAUAACGUGAGUUUUAUUUAGGGCAUUAUUUGGAGCCUAGGGUUUUCACUAAAGGGAGAUAUAUAAGGCUUAUUUUCUCUAAAGAAAAAAGAAAAGCCACUUUAUACAGAUCAGAGAAUAAGAUUUUUCUCUCCAUUGUUGAGAGAAAAAUUUUCUCGUGCUAGUUGCUUUGGUAGUGAUAAAGGCGCCCACACGUCAAGUGCAGAUCGAACCUGAGUCAUAACCUGGAAGAUCAUUGGUGACAGUUCAUGAUCUAACAAGCGUGGUGGUGACGGUUCGUGAUCUAACAAGCGUGGUGGUGACGGAUCGUGAUAUAACAAGAGUGGUGGUGGCGGAUCGUGAUCUAGGAGCCUAAAUCACUUCAGCGGAAAAAGCCAACUCGGAUUUUCAAGGUACGAUUUCUAGAAUACGAAUUCUUAUAUAUUAUAUGAGAGCGAUCUUCAAAAGGUUUUAUAAAAAUUUAAAAGCAGCAUGUGCUGCUGGCAGCUCGCUGCUGCGUAUGUAGCAACUGCAGCGCGCGAGCAGCAGCUGCAGUGCCCAAGCAGCAGCGUGAACGUGGGCUGGAGGCGCAGAGCGUUCUGGUUGGCGUCUUUCCGGCGUCGAUGACGGCUGUCCGGUGUGGAAACAGUAAACAACGGCUGGGUUUUUGUGCUGGUGGCGGCUGGGGAAGAAGAGGAAAAGAAAAAUGUGAUUUUAGGGUUCCAUGGUUUUUAUCGUGGAGGUCCCUAUAGCUUCAUAUUUUUCAGUUGGGCAGAAACGUUUUUUAAUUUUUUGCAUUUAAGUCCAAAAACCGUUUUGGGCUUAAAGAAUCCUAGUUUUAGGCCCAAUUUCAAUUGGGCUUAAUGGAUUAAAAAAAUGCAUAGACAAAAUUAAAUACAUUAAAUUUAUUUUUGGUCCAAAAGUUUUAUUUUAAUAAAAAAAAUUAAUUAUUUAUUUAUUUCCUUUCAAAAUUAAAAUUGGACCAAUUAUAAAUUUAAAAGCCCAAUUUCCCCUAGUCCAUUAACAAAAACAAGCUUAUGGAAGAUGGACAUUGACAAGAAGCCCAAUGAAGAUUAGGCAUAGGGUUAAUGUAUUUUUCAUUAUUAGGAAAGGCAUGAAUUAAGAUUAUUUAAUUGUUUUUCUAUAUGUUAUGUUUUGGAUGAUAACAUGCCAUGAUAACAUGUAAUAUAGAAUAGGUAGUGCCACUCUAUGCAUAAUGAUACAUGUCAUUCAUUAAUUAUGAAUUUCAUUAUAUUGUUUGAAAUUUGCGCAUGCUUAAUAAUAUUUGAUAUCAUCUAGAUAAUAUUAUAGGAAGCAUGCAAUUAACAAUAUGUAUGUUUUAAAAAGGAAAAACCAAUUUUAAAAUAUUGAGUGGGAGAGGGAAAAUUCAAGAUAAUUUUCCCACGGGCUCCAUUGUUAGUUCAAUAAUAAAAUUAUAUAUAUACCUCGACUUCAUGAUACAGUGAUGCUCAUUACGGAGGGUAUAUAUAUUAGAUAGUUUAUUUGAUGAACUUCUUCAAAGAUAAAAUUGAAAUAUUUUUCAAUCGAUUGUUCACCCCAACGGUGACUAUUGAUAUGAAAAAUACGUAGAUUGAAACAAUGGUUAUACACUCAACUAAAGUUUGUUAUUAAUCUUCCCAACGAAGCUCUGUUAACAAAUUUAGGCCCAAAAAGAUAACGAUAAUUAUUUAUCAUGUCUCUACAUGAAAGUAAAUAAUCCAAUGGGUAAUUGGGUCUAGUAAGUAUAGACAUGACUUCCCCACCGGAUAGCUUGUCAAAGCAGUACUAGAUUAUCGUUACAAUAAAUUAAAAUGCAUUUAUGGUUUUUUGCAUUUUUUUCAUUUAUUGUGAAUAUUGAUUCAAAUUAUUUAUGCAUGGAUGUUUUUAUUUUUCAGAAAAUGUCUUCCCUGAGCCCACUUACUAUUAUUCUGAGUCAAAACAAACUCACUGGAGAGAACUAUAUAGAUUGGAAAAGAAAUCUAUUCAUUGUCCUGACUGCUGAAAAUUAUAAAUAUGUCUUAACCCAGCCAUGCCCCCCAGUUCCAGCGGAUGAUGCUCAUAGAAAUCAGAGGAGGCUUUAUGAGAAAUGGCAAAAGGCCAAUGAAAUGGCAAAGUGCUACAUUUUAGCCUCGAUUUCUAAUAUUCUGCAGACCAAACAUCAGAACUUGGAGACUGCCACUGAAAUAAUGAAUAGUCUCCAACAGAUGUUCGGGCAGAGUACUCGCUCUGCGAGACAAGCAGCGCUGAAAGGAAUUAUGAACAGUAAAAUGGGGAAGGGCACAAGAGUUCGUGAUCAUGUCCUCAAAAUGAUGGACUAUUUGAAUGAGGCUGAGAUUCAGGGAGCACAAAUCGAUGAUAACUCAAAGAUUGACAUGGUGCUAGAAUCUCUGCCAGAAACAUUCAAGGAGUUUAAGGUCAAUUAUAACAUGAACAAAAGAAAUAUGACCUUAACUGAAUUGAUGAAUGAACUCCAUUCUGCUGAAGAGAUCUAUCGUGCUGAGAAAUCUCUGGGAAGCAUAAAUUUUACUGAAAAAAGUUCAUCUUCUGGGCCUAAACCGAAAGGCAAAGGUAAGAAGAAAGCUGGGAAAAAAAGACCGUCUACCAAGCAAGAUGGCAAGCCGAAAGGCAAAUGCUUCAAGUGUGGACAGAAAGGUCACUGGAAAAAGGAUUGCCCUAAGAUUGUGAAAUCAGGUAUGGGAAAUCUUUUUUGUAAUUGAGGCCUGUUUAGUUCAGAAUCCUAUUGACACUUGGGUGUUGGAUUCAGGAGCAACUAAUCAUAUUUGUAAUUCACUUUAUUGGUUUCAGGAAACCAGGAAAAUAAGUGAAAGAAGCGUCAAGCUGCAGUUAGGGACAGGACAGUUCGUGUCAGCAGUAAAGACUGGAUCUGUUUUAUUAUCUUUUAAUAAUGAGACUUUAGUUUUGAAUAAUUGUCUUUAUGUUCUAGACAUUAAGAGGAAUUUAAUUUCAGUAGCUUGUUUGUCAAAGCAAGGGUACACUGUAAAUUUUGGAUCCUCUGUUUCUAUUUUUCAUAAUAAGAGACUUAUUUGUUCUGGUACAUUGGAAGAUAAUUUAUAUCAUUUAAGUCCAAUGAUCCAUUCUAUGCAUGACACAGUGAUAAAUAAUAAUGAGCAUACACAUUUAUCUAAGAAAAGAAAUAUUUCUUCCAACCAAUGUUACCUCUGGCAUUUAUGCUUGGGUCAUAUAAACCAAAAUAGGAUACAAAGAAUGAUCAAAGAUGGGCUCUUGGGUCCAUUAGAAAAUGAAUCAUUGCCACUCUGUGAAUCCUGUUUAGAAGGGAAAAUGACCAAAAGGCCAUUCUCGGCCAAAGGAGUACGUGCAACAGUACCACUUGAAUUGGUACAUACAGAUGUAUGUGGACCAAUCAAUGUACAAGCUCGAGGAGGUUAUGAGUAUUUCAUCACUUUUACUAAUGAUUACUCAAGAUACGGUUAUGUUUAUCUGAUGCGUCAUAAGUCUGAAGCUCUUGAGAAAUUCAAAGAGUAUAGGGCUGAGACAGAAAAGCAAUUAGAUAAGAACAUAAAGAAACUUCGAUCUGAUCGAGGUGGUGAAUUUCUCUCAGGAGAUUUCAAAGAGUAUCUGGUUGAAAAUGGGAUUAUAUCUCAAUUGACUGCCUCGGGAACACCACAACAAAAUGGGGUAGCUGAAAGAAGAAAUAGAACUCUUUUGGAUAUGGUGAGAUCUAUGCUUAGUUAUUCUUCAUUACCAAUCUCUUUUUGGGGACUAGCACUGGAAACUGCAGUUUACCUUUUGAACUUAGUUCCAUCUAAGUCAGUGCCUAAAACCCCAAUAGAAUUAUGGUCAGGUCGCAAACCAAGUUUACGACAUGUCCGUAUUUGGGGAUCACCAGCACAUGUGCUGAAACCAAAGGCAGACAAAAUGGAUUCACGUUCUGAGGUUUGUAUGUUUGUGGGGUAUCCCAAAGGAACAAGGGGAGGUUUAUUUUAUAGUCCUCAAGAUAGGAAAGUGAUCGUGAGCACACAUUUCACUUCCCUUGAGGAAGACUAUAUGAAUAACUUCAAACCUAAGAGUAAGGUAAUACUUGAAGAGCUGUCAGGUGAUCAGGUUGAUGCUCAGCUUUCAACGCCUGUUACAGAACAGGAAGAACAGCAACAACCAGAUGAUCAACACAGGAUUAACCCUGAACAACCAUCACUUUUAUAACCUCGUCGUAGUGGGAGGGUAACUAGGUUACCUGCGAGAUACAUGUUUUUGGGAGAAAUCUAUACGGCUAUCUCAGAUGAACAUGUACAAGAUCCCACUAGUUACAACGAAGCUCUAAUAGAUAGAGAUGUUGAAUUUUGGAAAAAGGCCAUGAAUCAAGAAAUGGAUUCUAUGUAUUCCAAUAAAGUCUGGGAACUUGUAGAGGCACCAAAUGGGAUAAAACCUAUAGGGUGCAAGUGGAUCUACAAGAGAAAAAGAGGAGUAGACGGAAGGGUGGAAACAUUUAAAGCAAGAUUAGUAGCCAAAGGGUUUACUCAGAAAGAGGGAAUUGAUUAUGAGGAAACUUUUUCUCCGGUUGCUAUGCUUAAAUCCAUCAGGAUUCUGCUCUCCAUUGCUGUAAUGCUAGAUUAUGAAAUUUGGCAAAUGGAUGUCAAGACUGCCUUUCUUAACGGGCAUCUUGAAGAAAACAUCUACAUGCAGCAACCAGAUGGAUUUAUACAAAAAGGCCAAGAACACAUGGUAUGUAAGUUGCAGAAAUCCAUUUAUGGAUUGAAACAAGCAUCCCGGUCAUGGAACAUCAGAUUUGAUCAAGCGAUUAAAUCGUUUGGAUUCAUUCAGAACAUUGAUGAACCAUGUGUGUACAAGAAAAUUCAAGAAAAAUCUGUAGCCUUCCUAAUUUUUUAUGUAGACGAUAUUCUCCUAAUUGGAAACGAUAUAGGAGUAUUGACUACAAUAAAGAGUUGGUUAGCAAAACAAUUUGAUAUGAAAGACCUGGGAGAGGCAAGUUAUAUUCUUGGUAUCAAAUUACUACGAGACCAGAAGAAUAAAACUUUAGCCUUGUCUCAAGCGGUCUAUAUCGAUAAGAUAUUGGCUAGAUUUAGCAUGGAAAAUUCCAAGACUGGUUUAUUACCAUUCAGACAUGGAAUUACAUUCUCUAAGGAUCAAUCACCUAAAACAUCUGAAGAGAUAGAGAGAAUGAGACGAGUUCCCUAUGCAGAAGCUGUGGGAAGUCUUAUGUAUGCCAUGCUUUGCACUAGGCCAGACAUCUGUUUUGCGGUAGGGAUGGUUAGUAGAUAUCAAUCUAAUCCUGGACCUGAACACUGGACUGCGGUCAAGCAUAUAAUGAAGUAUCUGAAAAGAACUAAAAAUUAUAUGCUUGUGUAUUCUGGUGAUGAACUCAUUCCAGUGGGUUAUACUGAUUCUGACUUUAUGUCAGAUAAGGAUUCCAGAAAAUCAACUUCCGGCUAUGUGUUUACAUUGGGAAGUGGAACUAUUAGUUGGAGGAGUGUGAAACAAUCUUGUAUCGCAGACUCCACAACUGAAGCUGAAUAUGUGGCUGCAUCCGAAACUGCAAAAGAAGCUGUAUGGCUCCGCAAGUUCCUACAAGAUCUUGAGGUGGUACCUGCUGUAACUGCACCCCUUAAACUAUUUUGCGAUAAUAGUGGUGCGGUAGCUAAAUCUAAGGAACCACAAGAAACAAAAACAUAUUGAGAGGAAGUAUCAUCUUAUAAGGGAUAUAGUGCAGAGAGGUGAUGUGGAGGUUACUCAGAUUGCGUCACAGCAAAACUUGGCAGAUCCUUUUACUAAGGCCAUACCUGGGAAACCUUUUAACUUGCACUUGGAAUCCAUGGGCAUGCGUGAGAUGCCAAAUAUGCUUUGAGAGCUAGUGGGAGAUUGUUGGGAAAAUAUGCCCUUUAAAAGCAUAUGUGUUUAUUUAAUUGUAAUAAACAAUUUUUCUGAUUAAUAAAAUAAAUGAGGUAUUUUAUUCAAAUAUCUUAAUUGCAUUAAUAUUUGUAUUAAAGUCCAUUUAAUCAUAUUAUAUGUAUUUAUGUGAUCACCAUGUGGAUUCACAGAAGACAUAAAUACAAGUUAUCUUAUGAUUAAAUAAAUUUAGUUCGCAGUUGAUAAAUAAAGUUGGGCACUUUAUUUAGGUAUAGACUGUAAUAAAUUCAUUGAAUGAUUUGUCUUAAUCAUGUAUGAAUUUAUUGAUGUAGUACGACUACAUUAAACAGGAUCACAUGUGAGAUUUAAUUAACUUUGUAAUAACUGUCAGACUUAUUAAAUCUUAUAGGCAUUGAUUUUACUGUAAUCUUAAUCUUGAGUUAAUUAUGAUUUCAUGAUUGUAAUUGUUAUUCCAUUUGAGUUACCAAUGGGCACGACACAUCCUUGUGGUCAAGAUUACCCGGUAUCUUGGUGGGAGCAAUUAUGAGUAUUGGAGUUAUGGAUUAACAAUAUAGAAUUUGUACAACACAUCUCUCGAUAGGUUUUCGGCACUUGAUCAUAGAAUUCUUUGGCCAGAGUGUGUCAACAUAUUUAGUAUGUUGAAAAUGAUCAUUAGAGAAAACCAGUAAGGAUCAAGGAAUAAGAUGUUAUUAAAUUGAUUGGACAGUUGAGAUAUCAAUUUAAUUAACGAUGUGGUACAAAGGAUUGUGCAGUAAAGAAAUCAAUGUGGCUUGGGACGAAUUAUUAUUCGAGCAUACAAUUAUGGAAGUCAGUUCCAAUCUUUUAGUGGAGUAGAUUUGGAAUUAAAUAAUUGGGCUAGUUUAAUUACAGGCCUAAUUAUUGUAGCCACUAUUGUAUGUUCCCAAAUGAUCCCCGGGUUAGCUCAUUUAAUUGACUGCACCACUACUGGACUAAUAAGUAAGAUAACUAGCUAUUUGGGUCAAAAGCCUAAAUAUAUCAUUUAGUGGGAGGCUCCAUUUAAUUAGCUUUUGUAUAAGGGGCCUUAUGUUAUUUUACAAGGUGGGUCCCCUAUUGAAAAAGAAAAUAAUGUGAGUUUUAUUUAGGGCAUUAUUUGGAGCCUAGGGUUUUCACUAAAGAGAGAUAUAUAAGGCUUAUUUUCUCUAAAGAAAAAAGAAAAGCCACUUUAUACAGAUCAGAGAAUAAGAUUUUUCUCUCCAUUGUUGAGAGAAAAAUUUUCUCGUGCUAGUUGCUUUGGUAGUGAUAAAGGCACCCACACGUCAAGUGCAGAUCAAACCUGAGUCAUAACCUGGAAGAUCAUUGGUGACAGUUCAUGAUCUAACAAGCGUGGUGGUGACGGUUCGUGAUCUAACAAGCGUGGUGGUGACGGAUCGUGAUCUAACAAGAGUGGUGGUGGCGGAUCGUGAUCUAGGAGCCUAAAUCACUUCAGCGAAAAAAGCCAACUCGGAUUUUCAAGGUACGAUUUCUAGAAUACGAAUUCUUAUAUAUUAUAUGAGAGCGAUCUUCAAAACGUUUUAUAAAAAUUUAAAAACCGAAUUUUUUCACCAACACUAUGUAGCUAGAUGGCAUUUCUAGUGUUUCAAGGUUUAAAAGGGUGCAUAGCAGUGAAGGAAGGCAUUUGACCGAAGGGAUAUUCAAUUUCAAAUACUUCAAAAGAUAUAAAUUUUCUAAUCCGGGCGGAUAUUGGUCCAGGACUGCAAAACCCAAAUUCAAUACCUGAAGGUGUUUGAACUUUUUACAAAAAUUCUCGCAAUCUAUCAGAGCGAGACGAUCGCUUUCUGAACUGUGAUUCAGAAAAGAUUGGAGACGCAUGUCAGAAUAUUCUAAAGGAAAGAAGUCAAUCAGGCGUUCCACAAUGAAGCACCGUUUAACAUUUGCCACUGAUUCUUCUUCCAUUUCAGGCGUCAAGACAAAUCCCGUCUUCUUUGCCACAAAAUACAAUGAAGUAAAUUCAAGACUUGGAACAUAACACGCUUUAAUUGUGCCGCCGGCGCUUCUCUUACUCACUUGAAUGAAGCCGCGAUGGAUUAGUUCUUUCAAGUAAUGUUCGGCAGUUUCUUCAUCGUUGUAUGGUAUGAAACCUUCAGCUACCCACAACUGAUAUAAUUGCCUCGUGGACAUCUCAAUACUUGGAGGGAAGACACACAAAUAGAUGCAGCAGACUUUCAAGUGAAAAGGUAACUCCAUCACAGAAAAAAUUUAUCUCCAAACUGUCGGAAUCGCUUCGCCUUGAACAUAAUUUUCUAAUGGCAUACUUCCAUAGUGUAGGAUGAAAAAUUGCCAGGCUUCAUGCUUUAAUCUGAUCAAUGGUCCUCCAAAGAGCACUGAAUCACGCCGAAUCUUCUCUCCAUUUUCCAUUUCCAACGACGCAAGGAGGUGUGGAUCACUGACCAACAUCAAUACUCUGCUUCCAUUCUGAUUAUCAGGAAGAACUUUUUCAAGAUCACUCCAUAUCUUACUGUCAUCGAAGACAUCAUCAAGCACAAUAAAGUACUUCUUGUUUGUUAGGUAAUCUCGAAGAAUAGAUUUCUUCAAUUGAUAAUCUUCCCCGAUAAUUACACUAACCCGAGCUGGAGGCAUCACAGACUUGAUUAUGCCAUCCAAUAUCUUGCCAAAAUCGUAGGUUAUCGAAACCCUGACCCAAGCAAGACAGUCAAAAUAGAACUUGACGUGAUCAUUAUUGUAAGUAUCUGCAGCAAAAGCAGUCUUAUCGAAGCCACUGCUGUCGAGAAUUGCAACCACUGCAAGCCCAGAUGGUCCCUCAAUCAAUAGAUCAAACAACUCCUCCCUGCCCCUUUGAAAUUCAUUGAUAUCGAGCCGAGGUUGUCCCUCAUUCAAUAGGCGAAUGAUUUCGUUACUUUUCUCACUGAUAUCAAAACCAUUGUCGCCGGGUGGAAGUUGUUGCAUCCGAUUUCUAAUAUCAAUGAUUUUAGUGUGGAGUCCAACAAGAAGAGCCAUAUCAGUACUGCUUUCACUUUCGUUUUCACUGUUUUGCUGCUGCAUGAUGUUGAUGAAGAAUCUGUCAAUGGCUUCCUCAGAUUCAUGGACAAAGUCAUUGAUGUCCUCCAGAAUUUCCAAAAUAUCUGCUCUUUCAACAUCUUCUUCAUCGCUUUCUUCUAAGUCCAACAGUUCAUCGAAAUCUUCUCUAAGGAGUUGAAACAAAUGCCGAGCCAUGUCAACUUCAUAUUUUCCCAGCAGAGUAGUAGCAAUAAUUUCGGACUCCGUAAGAAGGUUUUGAAAAAGUGGAGUUAAAUUUGUUGAAUCUGGCAGCGGCAACGUGCCUUCUUCACCUGCUAACACCCUUUUCAACCUCUCACGAAAUAGUCGGAGGUGGACGUCCAGCAUAUCUCCUUCUCUCUGUAUCACCCAGAGGUAUAGUUGAAAGAUUAAACACCAUGGAAGAAUUUGAAAGGAAAAUGCCAAGAAACUGUGUAAGUGGCUAAACCAUGAAAAAUUGAUCAUUUUUUUGCAUUGUAAGUUGCGCGUUCAUUUAGAGAAAAGUCCAAGACGCGUGCCUUUUGCAAAGAACAGGUAUCCCAAUCGGUAUCCAACCUUUAUCUUAUUUAAUUACUACCAUGACAUAAUUGAUGGUGCUUAAAUCAAUUGUUUCUUUUUUAAUUUAAAGAAUUUUUCAUUAAAAAAAUAUUUUAAUAUCAAAUUGCCUUCAGUGGCGUAACAACUGCCUCAAGCCCAGUAACAGGACUAAUUAAAAAUUUUACAAUUUUGGGGCAUGGAAAUAGUAGUAUUAAACAUUAGAAAGGUAAGGUUGUUCUGUUAAAGAAUUGAUAUUGACAUAAUUUUAUUUUGGUUUUCGUGGAAAAAAAAAAUUUGUUGACAAGCAAGAAAAUAUUUUAUCAUAUAAAAGUAAUUUUAAAAAUAAAUAGAAACAUAAUAUUACAAUAAAUAAAUUAAAGUUUAAAUUAUUUGGAAUAUUAUAAAAAAUAAUGUUAAUAUUAUUAAUAGGAAGACAUUUUGUUAAUUUUAAAAUCUUUUUAAUCCAAAGGUUUAUUUAAAAUCUCUAUAAUAAAUACAAAUAUAAGAUUAAAAUAAAAAUCAUAAUUUGAAAUUUUUAAUAUUAUUUUAAAUGUUAAAUAUACUUUAAUGUUAUUAGCCUACUACGUAGAUUUUAUUAUUUAUAUUAUAUUCGUAUUGAUUAAAAUUUUUUAAAGUCAAUUUUUUAGUUAGUACAUUCAAGAGGUAUUAUAGUUAAAGAAAAGAUUUUGGUGCAACUGUUUUAAAAUUUCAGCGUCUAAAUGAUAAUUUUUUUAAAAUUUAAGGAAGUAGGUAUUAUUUUUCCAACAAUUAUUUUACUUUUGAGGGAAAUCCGAUAAGAAAUAUCAUCAAAGAACAUUAAUUUAACAUUCUUUACCUUUAUGAAAAAAGUGAAAACCAAGAACUAUUCAAUUUUGUAUUUUUUGUUUGUAAUUCAAAAAAUGCAUCCACCAAACAUGCUUAUCUUGAUUUUCCCACUUUAUUCAUUUUCGAUGCUUUUCAAAAGAGGUUCCUUUACUGGUCAUUGUCUACACUAUCAAACAAGUUGAUGGAAAUUGAACCCAUUAAGUUAUGUUCAUUACUGGUCAUUGUCUUUCUAUGAGCCACUUAUUUGGAGCAUUAGCGAUCUUAUAAGGAAUCAUGCCUUUUCAGGAUCGUUUUCUUUCAUUUCCCUAUUGUAGUAGUUAAUUAAAUAAAGAACGAACAGCUGAACUUGGUCUAUUUCGAGGAAGACCAAGGCUUCCAAUACUAGAGGAACUUUGAAGAAAAUUAAUUGGAAACCUUUAUUCAUCUUUGAAGAAAAUUACGUGCCAAUGUAACGAAGGCUUUUAUUCAUCUUCGGACUAUGAAUUUGUACAAAAACAUUAACAGAAAAUAAUAAAGACACAGCUAAAUGAUAGCAGCAAGUGCUGAUUUAGUGAACCACUUCUACAAGUAAAUAAAAACUAAAUAUUUAUUUUGACUAUAACAACAACUACCCUCUUGAAUAGGACUCUACAGCAGCCACAUGACAACUAAUUUCUCCAUAAUAUUAUUAUUAGUAGAAGUAGAUUUUCAAAAUUGUCUUGAUAUAUUUCAAAGUUGUAUUAUCAGCGUAUAUGUAUCUAGAUUGUAACUAUAUUUUAAAAAAUAUAAAAAUUUUAAUUAUUGCACAGUAAUGUAGAACAAUAUCUACAAAAUAAUAUUGUUAGGACUAAGAAAAAAUAUUAUUUUAGAUAAGUUAUUUAUUUAUUAUUGAAUGAAAAAUUUAUCAUGAUAAAUGAAUAUUUAUUAAUUUAAAGAGAGAUUUUUUUUGGUUUUAAGAAGAGUUUGUUUGGUACAUGCACACACUAAUAAAGAAACACAAAAAGUGCUUCCUCAAGUCAAUAGUAUUUGCUUUAAUUGCUAAGGUGCAUAAUAACGUAGCUUAGUUAGGAAAUUUGUAAUUAUAUUAUGGCUCCGUUUGGUAUAAUUUUUUAACUAGAACUUAUUUAAGGAGGGCUUUUAUUAGUAGAGUUUUUAUAAAUAGAGAUUUAACAAAAAAAAUUAUAGUUAUUUAGUUGUCAAUGUACAAAUUGAUGAAUUAUUGUUCUUUUUGUUAACAUGUGUUUGUUUUACUUAAUAAUAAAAGUUUAGUUUACAACAUUGAAGUUCAGCAGAGCAUUUUUGCAGCCAGUCACAUUAUACAUUAUACUAAUAGCAUCGGCAAGAGUUUUCGAUUGUUGCAACUUGCAAUGCACACGAUGCGAGAAAAUGAGAAUCUUGUUUAAUUGCAAUAUUGACAAACCUAAUCCUUUCGUAGGGAGUAAUUUAAUAAUCGUUCGUUAGUUGAAGCGUUAAUUUAAUAAGCGUUGAUUUCCCUUCGAUAACUCGAAGUCCACGACGAUUCUUCUUCUUCUCUGCUGCUCAUUACGCUUCUACCCAAACCCUAGGAUUCAAACCUUUGCUUAGGAGAGAAUCAAAGCGAUUGGUGUUGGAGGUGAUUGAGGCUCUUAGAAGCUUAGAGGUGUGUUAAUUCAAAUUCUUUUGUCGAGAUAAGUAAUUUCAUUCCUAAUAUACUGGAUAUGUAUAAGUAUUUUGAUGUUAUUAUAAGAGUUUUUAUACUUCUUAGAAGAUUAAUAGAUUUUCAUACCAAAAUUAGUUUAUGAAAAUGUUUUCAAAUCUGAAUUCUUUUGAUAAAAUAUUUUACAAAUGCGUUUUAAUAUGUAAAUUAUUUUAUGACAUGACUGCCUUUUAUGAUUUUGUCUAUGAAAUAUUUUUGCAAGCCUAAAUUGUUGCUAUAGACUUUCAUGAAUCUAAUAUGAAUGUUUUGUGCCUAUGUAUGAUUUUAAUUAUUUAUGACUGUACGGGGGCCACCUCUUGAGAUUAUAUGGGGGCCACCUCUUGAGGGCCAAAGCGCCGCAAAGUGCCACAUAGAGUGCAAAGUGCCAUGUAUAAGUCAUUAUGUUUUGGCUCAUUGUCCGUAGUUAUUCUGAUUCUAAUUCUGAUCGUAUUAUACGAUAUAUUUGUUCUGGACUAGUACUAGGUUUAUGUUCUAAGUGUGCACACGAUAUUCUGAUUCUGUUUCUGGUCAGGUCACCGAGACUAUAGGUGAUACUAUGUGACAUGAGCUAACUAUCUGCUUUCUGUGUACACUUUAUACGAUUUGCUUUCAUAAUUGAUUAUUCUUUUGAUACUCUGAAUUACCAUGAAUUUAUGUUAUAUAAUUGAAAUAUGUUGUUUUAUGAAGUUUAUGACUUAUAAUAUAUGUUUUUGAAUAAAAGAAGGCUUGCAAUAUUUUUGAUAUCGAUAGGCCUAGUGUAUUAGGAAUGAUUUUACCUACCGAGUUGACAGCCCACCCCUCGUUAUUACUUUUUGCAGAUUAAGUUCCUUUUAAGAGGUAUGCGUAGCUUUGGAGUUAGAGAUUUCGUUUCCGUUUGCUAUUUGAAUAAGAAGAGGAAUAGACUCAUGUUUCUUUUUAGUUUAUUUCUGUUAUGAGCUUGUAAUUUGGAGUUUGAGACUUUUGUUAUUGUUAUGUUUUGGAAGAGAUUAUUUAGUGUUAGACGUAUUAAUUUGCGGAUUUAUUUGAAUAAGAAUUUGAGGUAUUUGAGCUUGGAAUUUAUAAGUAAGGAUUACGAUUUGUAAGUAACCUCAUUCUUCAUGUGCUCCGCACGUGUUAGAUUUGGGGUGUUAUAUGUUUCGUAUAACUUUUCAAGUAGAGCUUAUUUAAAUAGAAUAUUCGUCAAUAAAGCUUCUAUAAAUAUAGAUUUUACUAAAAAAAAUUUAGUUGUUUGGUUGUCAAUGUCCAAAUUGACGAACUUUUGUUCCUUUGCUAACAUGUAUUUGUUUUACUUAAUAAUAGAAGUUUAGCUUACAAUUACACCGGCGUCAAAUCAACAGAGCAUUUUGGCAGCCAGUCACAUUAUACAUUAUACUAAUAGCAUCGGCAAGAGUUUUCGGUUGUUGCAACUUGCAAUGCACGCGAUGAGAGAAAAUGAGAAUCUUUUCUAAUUGCAAUAAUGACAAACCUAAUCCUUUCGUUGGGAGUAAUUUAAUAAUCGUUUGUUAUAAUUGAAUAUGUAUAAAGAAAGGAAAAUUCUAUUCAUAGAUUUCGACUUAUUUUUUGUUUAAAGUAAUUAAUCAUUCAACCAUCUUCAUUUGCCUCUGGCCAGUGCCCUUGUAGAUUAGUUGAAGCGUUAAUUAAUUCAGAUAAUUACAACGUCCUUUUCGCUAAUUAAUUAUGAUUAUAUAUGUUUCAUAUAGCAAGUGGCUUUGUAGAUCUAAACCAAGUUGCUAUUUCAAAACGUUAAUUAAGUGAUUCUCCUCAUUGUCAUCAGCGUUAUACGCUCUAGGAAAAUAGCUCAAUUGUUUCCCUGCAUUGACUUUCAUUGGUAAGUGAUUUCUUAUGAAAUUCUUUUGAGCUUUCCUUAUUAAAAAAGCUUGAGCUUUUAUCACCUAAUGCGGAUAUCAAUUAACUUGUGAAUGAUUUUGCAAUGAAACUAGGAGUUAAAUAAGAUUUUUACAUGAUGAAUUUUUAUUUUUUUAAUUUUUUGAUGUAGUCAAUUUGCUAAUUUUAUGUAUUUCAUAUUCAACGGAAUUUGGGCACGGAAAGUUUGGAUUCUAAUAUUUAUAUGUUUAGCUUUAAUCAGUUUGACUUUCGUAAUCUUUUUCCCCUCAUCAUUAAGGGAUUCAGAAUUAGAGAAACGUUAGGAAGAGGAAGAAAAUAAUUUCGGAAAUAAGUAAGAGGGAAAAAAUUAUUAAAUUAGGAAUGAUUUUUUGUAGAGUAUGUUCCGUUUACUAAACUGAAAUCGAAAUGAGCUGGAAUCAGAAUGGAUAGAAAUGCGAAUGCGCUGGAAUGAGAAUAAGUAAUGAGAAUCAGAAUAAGUUGUUUACUUGAAUUGUAAGAAUCGAAAUCGAAAUGAGCUGGAUUGCAAUUACUUUGUCCUACAAUUAGAAUCGGAAUGAGUUAGAUUGUAACAAAUUACUAAAAGGUACUUAAUGAAUUAUUGUCAUAAUAUUAUUUUAUAUUUUAAUUAUAGUGAUUAUUUAUUCUAAAAUUAUUAUUAUUAAUUAUUUUCAAUAAUAUGUUAAUAUGUUAAUUAAUUUUAAAAAUUAUUAAUUAAUUUAUUAUAAUAAUAUACUAAUUAAUUAUAAUAAUUAUUAUAAAAAUAUAUUAAUUAUUAAUAAUGAAAUUACUUAUUUAAUUAUAAUAAUAUAUUAAUUAUUGUGAUUAUUUAUUCAAAAAUUAUAAUUAUUAAUAAUUAUUGUUAAUAAUGUAUCAAUAUAUUUUAUAUUAUGAAAUUGUGAUGUAUUGUAGACAAAUAAGGAAUUUGGUACAAUAAAUUCUUAAUAUCUUAGUACAAAGUAUGGUAAAAUGGUAUUUUAACUUAUUGUAGACAGAUUAAAUUUCGACACACUUAAUCCAUGAUAAAAUUAAUGGAAAAUAAUGAUAAUUUAUACAAUUAAUCUUUUGAGCAAUAAAAAAAUAAAAGAAAAAGAAGUUACUAAAUUAUGUUUACUGCUAAGAGUGAAUCCACAAUCCUAAAUAAUUAUUUCCAUCGUUUCACUUAAAUUAAAUAGUGUGAAUUUAAAUUCUAAUUUUUUGAUAAAUUAAAAAGAAAUAAAAAAUUAAAAUUUUUCUCUAUGGAUCGACCUCGGAUUGAUCAAUUUAUUUCAUAACAACACACUUUUAUACUUGAGAGUUAUAAAUCACUUUGAAGUUGUGUUAAGUUUUUGACGCUCUUACGGGGAAAAAAUAUUUAUUUUAUUUUAUGUAUGGGUCAAACUUGAAAGUAUAUUUUAAGAUAACUGCUAAUAUGCUCUAUUAGACAAUGAUAACCUAGUUGUUUGUGGUGUUCAUAAUGAGUUUAAUUAUGAUUAAACAAUUUAAAAUAUGAAAAAAUAUGGAAGAUGGCCGUAAUUAAAUUGAUUGCAUGAAAAUAUUUCAAUGAAAUUUUAAAAAUUUGGUACUUAUUAUCUUAUCAAAAGAUUUUUAAAUUAUAUUACUACUUCAACUUAACUCCUCCUGGAUUGAUUGUAUUGAAUUUCCAGCACUGCCAUUGCUUCUACUUGAAAGCCAUUUAAGUUUGUGUAAGCUACCUAUAGUUUGAAUAACAAUUUACUCAUGAAUUGCCGUUCAUGAUAACAAUUUGAUUGAAAGUGCGGCUCCACUAAUUGUCUAGAUGAUUUUUUCCCACAUGUUUGUUCUCGUACGACCCCAGAAUGCUGUUAUAUCAGUUGUAUUGGAAAUUAAUCAACUGGUUACAACUCUACACCCCAUCAAUAUUUAAGCAGUCUACAGAACAUUAAUUGUGUUUUGAAAUUUUAAUGAGUCUCACGUGUUUUUCACGUGAUAUGCAGUAAAAACAAAAUUAAAAAAAUGUGAACAUUCAGCCCCAAAAUCCCCAACUCCUUCCAAAUUGGUUCCGCAGCCCCCAAAUCCCUUAAACCCAAAUCACUCUAAAAAGACUCUCCUCAGCCAAAAAGAAAAAGGUCACCUCACCUCUCCUCUUCUUCUUCCAUGGCGAUCAACGGCGGCACAAGCACGGGCUGAUCUCCUUCGUCGGUAACGAUCAACGGCGGUACAAGCAUGGGCAGAUCUUUUUUUGGCAAUGAUCAACAGCGGCACAAGCACAGUCGUCCUCAGGUACGGAUUUGAUGUUGGUUGUGUUGUCAAGUAGCGAUUCAUGUUUGGAAGAGAAUCCGCUCGCAAGGACCUGGAGCACUUAAUCGAAGAUCUUAAGCGAGGAAUUCGCUUCCUCCUCAUUCCUAAUCGGUGCCUGGUUCAUCAGUAUGAUUAAGGAUGAAAAUUGAGAAAGAAGGACGCAUUAGGUUUGAGACAUUGGUUGAAAAGCGCUACCCCGGUGGCCACGCUGGAAACAUAUGUUCCGUGGCUUCUUGCGUUGUCUGUGAGGAAUAUGUACUGCUGUAGAAGAUAAUUAUGAAUCAAUGGUAAUUGGCGUGUUGGUUUUGGUGCCGAUUUCCUCUUAUUUUCCAGAAAAGGCUUGUAAUUUGUUCACCUCAAGAUUCAAUUUGUUAUUGAAAAUGGAUGGCUGUAAAGACCUACUGGCCUUUCAUUAUAUUAAUGUUUUUGACAGUAAGUUUGUAAUAGUUAGUGCAGGGAACUUAUUGAUUCUUGAUUAUAUAUAACGGUGGCCCUUAUUACUUUAAAAAAAAAAAAAAAAUUGAUGAUGGGUUUCGUUUUGUAUAAGUGUUUGGAGUGUUGGAAAAUGAACAUUGUAUAUUUUAGAUAGUUGAGUUCCAUAGUAGUGAAAAGCUACGGAUUUGUUUUCUUUGUAUUGAAAUGUGUUUUGACCAUUAUAUGUUGUUUGAUUGGUGAUAGUUUUAUGUUUGUCAGUUCCAGUAGUCUCUUAAUCGCCAUCUGGCAUGGAAACUCACUGUGAAUAUGUGAAGAAUGCAGUGAUCAUAAGGAGUAAAUGAACGAUCAAACAUGCUAAAAUUAAAUACCAAAAAAUAAAAUAAAAUAAAAUAAAAUUGGAACUGGAAGAGUAAAUAGCAAAAGAUUGGGCGAAAAUUGAAUACCAUAACAAAAAAAAAAUUAAAAUAAAUUCAAACGACAAGAGCUAAUUAAGAGCAAAAAGAUGCUUGACUUACCAAGAGCAAGGACCAAGCAAAUGGUUUUACAUUCGGGCUUGAUGGUGAACUGGUUGGAGAUGGGUACGAAUGUGAUCUCGUUGAGAUUUGGAGAAGAGAACGGGGGAAUGGCCACAAUAUCUUUGUUACUUUUUUUUUUAAACUUUAUUUUACUGUUGAUCACAUGAAAAUCACGUGCAAGUCAUUAAAAUUUCUAAACACAGUUACUGCUGUCGUUUCGAUGUUCUCGGGCUAUCACAUGCUCGGUACGUCUAUCACUACUCGUCAAAAAAAAUGACACGCGUUCAUUUCCAAGACGCGUGCCUUACUACCAUGACAUGAUUGAUGGCGCUUAAAUCAAUUGGUUUUUUUUUUUAAUUUAAAGAAUUUUUCAUUAAAAAAAUAUUUUAAUAUCAAAUUGCCUUCAAUGGCAUAACUGCCACAAGCCCAGUAACAGGACUAAGGGUACGUUUGAGAUUGAGGUUGGGCAGCUGUACCUUUUAAGCUACAACACUAAAGUGCUUGGUAAACACUAGCUGCUCUAGGUUGGAAGCUAUAUUAAUAUGAUUUUUCACUUGUAUAAUAGAAAAUAUAUUAUAUCUUUAAUAAUUUUGUCAAAUUUAUAUUUACUACAUAUUAUUAAUUUUUGUUUUAUAGUCACAGCUUUUUUUCCACAGCACCUGUAGCUUAAAAGAUACAGCACCUCAAUCCCAAACGCAUCCUAAUUAAAAAUUUUAGAAUUUUUGGGCAUGGAAUUGAAAAGAGUAGUAUUAAACAUCAGAAAGCUAAGGUUGUUCUGUUAAAGAAUUGAUAUUGACAUAAUUUUAUUUUGGUUUUUGGGGAAAAAAAAUUUGUUGACAAGCAAGAAAAUAUUUUUAUAUUUUACAAUUUAUUAUACAUAUUUUAUCGUAUUAAAGUAAUUUUAAUAAUAAAUAGAAGCAUAAUAUUAAAUAAAGUUUAAAUUAUUUUGAAUAUUAUAAAAAAUAAUUUUAAUAUUAUUAAUAGGAAGAUAUUUUGUUAAUUUUAAAAUCUUUUUAACCCAAAGGUUUAUUUAAAAUGUUUAUUAUAAAUAAAAAUAUAAAAUUAAAUAUCAUAAUUUAAAAUUUUUAAUAUUAUUUUAAGUAUUAAAAAUAUUUUAAUGUUAUUAGUCUGCUACAUAGAUCAUAUUACUUAUAUUAUAUUUGUAAUGACUAAAAAUUUUUAAAAUCAAAUUUUUUAGUUACUAUAUUUACGAGAUAUUAUGGUUAAAGAAAAGACCUUGGUGUUACUUUUUACAAAUUUGAGUGUCUGCAUGAUAAUUUUAUCAAAAUUUAAGAAUGUAUGUGUCCUUUUCUCCAAUAAUUUAUUUCACUUUUGAGGGGAAUCCAAUGAGAAAUAUGAUAAGAGAAUGUCAAUUAUUUGUCAUUUUCUAUUUUUUCUGUAAGCUAUUCAUUUUGAGCAUUAGUGAUCUUGUCUGGACUACUCCAAUUAUUGAUGUAACUCCAGUGGCUGCAUCCACAGUUGAAUAUAUGAUAGUGUUAGCUCUUAUUUGAGAAUUCAGAGGGAUCUUCUAUGUUUAUCAAUUGCAAUGUGCUAGUAUAAAUUUCUUUACCUCACAGUUUAUAUAGUCUUGCUGUUAAAGAACUCACUGAGGCAUUAUUGACUCAAUUUCAGUGGAGCAAUCGCGCGUAGUGGAUAAAUAAAGGAUAACAGAACAGAGCUGAAGUGCUAAAUUGGCUAUUAAAGAAGGGUGUCACAUGAUCACAAUCACAUUGGUGCACAACUAGAGUUAGGCAAAUUUUGUCUAUAUGUACUCUAAAUUCAGACAAACCAUACAUGCAUGAACAAAAAUUAAACCGUCGUUCUAAUCACAACAGUAAUUGAAGCUACAAAAGCCAGCAAAUCUGAACAAAGACUUAAAAGAAAGAUCUUAUUCAAGUUGUCCCCAAAAGACAGCUGAAAUGAAUAAUAUUGACUAUUGAUUGGGUCAAUGCUGAAUUACAUUUCAAUAGGAAAGCUUGGCAGCAGUUACAAUGUUUCCCCCUCUGAUUUUCGUCCAAAACAAAUUCAGUUGUAAACAACAAUCGAAGUAGAAAUAAUUUAUUCAUCAAAGAAAAUACCCAAGUUUUCAACAAACAAAUCUUCUUGUCUAAACUAAAAAAACUCAUCUCUAAAAUCUAUCUGCAAAAUAUUGGAAAUGAGGAGUGAUCCGUCAACUCCAUAAAUAAACUCAUGCAUAAUGUUAACAAUAAUGAUAAAUUACAUAAUAAUUAUUAUAAAGAAUCAUAAAUUGGAAACACUAAUCAUUCUACAAUCUAUUAUAUAAGUAAGAUAAAUCUCAUAAUAAGUUAAGUUAUAAUGUAAUAAAUAUUUUCAAUAUAUAAUUAUUUAAGAAGUCAUUUAACAAUAAAAUAUUUUUUUUAUUCAAUUGAUCAUAUAGCGUUAUCUAAACUCAUGACGAAAUUAUUAUUACUCACUUUUCUAAAAAAAACAUGAUUAACUUUUAGAGAAAAGUCAUGCCUUUUAGAAAGAAUAUUACCGUGACAAAAUUGAUGGUGAUUAAUUCUAUUUUUAAAAUAGAUUUAAUGCACAAAUAUGGUGACUUUUGGCAAAAAUUAGUUUCGGAAGAUAUAGUGGUAGAAAAUAGUGAUGAUUAUUGUUUAAAUGUGUAAAUAGCCGAAGCAUAGCCCGUGAUACCAAUAUCCAUUUGCACCUUCAUUUGGAUUAUCACAUUUCAUGAUAUUCUUUCGUUCAUGACCAUUGUUCAAGAUUUGAAUUUGAAUACAAAUUAAGCUGCAAGGGAGCUUACUUCGGUUUCUAAGCUUUUCAAUUGUGAUUCCUGCAUGCCUUGCUCUGAUACUAUUUUGUUACUUGCCAAUGUAACCAACCUUGUAAUUGGUCUGUAUAAGAAAUCAAGCCCUUUCAGGAUUGUUUUCUUUUGUUUCUCUAUUGUAGUAGUCAACUAAAUAAAGAAUGAACAACUGAACUUGAUCUAUUUUGAUGAAGACCAAGACCUCCAAUACUAAAUGAACUUUGAAGAAGAUUAAUCUACUGCUUUUAUUCAUCUUUGGACUAUGAAUUUAUACAAAGACUUUAACAGAAAAUAACAAAGACAUAGCUAAAUGAUAGCAACAAGUGCUGACUUAGUGGACCACUUCUACAAGUAAAAAAAGACUAAAUAUUUAUUUUGACUAUAACAACAACUACCCUGAUGAACAGGACUCCACAUCAGCCACGUGACAACUAAUUUCUCCUUAAUAUUAUUAUUAGUAGAAGUAGAUUUUCAAACUAGUCUUGAUAUAUUUCAAAGUUGUAUUAACAAUGUAUAUGUAUCUAGAUUGUAACUAUAUUUUUAAAAAAUAAAAUAUUUUAAUUAUUGCACAGUAAAUGUAGAAGAAUAUCUGUAAAAUAAUAUUAUUAGGACUAAAAAAAUAUUAUUUUAGAUAAGUUAUUUAUUUAUUAUUGAAUUGAUAAUUUAUUAAUUUAUUUCUAAAUGAUAUUUAUUAAUUUAAAGAGAGACUUUUUUGGUUUUAUGAAGAGUUUGUUUGGUACAUGUUUACACUUAUAAAGAAACACAAAAAGUGCUUCCUCAAGUCAAUGGUAUUUGCUUUAAUGGCUACGGUUCAUAAUAAUAUAGCUUAGUAAGGAAAUUUGUAAUUAUAAUAUGACUCUUUUAGUACAACUUUUCAAGUAGAAUUUAUUUAAGUAGAGAUUUUGUUAGGAGAAGUAUUGUUAAUAGAGAUUUCACAAAAAAAAUUUUAAUUAUUUGAUUAUAAUAUCCAAAUUGAUGAACUUUUGUUCUUUUGUUAACAUCUGUUUGUUUUACUUAAUAAUAAAACUUUAGUGGGUUUGGCUACAAAUAAAAGUUUAGUGGGUUUGGCUACAAUGCCGUUGGCAUUGUUCCCGGCACCAUGCCGGGCUCUAAAAAAGAGAGCCCGGCUGUCUUUGGCUGCCAUUUGGCAGCCAAAGACUUGGUGCAGCCGGUUAACAAACCGGUUGCACCAUAUUUUUUAAAAAAUAUAUAUUAAAAAUAGAAUAUAAAAAUGAAAAAAAUUAAAUAAAAUGUCAAAAAUAAUUUUUAUAAUAUAAUUAAUAGCAAAAGAUAAAGAAAUUAAAUUAUAUAAUACAAACCCUAUAGUACAAUAUGAUAUAAUUAAAUAAAAUGGCAAAAAAUAAAGAAAUUGAAAAUGAAAAAAAUUGUAUUUCAGUUUUAACGUUAGUUAUUGCAUGUCCGACGUCCCGAUUUCAUGUUUGACAUAAGAAGUUGCAUGUUUUGGAUAAAACCAAAAUAAAGAAUAUUCUGGAAUAUUCUCGUCUGUUUCAUGUUUGACGUCAAAGUUGCGAACUUUACGUGGUAAGUUGCAUAUUUCGCGUGAAGUAUUGCGAGUUUCAUAUUUAACAUCAGUUGUUGCAUUUUUUACGGUUGGAUUUCAUGUUUGACGUACGAUGUUGCAUGUUUUGAAUAAAGCCAAAAUAAAGAAUAUUCCGGAAUAUUCUCGUCCGUUUCAUGUUUGACGUUGAAGUUGAGAACUUUACGUGGUAAGUUGCAUAUUUCGCGUGAAGUAUUGCAAGUUUCAUAUUUAACGUCAGUUGUUGCAUGUCGAACGUCACGGUUGCAUGUUUGACGUAAGCUGAUGCAUGUCUUGAAUAAAGCCAAAAUAAAGAAUAUUCUCGAAUAUUCUCGUCUGUUUCAUGUUUGACGUUGAAGUUGCGAACUUUACGUGGUAAGUUGCAUAUUUCGCGUGAAGUUUUGCAAGUUUCAUGUUUAACGUCGGUCGUUGCAUGUCGGACGUCACGGUUGCAUGUUUGACGUAAGCUGAUGCAUGUCUUGAAUAAAGCCAAAAUAAAAAAUAUUCUCGAAUAUUCUCGUCUGUUUCAUGUUUGACGUCGAAGUUGCGAACUUUACGUGGUAAGUUGCAUAUUUCGCGUGAAGUUUUGCAAGUUUCAUAUUUAAUGUCAGUUCUUGCAUGUCCGACGUCCCGAUUUCAUGUUUGACAUAUGAAGUUGCAUGUUUUGGAUAAAACCAAAAUAAAGAAUAUUCCAGAAUAUUCUCGUCCGUUUCAUGUUUGACGUCGAAGUUGCGAACUUUACGUGGUAAGUUGCAUAUUUCGCGUGAAGUUUUGCAAGUUUCAUAUUUAACGUCAGUUGUUGCAUUUUUUACGGUUGGAUUUCAUGUUUGAUGUACGAUGUUGCAUGUUUUGAAUAAAGCCAAAAUAAAGAAUAUUCUCGAAUAUUGACGUUGAAGCUGCGAACUUUACGUGGUAAGUUGCAUAUUUCGCGUGAAGUAUUGCAAGUUUCAUAUUUAACGUCAGUUGUUGCAUUUUUUACGGUUGGAUUUCAUGUUUGACGUACGAUGUUGCAUGUUUUGAAUAAAGCCAAAAUAAAGAAUAUUCCGGAAUAUUCUCGUCCGUUUCAUGUUUGACGUUGAAGUUGCGAACUUUACGUGGUAAGUUGCAUAUUUCGCGUGAAGUAUUGCAAGUUUCAUGUUUAACAUCCGUCGUUGCAUGUCGGACGUCACGGUUGCAUGUUUGACGUAAGCUGAUGCAUGUCUUGAAUAAAGCCAAAAUAAAGAAUAUUCUCGAAUAUUCUCGUCCGUUUCAUGUUUGACGUCGAAGUUGCGAACUUUACGUGGUAAGUUGCAUAUUUCGCGUGAAGUUUUGUAAGUUUCAUGUUUAACGUCCGUCGUUGCAUGUCGGACAUCACGGUUGAAUGUUUGACGUAAGCUGAUGCAUGUCUUGAAUAAAGCCAAAAUAAAGAAUAUUCUCGAAUAUUCUCGUCCGUUUCAUAUUUGACGUUGAAGUUGCAAACUUUACGUGAUAAGUUGCAUAUUUCACAUGUAGUGUUGUAGGUUGCAUGUUUAACGUUCGUUGUUGCAUGUCCGACGUCCCGAUUGCAUGUUUAACGUAAGAUGUUGCAUGUUUUGAAUAAAGCCAAAAUUAAGAAUAUUUCAGAAUAUUCUCGUCUGUUUCAUGUUUGACGUCGAAAUUGCGAACUUUACGUCAUGAGUUUUAUAUUUCGCGUAAAGCGUUGCAGGUUGUAUGUUUAACGUUAGUUAUUGCAUGUCCGACGUCCCGAUUUCAUGUUUGACGUCGAAGUUGCGAACUUUACGUGAUAAGUUGUAUAUUCUACGUGAAGUGUUAAAUGAAUUUUGUUUUAAAAAUACAGUUUAACCUCAAAACUGUAUGAAACUAUGUUAUGAUCCAAAACGUUAUAAAAAUUUUCAAAUUGGUCCAAUUUUAGAAUUUCUAAUUAUUACUUUAUUAAACUCAAAACUUUCUGAAAUUAAGAUAUGAUCCAAAAUAUAAGAAAUUAUAGAAUGACCCAAAACAUUUAAAUAUUUUGAAAUAGGUCCAAAUCCGAAAUUUAAAACAAUAAUUUAUUAAAAUCAAAGAUUAUGAAAAACAACUUAACUCCAUAAAGACAUAUUCUUAUUGUUAAAGCACAAUACAUAAAUCUUUAUUUAAUCAACACAUGUGGUUUGUUAUCGAAAUCUCAAUACAACACAUUAGUCCAAAAUUAUCCAAAGCAUACGGAAAUAACAUAUUAUCCAUGAAAUAUCAAACAAUCAAAACAAAUCCAUGUCAUUCAAAACAAAUACAUAAUCCAAAAUCAUAAUGAAAUGUAGGUGUGUCCAAAUACAAGCAUAAGAGACUACUAAGGUGGUGAGGAUGGUGGUGAUGGAGGUGGAUACGGAUAUGGAAUGCCGAAGUGCUCAAAGAGGAGGCGCUGUCCAUGAAUAAACUGCUGCUGCUGGUGGUGAAACUCAGUCUGCCACACAGAGAGUGUCCUCACCUCAUCCAUAAGCUGCUGAAGAGUAACUUCUUCAAAAGUAGGAUGCUCGGGAUGUGGUAAAGAAGGUGCAGAGGCUGUAGGAGCCGAGGGAGAUACUGAAGGAGCUCGACGUCUACGCUGACCCCGAAAUGAAAGUGCAAAAACAGGUAGCUGAUGGGCUGGAACCACAGCAUUAAGUGGUCGAUCAUCACUUGGAGCAAGAAAGGUGAACUUUUUAUCAGUGACUUUUACCCAAGUGCCAUUACGACACUCAAAACCUAAAGAACUAACAGCCUCAUCCCCAAUGCUCUUAGACGGCCUACAUGAUGGUUCUUGGAUAGUGACGCUAAAGUAUUUGAGGAUUCGGGUGAUGAAAUGACCAUUCAGAAGGGAACGAGUAAUCAACUUAGGUAUACUAAGCAUGUUUCGGACAAUGGUGUAUCCUAAGUCGACUGGACGAUGUCUAAGAAUACAAUCAAUCAAGGCAACAUCCAUAUGAGAAACCUCAUCCAAAUGGCCUGAUCUAUGAAGCACAAUACUCUGAAUAAAACGAAGUAAUAUCCGAGUUUGAAGACAAAGACAUUGGGUGCGAAAAUGGAUAGUACAAUCAUCAUCCGAAAGAUCAAUACGACGACAUAUAUUCUUAACAGCAUCAAUAUGAACAUAAUCAUCAAUAUCAGGAGGUUUCCUAGGUGAAAAAAUUUCUAGGCCAUCAUCGGAAGUUCCUAGAAUAGAGUUCAACUCCGAAUCAUCAAACUCAAUCGAAACUCCUUCAACUGUGGUGAUUACUCGAUUCUCUUUCUCCGCGGAACAAUCCAUAUUCGAGUAAAACACUUUCACCAAGUCGGGAUAUACAUUUUCCUCAAAAACAAUUGAAUUAAGCCAACCAACAUCUUCCAACAAUUGCAAUAAAGUUCUAUUACUAAUACUAAGAUUAUUCAACCAAUCCGGUAAAACAAAAAAGGUUUGGAGUACCUCACGAGUCAUGAACUGUUGGUGAAAUCGUUUGGCUAGAUGUUUGUGGUUCUGAAAGUGUCUGGCCUCAAAGUUGGAUUUAUUGGAUGUGCCCCCUGCUUGUCGUGACCGGUUGGUAUGUUGAACCGGUUCUUUGCCUUUUCUUCGAAUCGGCCGUGAGCUUGACAUGGUGAAUUUUUUUGAUUUGAAGUGAAAUAAAUCAAUGAGAAGGGAGAUAAUAAGGAUGGAAAGAGAUUUUGAGAAGCAAUUUCGAUCAAAAACGGCUUCAGAGGGGGAAAUCUAGAGAGAGAAGUUUCGGCUUAAACCAUAGAAUUGAUUUCGGAUCUAUUGAUUUUGAGGUUCAAAAAAGGUUUGAAGGAUGAUUUUGGAUACAAGAACGGAUGGGAAACAAGUUUCAUGGAUCCAUUUGCAUAAAAAACCUGUGAAAAUGAUGGAUUUUGGAGAGAAAACGAGAGAGGAAUAUUCGGUUUUAGAGAGAGAUAGCUAACCGGUUUACCGAAAGAUAAAGGAGGAGAUGAACAGUUUAUAUACUCGCGAAUCCGGCUAUCCGGAAAUUAUUAACCGGCUAACCCAUUGUAGGCAGUGACCUACCCACGCGAAUUCAGAUUUCCGGUUUGAAUAACCGGCUAUCCGGUUUCGUCUCCAAGAAAAAACAGCAAACUGCCUCACUCGGCUGAGAUAAAAAAAAACCAACUGUGAUAGGGAAUGCAUAAUUUGUUUGAAAGAUGAAGUUUCACUUGAUUUCUUGCCAUGUGCGUACCAAGUUUUGUGUGCCAGUUGCAGUGUCAAAAUUAUCAUAGUUUGUCUUAAGAAGUCUGAAAGAUUAGAAAAAGAGAUUGCUAAGUUCAAGAAAUGAAAGUGAGAUAAAAUUACUUGUGUCGCUUCUUGUGUCUUCCCAUUGUUUAAUUCUGAUAUUGUUGCUUACUAAAUUAACAAAGAAAGACCAGCACAAUGACUGCUGAUGAAUACUUUGAGAAGCAUCCAGAGCUAAGGAAAGAAGUUUGAUGAUGAAAUCCGGAAUGAUUAUUGGGGAUAUUAAUUCAGUCAUGUGCAUUCAGUUAUCGGGAACAUCUUCUUUCAUGCAGACUCUCGAGUUCAUCCCAACCACCAUGCUGUUUUGGUGCAUCAUAACAAGAAUAAGCCAAUUGUUUUACUCCAUUUUGGUUGAUUUGACUAUCACAAAAAAUUCCAUGAUAUUUGGACAUUACUCAGAAUCUAGCUAUAAUAAUUUCUCUUUUCUUAUUUGCCAAAUUUGCAUUAAGAUUUUUUUAGAAGAACUUUUAUGUUUUCACAUUCAGAAAGAGUUAAAGCAAAGCAAUUGCAGUAGCAGUGUGUAUGGAAUUUGUUGAAUGGAUCCAUUUGAAAGUCCAUUUUUUAUUCUUUAAUGUAAUAUCUAAUAUUAAAAAAAUCUUAAAACAAAAAUAUGAAUGAAUUGAAAAAUCAAAGUAGUAUUCCACAUUCCCAUGUAAAAAUAGAUUAACGACACCACUUUAAGAAAAGCUAAAAAUAAAAAUAGAUAUAUAUUAUUAAACAAAAUGAAAGUUGGAACUUACAAAGAGCUAAUAUUAUUACUUUAAUCUUCUAGUAUUUAGAGUUCAUCUUGUGGCUGAUAUUAUUGCUUGGCUACGUGAAACCAUUUUAGUCUUGUCAACACUAUCUUGUGGCUGAUAUUUUUUAUUGAAAUGCUCUUCAUCCACCAACUUGGUUCUUGUCAGUUUGCUUGGUAACUUCUUCUUGUUUGGUUUUGGUGCAUUAUUUAUCUAUUCACUCGUUAGUCAGACACUUUUUUUUUGUAUUUUUUGUUUCUACGCACAAGACUGAUAAAAUUAAAUGGGCUUAAUCUUUUGUCUUCCUAAUAGCAAUAUUCAAUAUUUAUUUAGUAAUAUUUCUAGAACUCUAAGAAAUAACUGGAUUUAAAUUUUAUGAAUUAUAUAUUGUGCUAAAAGCACAAAGACAAUCAUAUGAGUGUAUAUUAUUAUUAAAAUUAAACAAUUGGAUUUAACCUCCUCUUCAUACAAUUCAUAUACAUUGGCUCGCUCUCGCUCUCUUUUCUACAUGCAUGUGUCAUUUACAUUUAGGUAUUUGUAUGCGCGUAUAUUAUUAUAAUGUAAUCCCUCUAAAAAAUGAGACCAAUCACAGUCCAAACAAAAAAAAGAAAGAUAAAGAAAAGUUAAUACUUUAAUGGCAUUGUUAAUACGUCACAGUAAUCAUGUCCCUCGAAUCCGGAUAACUGGAUUUAACAACCGGUUAUCCGGAUGUUGACUGCAAGCAACAUGCUUGCUGUCACGCGAAUCCGGAUGACCGGAAGUCAACAACCGGUUAUCCGGAUGUUGACAGCAAGCAUGUCAAUCGAAACCGGAUAACCGGAUUUCCUAACCGGUUUUCCGGUUAUUGCAUGUCCUGUAUAAAGUUUAAAAAAAAUAAAGGUAAAAUUACCACGUUUGGUUGGUUAGGUUUGCAAUAAAUAUGAUGAAAAAAAAACUCACCUUCCCUCCAUUAAUGAGGGAUUAUCCUAAGGCUCAUGUCCAAGACUUCUUCACAAAAAACACAGUCACUCCAAAACAUAGUCCCAAAUACUAUUACUGCGGUCUCGUUCAACAUCUAUGGUGCCUAGUUUUCAACUUUUCAAAAGUUAAGUUUCUCUCCAACAAAGGUAUGUGUUGUAAUUUAAGUAGUUGAUUUGUGCUCCCAUAGAUGGUUUCAGAAAUAUUAUUAUAUUAAAUUAUUAAGAUAAAGGGUGUGAAUUAUGUUAUUAACAAAGUUUUGGUUGAACAGGGGUUAAAUAUGAGUAGCCCACAUAGUUCCAGCAACCUAGGAAUAUCCAUUGCUCCAAAUGUUGGUUUACAGGUAUCGGACGUACUUGGCAGUCAUUUCGACUCAGUAGAAGAUGCAGAACUGUGGUAUAACAAUUAUGCCCGAAUGCUUGGUUUUGGUGUUAGGAAAGAUGAUAUGCGGCGCGGAAAAAAGUCUAGACGAAUCACAAUUCGACGUUGGGUUUGUCAUUUCGAAGGGGUAAGAGAUGAAAGACAAUCUCAAAACUGCAGUAGGGUGCAGAACCACGACCUAUAACACGAACCGAGUGUCGGGCAUCAUUUCGAGUGAAUUACGAUGAUUCAGUUGGUAAAUACAUCGCCAAAGAAUUCAGGCCUGAGCACAACCAUCAUUUGGCUUCUACUAAUGGAGUUCAUCUCAUUCGUUCACAUCGAAAGGUUACUGAUGCAGAACUUGCGCAAGCAAAGGCAUUAAGGCAUGUUGGUGUGAAGACUUGCCAAUUCAUGGAUUACAUGGCUGAUCAGGUAGAGGGGCCUCAAAACCUAAGGUUCACACGCAAAGACAUGCAAAACACGCUAGAUGCUUCCACUCGUGCCGAGGUUGGAGAUUCUGACUCAGACACAACUAUAGCAUACUUUGCGGCAAAAUCUGAACAUGACCCUGGGCUUUGCUUUGAGUACACACUAGAUGAUGAAAAUAGACUACGAAAUUUGUUUUGGGCUGAUUGUGUAGCUCGUUAUGACUAUCAGUGUUUUGGUGAUGUGUUGGCAUUCGAUGCAACGUAUAAGACUAAUGUAUAUCAUAAACCCCUCGUUACACUUGUCGGAACAAACCAUCACUUCAGAACAACGGUCUUCGGUUUUGCUUUGCUCGCAGAUGAGACAAUUGACUCAUACACGUGGCUGCUACAAACUUUUCUAUCCACUAUGGGCAACCGAAUGCCCGUGUCUGUAAUUACUGAUGGUGACAAGGCAAUGUCGAAGGCAAUAAAGACAGUGUUUACCGGGUGCAUCCAUCGUCUUUGUUGUUGGCAUCUUGAGCGCAAUGCGCAGGCUAAUUUGAAGAACGAAGACUUUACGAGAAAAUUUCGUGAUUUGAUGUUGACACCUAUGACGGUAACUGAAUUUGAAACCCAAUGGUCAGCUGUAGUGGCUGAAUUCGCACUUGAACAUCAUGCAUGGGUACAGAAAAUGUAUUCAAAGCGGUGCAAGUGGGCGGAAGCUUAUCUUAGAGGAACAUUCUUUGCUGGUAUGCGAAGCACUCAACGAUGUGAAAGUAUGAAUGCAUAUCUUAGCCGAUUUGUCCAACAUAAACUAAAAUUGUAUGAGUUUGUGCGACAAAUCGAUCGUGCUCUCCGCAAUAUUCGUACCACAGAAACAUCCGAUGAGUUCAAAACCAAAUACAGUACUCCUGUCUUAAGAACUCACUUACAGAGCCUCGAGAAACAUGCUGCACAAUUGUUCCCGUUAAGAGUUUUUUCGAAGGUUAGAGAUGAGAUGCUGCGAGAAAGAGCGGUCAUCGAAGUAAAAACUGUCAAAGCUGUCGAUGUUGCAUUGUACACAGUGACUGAAUUUAGGACACCUACAACAUGUUGGAAUGUCAUCCACAAUCUACAAGAAAACCACAUACAGUGUUCGUGUCAAAUGAUGGAGUUUGUUGGGCUUCCUUGUAGGCAUAUGUUUCAUGUCUUGAAAGUGGAACAAAUUGAAAAGAUUCAUGACAAUAUGGUUUUUCGUAGAUGGACAAAAAAAGCCAAGGAGCACAAUACUUGCAGGACCACAAAACCAGAAGUUGACACUGAUGUUUCAGAGAUGGCUAGAUUUAGUGCAUUGUCUGCAGCCUGCAAUAAAAUGUGCUACAAUGCAGCAAAAAACGUUGAAGCCUAUGAAAAUGCAUUGGUAGAAAUCAAUCGGCUAACAUUAACUUAUGAACAACAAUCUGAACGAGACGGUCUCCCAAAUAAAAAAUUGCGGAUGGGAACAAAACUUCGUAAUCCUGCAGUUGUAAAAACCAAGGGCGCUAUGUCUAAAACAAAAUGUGUAGCAGAAAGCUCUAGAAAGUGUGGAAAAUGUCGUCAGGUUGGGCAUACAACACGAACUUGUUCUAUUCAAGGGAAUGAUAGCACCCAGCUAAGGUAUGUCCCAAGUUCUUUAUCAUGUGUUUAAUUAUUGCAUUGUUGGAUAUUUCAUUGCAAAUAACUUUCAUGGUAUUGAUUUAGUGUCGAUGGAAACUGUUUUGCCGCAUUCGAUUCAUCAAGCACCCAGAAUCUUGGAGCCUCUACUGGUGUCAAUCCAACAUUGUUAGGUCAUGCAAGCAACCAAUUUUCAAAUGUUUUUUAUUGGUGGCCUCAUUAAACAAUGCCAUUAAAAUGACUCAAUAUGUAUUACCAUUUGAAUUCCACUAUCAUGUACUAACAUGACAACCAGUUUAAUAUCAAAUGAUGAGAUGUGAACACUGUUAACAUGCAUAUGUUCAUUAUAGUUAAAUUAUGUCUCGGCCAAGAAUACAUAACCAUGUCAUAAAUUUAAAGAUAAUUCUCCAUUACAAUUGAUUUUACAACCAUCGUAAGCAAGAAGACAAAAAAAUUCACGGUAUUACCUCCCAACAUGUUUCAAACAUCUUACAACAAAAAAUAGUAUGCAAUCACUUGCAUAAUCAUUCCCUACUAUAGUUCGAUAUCUAAGCGCGUGUUCUCGUGUUAACUUUCUUCUUCUUACGAAUGUUGCCGCUUUGUUGGUGAAAUGACUUUUGCACUUGAGAGGAUACAGGGUUCACCAUUACAGCAUGAAUCGCAAACUGUGCAUUGCUUAGUUCCAGCAAUUUAUCUCGAUUUUGAUUCAAUGCAGAAUUAAUUAGUUGAAUGGCUAGCCUACCUCGUGUAUCCUCAGAUGUGAACUAGUCAAUUUGAAAGGAAACCAAUAUUACUUUCAUAUAAUAAGUAGCUUUUAUAUAAUUAUGAAGUUAACAAAAUUCUGAGUUCAACAAUUAAACAAGUUUGGCAUAGUCGUACCAAAGUGGACGAUUUCUUCGGAAUAAAUUCUGGGCUGUCCAUAUAGUUUAUCACAUAAACCCCACAGUCAUAUCCAUUCCUUUGCUUUGGAACUCCAAUGCCCCGGUUGAUUGGAAAGUCUUGAAACUUCAUGUGUUGCAUAUUGCUUGGCAAUUGGGGCUGCAUAAUCCAAUCCAAGGAAUGUAGCUGUCGGCAAUGUUGAAAACCAGACAAUAUUAUAGAUAUGAAUAUAACACAAUAUACAUAACUGAUAAUGUUAAAUAGAUAACAAAAAUAAAGAACAUGAUUAAGAUACAAUGCGCAUGGCUUGAUCGUGCCGUCUUCUAUUACUGCGGGGAUCUGGAAGAGGAUCCCAUAUUUCUGCACUUGUAUUUCUGACAUUCACGAUCAGUAGGUACCAAUGAGAUGAUUCAUCAUUUAUUGGCACAUAAAUCUAACAUUUCAAUUGUCAAUGUCAUACACCAAGCACACUAGUAGAAACUGAAAUAAGUUAAAGGUUAACAAACUAACCUUUUGACACUUAUGCACCUGUUGCAUAAAAUUCUUUCCACAUCUAGCUGCCCUUGCAAAACAAUCCACCUCAUCUCCGACCAUUAAAACUGCUUGCUACACAUAAUAAAGACAACGUUGAAUAAGGAAGUUGUCAAUAAAGAAACCAAAGCACAAUGCAACAAGUACCGGCGAGACUCACAGAAUAUCUUGUUGGUAAAUACCAGUUCAUUGGCACAUCUUUCUCCACCACCUACUGAAUGAGGGUGAGGUGAUGCGCUUUCAUAGAAAUCACCUAAAAGUGAUCAUAUUUAUUGAGAUAUAUAAUAACAUGUAAUAAACGAUAAACAUAUAUUGUGACAUCACCAAAUGUUGAAACCUAAUACCUCGCCACAUAGAUAAGCCCCCGGCAAAAGAGUCAAUAAAGAAUGCCGAUUAAGAAUUUCGCCGCAACUAGAAACAAUGAUUUCACUAAAGAUAAAACACGGUAAUUUUUUAGUCGUAUAGCAUAACAACUAUAUACAGAAAACUAAUUUCAGUCUUCUGAAUUUAACCUUCCCUCUGCGUCCUUGUUAAAAGCAUAUUGAAUAAGCUUCAAUUCUUCCAGCGUAACUGGAUCAUUGACUUGAAACGGACCAGCUUUAUACUUGGGAUUUGCUCCCCUGGACACUUGAUCGUACGGUGAAAGUUGAUAUCGGCCUGGCCUACGAUUCCUACUUGGUCGCGUUGGCAGGACACUGAGACUAGUAGAUGUUUGAGGUUCUUGCUUAAGUUGAACUGGUUCAUCUAUAUCCUUUAUAAAAAAUAAAUUUAUAUGUAAGUUACUUCAUAAGUGAGUUAUCAUUGAAAUCAUUUUAAGAAAACGACGUUAUAAAACUGUACCUCAUCUCGGAGAUUAGGUGGUGGAAUAGGGACAAAGUGGGUAGGAUCUUUGCGAAAUUCACCGAUUCCUUCUCUUGUCCCCAUCCAGCCCAUUAAUUUAUCGAGGCUCAGGUUCAAUCUGCGAUCCACAGAGUCCUCGUCGCUAUCCAUUACCAUUUUGUUUUUUUCCAUCAGUAGUUGGCUCGGUUUUUCUGACUGGACAUGUUGGUUCUACUAUUUUCAAGCUCGGAGAUUGCGGGCAUGGAUCAGAUGGUUGUUUUGAUAGUGCACCAACCGGAGACUUGGAUCUCAAUUCCUCCAAAGACUUCUCAACCAUUUCCAUUCUCACAUUGAAUGAAUCCAUUUUGUGUUCAAUUCUGUGGACACACUGUGUUAGUACCCUAAAAGCUUCCUCCAUAUUAACAGUGCUCGGCCCAACAUCUUCGGUUUGUUCAAAAUGAGCGAAAUUUCUUUCGAGCUGCAGAAAAUUUGAUUCACGCAUUGGAACCUAAAAUAAAUAUGCACAACAAUCAUACAUAAUGACAAUCAAAAUAUAUUCAAUUAACCGUAAACAAAAUUAAAUACAUGUGUGAACAAGACAAAAAAUAAAACAAACCUCAGUACUGGUCAUGUCCCCAAACUUUUUCCGCCAAUUCAAUAAGCGCCGAAUCUCUUCCUUGGUCCAUACACUAACAGGGCAAACUGUUCUGUCCAUGGAACACCGAUCAUAUAAAACAGCACUAAAGUAGAACAACUGUACAUUCAAAAAACAAUUACUACGUCAUUUUAUUUUUCGUAUUUGGAAAAUUAAUUAUGGCAUCUAAGAUUUCUUAAAUAUACCUCUAAAAACACAACACAACCACUAACUGACUUCACUUGAUUAUCUUUAUACUUCGCUAUGCCCUCCCACAGAAAGUUGAAACACCAUGUAGCCCAAUUCUUUUUCCUAAUUAAUUGCACAUCUUUUAGGGAAUGCAGAUACAUCGGAUUGAUGUAGCUGGCACUUGUGGGACACAAUACAGUUCCUAGAAGAAACAAACAAAACAUGAUCUUAAAGUCAUCAUCACUACUCUCACUAGCUAUUAUUCUUUCACUAACUGCGGCUAUUUCAAUUCCUCUUCCACUUGUUCUAUACUUGGCACGCAGUUCAAUUAUAUCACCCGCUUCUUCUCGGAUGUAUACUGGUUCCCCUCCAUCUUUGAUCCCCAUUACGAUGCUGAAGGUUGUAGGGUUUAAACAAAACUCUCUCUCGUGCAAAACUAUACAGUGCCUCUUUGUAUCACAUUGUUGGACAAGUGUUUCACAGAAGUCUUGUCUCAGGCGACCACAUCGUAAUUCUAGCAUGCUUCCGAAGCUAAUUUCUCUAAUUGCAGCUUGUUGGUCGGCCGAUAGUGUGGAAAUGACCUUAGUGAGUGCACUGACACGACAACGAGAUAAAUUACAUUGGCUAUGCUUAUCCCCAAUUUUUUGUUCUUCAUCUUGUUUUUCAAUACUCCUUUCACCAACAUUUGAACUUGGGUCCUCAUGCAUCGUACCAAAUCGGCACUUCUCCUCAUUCGUUAAUUUCUUCCAUUUUUCAACAAUUGUCGCCCUACAAACUUUUUUGAUCCCUUCUUGCCUGACCUUUUCUGCUUCAUGCUUACUGUACACAACAUUUUAGUUCAACUAAUUACGUCAACAAAAUUGUUAUAAUAAGAACCUUAUUCAAAGCAAUAAUUUUAUACUUACAAAAAGUGUAUCCACGCUCUCUGACCAGGUCCUCCCCUUCUGCCUUAUGUGGACUCCAUUUUAUAACUGUAUGCUAUAUUUUAAAUCCUGAAAUAGACCACACAUAAAUGUAGUAUCAAGGCCGGACCCAUAACAAUGGCUAAGUUCUUGGCAAAUUAUUGAGCGCUCAUCUUUAGUAUUCCUACCAAAGACUGUAGAGCUCAAAACAAGCAAACAACACCUAAAACCAAACAAGAAAAAUUUAGGGUUCCCAUAGAAAAAUAACACUUAAAAACCAAAUCUCAAAAAAUCAACCACAAAAUAGAAAUAAAUUAAAAAAUGCCAUUGAAUUUUUACCAACUAAUGCCAUUGAAACCACGCAAAACCAUGGGAACAUUGCAUCCCCUUCUAAAUAUCUUUCUUCAAUUUAAUGCUUGAAUUACAGUACAUCAAUCAUAUCAGGAUUGAGGAUUUUCUUGCCAAUUUCAUGCUUCCAAGCCAUUAAUCAUCUCUUCAACAUCAAUUUUUCAUCAUCUAAAUAUCUUUUUUCACUCUAAAUUACCAAACUUCUAAUUGUUUCAAAUCUCUAAUUAUUUCACACAAAAUUUAUAGUACAUCACAAAAACCACAAAGGUCAAAAUUACCUCAUCACCUUCUCGUUAACUCACAAAAUGAAAAGGAAAGAGAGGAACUUGUGUUCAUCUUCAACACCUCAGGAUGACAGCGACCGCUUCAUGGAUUCCACUUCUUAUUUGCUUUGAACGAGAUGGUGCCUUUGAUCUUCUAUGAUUACUAAACAAAUAGAAGAGAGAAAUUUGAGAGAAAUUUGUGAUUUCAAAGUGAGAUGUGAGAGAUUGGGAAUGGCCUGGGUGAAACCCUCAAAAAGCAAAAUUUUGUUUUGCAAGCUUUGGGAACCGGUUUAAUAAGUUAACAAUUUUUUCCUCUUUUUUAUUUCUUUUCAAUCUCAGCCGUUGGAUUCAUUUUACUUGAAUCCAACGGCUGCGUUUACAAGCCGGCACAAUGCCGGGCCUCAAUGCCCGGCAUUGUAGCUUUAGCCAAGUUUAGUUUACAAUUACACCGGUGUCAAAUCAGCAGAGCAUCGGCAAGAGUUUUCGAUUGUUGCAAUUUGCAAUGCAUGUGGUACAUGCACGCACUAAUAAAGAAACACAAAAAGUGCAUUCUCAAGCCAAUAGUAUUUGUUUUUAAUCGCUACUUUGCAUAAUAAUGUAGCUUAGUUAGGAAAUUUGUAAUUAUAUUAUGCGUCCGUUUGGUAUAACUUUUUAAUUAGAACUUAUUUAAGGAGAACUAUUGUUUGUAGAGUUUUUAUAAAUAGAAAUUUUAAUUAAAAAAAAUUAUAAUUAUUUAGUUGUCAAUGUCCAAAUUGAUGAACUAUUGUUCUUUUUGUUAACAUGUGUUUGUUUUACUUAAUAAUAAAACUUUAGUUUACAAUUACACCGGUGUCAAUUAUACUAAUAGCAUCGGCAAGAGUUUUCGAUUGUUGCAAUUUGCAAUGCACGCGGUGAGAGAAAAUGAGAAUCUUGUUUAAUCCUUUCAUUAGGAGUAAUUUAAUAAUCGUUUGUUAUAAUAGAAUAUGUAUAAAGAAAGGAAAAUUAUAUUCAUAGAUUUGGCUUAUUUUUUGUUUAAAGUAAUUCAGAUCAUUACAACGUCCUUUUCGCUAAUUAAUUACAACGUCCUUUUCGCUAAUUAAUUAUGAUUAUAUACAUUUUCAUAUGGCAAGUGGCAUUGUAGAUCUAAACGACGUUGCUAUUUCAAUACGUUAAUUAAGUGAUUCUCCUGAUUGUCAUCAGCGCUAUACCCUCUAGGAAAAUAGCUCAAUUGUUUUCCUGCAUUGAUUUUCAUUGGUAUGUGAUUUCUUAUGAAAUUCUUUUGAGCUUUCCUUAGUUAAAAAGCUUGAGCUUUUAUCACCUAAUACUGAUAUCAAUUAACUUGUGAACGAUUUUAUACCCUCUCUUUUUUUUCUUUUUUUUUAAGUACUCUGUUGAAAGCCAAAGUUCCUUUGGCCAGUUAAUUUAGAAGUGAAGGAAAGAAUAAAGUUAGGCCUCGACGUCUUUUGAGAUUAGAAAUACAUUUUGAAUGCUUUAAUAGAUGCAGAGCAAACUGGCUCGAUAUCUAACUAUUUUAAGAGCUAAAAUCAUUUAUUAGAAGUUGUAGCAUUAAAAAAAAUGGGCUUGAUAUCCAAUUUUGUUAUUGAAUAUGUCUCACGUGUUACUGGCAGAUGGCUAUGCUAGGUUUUAUUGCUCCUUGAAUUUGAUUGAAAAAUUAUUGAGGCGGACAAGUUUGGACCAUUGUUGGACACUGAAACUACACAUCAGUCUUAGAAAAUUGUAAUUUUGUUGGCUUAUCAUGAUUUUGAUCGCCUCACAUUGAUUUUCCUAUGACGUCUCUGUAGAGUGGCUAUGCUUACAUUUUUAGGUAUUUAAUUCUAAAAAUUAACUUAUUAGAUGGAAGGACCAAUUCUACCUGUAAAUACAAGUGGCUUCCCUUUACCAACUCAUACAAGACACAACAAUAAUCUUCUUCAGAAAAAACCACCGUCGGAGGGCUAUUUUCGUUCAACAUAAAUGAGUUGUUCCGCCACCAUAUUUUAAGGGUUUGCUUCUAAUACAACUUGGGGGAGCUAGGGCUAAGAUUUCUAAGAAUCAACAUAAAAACCUUGCCUAUUGGAUGGAAGGACCAAUCCCACUUAUGAGUCUAAAUGACUAAUUUUUGAGGACACAACUCAACAGACCAAUAUAAACUUUUGACGUCCCAUUUUAUUACUUUCCUGUGUUUUUACUUUUGAUGCUGUCUAUAGCCCUACUAUUCUAUUAAGCAGAAAAUAUUUCAAGGCACUCUCGGUCCAGUAGAUAACUUUGGUAUUUAUUAUCUAUUUUCUUUCCAUUUUAUGUAAACCCCGAUCUUUACCUCUGAUUGGUUGUAGAUUCUUUUGUUGCUUUGGGGUUAGGGGAUGGUUUUCAUAACUAUUAAGUUGAUCAAUGCAGAAAAUCACCAUCAAGAAAUGAUAAAGGAUUGUUAGUUCUAUCUGACAAACAACAUUAAUAUGAAGGAUGAUGAUUGUUCUGUUCAAGAGUUUAUAAUGACAUAAUUCUACUUUGGUCUUUUAAAAAAAGUAAUUUAGAAACGAGUAUGUGAGUGAUGACUUUUACAAAAUAAAUUACAUGCGCAGUGAUGAUUUUGACACAUGAAAAUGAAAAAAGAAAUAUAACUUGUGAAUAAUAAUUGAAGUACCUGCUAUUGUUAUAUUGGGUAUUGAUAAAUGGAUGGUUUUGGAAGAAUUGAAAAUGAUGGCAUAAGUAAACCGAAGUUAAGAGAAAAGAGAAAGAGCAUUUGAACUUUACUAGUAAGUAAAGGCAAAUUUCUUGGUUCAAGAAAAGAUAAGAGAUAUCAAACUAGCAAUAGGAAAAAGGAGGAAGGUUAAGACAGCAUCUUAACAAAAGCUAAAGAAAAGAAAAACUUAGUUCAAGCAAAGAACAAUGUGCUAAUGUCGUGUAAUCUUGUUUAAUUUCUUUUUCUUCUCACAUUUUCCAGGGCUUAAAUAAUACAAUAUACAUUUUCAAGCAAAGAACAAUAUGCAAUUGCAGUACUUCUGAGCACACAACAACAAAUAAAUAGUACAAUAUACAUACCCACUAAAUUAAAAAAAAAAUAUUAUUCAAGUUUGUGGACAAUACUGUAGCCAUGCCGUCGUCGAAAUCUACUGACAGCUGAAACAAAGAAAGAAUGGAUGAAUGCUGGAUCACAGUUGAAAUUGAAGGUCUGGUAGGUGAUGUUUCCCUCUCUGAUUUUACCUAAACAAAUACAAAAAAAUAAGAAUCACAAAUGAAAAUCUGCUAUUACACUGUUCUUACUUAUUAAAAUACAGAGGUUUCUUUGUUUCUCUGCAGCAAUGUCCAUGGCUAUUAGAAACAAGAACAAUUAGACCAGCAUUUGCAAGAAUCCUUUAAGGUAUUACUGCAGAUAUAAAUCCACUGAGGAAAUGGAAAAAGUGAAUACCAAAUUAGGCAAGUUAAAUGAAGAUUGAGUUAUCAUAGAAGAAUAAAACUCAUCCAAUUCAAUCCAUCAAAUUCCAUAAGGAUACAACUGGAUGUCAUACUGCUGCUCCAUAUCCUCAAGAGCCCGUAGAUUUUGCCUCAACUCUGGCUGAGGCCAAUGUAAGUCCAAUUUGCAAAAGCUCUUUAUGCACCAUAGCUCUUCAGGAAGCUUUCUCAAGUAAGCACAAGGGUUGACAAUUAUGCUCCCAAGUUUUGGCAUUGCUCCAGCCCCUAUCGUCCACUCCUCUAGCCAACAAAUUGAUUUCAGGUGCAAUACUUUGAGCUCCGGGAAACCACAAGAGCAAACACAAGCCAGUUUUCUUCCUGAAUAUGAGUUCUGCUUCAAUUUCAGCACUUGAAGGUGUGGAAGCUUGUCUAGUGUUAGCAUGGUAUCCGCCAAUAACUCAGUAUUUGAUAAGCUUAGUUGGAUCAGACUUGGAGAAGCUGGUAUUUAGACAGGGCCAUCCGAGAGAGCUACCACCUCUUGGUUUCGUUCACCAGCUUCAAGCAUUCAAGUUUGUGUAGUUCGCAUAGGCUUUUGGAAACCCCAGAACGAUAAUAACUCAAACCUCCAGAUACUAAGAGUUUGAAAAUGAGGUAGUCUGCCUGUUAAAGUAGCUCACUAUGCUGAACGAAAGAAGGAGAAAGCUAAGCUGAAGAAAAUACAGGGCAAGAGUAUUAGCUGUGCCAGCUCAACUGACAGCUCAGCAAAAUCAGUUAAAUUUUGUUACAAGCCCCCUGUGCAUUGUGCUGAAGAUUAGUUAGUUUAAUAAUGAUUAGUUUUAGAUUAGUUAAAAUGUAAUCAUGAUUAAGAUAUAUAUAUAUAUAUAUAUAUAUAUAUAUAGAUAUAGAUAUAUAUAUAGCUGCUGUACUGAUAGGGCAUCUCAAAAGUUCUGAAAUAAUACCUCAAUUCUAUGGCAAAAAUAAAUAAUCUCAAACAAGAACCAAUAAUCAUAUUUUGUUACUGUCAAACACAAUGCAUAUGAGCAAAACAUUGGAAGCCAACACCAGAAUACAUAUGAAUAAACAAUUAAAGAUAGAGAAAAAAGGCUUAAACCUUGGGGGAAAAAAGUGAAAAAACAUGAAAGACAAAUUACACAUGUGCAGUAACCAUCGAACUUAUCAGUGACAGCUGCAUCCAUUACAUUGCUCCAACAACACAAUGGCAAACCACCAGUUUCAAAUUGAGGAUAGCUAUCGAGAAUGAGAAAGUGUCCAAAACAUCAUAAAUAGACAUGUUCCUAUUGUGCAUAAUUUACAUUAUAGGCAAAUAUUCUUAUACCAUCAAAGGCAAAACAUGACACUAACAAUUGAUCCCCCCCCCCCCCCCCCCCCCCCCCCCCCCAACAAAAAAAAAGGAAAAAACAAUACAGAAAAGAUUGAAACAGAUAAGGCUACACUGAGCACAGGAUGCCAUGAAACAUAAUCCAGGAACCAAAUUAAUAAAGAAGGAAGGCAAACCAUUAUUUAACAAUCUGUUUUGUAUUUGGGAAAGUCCGAUAAAAUCUACUUAGGGAUAAUUAGAGAACCUCAACUAUUAAUCACACCUCAUAAAUGAACUAACAUUAACCAUGUACCAUCCCCACAUCAGACAAACAUUCUCUAUACUUCUGAACCUAAUACUUCCAUCUUCAAUUGGGGUUUUUUUUUGUGGGGGGGGGGGGGGAUAAGCUAUCGUGUUUCUAAGCUUGCUUACCUUCUGUGUGGGACUGAAAUACUGAUUUCGAAUCAUUAACAGUAAAAUUGGAAGCUCAUGAAAAAACAAUUUUAUCUUUUAACAAAAGUUAAAAUUACAUCUCCAUAUAAAUUCUCUUUUCAUUUCCUUCAAUUUUCUAAUUAAGCUUAAAAAAAUGUACCUUCAACCACAAAGGGGUUUAAAAUUUAAAAUAUAUAAAAAAAUAAAUUCAGAUAACAAUAAUUAAUUUAAUUAAAAAUAUAAAUAGAGAUUACAGAGAAAGAGAAAAUAGAGAAAGACCUAAUGUUGAGUCCUUUGGUUCUCUUCAUAGGUCCGAACCAUUUCUUCGGGCGUGGGUUUCGGGUCUUUAGGAAACUCCAUCGUCAUAAGCCAGUGAUUGUAAUCGCAACCCUCCAACAGAAUCGUGUCGGGUGUGAUCUCGUCGCCGUCCUUACACAAGUGGUAAGUCUUGUUACCCGACGGCGCAGACGAGAGGGAGAUCGUCGGGGACGAUCUGAACGGCCGAGAAUGGAUGAUGAUGGAGGAGGAGGAGGAGAUUAGCGAUGACGACGCCGAUGAAAUGGAAGGGUUUACCAGAGGAGUGGAUGCCGAAAGUGCAGGGACGGCCGCCAGGAGAGAGCGGUGGAGAGCAGCGACGGCCGGCAGUGACCGGCGGAAGAUGGCGGGAGAUGGCAGCGUGGGCCAUUGCUUGCGCGUCAGUGAGUGUCUCGAGUGAGAGAGUGAAGGUAGGGAUGGCAAUGGGGAGGGAGGGAGGGUCCAAUCUCUCCGUACCCAUCCCCCAAUUUGUCCCCGUCCCUCCCCGUCCCCAUUUGCUUAGAAUCUCCAUCUCUGCUCGAAUAAUAACAGGAAAUCCUCGAGGUUCUAAAUAACUAAUAAUUUUUUUUAUUUUUUAUUUUUUUAUUUUUAGUUAAUUAUAUUAAAAUAAAAAAUAAAAAAUAAAAAUAAAAUUUAAAAUAUAUCUUAUAUUAAUAUUGAUCCAUUAUAAAAAUUACAUGUAAAAUAUAAAUUAUCAAAAUAAUUAUCUUUAUCAAUCUUCAUAAUCAUAUAAUAAAAAGAAAAAAAUUUACUUUUAUAUUGAUAAUAAAAUAAAUAUAGAUAAUUAAUUAAUAUUUUUAAUAAAACAAAAUUUUUGGGCUAAUAGAAUCUACCCUGCUUUUUUAAUAUCUUAAAUAAAAAUUUAAGACUUUAAUUAGUUAAUUAGGCCUAAAAAUUUAAUAAUAUAAAUAUUUUGAUAUUUUUUAUUUUACCAAUAUUUAUAAUUUUAUAAUAUAUUCAAUUUUUAUUAUUUAUUUACUAGUAAUUUUAAAAAAUAAAAAUAAAAUUAAAAAAUAAAAUGGGGGAAAUGGGGAGGGGAUGGGGAUUCCACCUCAUCCUUGUCCCUUCCUCGAAUAAGAAAUUGAUUAAAAAAAAUUUCCCGUCACUUUCUCGAAUAAGAAAUCGGGUAUAAAAUUAUCCUCGUACCCUCCUCGAAUGAGAAAAAUCUCCGAGGAUACCCAUACCCGUGGGGAUUUUUGCCAUCCCUAAGUGAAGGAUUUUGUUUAGGGUUUUGGGAAUUGAAAAAUGUAAAUGUUUGAUUUUGUUGCUAGAAACUUCUUCUGCCGCUGCUUUUUAUUUUCGCUAUAAAAGUAAUAAUUUGUUAAUCAAAUAUUUUCUUAAAAAAGAUAAAUUUCUAGAACAAAAUUUAUAUUAAAUCAAAUUGUAAAAAUGUGGAAUAGGGCUAAUUUCUCCUUAAUAUUAUUGUUAGUAGAAGUAGAUUUUCGAACUAGUCUUGAUAUAUUUUAGAGUUGUAUUAUAGAUGUAUAUGUAUCUAGAUUGUAAUUAUAUUUUAAAAAAUAUAAUUUUUUUAAUUAUUGCACAAUAAGUGUAGAAAAUAUCUAUAAAAUAAUAUUAUUAGAACUAUGAAAAGAAUUUAUUUUAGAGAAGUUGUUUUUUUAUUAUUGAAUUUGUUAAUUUAUUAAUUUAUUGACAAAUGAAUAUUUAUUAAUUUAAAGAGGGAUUUUUUUUUAUUUGCUUUUAAGAAGAGUUUUGUUGGUACAUGUACAUACUUAUAAAGAAAUACAAAAAGUGCUUCCUCUGUUCCUCAAAUCAAUAGUAUUUACUUUAAUUCAUAAUAAUAUAGCUUAUUUAGGAAACUUGUAAUUAUACCAUGUCUUUGUUUCUUUGUUCAUUUUGGUGGGACAAUGUGAUAAAUGAUUGGAUUAAAAUGCAUUAAUAAAUAAAAACUUAUUAAAACCUAAUUUAUUUGGGAACCACAUAUUAUUUGUCAGUAGUAUUUAUCAACUUAACAAGUUAUUUCUAAUUUGUCCCUCUCUAUUAAUGGUUCUCUUAAAGCCAAUAGGGUCGCAUUUGAUAUCUUGCCAUUACCGUUGGCAGUAGCGUGUUACCUAAGAUUUGGAUUCAUUGAAAUCCUCAAUGUAAUCGGUGGAACGAAUGGAUUUCUUCUAUUCAUAAUUUGAUGCUUUGGAUUCAUUGAAAUCCUCAACGCAUUUGAUAUCUUUUUCGUUGAAUUCGUGCAGUUAAAUAAUCUCUACCAACAUAUGUAUGUAUGUAUGAAAUUGGAGUAACCAGACCUUUUCAAGAGUUAAAUAAUCUCUACCAACAUUGUAGAUUGCCCGAUAAAGUUAACUGUGUUACCCAGCUCUAUGCAUAUACAUUAAAUGCAUGUUUGGGUAGUUUUAUAAAAUGAUAACAGCAUGUCAAAACUUGAUAUGAGUUAUAUUGUCAUAUUCGACAUUUUUAAAUUGAAAAAUAAGCAAGCAAUCUUCAGUGAACAUUACAAUUUUGUUCGCUCUACACCCCAUCAAUAUUUAAGCAAUCUACAUAUCAUUACUUGAGGAAAGAAACUCAUUGCGCCACUAGGCUUUUAACGAGGCUCAUUUCUAUGAAUCUGGAUAGCAUUAGAUAUCUCUCCGAAUACUGUUGGGAGUAGAUUGCAGUUCUCUGGGCUAUACUACAAAGUGUAUGUACGUUGAUUCUCUGAUAUGAUUCAAAACAUCAGUACAUGCAUCAUUUAAUGAGAAAGAAUAUUCUGAGAUUAUUUAUGCAUCACCAUUUGUAGUUGUACUGACUCUAAUGAAAUUAAAGGUGCAAUCAGCAACUAAAAUGAAGCCAGAAAGACACGCAUGAGGCAGUUUUCCUAGAAGAUUUGAUAUUUCUUUGACUAGCAAACCAUACGACAUUAAUCAAAACACAAUACGCACAAACAGACCCCUACAUACAUACCAGCAAAUUCAAAAUAGAAAAAGGAGUGCAACUAUUCAAGUUUGUAGACAAUAUUGCAGCCAUGGCAUAUCAAAGCAAAUCCUUGAAAUGUGCUAAACAGAACAAUGCCCUGUCUGAUGAAUCGACGCUCAAUUACAAUUGAAAUUGAAAGUCCGGCUGGUGUUGUUUCCCUCUCCAGUUUUGCCUACAUAAGUAAAGGGAAAUGAGAAUCAUAAAAGAAAAUCUGCUUUUAUGGUUCUUAUUAGAUAGAUAAAAAGGGAUCUUUCUUUGUUUCUCUGCUGCAAUGUGUGGCUAUCCCACUCUGUUUUGCCAGUCAAGCUGAGUCUAUGUUGAGACAUAAUUUUGACAUCAGAAGCGGCCUCAAUUAGUUUGGCACUUUUGCGAUAAACAUAAAUCUACUAAGAAAGUGCAAAAAAAAAAAAGAAAAUGAAUAUAAAAGUAUGAUUUAUCAGAUAAGAUUAAAACUCACCCAAUUAAAUCCGUCAGAUUCCAUAAGGAUAUAACUGGAUGUCAUACCGCCACUCCAUAUCCUCGAAAGUCCGUAGUCUUUGUCUCAGCUCUGUCUGAGGCCAAUGUAAAUCCAAUUUGCGCAAGCUCUUUAUGCACCACAGCUCUUCUGGAAGCUUUCUCAGGUAAGCACAUGGGUUGACAAUUAAGCUUUCAAGUUUUGGCAUUGUUCCUCCCCCCAUCGUCCACUCAUCUAGCCAAUACAUUGAUUUCAGGUGCAAAACCUUAAGCUCCGGAAAGCCACCAGAGCCGACACAGGCCAGCUUUCUUCCUAAAUACGAGUUCUGCUUCAGUUUCAGCACUCGAAGGCGUGGAAGAUUUUCCAGAAUUGGCAUGGGAUCCUCCAUUAGCUCAGUAUUUGAUAAGCUCAGUUGGAUCAGACUUGGGGGAAAUUGGUAUUCAGACAGGACCAUCCGUGAGGGCUUGCUCUCAUUCACCAGCUUCAAGCAUUCAAGUUUGUGGAGUUCGCAAAGGCUUUUGGAAACCCCAGAUUGAUAGUAACUCAAAUCUCCAGAUAUCCGAAGAGUCCGAACACUGGGUAGUCUGCCCAAUAUAUCAGGAGUACAACUACUAGGGUUUAAAGCUGAUAUGAAAAUGAGAUUUUUCAGAGAGCUAGUAUAAUUUUUUGGAGGUGCGGGCAGAGUGAUAGAACCAAAGUUUAGAUGCGUGAGUUUUUGCAUCAUCCAAAUAUCCUCUGGCGACUGAUCUAUGUAGCUAGAUGGCAUUUCUAGUGUUUGAAGGUUUAAAAGGGUGCAUAGCAGCAAAGGAAGGCAUUUGAGCGAAGGGAUAUUCAAUUUCAAGUACUUCAAAAAAUAUAAAUUUUCUAAUCCGGGUGGAAAUUGGUCGAGAACUGCGGAACCCAAGUUCAGUACCCGAAGGUAUUUGAACUUUUUACAAAAAUUCUCGCAAUCUAUCAGAGCGAGAUGAUCGCUUCGUGAACUGUGAUUCAGAAAAGAUUGGAUAUACAUGUCAGAAUAUUCUGGAGGAAAGAACUUAAUCAGACGAUCCAAAAUGAGAUACCGUUUAACAUUUGCCAGUGGUUCCUCUUUCAUAUCAGACAUCCGGACAAAUUCCGUCUUGUCCGCCACCAAAUAUAUUGAAAUAAAUUCAAAACUUGGAACAUAACACGCUUUGAUUGUGCCGUUGGCUCUUCUCUUACUCACUUGAAUGAAGCCGCGGUGGAUUAGUUCUUUUAAGUAAAAUUCGGCAGUUUCCUCACUGUUGUAUGGAAUUAAACCUUCAGCUAUCCACAACUGACAUAAUUGCGCGGUAGAUAUCUCAAUGCCGGGGCGGAAGACACACAAAUAGAUGCAGCAGACUUUCAAGUAAAAAGGUAACUCCCACACAGAACAAGUUCGACUGAAAACUGUCAAAUUUAUUUUUUCAUUCAUAUAAUUUUCUGAUGGCGCACUUCCAUAGUGUAAGAUAAAAAAUUGCCAGGCCUCAUGCUUUAAUCUGAUCAAUGGUCCUUCAAUGAGCACUGAAUCAAGCCGAAUCUCCUCUCCGUUUUCCAUUUCCAACGACGUAAGGAGUUCUGGAUCAGUGACCAAUAUCAAUACUCUGCUUCCAUUCUGAUUAUCAGGAAGAACUUCUUCAAGAUCAUCCCAUAUCUCAAUGUUAUCGCAGACAUCAUCAAGCACAAUAAAGUACUUCUUCUUUGCUAGGAAAUCUCGAAGAAUAGUUUUCUUCAAUUGAUAAUCUUCACCGAUAAUUACACUAACCCCAGAUGGAGGCAUCACAGACUUGAUUAUGUCAUCCAAUAUCAUGCGAAAAUCGUAGGCCACAGAAACCCUGACCCAAGCAAGACAGUCAAAAUAGAACUUGACAUGAUUAUUAUUGUAAGUAUCUGCAGCAAAAGCAGUCUUAUCGAAGCCAUUGCUGUCGAGUAUUGCAACCACUGCCAGCCCAGAUGGUCCAUCUAUUGAUUGAGGGACCAUCUGGGCUGGCAGUGGUUGCAAUACUCGACAGCAAUGGCUUCGAUAAGACUGCUUUUGCUUAUUUUGUUACUUUGUUCACUGAUAUCAAAACCAUUGUCGCCGGGUGGAAGUUGUUGAAUCCGAUUUCUAAUAUCAAUGAUUUUACUGUGGAGUCCAACA
rnacentral:lncRNA from 1 species